rnacentral:lncRNA from 1 species
AUGUAGUAUAUAUAAUUCAUCCCAUUAAUGAGCUAAUGUUUCUAAGCAUUGCUAAGCAAUUAUAUCUAACAUUUAGCUGAACCAAACCAAUACAUAAGGUUCAAGCUAAUCAAUUUAGUACCCAAGGUAUCAAGGAAUAGGAUAUUCAAUGCAAAUUGGCCAUAACAAAGGAAUAGGUUCACACCACCCGGUGACAUUCGAAAAUAAAUGCACAGUUGAAAUAAAUAGAGAAUUUAAAUAUAGGAUCAACAUGCUCAAAGGAUUGUGUUUAGGAUCUGUGUGACUUGCCUUGCAAUAAUCAGUCUUCAAUUAAUCUUCCCGAUCACUUCCGACGCACUCACGAACCUUCGCAACGACGGAAACGACAAGCUAACACGCAAAACGAAGAAAAAGACUAAUAAAAACCAAAUAAACAGUACAUAAAAAGUAAACAAACAUGUAGAUCAUAAUUUUAGAUGAAUUAUGAGACUUGAACGGCCUCAUUCUGACUUCAAAUGAAUUUAUUAUGAAUUUUACAAGAUUAAAUCUAAUUAAAGCCCAAUUAAAAAGAAUUAAAUAAAUUUAAUUCAAUCUAUGGACAAUUUUAAUAUGUAGAUCUUUAUUUUAGAAAAAUUUAGAAACUUGAACCACUUAAAACGGAUCUACGGUUAUUAAGAUAUGAUUUUCCGAAGAUUUAACCAUUAGAAAAAAGGAAAAAGGAAAAGGAAAAAGGGACGAUGACGUCAGCCCUAAGGAUGAUGACGUCAGCCCUGGAGAUGACGUCGGCAUGACGUCGGCAACGACGGCCGGCUCGGGUUGGGGUGCUCGCCGGCGCUAGGCGAGUCGGCGGCGAAAACGGAGACCACCUACGCGUAGAGGACGACGAGACGAACCCGUUGGUACCCUCCAACGCGACGAUCGACGACGGAUGACGGCCGGCGACGAGAGGGACGAUGGCGGCGGCUCGGCUUGCACGUGGACGGCGAGCUCCGGUGACCGGCGACGGAAAAGGAAGGGUGGCCGAGCUUCUCCUCGCUCCCGUGCACCUCACGGUGGUGGCGGCGACCGACGGCGAUGACGGAGGCGGCGGCGCGGCGCGGCCGGAGAUGACCGGCGGCAGCAAGCGGCUAGCUCGGCGUGGCGGCGACCCUACGGAGCACUAGAGACCACGGGAGAUGGGGCAAACGAAAGAGGAGAACUAGGGGAUGCUUUAUAGGGGCUCGGAUCGAAGAGAUCAAGCCGCAAACGAGAGGAAUCGAAUCGGGAAGAACACGGACUCGGUUUUGGAGAUAAAAACAAAUCGAACUCGAUUCGGCUCCAAACCGCAACGAUUCGCUUCGAUUCUUGGGGAAAAGAAAGAGGAGACCGAGAGGAACAAAACCCCUCAAUCAAUUUGAAGAAACGGGCUCGGAUUUGGCCGGAAUCGAGAGAAGAAAGGGCGGCUAGGGUUUCGGGCUCGGGCGGCGGCGGCGUCCGGAGGAGGGAGACGAUCUCGACAUGUGGGCCCCACAUGUCAGCGGCUGGGAGAGAGGGGCGGCGCGGCGCGGGCGCGGGCGGCUUGGGCGACCUGGGCCGAGCGCGGGAAGAGAGAGAAAGAGAGAGAAAGAGAGAGAAGUUGGGCCGAAAUCGGCCCAACGGCCUAGGAGGAGAUUUUAAAAACUUUUUCAAUUAAAAUAAUUUGUGAAAUGUUGUUUCAUUUAUUAAAAAUACUUCCUUUGCUCAAAUAAUUCCCAGAAAAAUCUAGAAAAUAUAGGAACAAGCAAAGUAUUUAAUGAAAUUUUAUCUAGCUCAUUUUUAUAUUGAGAUUUAGCAAAUUAAAAGAAAGAUCUUCUCUUUUAAACUUUUAAAAUCAUUUCUAUUAAUUCCUUUUAAACAACAAUUUAUAAUUUAGGGAUUUUAAAAUAAGAAAAGCACUUAACAAUUAUAAUUAGAUCAUUAUAUGAUUAUGUUAAUAUUUAAAUAAUUGCUGAACUUUUCUUUGUAUGAUUAAAAUUAAUAAUUGAGCUCUGAAAAAUCCGAGAAAAUUCCAGAGAGUAUAAUUAACCAUGGAGAAUUUAAUAAAAAUUAAAUCCACCCAUGCUUUUUAUUUAGGAAAUUUUAUUUCCCACAUUUUACUUUACUUGAAAAUUAAAGAACAUUUAAUAUAAAUUCUUUUAUUAAUUUAUUAAAUAAUUUAUACACCCUAAGACGAAAAUCAGGGUGUGACAGAAUAGCCGUGCCCACGGUUAUGGGCGGGUUGAGCAAUGUUUUUCGUGACUAGUCUCACACUUCUCACAAUAAUUAUAGAUGUUAAUAAUUUGCUUAGCUCUUGGUUUGGAGAUUAGAUCUGUACAGCCGGGUAUGGUUGUUCGGGAUGGUUGGGCCUGUGCAGCAUGGGUGUGCUGUUCAGUGUUGAUUAAAAUUUUUAAUUAAUUACUCUACUGUUUUACUUAUCUUAAAUCUUUGCUAAAUGCUGCUUUUGCAAAUGAGCCUAUAUUAUGCCAUCCUUUGGAAUCCUUGUGCACUUGCAUAUUUGCUGUGUGGCUUGUUGAGUAUGUCAUAUGCUCAUUCUUGCAAUAAUCAUCAAACCUCAGUUGAAGAUAAAGUAUCCAGAAGGGAAGACGUUUGGCUUAUACCCCAGUUGAGCUGCCUGUGGGAGUGGAGCUGAAGCCAUCGCUAGACCGUUAUUUCCGCUGCUGUUUUCUUUUCUUUUGUAAGUAUGUAACGUUAUUAUUAUGAUGGGUUUGUAUAUUAAAAUUGUCAGUUUGUGUACCUCGGCUGAUUCCUGGACGAGGAUUUUAUGCACAAAUAAGUUCAGAAAUUACUAGUGAAUUUCCGGGCGUGACAAAAUCCCACCGGAGGUAGCCCGUCAUCGUGAACCGGAGCGCCGACGUCGUCACCGUGCCUCCAGCCGCACCGUUCAUCGUCGUCCGUCGUCGCCUUCGGUCGCCGUCGACUCCAUUGGGUUCAGAGGAGCAAGGUGAAGCCCAGCCACCGGUUUUUCUUCGCAGAAGAUCGCUGAAACGCGGCAGCCAUCGCUGACCCGACCCCAUCGCCCCCUCUACCUCGCUGCCGACCGUCUGCCGUCGUCAUCCAUCGUCGCGCCACCCCUCGGUGAGCUUUCCUCUCUCCCAUGUCGUUCACCGGUGUAGUUUAUCCCUAGGGUGUUAAUCCCAUCUAAUCUACUUGUUUGGCCCUAGCAUCAUCAUCGUCUCCGUGUGUUGUCGCCGGACUAUCGUCGUCGCCUCUUCUUCUCCGGUCGCCGCUGUUUCCUGGUGAGGCCUCCUCUCCGAUUCCUAGGGUAGAUGUUUGUGUAAGCCACAUGUGUGUCAUCGUCGCUGUGCCGUCGCCCUAACCCUAGCCGCUUGCCUCCACUGAGCCACCGCCGCUGAGCCGCCGCCCUAACCCUAACCCAAUAAGUGUUAAAGAUGCCUCCAUUGUUAGUUAAAGAAAAAAAACAUCUCUAUCCAAGUUACAUGUGUGUCUUGAGUUCAAAUCCCUAUUCCCCUACAUAUUUUUUGACUUAAUAUGCAUCUUUAGUAUCGGUUAUUUAACUGGUACUAAAGAUGUCUCGAUUUGUUGGUUAUGAUUGCUACAAUCAGUACUAAAGGGGGUCUCGAUUUGUUGGUCACGGUUGCAUUAUAAGAAGUAAUCACAAUAAUAAAAGUAAUCACCUCAUAGCAUUAUGAAUGUAUGAAAGCAAUUUAAUCAUAUCUAGAAGUAACUUAUACAUAUGAUAAAAGUAACUUACGUAUAUAAUAAAAGAAAUUUACAAACAAAAAAAAUUAUCAUAAUAUAAUCAUGUAAGAUCUUGUUGUAUAGAUUUAAUUGUAGGGAACACAACGGUAUAAUUGGAUCAUAGAUCAGAUAAAUAAUUUAAGAGAAUAUUUUAUUUGAAAUAAUGAGGAUGCAAGUGGCAGGUGCUAGGCAUUCAUUAAAGUCACUUUCUUUUUUUAUAAGUUACUUCUAUAAUAUAUAUAUAUAUAUAAAUUACUUUUAGGCUUUAUUGAAUUUACUUUUAUAUGUAUAAGAAGUAAUUUAGUGAAAUCUAAAAGUAAUUUAGAUAUAUUACAAAAGUAAUUUAUAUUUUUUCAUCAAAAUAUAAUCAUGUGAGAUCUUAUUAUAAAGAUUUAAUUGUUACGAACACAACGGUGUAAUCGGAUCGUAAAUCGGAUGAGUAGUUUAAGGUAAAAUUGUAUUUGAAGUAUAGGUGGAUGGUGUCUAUCAAAGAUGGAGUGGUAGCUGGUUUACCACUAGCUGUAGUCACGUCCAAAAAAGAAAAAGGGCGAAAUAAAAAGGCCGGACGGAAAAAAAAUAAAGAGCGAAAAAAACUACGGACGAAAAUACUCACGAAAGUAUAUAUAUAUAUAUAAUUUUUUUUAAUACUCACGCGGGUUGGAAUAAUUUUUUGGCGACGGACGAAAAUUCUCUACGGAAGCCUUACGAAUUUUUUAAUUGGGUUAAUUGGAUCCAUGCCAUUAUAAAUAUCACGGUUUUAAAAUAUACCAUUGAUAUUUACUUAUUUGGAUUCAUGCCAUUAUAAUUUCACACAUAUCCAUUAUAUACCACUAUUUACCCUUUCAACACAUUUUCUAAGAUAUUAUGACCAAAUUGCCCCUAUCUUCUUCCUUAUCCUCUUCCCCUCUCUAUCCUGUUCAUCUUCCAUCUCCUUCUCCCUUCAAGCAGCAGGUGGUUGCAGGAACUGCUCCUCUUCCUUCUCCUCUUCCUGUUGGACGGCAUUAGGAAGGACGCAAGCUCAGUGACCAAGUUGGAGAGCUUCUUCCAGAUCACUGGUGGAGAAAUGAUCUUUGCUGGGUCGACCCAAAACCACAAUAGUCCCGGUUCCAAAAAGAACCGGGACUAAAAAUAAUCUUUAGUCCCGGUUGAAAACCCUACCGUCAUUCUAUGAUCUUUAGUCCCGAUUCAUCCCUUGUCAGAUGUAUGUCAUGGGGCCGAGGAUCUUUAGUCCCGGUUGCUGUCACCAACCGGGACUAAAGAGAUUACCACUUUAUUCACGGCUGGUAUUACCAACCGGGACUAAAGAUCUUAGUUUGGUAUUAUCAACCGGCGCUAAAAUUGAACGCGUAGUAUAUAAUCCCAAUCCCUUAUCCUCUUCCCCCACAAUUGCAACUCACAGAUCGAAUCUCUUUUCCUUCUCCUCCUCCUCCUCUCCUCUCACAUAGAUCCUCUCUCCUCAUCCAGAUCUCACACAGAUCCCCUCUCCUCCACCUCCUCCCCUUCCUCCUCUUCUCCCCCUCCUCCCCUUCCCAUCCGGCGGGUCGGCAGCCGGCGGGGCCGUGCCCGGCGGCAGGCAGCAGCGCCGUGCGCGGUGGCGGGCAGCAGAGGGUGGCGGCGGCCGCGGCGGGCGGCGGGGCCGCGCCCGGCGGCCGGCGGCAGCGGCUUUGUUUUUUUUUUUUUAUAAUUUGUGAUUCACUGUGAUGUAUAAAUUUGUGAUUUGUUGCAUGGAUCUGUGAUGUAUUUGAUUUGUAUGUAAUUUUUUAGGAUAUGUGAUGUAUUUGAUUUGUGUGUAAUUUUUUAGGAUUUGUGAUGUAUUUGAUUUGUGUGUAUAAGUAACUUUAAGAUUUGUGAUGUGGAUUUAGUGAUGUGAAUUUGAGAUAUUACUUUGAUUUGGGGAUUUGGGGUUUGAUUUGGGCAUUUGCAUGCCACUUGAUUCGGGAGAAAAUAAAAAGAAAAAAAAAAGAAAAGGGGAGGGUACCAUAUGGUACUGCCGCUAUUUUCUUUGCUCCCUAUUAGUAACAGCAACCGGUACCAACCGGGACAAAAAGAUUGAUUAUUUCAACCGAGACUAGUCCUGGAUUGCUACUCCCGGUUGAAAAACCGAGACUAAAAGGGGUUAACAACCGGGAGUAAAAAUAGUUUCUCCACCAGUGGAUGGACCUGUAUAUCCCCCGACGUGAAGGCCACGGAAUGGAGGAUCGUCUUGUGACCCCGGCAAAAAUGAAGCAAUGCAGGAGCACGGCAGCCAUGGGCAGAGAGGGGUGCGCCGGCGAGAGCAGCAAGUACGCGAGGCAGAGCGCGAGCGCGUUUGGCCGGGUGGGAACAUCCCCUUCGCCUGUGAUCUUGCCUCGAUCGCCGGGAUGUCGAUCAGGUUCCCAAGCAGCAUUGUCAGCCCCGCCUUGUCCACGCCCAGAACCGCCGCCGCCGCCGCAUCAACCUCCUCCUGCCGUCUUGCGGAUCCAUGGUGUCCCGACGACACGCCGGCGCGGAGCUCCCCACUCACCACGACGGUGGCGAGCCGUGCGGGCAUCGUGCACGGGCUGCUCGCGCUGCCGCCAUCGCCAACAGGAUCUCAGUUCUUGUUUGUUCUCUCUUCUUCCUAAUUCUAUUUGAUUUAGUUGUUUGCUUCGAGAGAGAGGAUGAGACGAAGAAAAGAGAGAUGGACAUGAUAGAGAGGGGAGGGGAUGAAGAAGGAGAUAUGGGCAAUUUGGUCUUAAUAUCUUAGAAAAUGUGUUGAAGGGUUAAGUAAUGGUAUAUAAUAGAUAUGUGUAAAAUUAUAAUGGCAUGAAUUCAAAUAGGUGAAUAUCAAUGUAUAUUUAAAAACGUAAUAUUUAUAAUGGCAUAGAUCUAAUUAAUUCUUUUUAAUUAGGUAUAGAUAUAGAUAGGAAUAGGUAUAGAUGUAGACGUGGAAGCUAGCUGAAGUACGAAUUUAACGCAAACAUAUCAUCCAUAGUUCUAUACAGCCAUCCAUGUACACACCCGACAUCACUACACCACAUACGAUGGAAGGGAAAGGAAUUAUAGUAACUGCGACGCCGACGGCGACGGUAGCUGGAGAGGACGGACGGCGGAAGCACCUCCCCCUGGACCCGACAACGUACGUACACUCUGCACAACCGCGACAAGAUCUGUCGCAAGAUUUGCCGGCUGGCUACCUCCUUCGAGCGAUCGACGCUAGCUGAUGCUGAUCAGGCUAGUAAAUCCGCAACUAAAUUAACUAACCGCAUGUGUCGCUAACGAACAGCACGAGGUUUUAUGGGCUCGAGGAGCCUGUCCAAAAUGUAGUGCUUGGCCGGUCCAUUUGAUUUAGAGAGUAUAUACCACUGUGUUUGGCAUGUUGGGCACUGCAUUUGAUAUAUAUGCGUGGACUAUAUAUAGUAAAUCAAUUUUGCUAUAUAUUUGUCAACAAAUUUUCUCCCAGAAAUUUGACAGAUGUAAUUACAGUACAAUCGUAGUAUAAUUACAUUGUAACUUGCAUAUAAUUACACUGUAACAAUAAUGUAACUUUCAAAAAUCUCUCCAUAACAUGUUAUUUUAGUAAAAUGGAGGUCGUGGGAACAAAUCCUUCUACAUAUGUGUGUGCUGUGAUUUUUUUUUCUUUCUCAUCAAAACAAAUCUUGUAAUAGAUCUAGCGAUUCAAAAUUACGUGAAAUUUACAUACAAAUUAUACUGUAGUUACAUGCAAGUUACAAUAUAAUUACACUACGAUUAUACUAUAAUUACAGCUGUCAAAUUUUUAUGAGAAAAUUUAUUGAUAAAUGUAUCUGUCCCAUAGUAAAUUGAUUGAAAGUUAAGGAUUGUGCCGCACGAUAUAUUUAUAAUCGAUUUGUUCUCUAGCAUGCAGUGCGUCAAAUAAUGUACAUGGAGUUCAUGUACGUUACUCAAUUUUUCAAGCCCUAAACUGAAACAUUAUUUUAUAUUCUCACGUAAUUGAGCGAUUAAUAAUAUAACGAUAUAUUUCGAACAGUUGAAUGAAUAAUCAUGGAUAUGUAGUUGAUACAUCAACACGAGAUUCGGAGUGAUGUUAUAUAUACCUACUCCCCUGAAAUACGGAACGUCCAAUAAUAAUACAUAUAUAUAUAUAUAUAUAUAUAUAUAUAUAUAUGUAGAGUGUACAUCUGAGGAGACGAGAGAAAUUAUCUAAAGUAGUACUCCCUCCAUCUAACAUUUAAUCUUUUUUUAAUCUUUUUUUAUCAAUUCUCAUAUUUUUAUCAAAAUUUUCGUUAUUCUCAUAUUGACAUCCAAAGUAUUUUUAUUUUAAGGCUUCCAUAUCUACCCUCUAUCAAUACAUAUGCGCACAAAUAUUAAUUGGAGUUGAUGCUGCUUUCAGUAACGAUUGGCAUAUACUCCCUCCGGGUUGAUAAUACUUGUUAUUUUGGACAGGGGCACGAUUUUCAAAAAAUAACUUUGACCAUUAUUUUUUAUUAUAAUAUAUAAAAAAAAUAUUAACAAAUAUAUGAUACUGGAGAAGUGAUCUUGGCCGGGUUGCCCAAAAACCAUAAUAGUUCCGGUUCAUAAAAAAACCGGGACUAAAAACCAACCGGUUUUUAGUGAUCUUUAGUCCCGGUCGGUUCAAGAAGUUACCGAGCCAAGUCAGACCCUAUUUAUUUUAAGUCCCGGUUGGUAUAAAUAACCGGGACUAAAAAUAUACCAACCGGGACUUAAAAAAAGAUUUUUAGUCCCGGUUACUAAAAAUAAGAAAACCGCGCGCGAGCUAGUAUCGGUCUUAUCCCCCCUUCCUCUCUGCUCCCUCUCAUUAAAAACAGAUCGAGGUCGAGAUCGUGUGCAAGUCCUCCCGUUCCUCUCUCUCGAUCUCCUCUCCCAUCUCCCCUUCCUCCCCCUUCCCCUCUCCUCCCCCUCCCCGCCUCCUCUAGUCCAGGUGCCCGGGCGGCUGGCGGCCUGCGCCGGGGCGGUUGCGGCCCGCACCGGCGCGGCGGCGGCCGGCGCCGGGGCGGCUGGCGGUCUGCGCCGGUGGUGGCGCAGAGGAACGAGAGCGGUUGGCGGCCUGCGCCGGCGGCGGCAGGCGGGCCCGCGCGCGGCGGUGGGCAGGCGGGCGGUUUCUGAUUUGUUUUCUUUCUUUUUUUUUUUACAAUUUUGUGAUUCUGAGAUGUGUAAUUUCUUGUAUAGAUCAGAGAUGUAAUCUGUGAUGUAUUUGAUUUGUGGUAUAUUUUUUAGGAUUUAUGAUGUGAAUAUAUGAUCUAGGGUUUGAUUAUUGGGGGAUAUGCAUCCCAUCCGAUUUGGGAGAAAAUCAAUCGCAUCUAGAAAAAAAAACCAAACAAUGAAAAAAAAGAAAAAAAAAAGAAAAUGUGGCAACCGGCACUGCCGCUUUCCUCCUCUUUUAGUUCCGGUUGGUAAAGAUCCAUUUUUUAUCUUGGUUAUUUUACCCGGGACUAAAGUUGGGUAUGCUUAGUCCCGGAUUGGGACUCCCGGUUGCAUAACCAGGAGUAUAGGCAGUUGCGAACCAGAGGGAAAGAUCACUUGUGCAGCAGUUUAAUCUCAUUAAAAUACUUUUUAAGACUAAUCUAUACGUGUAGUAACCAUAUUUGAAUGAUAAAUAUUUUAAAAAUGAUUCAUAAUCAAAUAUUCUAAAGUUUAAUCUCACCCUUAUCCAAAAUGACAAGUAUUAUCAGUCCAGAGGGAGUAGUUAGCGAGGACAACAAGAACAACUGAUGUAAUUUUUUUUUUUUGCAUCUCCUUACAUAGCGUGAAAUCCGCUAGACUGACUGAAACGGAGGGUAUAAUUAAGGACCUAUAAUCCAGCACCUGCGUGCACUACUAUAAAAGUGAUUUUUUUACAAGACCCUAUAAUUUUACAAACGGACCAUAACUAGUGGCGACUGCAAAAAUCGAGCGGCAUUUUCGUAAACGGCUCCUUAAGACACCCAUAUGGAAAAAUCGAUUUUCCCAUAUAGGCCUCUUAAAAGGUCUGCAUGCAAAAAUAACCCCAUUUUUGCAUGAGGCUCCCUUAAGCGCCCGCAUGGAAAAAUCAAUUUUUUCCAUACGGGCGUCUUAAGUAGCCGUAUGCGAAAAUAAAAUUUAAAAAAAUUAAAAAAUUAACUAGUGUAUCUCACUCAUAUGAACUCCAAAUUGGAUGAUUCUUUUUCCUAAAUGUUUCUAAAAUUAUACUCUAUCAUGUUAUUGUGUUCUUACUGAUAUUAUUUUGGCCAUUUUUUCUUGUGAUUUUGUUUUAUCAAUUAAAAAUUUGAAUUACAAAACUUCAAAUAAUAUAUUGAAGCAGUAAAUGAUUUUAGCUGAAAAAGUAGUCAACGACAAAGUUGUAUAACACAUCAACAUCUAUAACUUGUAUUUUGGUCAUUUCUUCAUCCGACAAAGUGAUAUUAACAUUUUCACAAAAUUUACAUAUAUCUCUUAUAGUUUAUAAAACUAUAUAAUAGAUAUUUACAUUUUAUGAACAAUGUUACAAAUCACUUUGUCGGAUGAAAAAAUGACUAAAAUAAAAGUUAUAGAUCUUGACGAGUUAUACAACUUUGUUAUUGAUGACUUUUUUUAGUUGAAAUCAUAAAGUAUUUGAAAAUAUUGUUUGAAGUUGUCACAUUUUGAAAUUCAAAUUCAAACAGUUCAAACAAAGCCAUAUAGAAAAAUGACCAAAAGAAAAGUUGUAGAUCUUGAUGAGUUAUACAACUUUGUUGUUCAUGACUUUUCCACUUAAAAUCAUUUAUUACCCGAAAAAUUAUUUAAACUUCUUAUAUUUUAAAAUUAAAAAUUUAUAUAGUUGAAUCAAACUCAGAAUGAGUUCUACAAAUUGUUUUUGAUAAUAUUUUCAUAUGAGUUAAUCUAGUGCCAUAAAAAUCGAUUUGAAAUUUAAAAAUACACAUGUGGACGCUUAAGUUGUCCGCAUGUAAAAAUGUUCCCUCUUCCUUCCCUCUCGACUAUUUCAAAAAUUUUCACACCUACUACUCCUUAUCUUUUCUUCCUCUCCUCUCAGUCUUCUUUCUCACACUUAUUACUCUCCUUUCUCUCUCUCUCUCUCUCUUUCUCUCUCACUUUCUCAGACCAAUCGAUAGCGCGGGACGGGACGGGCGCGGCGGCGGCACUGGCCGAGGAUCGCGGCGCGCGGCGGCGGCGGACGGGAGCGGCCGUGGGCUCGAUGGCAGUAGGGGGAGCGGCCACGGGCUCGAUGGCCGGAGGCGGUCGGCUCGCGUGGAUCUGCCACCUCCACUUCCCUCCGUCACCGCUGGCGACUCCCCCCGCGGAUCCGGCAACGGCGCCAUCCCCCAACUCGGAUCCGGCGGCGGCGCCCUCCCCCACUGCGGAUCCGGCGACAGUUGCCUUCUCCAACGCGGAUCUGGCACUGGCGCCCUUCCCCAACACGGAUCCGGCGGCGGCCGCCCUCCUCCAACGCGGUUUCGGCCUCCUCCAAUGCGACCACCCCUCCCCCUCCUCACCGCCGCAGCGGUGGGGCGGCUCUGCCGCCUCGGCUGGCGCUGCCCCACGUGGAUCCAGAACCAAGGGCGGCGGGGGCGGCCGAUCCGGUGUAGGUGACUAUGGCGGGUGGCAGGGGCGACUGAUCCGAUGGCGGCGAGCUAGGGUUUGGGAUUUUUUUUAUUUUUAUUUGUUUUUGUUUGCUGAAUUUAUUUUCGCAUGCGGCCGGUAUAAGCGGGAUUUUCGCAUGCGGUUGCGCCGUCUGCAUGUGAAAAUUGUGAUUUUUGCAGACCAACUCGCCCAUGCGGUUGGCGCAACCGUAUGCAAAGAUGCUGUUCGCCCGCAUGCAAAAAGGCUUUCUGUAGUAGUGGUGCAUGAGGACAGGAUGAAAUGCUACUCUGUCUAAUUGCUGGGUUGCAAUGGCUAGCAAUGCGCAUACUGAUACGCACGUACUCCAUGCUCCCUGUGUAAAAAAAAAAAUUUUCACCCAUUUCACACAUAUCAAUAAAAACAAAAAAAAUUAGAAUCCCCUACUUUACCAUAUCCUAAUAUAAUUAUUUUUGUUUUAUUAUUUCUAAUGUAGUUAUCUUCUACCUUUAUAAAUUUCAAUGCAAUGAUAUUAGGCUGUGUUUAGUUGGAUCCAAAGUUUGGAUUUUGGUUGAAAUUAGAGAUGAUGUGACUGAAAGGUUGUGUGUGUAUGACAGGUUGAUUAGAUAGAACUUUGGAUCUAAACACAGCCUAACUGAAAAUUUAGCUUAAUUGAAAAUUUGAAAUAAACGGGAGGGGGUAAAAACAUAUCUUAUUCAAGGUGAGGGCCAGAGCUGGUUGUCUGCCUAAGCCGGUACAAAAGCUGCUAAAGAAUGAUGCACACCUCGUAUACCUGCCCACAAUACUGGGAAAAUACUUUAAGAUUACCUCUCUGCACUACUCCACGUGUACAGUCUCAACUCGCCCCUGCCUUAAGCUAGAUCUAUAUAUCUCUGCUGCAUGCCCAUGCAUGUUACCAUGGGUAGAUAUAUUGCUAGUUAAUCUGAACACUUUGUCCAGUUCUAUCGAGAGGACAAAUGCAAGGUACUCUAGCUGAGUUGAUGAUGGACAUAAAAUCAUAAACCUUGGAACUUGUACUUUGUCUUGCCCAAUUGGGUGUAGAUUAUGUAUGUUGGAAGCAUCCUGGCUAGUUUCCCGGUGGAUUAUGAAAGAGGAGAAGACCUGGGGACAGGUGAGCCCCCCUGAAUUUUUUGUAAUGGACGGCUUGAUUAUCAUUUCGGGCUCAAUAUCUCAGCAUAUGGAUAGGCAGUAGGAGCCAAUCACGAUUUCUGCAAUGCUCUGCAUACUUUAAACAUGAUGAAUAUCUAUGACGAUAUUCGCGUGGAUUCUAUGGUGUUUUGUGCAUGGGUGCCAUAGCAUUAUUUUUAAUUAAUGGACGGUUGGUACGCAAGAUCAUAUAUAGUAUAGCAGCAGCUAGUGCGUCCAACGUACGGUUUAUAUAUCUGAACCGAUGGUAAUUAUACAUGGGUAAUUAAUUAAUCUACUCUCUCCAGGUAGAAAAGAAAUUAAGCCACUUCUGACUUAACAAAGCUAGAAAUAUAAAAAUUAUUGACAUUUCAAGAUCAUAAUUUUUUUUUGUUGUUGUUUAGUGAUCGGCCGUGGGAAGCUAAGAUUUUCGCAUGUGGCCAGUAGCCCAGUACUAAACUAUUUUCCUCCAUACAAAAAUUUGUUGACGUUUUUCACAUAUUUUUAUUGUAAACUUGUAUCAAAGUGCACAAGUUAAAUCUAAACUUCUUCACAUUAUCCUAGCUUGAACUACCACACACAGCCGUCCACUUUUCAACCCUAUGUCGGAUUUAUACAGUAGCAUUGGAUGAUAUCGCACUGGUGUGGCAACAUGCACAAAGAUCAAAACAUAUAUUUUAAAUUUUCCAUAUGCACAUUACUAAGUGCUUUUAAAUAUUUUACACAAUUUUGGACAAGACGCGCACAGCACUUGUAAGUAUGUGUAUCAUCCUAAGUACACACUUAAGAGAAGCUCAAACAAGAAGUAAAUCCCUAAUAACAAUAAAAUCUGUUAAAAACGCAAUCACGUUUGCAUAAUUUUGGACACAUGAUUUGAAAAACUGUAAUGUGGUUUUAACAAAGAUCAUUACAAUUUUGUCAAUAAAUAAAAUUGUUGGAUACCCAGUUUGUCCAAAUGAAAGUUGCAACACAACAUGUUAUUCCAUCUUUACAGGGUGCCACCCCAUGUUGCUCAUAACAACACAAACCGACAAGCCAGCAGUCUAAGCGACCAUCCUAACCCCGAAAUUCUCUAACACACGAUGCUUAAAGUAAACCAAGCAAUCACCACGUAAAUCGAGCCUAAACCACCAUCACACAGGGAAUAUUAAACAAAAUUGUAGCCAGAAACGACACUGAUCGAUCUCUACUUCUAAACGACCCUAUAUAUGUGGCUAUAUAUAAUCAUACGCUACCCCAUAUCGCGGUGCAGUAAUCACACACUAAUCACUAAUCACUCACUCACUCUCACUCUCGCUCCAGUCUAGCUCUAGUAAAGCAGCUAGCUAGCUCGUAGCUCGCAAUGCGAAGCAACAGCAUGAAGGCGGCGACCACGGCGUGCAUGCCGCGGCUGGUGCGCGGCGGCUGCCGCGCGUCGACGGCGAGGCCGGCGGCGUCGGUGUCGCUGCUGGAGCGCAUCCGCGACGUCGUGCUCCGCCUCAUCAUGCUCUCCGCCGUGUCCAAGGCGUCGGUCAAGCGCACCGGCGGCGGCAAGGCGUCGUCGUCCUCCUCGCCGCGCGCCGCGCCGCCGCCGCCGGUGAUGACGUCGUGCCGCCGCGACGACUCGAUCAGGAACGAGGCCGUCGAGGACUGCAUCGAGUUCCUGAAGCGGUCGUCGGCCGAGGGCGACGCGGCGAAGCUGUCGAGCGUGACCGCCGCCGAGACGGUGGCCGUAGCGCGCGAUCUGGCCAUGGCCACCACCAAGCCGUCGUCGCCGUCGUGCGCGAUCACCACCGACGACGCGGUGACCGCGCACGGCGCCGCCCCGGUGAAGCAGCCUACCAUAUUGGCGAGCACCUCGCCGCAUCUUCGCCAGCCUCGCCUGUCACCGCCGGCGCCGUCUACCUCGCCGGCGGCAGCCUCUUCCAGCCCUAGGUUGGUGUAGAGAAUCGAUCAACCUAGGACAUGAACAGGUCGCUGGAAUUGUUUAACGAAUUAAACCAUUUCAUAAUUUGUUGCUACAUCUUUCGUCGCCUUUUGUGAAUGCUUUUUCAUUUUGAUUGGAUGCAAAUUAAAUUAAAAAUGAACAAGUGCUCGACGCACACUCGAGAGCAAAGUGGAGUGGUUAAUGAGUGUGCCUGAAGACGUACGGGUCACUCCUUUAAUCAAAUCCCUUUUUGAUUUUUAAUUUUCACCUCUGUUUUUGGGGUUUGAGCUGGAAAGAUUGGGGGCAAAGGGACGGUGAAUCGAAUUAACAAUUGGAAAUUGGACGGUGCAGAGAGACUAAACUGCUGUUGCCUGCUUAAUUGUCGCGCGCGUAGCAUGUGCUGCUCGUAUGCAGUUGUCGGGAAUAUUCACGUGCACCCAGCACUGACAUUUGCUGCUACUGCUAGGAUGUCUAGAGUGGAUUAUUAGUGAUAUACUUCUACUAGAUACUCAGUUUCAAGUUAUGGAGAAACUAAAUAUGACCUCUCUGUUAUAUUAAUAAAUUUAAAAAAGGGUUUUGCUAAACGAGUAUCAGUGUGUGGCGACAUAUUUUGGGGCUGAUUACAUUCAGAUUUUUUGGCGUGAGAUCAAAGCUAUCCGAAAGCGCGACUAACUGACACACCUUAUCAAGCUCCAACGCCUCUAUGCUCAUUAGCACUUUGUGGACUUGUACAAUUGAUAAUAAGUUCAAGUAAUUUUACCAUCCUUAAAAAGAUGCCUGUUGAUAACUCUAGGUAUUUUCUCAAGGACCAUAAAUUUUCUCAUACGAGUUCAUCUUUUCUUCUCCUAUUAUAUGUCCACAGUUAUCCUAUUAUAUCCACAACCAGUUCCAAAGUUGAAUAACAUUGUAAAUUACUACUGGAGAAACCAUCUUUGGUCGGUUGCCAAAAUCCACAAUAGUCCUGGUUAAACUAAAAAUCGGGACCGGUUGGUGUCAUCUUUAGUCCCGGUUCUAUUUGUGUCAGACGAUGUUAAGACGCGGACUAAAAAUAAAUCCUUAGUCACGUUGAUAUCACCAACCGGGACUAAAUAUCUCCCUCCCACGUCUUAAAUGGAUCAAACCACCAGAGACUUUACCUCAUCAUCCUUAUCUCUCCACUAUCUCUUUUUCCUCUACCUAUCCUUAUAUCUUUCCUUCCUAUAACUCCUUAUAUUUUUUCCCUAUCUUUUCUCAGCCCAGGAGCGAGCGAGCGCACGAGGAGUCGAGGAGGACGCCGGGUAGCCGGCAGCGGAGGGCUGGCUAGCCUGGCAGCGGCGGGGCUGGGUGCGGCCGGACGGCGGUCAGCCUGGGUGCGGCCGGAUUUUAGGAUUUGUGAUGAUUUUUUUUGAUAAUUUGUGAUGUACUCCCUCCUUCCCAUAAUAUAAGGGAUUUUGACAUUUUGUUUGCACAGUUUGACCACUCGUCUUAUUCAAAAUAUUUGUGCAAAUAUAUAAAAUGAAAAGUUGUGCUUAAAGUACUUUGGAUAAUAAAGUAAGUCAAAAAUAAUAAUAAUUCCAAAAAAUUUUCAGUAAGACGAAUGGUCAAACAGUGCAAGUAAAAUGCCAAAAUCCCUAAUAUUAGGGAAUGGAUGGAAUAUUUGACUGUGAUGUGAAUAUGUGAUGUUUUUUAAAAUUUGUGAUGUAACCAUCUUUGAGAAUUUGUAAUGUAUGAUGUGAUUUGGAGAUGAUUUGGGGAUUUCAUGAUUUGGGAUGAUUGAUUGUGAUUUAGCGAUAAUUUAGGGAUGAUUUGGGAAUGGAGUGAAAUCAAUAUGUCAAUCCCGACCUGGUCUCUUCCAUCUUUCAGUCCUCGUUGAUAACACCAACCGGGACUAAAGAUGGAUCCAUUUUUAGUACAGGUUGGUAACACUAACCCGGACUAAAGAUGGAUCUUUAACCCCGGUUAUUGUACCCGGGACUAAAGAUAACAAUCUUUAGUCUCCAUUGUAUAACCGAGACUAAAGGGGUUAUGAACCGGGGUUAAAAACCCUUUCUCCAGCAGUGAAUACACUAAAAUUAGAUAUGUAAUUUUGGGAGGUACAAUGUAAAUAUGUUAACUAUUUUUUCAUAGAAAAUAUGGCUACUUAUUACUCCCUUUAGAAAAUAUUAAAAUGUUUCGAUUUGAACACCCUUUAACCAGUGUUUUAACUUUAGAUAGGAUAUUUUUAUCUUUAUGACACUUUAGACCACACUCAACUAUUUUAACCAUCUACAUUCAGCUUGUCAUAUGCUAAAGAAAUUGUAUUACAUAUUUAUUAGAAGCUGACGUGCUCGAGAUCAUUCAUAUGCUUAAGAAGAGAGUCGGCGUAAUCCAAAAUCAAACAAAGUAAGAUUACCUGAUCCAAAGUGAAAAUAUUGGUUAAAUGGUAGUCCAAAGUAAAACAAUGGUAAUAGAAUGUGGUUUAAAGUGAAUUUCUCUAUUUCAUAUAUCAUGUGCAUUUCAUUUGGUAUAUCAAUUGAACAGCUGAAAGCUCAGGCUGUACUCACAUUUAUGAUCACUACAUCUGAGGUUUCUUCCAAAUAUGCCCAACAAUUAGCUUGAGUAGAGUGCUUCUUUCAACCAUCAUGUAUGACAUGAACCAUCAACCAUCAUGUAUGACAUGAACCGGCAGUGAUAUGUUUCUAUCUAUUGAAGAAACCGGCAAGUACUACUCGAGUAUCAAUAUCGGCCCGUGUAGAAGUCGAUGUCAUAGGAAGCAGGUAUAACUGUUCAGUAUUACAGAAACGAUUUCUAUGAACUAAAGCCCCUAUAUAUUGUAAGUGGAUCACGCCUGCAAAAUCGACGUUUAUUUUCGCAAACGACUCCACAAGAGACCCACAUGCAAAAAUCAAUUUUCGUAGGCGGAUCUUUCAACACACCCGCAUGCAAAAAUAAACGUAUUUUCGUAGGCGGACCUCUUAAAUUAUCUAUUUCUUCCCUCCACUCCUCACUCUAUCCCCACUCCUCCCUUAUCAUCUCAUCUUAAUUCUCUCUUCUCACCUCCUCUCGUCUCUUCUCCUUUUUUCUUACCUCCUCUCCUCUUCGCGGCAGCCCUCCCUACACGGAGGCCAGCGGAGGAGGCGUCAUUCCCCAUGCGGAUCUGGCAGCGGUGUCCCUACCCCCUCGCCGAAACGGCGGUGACGGCCGUUCCCCGUGCGGAUGCGACUGUGGUGGCCCUCCCCUGUGCUCCCCAAACGCGGAUCCGGCGGCAGGAGCAGGCACGCGUCAACGCCGGUAGCAACAAGGCCCUCCCCCGCGUGGAUCCGGUCACGGAGGGGCAGUGGAGGCGUGGGGAUGACGGUGGCCUCGCGACAGUGGACUAUGUCGACAACGUCGUUGUCAGAUGGGACCUAGCUAGGGUUUCGAUUUUUUAUUUUUGGGGUUCUUUUUUAAUCUUUUUUUUAAGUGCAGACGAUAUAAGUAUCCGCACAUGAGGAUUUUAGCGUGCGGGUGUGCCAACCACAUUAAAAACAAUGACUUUCGCAGACAUUUUCGGGUAGACAGGCGGUCCCACCGCAUGGAUAAAUGCACUACAAGAUAAUUGAGCUAUUGCCACCAAAUUAUUACAAUAAAAAAUAAUUCGUAGCAAUAUAUUAUACUAUUGCAAUGCUAAUUUUUCUGUGGCAAAUAAUUAUUUUUUAUUGUAAUGAUCUACAAUCGUUGUUUCAUUUAGUACUUUUGUUGCAAUAGAAAAUGAGAUAUCGCCACAAAAAAUCGUACUGUUGCAAAAAAACAUGUUCUAUCGCCAUAAUUUUAAUUUUUGUGGCAAUUUAUAUAGUACAUGGUAUUUUUCACUAUUUUUUUGUUGCCACGAUCAACAAAUUCGUUGCAACAAAAAAAUUGUCGUCUCAUAAUUUAACUUAAUUUUUUCAUAUGGACACAGAUUGAGACAAAUUUUAUAUGGAAAUUAUAGCUCUCGACGAGAUCUACAAUUUUAUAGGUGAUAACUUUUUUAUUUGAAAUCUUUUAGAUAUUCAAAUCUAUGAUUCAAAUCUCAGUUAGCUAGACUCAAAUGAAACGAUAUGCAUUUUCCAACAGAAUUGAUGCGUAGGUGAGUUGGUAAAGGAGAGCACACGUGAAGGAUAGGUCUUGGGUUCGAAUCCUAGCCAAGACACAAAAUCAAAAAAAAUAAGUAGAUAAAUAGAUAGGAUGAUAGAUUAAUAUUUGAACUUUUAAUUUGGUACGUAAAACUAAUGCCACAUAUGGAGUGGUGGCAAUAAAUUUUGUUGCAACGAUGUGAAGUGUUGCAAUAUGACUUUUUGCCACAUCCAUUCCGUGGCAACAUCUAAAGUUAUUACCACAAAAUAAAAAUCGUUGCAAUAACCUAUUACCACGCUGUUUAUUACCACGGCUAGCAACGAUUUUACAAUUGUGGCAACAUGUAUCUAUUGCCAUAAUUUUAGUAUUGAUGCCACAAUUUUUUUCGUGGCAACAAAUGAUUUUUCUAGUAGUGAUGGGUUUUGACCACAUGCAAAAAUGUUUUAGUAGUGGUUGGUUAAUACCAGAACCGAAAUUGAUGGUUGUUAGAACUAUCCAAUCAAUUGACACUGAUACUUAAAUAACAGUUUAUAAAAAUAAAUAACUUCGCAUAUUGGAUGAUAAACAAACUUGUAGAUCGAGCUGGAAGAAGUCUACAACUUUUUAAUAGUCUGUUCAUUAGAAAUUUUCAAAUAUUUGUACAUAUAAUUUGAAUUUUUGAUAAUUUUUUAAGUGAUAAGCUCUGUUUCGAAUCCUACAUCUGCAAAGGUGUGAAUUUUUUUGGACUAGUGGAAUUCUGUAGUGAUAGUGAUAUAAUUGCCUAAUAAAAUUUACAAUAUUUUUUUUGAAUUUCUAGUUCCUACAAAAUUAAAAAACUAGGACAUUUCCACCGCCGAUUUAUCGCAAGAACUAGUGUCGAGAAAACAAUGGUGUUGCUUCGAGUGGUAGCCUUCCCGUUAAAAACCGGAGUUCGUCUUGUUUUCUGUAGUAGUGCAACCAACAUUAUUUGUUUUGACAUGACUGUCUUUUUUAUAUCGCUAGCAUAUACGAGUGCGCCAUCUAAAACAUGUCUAAAUAGAAAACACUAAUGUCAUAUCGCUAGCUCUAUUCCUAUUGAAGCACACUUACGUGGGUCUUAAAUCCGUGUGCGGGGUACUAAGGGAGUGUUUAGAUCCAGGGACGUAAAGUUUUGGCGUGUUACAUCAGGUAUUAUAUAGAUUGACGCAUGGAGUAUUCGGACACUAAUCUCUACUAUUAUAAAAAUUGAAGAUGUUUUUGCCGAGAUUUUGGUACGUCAUCCGUGUUUGAGUAGGUUUCUAAUUUUAUCUUUAUAUCCUUUUGUCUGUUUGUUUUUUUCGCUGUUUUUUUCCGAUUCAUUUUUUUUUUCGCUGCUUUUUUUUCCGAUUCCGUUUUUUCCCCUUUUUUGUUUUUUAUCCGGUUUCUUUUCUCCGUUUUUUAGGUGCUUUUUUUCGUUGUUUUUUCCAUCCCUUUUUUAGCCGGUUUUUUAUCUCAUCUGAUCAGUUGCACGACGCAGCUGCUUGAGCAAACCCUAACGCCGUGGCGUGGCCACUUCGAUAUAUUCCCAUGUGUUUUGUGCUCCAAUUGAUUGUAAAAUUGGAUUCCCCACUCUUCACUCAUCAUUUUUUCUCAUAAUUUUUCUUUCAAUUCGGCUUUAAUUCACUAGAUUUAGUCUUAGCCGCCGAUGAUAUUAGGCUUUAAUUCACUAGAUUUAGUCUUAGCGGCCGAUGAUAGUCGGCUGGUCUUUUUAUCUCGAAUUUUGCUGAUUCAUUCUGAUUUUGGGAAAACGGAAAGAGGAGACCGAGUGAAUAAAAAACCCUCAACCAAUCUAUAUAGAAUAAAAUUCGGCUAGAGGAUUUUAUGGGGAGGAUCGGCUCCAGCGUAUUGGCAAGAUUAUCUUGAGGUUGAAGACGACAGUCGAAUGUGCGAGCUGGGCCUAUAGCUCCACUCGUGGGUUUGGAUCGGAGAGAUCAGGUGAGGGAGGUACCAAACUAGGUUGGGACUGAAAAGAAAGGAAAGAAUGUGCUUUUGGCCCAAACCCAGGAAUAAUUUUUAUUAACUUUUUCAAUUAUAAUGUAUAUAUAAUAAUCCUAACAUUUCAAUUCAUCGCUUAGUUCGUAAUAGCGGUUGUACCACUGAAAAAAUGUUUUUAGCCGUUGCAAUGCACGUGCAUUUUUCCGGUAAAAAACUAAUUACAGAAUCUGUCAGUAAACCACGAGAUAAAUUUAUUAAGCCUAAUUAAUUCGUCAUUAGCAAAUAUUUAUAGUAGCACCACACUGUCAAUUCGUGGAGUAAUUAGGCUGAAAAGAUUCAUCUCGCAAAUUAGUCACAAUCUGUACAAUUUGUUAUUUUUUAGUCUAUAUUUAAUACUUCAUCCUCGCAAAAAAAAUACUUCAUGUAUUUGUUCAAACGUUCGAUAUGAUAUGGUGAAAAAUUUUAUGGCAGGAUCUAAACAGAGCCUAAGAUUUCAACUCUAAGGGAGAGUCGUGCAUCCUCUCAACCAUCACACACCACGAUACUUCCUGGAUUGAACAAUAUUUUAUUCUUUACUUUAUCAGGUCAUUCAAUUACAACCAUAUCCUCGUGCUACAAAAUAUUUCAGAAAAUUUCGAAAUGAAAUUAUUUAAAAUUUAAAGAAAUUUUGACUGAACUGUAUAAAUUUCGACUAGCUUCAAAAAAAAAAAGAUCUAAAAGUUUUGGACGUGAUAGUUGCGUGUCAGGAAGUCUAAAAUUCCCAAAUUUUGGAAAUUUCGAGCCAAAAUUUUAAACCAUGAUUGUACGUGUGUGAACUAUGUAUAGCUACCGGCAUAUAUAUAAGAGUAAAUUACACUAGCGGUUCUUAAACUUGUAACGAAGUUUCACUUAGGUCCACGAACUUGCAGAGCGCGCAUCGAGAUCCUUAAAUUUAGUUUAAUGUAUCAUCCUGGUCCAAAGCCUGGUUUGACCUUGGUCUUACCUAUGUGUCAUGCCACGUGGACGAUGACAUGGCUAAUUUUUCUUUUUCCCUUUUUUUCUUCCCAUCUUUUCUCUCCUUCCUCACCUCGCGUGGAGAAAAAUGCGGCAGAAGAGAGAGGAAGGAGGCAAAGUGGAGAAAAAAAAGGCAUAAGAAGGGAGAAAUAAAAGAAGGAAGAAAGGAGAAAAAAAAUAAAAAUUCCAUGUCAUCGUCCAUGUAGGUAAGACCACGGUCACACGAGGCUUUGGACCCGAAUGAUACAUUAAACCAAGUUUAAGGAUCUCGAUACGUGUUUUGCAAGUUCAUGGACCUAAGUGAAACUUCGUUACAAGUUUAAGGACCCGCUAGUGUAAUUUACUCUAUAUAUAAUAACAGGUUUUAUUCUAUACCUUGAUGAUGUGUAUAUAAAACAAGACGAAAUAGCUGCUAUGCACUAGAACGCUAUAUAUAGAUCGACUUCCAUUGCAUUGCAUGUAAGAACUAAGAAACAUUGGGAAAAAAAACUGAAGAAGAAAGUUUUCUACUCCUAUGAUCCUAUCUACAUUAGAAAGAUUAAUGUUGUGAACGUCAUCAGCAUGAAGUUCGCAGAUUCAUCUUUCGCCGGCGUCGUCUGUCGAGAAGCUGCGCGCCGCCGAUGCUCCACUCCACGGUGAGCCCUCGCGGUAGCCGCCGCCGGGUGCUUCCUCGGCUUCGUGUCCGCGCGUACGGCGGCAGCACCCGCCGCCGGCCUGGACGACGUCGUCGGUUGCAGCUUUGGCCUCACAUCCGCCCUGGUCGUCGCGGCGGCGGGGGUGGUGGCUAGCCGCCGCUUCCCUCCUGUGGAGGUCGCCGGCGGCUGGUUGAUCUCCUUCUUGUUGGCCCCGACAUUCUUCUUUCUGUCGCCACCGCGCGAGGCGUCUGACUUGCCGGCGGCGAAGCAGAAGCAGUUGCGGACGUUGAACAAUCCUCCCAUGAUGGCUGCGUGAUUAAGGAGCAUGAACUGCUGGAUUUAUAAAUUAAGAGAUCAAUCGAAAGAGAAGACUUGAGAAAAUAAUCAGAGUCCUGUUGGCACUCGGGACGCGGUGCAUAUCGGUGGUUGGGGGCGGGGGAUUACCGAAAUCUCUUUUUUUUUCUCACGUUUAAAAAUAAAACACCUGUAAAUCUCGGUGACCCAAGAAUACAAGUGAGAAAGAAACCCUCUAACUAGGCUCCGCUUCAUAAUAUUAGCGUGUUACCGCGAAAUUUUUAAAAACUAGUUGCGGGCCCGAUAGCCAUCACAAAUCUUGAAAACAAUCCAACGGUGACAAAAUCCGGCUGACAAAGCAAAAUAAAACAGCAGGCAGAUGGUUAGCAAAUCCCGAAAAAAUAUUAUAGGCUUAUAUUUUAUCGCUUUUAAUUAGGUUCAAUACUGGCCUUCCAAAUAGGUCAUAAAUAAUCCCGGCAUUGUACGGGUCAGUGGCGAUUCUAGCAGGUAGGCUCCAUCAGGCUCUAGCCUACCCUCCAAUUUUUGCAAAAAAAAAAAUCAACUAGGUAUCCUCAAGCAUCAGCCGGCGUCCUGGAGUUCAUGGCGACAUGUGCUCGGCGCUGGGAAGAAGAUGAACAGGGCACAUGAGAGAGAAGAAGCGAAGCGGUAUGCAGAUAAACUAGGUUGGCCCAAUUCGAUAGUAAUGGCCCAGUCCAGUGGCCCACUUCCCACACUUACACACUCACACAGGUCAGGUGGGGACUUAGGGUUGGGGGCGUUUGGGGUGGGGGCUGGCGGCUGGGAACGGCUGACGCCGACGGCCGACGCGAGUCGCAAGAGCUCGAGGCCUCGAGCUGCAGGCUGCAGCGUCGUAGCUAGCUGUCCGGUGGUGAGUAAGAGCAAGCGUAGGCGGCCGCAGGCGCGAGCGGGGCGCGGAAGCCGGCAGGCUGCAGGCGGAGCGGCCGCGCAGAGAAGCGUCAGCAGGCGCCGACGCGCCGUGGCAGCGCGCGGAGCAGCACCACAGCAGCCGCUAGCACUAGCAGAGCAGCAGGCUCAGGAUCAGCGGGUCAGGCGGCGUCGCGGCGAGGAGCAGCCAACAGCAGCAGGAUAAACUAGCGUCCGGUGAGUCAUUGAAUAAAUGGAAUCAUGGUCUUGCUGGUUGCUGCGUAUUUGGCUGUAUUGGUUAUUUCUAUUAUUCUAUUCAAUUUCUGCAAACUAAUCUAUUGAUUGAGUGGAGCGCAUAUUUUCAAGCAUGAGCAUUUCAAGACAGAUUUGCACAAUAAGAUAUCGGAUGAGUGGCUUAUAGAUUUGAAUUUGAUGGUCUGCUAUACUGAGCGAGAAAUAUUCAAAAAAAAAUGAUGAUGAUGACGAUGAUGCAAUCAUCAUAAAUAUAUUCCAAGCAUUAGAAAUCCAUAGAAUAUCCUUGCCUCUUAAAUGAAUUACAUGUAUUUUUUGAUUAAUGGUAGGCCAAAUCUUUCAGUUAAUGUUAUUUUCCCUUUCAAUUUAUCACUGAUUUUGCUAUGUUUACUUUAUGUAUAGGUGUUUCUAUUCUCAUAUGACUGAUGUAAGCAAUUACUUCGCAUUGGCAAAGUAUUUUUCUUUAUUUCUUUCUUUUCUAUUCAAUCAUGUAUCAUGAAUGUGUUGAACAGCUACUGUAAGUACUGCAAUUUACUUUUUAUUAACUUAGUACUUGAAGGUCAAGCCUACCCUCUUUUUCUAUCCUGGAUUCGCCGCUGGUACGGGUUGACGGCUAAACGACUAGGCAUUGUCUGGUAGUAAUCGUUUAAGCAAAACAGGACAGCACCGGUAAAUUAGCAAGCUCACAUCUAUGUUGCAGGCAGGAUGGACGCAGCAGUAGAAAUUUUUUUACGAAGAAGAGAAUGAAAGGAAACAUAUAUUACUGCUUAUAUACUAGUCCCAAAAAUAUAAGGUAUUUUGUCCCUAUAUAACUACACAGGCAAAAUCUCUUAUGUUUUGGGGGCGUUUUACGGUACCUCCCACUGGUAGGUGUAGUAGUGUAGUAGGAUCGCAUCUAACCGUUGAUUUUUCGGAGCAUUUUAGUCCAUCUCUUAAUUAUAGUGGAAGGGUAUUUCGGUAAUUUCGCGUUCCAAUCAUUUUCCCUCCUGCAAUCCUCUCAUCCAGCAGCGGUCUUCACAUCGUCCUCCAUAUCUUCGCAUCGCCGCGACGCCCCAUCGUGCGACGCCGACCAGGUGCGCCGCCGCGACACCCCUCCACCUCGACCUGUCCGCGCCGGCAUUCCCGUUUGCGCGGCCACCUCGACAUCCCUCCACCUUCGCCUGGCCGCGCCACCCAUCCCCUGCCACCCGGUGCCGUCGGCACACCGCGCCGCCGCUUUUCAGCUGUUGCCGCCACCGUCGCUUCUCUCCCCUUGUUGCCCUCCGCCGGCCCUCGUCGCCACCGCCCCCCUCCUCCCCUCCUAGCGGCCGCCAGCUGCCAUCCCCCAGUCACAUCGCUGCCAUCCUCGCCGCGUCUCUCUGCCUUCCCCUGGCCGGCUAUCCUCCCUCCCCUCCAGCCGGCUCUCUGAUCUGCUUCCCACCAGCCACUUGCCUGCAUUGAUUCUGUAUUUGGAGUAGUUGACGCCUACUCAUUUGAUUCAGGUAACGAAGCAUUUUCCAACAUUUUCUCUGAAUCUGUUCAUUUAGGUGUUCAAGUUUUAUGCUUAUGACAGAUUGGUGGUUAAUUUAGGACUGUGGCUGAUAGAUGUUUCAGGUAGAAUAGAUAGGCCAUUCCUUUAUCUCAAACAAAUACUCUAGCAUUCUGAUUUAAGUUGCUGCUUUACUGAGGCACUUAAUUUAUUUUAGGUGUGUACAGAGGCAAAUAAGCUGAAAUGAUUUAGAACUAUAAAACAAUUCUUUGUCAGAGUUAGGGCAGUGCAAUACUAAUUACUGUAAAAGACUGGAGUAACAAUUACUGUAUGAUAGAAUAAUGCCAAUUUCUUGUAUGAUCCUUCCUUCAUUCUUACUCAAAUACCUCUAUUUUUUUACUUUCUGAAAGAAUUCAUCUGAGUGAAAUCAAAGGAACUAUUUUAGAAUCAAUCAGCAGUUCACUGCCGUUGUGAUACUGCCAACUGUUACGAAUGAUGUUUUGGACUUUUCAAAGCUUGAGAAUGCGAGUCUUGAGCCUUGAUCUGCUUGUGUUAAAACCAUCUGCUAUCUCAGUCUCCAAUUCUUCAGAGACAUUACAUAAUUGAGCUUGAUUUAAUCCAUUUUCAGAAAAUUACAGAAUUGAGCUGCCUCCUGUGUCCUAACUUGACUGGUUGUCGCUUGGUUUCUGAAAUUAUGUCCUGGAUGCUGAUCAUGGAGCUGUGGUUUACCCUGUCAGGAGGUCAGUAGCUCCUCCUGCAGUUCAGCAUUUGGGCGACGUCCUUGGGCAGUGUAACUGCGGCGCACCUGGUUGCCCUGAGAUGAUUCCGGCGCAAGCACAGUUCUGUUGUUUGCGUUGCAAGGCUGCAGUUCAUUGCUGUUUAUUUAUUAUUAUAAAGGAGUGUAAUGAACAAAAAAAAUUUAGUUGCCUUUUUAAAUAUUAGGAUUAAAUGAGCUGCAACUGGAUUGGUGACUUCAUUUUGUGAUGCUUGUGUGAUGCUUUAAUGGUGUUGUUUGCUAGAAUGAUGCUGUUGUUGAUGCUGGAAUGAUACUGCAACGGCUGGAAAUUGUGCUGCUGCUGGAACUGCACUGUUGUUGCUGGAAUGAAACUGAACUGCUGUUGCUGCAAUGAAACUGAACUGCUGAAAUGAAACUGAACUGCUGCUGCUGCUGAAACUGUACUUAUGAAAUUGCUGCAGCUGCUGCUUAAAUAGAUGUUGUUGCUGUGCUGCUCAUUCUGCUCAAAGUGCUGAUUGCAUCGCUAACGAACUCCCCGCAAGCAGCCCGUGGCAGGUGAGCGCCGCAAGCCGCUGGUGCUAGGGGACGGCCGCCGCAUCCGCUCCUAUUUGCUGAGAUCCACGCUCCUAUUCACCGAGAUCCGUGGGAGAUACGAGACCUCUGCCGCCUCCACCCCUAUCUGCCACAAACCUAGAUGCUACGCGACCGCCGCCGCAUCCGCUCCUAUCAGCCGCGUAUUGACUAGGAGCGAUGCAUUUUUCUCUUUUUUAUUUGGGGUUAAUUGGAUACAUGCCAUUAAAAAUUUUCUAGUUUUGAAAUAUGCCACUAGUAUUCAUGUAUUUGGAAAUAUGCCAUUAUAAUUUCAAGCAAAUUCAAAAGAUACCACUAAUUAUCCCUUGGAACAUAUCCAGAUAAAAUUGGACCAAACCAUCCCUUUUCCCCUCUUCUUCCUUCUUCCCCUUUGUCCUUCCUCCUCUCUUCCUUCGCAGGGGCGUCGCGGCGCGGCUCGGCGGCGGCAGCGGCAGCGGCGCGGCGGCGGAGCAAGAUGCAUCACACGGCGGUGGGAUGGCCGUGGAGUGAGCGGCGCAGUCAGAAGAGAGAGGGGGUAGAAGAUGGGGACGAGAGAGAGGUAGAGGAUGAGGGCAUUUUUGUCCAAUAAAUGCAAAAUACGUAUCUCAGUGGCACCACUUAGAUUAGAAACAAGAAGAAAUUUCAUCGUUACAAAUACGCAAAUAGUAAUGGUAUAUUUCAAAACCGGCAAAAUUUUAAUGGCAUGGAUCUAAUUAACCCUUUUAUUUAUGUUAAUUUCAUUAAAAAAUCUGUAUAUGGAAUCAUUCGGUGGUAGGGACAACUAACAAGAUUGUGAUGUUAUGCGUAUUUAUAAUAGGUAAUAACCAUCAAAAGAUUGAAUUGGACGCCGCGUAUAUAGAAUAUAGCGAAAGGGGUUUUUUUUACAAAUAAAAAAAUAAGUCCGUGACCGUUCAAACUGGGUCGAUUUUUCAAAAUCAUGGUUUUCCGGUCGAACGCUUCUAGAAUAUAGCGGAACGGUUUAUUUUGGUAGAAAAGAAUAAGUUUGGGUCAGUCCGGAUCGGGACGAAUAUUAAAAAUCGUGGAUUUUCGGUCGAUUUGUAACGCCCCGCUUUUCGUGAGACGUUAAAAACUAAUUUACGAAAAUCCUAAUUGCGAAAAAUUUCGUUCUUUGAGUGCCAAGUCUAAGUUGUGCCAUAGAUCACAAUUAAAAUCCCUCCUUUGUCUCAAUACCCUGAUGUUAAAUCGUCUGCCCAAAAUCCCUGCCCAAAAAUAGUCUCAUCCUUGUAUUCAAAGCCUCCUUCUGAACCUCUACCGAGAAAUUUCCCCUUCAAAUAUUCCAUUUAUGUUGUUCUCCAAAGAUUUGAGUCCACGCUCAAAUCAUCUUUGGUUACCCCUUGAGAAGGUUCCGUGAUUGCAAACCUCAAGUUCGGCAAACUCGAAUCCCUGUUUUCGUUUCGGAAAUAGUUUUGAAGUUGGAACCCUUACAUUCGGAUUCCGCUUCUAGAACCCUAACCACAGAUCUCGUUGAAUUCCUGAAUCCAAACUAGUCUGAGCAUCCACCUUGUAAAUCCUAACCUCACCCCUUGAAUCCACCUCCGAGACCUAGACUCUCCUCUUGUUUCCUAGAAACCAAUUAUCGAUUUCAAACUCAACCUCUCAAGUUUCUCUCUCUCUCUGUCCCUCUACCUUCCUUUGACUCCCUUCCAAAUAAUUGAAUCCAACUCUCAGAAAAUGAAUUCAAUUUUAACUCGAUCCUUGAGACCACUCUUCCAAGAUUUAUUUCCUUUCUCGAAUCUAUCCCAAAAAUAUUAAGAUUUCGAUUCAAUGCGCUCUCCUUGAGCCUUGUAAUGUUUUAGGUUCAAAUGUUGAUUUUGAAUCCCGAUUCCCCUUUCCUUUGAAUUCCUCUCAAACAAUCCUUCGAGUCUCCAAAUACAAAACCAAUUAGAAAAUAUUGAAUUUACACCUUGAUCUCCCCUCCUUGGCUUCCCCAUAUUUUCCUGAGUUCAAAUAUACAAUUUGAAUUCAAAUCCAAACUCAAUUGCUCCUCAAAAUCCUUAAGGAAAUUUCAUGGAAAAGUCUACUUCACGUCCCCUUGCUCUUUUAGGCCAUUUCCCCUCUCCUGGCCCAGCUCCCUCCCGGGGGCAUCCUUCUUCCUCACGUGCGAUGCACGUGUGCGCCGAGAGAGUGAUCCUUUCCGAAAUCGCUAAUAGGCGAUCAAUCGCAUGCGCCCUCCCCAUGCGACUAGACACGCGUCGUGCGCUGAGGGGGCGGGGCGCGGGUGGCGUGCGUUUUUUUUUGUUUUUUUCGCACGGUUUCUGGGCGGCAUGCGUUUUUUUUUCUUUUUAUACGCACAGUUUUUUUUUCUUUUCUUCUUUUAGUAUCGAUACUUUUUUUUGGCGCACGGUUUUUUUUUCUGUUUUUUCUUUCCGUAUUUUUUUUCUGGUUUUUCGGUUUUUUAAUACAAACAUAUACAAAGUUGUAUACAUGUAUACAAACUUUGUAUAUGUGUACCUUUUUAUAUAUAGAGUGCAAACUUUGUAUAUAUACGUAUAUAAAGUUGGUAUAUUUUGUAUAAAUACAUAUAUAAACUUUGUAUACGCCGUACACAAACUUUAUAUACACUAUACACAAACUUUGUAUACGACAUAUACAUACAUUAUGUAUGUGUAUAUACAUAUUAGAAUAUAUAUAUGUAUAUACACAAACUUUGUAUACGACAUAUACAUACAUUUAAUGUAUGUGUAUAUACAUAUUAGAAUAUAUAUAUAUAUAUGUAUAUACUUUAUAUACAUUGGUAUAUAAAGUAUACACAUACGUAUAUAGAUGUAGUAGAUGAAAGAGACUAUAGAGUCAGAAACUGACCACGCGGCUCGUGGGGAGCGCGACUGAUCGCCCAUUAUGGGAGCCCGAUCCUGUCACGCUCAGAAAUUCCCGAAUAGAAUUCCAAGCAGAAUGUGCAUUAAAAUCCCGGUCCAGGACCGGCCGGGGUACACAAACGACAAAGUUGACAUACAGAUCCACGUCUUACAAACAUUAUAAAAGUCUUUCAUAAAUGCAGCGAAAAAACAAAAGAUAACUGGAGCUAAGCCUUGACUUGAACUGCAGCGGGAACACCACUCCACAGGCAUCCUCGACGACACGGACGAAGCCUACUCCUCGGAAAAGCCACCAUCUGACGCAUACUCAAACUCUGGGGUUUUGGGGAACAUAAAGCAAGACUGAGUACUACCCACUGUACUUAGCAAGUCAUACCGGAACAGGGGGUAUGAUGCAGGAUAUUACCAAAGGAUAGCUAGAGAGGUUCUUUUGCAUAAAGCGAGCAUUCAUAAGCUGUAGUUGAAAACAGUAAAACAGUUGUAAUAAUUAAUCAAUAUUAACCAUCCACUGUUCAACGCUACACCAUGUUGCAAUAGGCCCAACCAACCACCUGAACUAAUCAGUUCCAUCAGACUAAACUAGGGUGAGACUAAUCACGGUGAAUCUGGUUGACCGCCCAUAACCGCGGACACGGCUAUUCGAAUAGUUUUACUCUAAUCAGAGGUGUACAACUGUACCCACAAGACACAGCCCCACGACACGUUUCCGUGCGGCGACAUGCCACCACGACAUACCGGAAAGAGGCCGUGACAGGACCCUUCACAUAACCCCCUCUAGCCAAGCACACCACACCUCAGGUUUCACCCCCGUCCCCAGCAGGCAACGGGCAGUCCCCUCUCGUGCCUAGGUGAAUCCGGAAGCGACAGAGGCCGUCUCAGGGCCCGCCCCGCUCCAUCACGCCCACCCUUGCCUGGAUGCGUCAACUAGAGGAAAGCUACACUACAAGCCCAGCCGUUGCCCACGCUGGCUUGUGGUAAGUACGAUAAGUUCUUCCAGGGCAUCCCACGAACCGGUCCUUAAAUGCCAUGGGCGAGACCAACAAUGGGGGAAAUCACCUUAAUACUUAGAUAUCAGAUUCUAGUAGGACGUUGGUUAAUGCCACCGCUCCGGUAUUGGUUAAUUAAAAUAUGUUAACGGGUGGGCUGUGGGUGCAUGGUUUUGUUGGUAGCCAUGCCGGACCGACGGCCCCGAUGUACCCAAGGGUAGAUCGAACGGCGGCAGGGAGCUCACGGCGCGGUGCGGCGGUGGCCCUAGCGGCGGCUAGAGGUGGCCGGAGUAGUGGAAGAGGCGGCGGCGGGUGGGUGCACGGUUCGGGAGCGAUGGAGAGCUCGGGAGAGGCCGGCGGAAAAAGGAAAAAUGAGGAGGAGGAUGCGGGGAUGGAUUAUAUAGGGGCGGAGAGGUCGGGAACGGCCGGGAGUGGCCCGAUUUUGCCGGCCGACGUGGGGAGGUGGAGGUGGAGAGAGAGGCGCGAUUCGAAAUUCGAAUCCCGGCCGUCUCAGGGGCGCGCGAGAGCGGGAGAGGGGGUUGAGGGGUGUGGGAGGGGCGGACGCACGCACGGGCGUGGCCGACGUGGCGCGGUGAAGGCGGGCGCGGGCGGUUGCGAGGCGGCAGCUGCAGAUGGCGGGCGGCCGGAGGUUAGGGAUGGGCCUGACAGGUGGGCCCCACCUAUUAGCGUCCGAGGGGGGAGAGGGGGGGCUCAGGCAAGCGGCUGGGCCGUGGCCUUAGGCCAGCCCAGCAAAGGCGCGGGAAGGGGAGGAAAUGGGCCGGCGGCCCAUUUGGGGAAAAGGAGGGGAAAAAGGAAAAAAGAAAACGGAAAAGAAUUUCCAGGGAUUAAAUAAUGCUUGUGCUCAAUUUUAAUUGGUUAAAAUUAUUUCUAGAGCUCUGAAAAUUCCACUAAAAAUCUUGUUAUCAUAUUUCGUCAUGUAGAACUCAAGAAAAAUCCCACAUGCCAAUUCCGAUUAUUAUUUGCAUUAAUUUAUUAGGGUUUCUCUUGCUUUGACACCGGUAUUUUCUCUAGGUGAUUUAUAAAUUCAAUUUAGGCUUGGGAGAAGAACUUUAGGUGAUUUAUAAAUUCAAUUUAGGCUUGGGAGAAGAACUUCAGGGUGUGACAGAUCCUCUCUCUUCUUCCCCUCUCUCUCUCGAUUUUGCUCUCCCACGUCAACUCUCACCGCCGCCAUUUGAUUUUGGCCAGCCGCCCGCCGAUUCCCGUGCGCUCUCGCGCGUGGCCGACCGCCUGGGCCCCGCCGUCGUCACCCUCGGUCGCUGCCUGCCGCGUCGACCGCCCUGCCCUCGCGCACCACCAAACCGACCUCUUCCACCUUUGCAGUCACCGUCGUCGUCACGGUGGCCCCGCCGCUACCUUCCAAGGCCAGGAGCCAGCGCCUCGCUCCCUUCCCGCCUCCUUUUCCCUCAAAACGGCAAGGGACACGCUCCCUUUUUCCUCCCCUUCUUUCUCUUUUUCCUCUAACAACGGCGCCCUGCCUCCACUCCUUGGUCGCUUGCGCUCGAAGGCAGAGACGCGGACGCCAGCCACCAGCUCGCCGCCCCCACCUUGACCGCACCACGCUACCCCUCCUGCGCUCUCGGUUUGAUUUCCGCCGUUCGAUCCACCGACCUCGCCGCCCUUGUUAUCCUCGCCAUCGCUCGUUUUGGGGUCGCCCACUGUUAGCUGUAUAUUUGUAUUUCAUGUUUGUCUCUAAGCCAUCCACCCGAUAUCUAUCCCGAUUUUGUUUCUAUAAGUCGGUUGAGGAGAGAAGGGAAGGGUGCGCUUAUAUCUGUACUCCGCAUAGUAAGAUCAAUCUAUAGCGUUGAGUCUAUUCCGCUCUCAUGGUAUCAGAUUCCUACGAUUCUCGCUUCCGCUCCAAACCCUAACAUUGCACGUCUCGCUCGCUGCUGUCAUGUCGUCGUCAUCAUCUUCAGCUCCAAGCGACACCCUCAUCGACGACGUCAUCGCAGCGAUCGUUGACACUGUGCGCGCCUCCUACGCGCCCCAACUAGCGUGGAGAUGGAUGCCACUGCCCAGGCCUUCUUCGACCACGCCGUCACCAGGGCCUCCACUGCCGCUCGCGACGCCCUCUCUCGGCUGCUUCCCAUGACGGUCCUCCCAGCCGACUCCACCGCUUCCGGAACGGAGCAGCCGCCCUUGACGGAACAACCGCCCACGACGGUGUAGCCACUUCCGAAGGAACAGCCGCCAUCGACGGGCCAGCCACUUGCAACGGCGCCUCCGACCGUCGCCGCUCUUCUUCCCGAGCUCGCGGCGCCCAGCUCGCCGUCCGCCGGACGUCUCCACCGGCACCGCCACCGCCGCCGACACUCGGUGACAAAACGGUUUUGGCCCUCCAUACACAGGCAGUCUCCGUUCUCAACGUCAAGGCGUUGGUUCCCGUCACCCUCGACCUCACUGCCGGCAACUACACCCGCUGGCGCGGCCUCUUCUUCGUCACCCUCGGCAAGUACGCGCUCACCGAUUAUGUCGUCCUCGACACCCCGCCGACCAAUCAACCAGAUUGGAUGCAGAUGGAUUGCGUCGUCCUCGGCUGGCUCUACGGCACGAUCUCCGCCGACCUCCUGUAGGAAGUGAUGUCUGCCACAGCCACCGCUUGCUCGGUCUGGCGUGAUCUUGCGCAUCAAUUCCUCGGCAAUCAAGAACGACGCGCCAUCAAUCUCACCGCCGAGUUACGCAACUUCACUCAAGGUGAUCUCAACAUCACCGACUACUGCCGCCGCCUCAAAGCGAUGGCAGACAUGCUCGGUGACCUCGGUGAACCUGUCAACGACGGCAGCCUCGUCCUCCAGCUUCUCACCGGGUUAAACCCUAGGUUUGGUCAUAUGCAGUCUCUCAUAACCAUGCAAAAGCCGUUUCCUUCGUUUUUGGACGCUCGUUCAUAGCUUUUGCUCAAGGAAAUAACCAAGGGCAGCAAACCGGCAGAGCAAGCUACCGCUUUUCUCGCCACCGGUGGCUCUGGUGGCGCCUAGGCUACCGGCAGCAAUGGCGGCUCCGGCAGCAGCUCCGGUAGCGGCUCCGGCGGCGGCAACUCCGGCAACUCGUGCAACCGCCGUCGUGGUCGUGGCAACAACAGCGGCAACACUGGCAACGUCGGCGGCGUAGGCGGCGCCAAUUCCGGUGGUUAGACCGGCUCACGCCCGGCUGCUUCCCCCACCCAGGCCACGGCCCAGCGACCGACCCAGUGGCCAUCUCCGUACAAUCUCUGGGUCGACACCAUUCAGAUGUGGCCUGGGCAGGUGGGAGCAUCGGACGGCCUGCUGGGCUCGCGGCCCAUCUUCGCUGGCACGGCGCUCAGGCCGGUUGGCUACCAGCCAGCCUUCCUUGCUGCUGGGCCGGCCUCCUCCUACGGAUCCAUGGCAUCAAGUCAAGCCUACAACACACCCCCGGUUUCAGCCUAUGCUACUCCGCCAUCUGUUGUUCCUCCUUCGCCGCACAUGGUACCGUAGCCAAAGAAGUGGGCCGGCCCCUCACAAUGGGACCCGCAAGUGCUCGCCACCAACUACAACACCGCCACACUGACGACGCUAGCCUCCAACGAGUAGCACAUGGAUUCAGGUGCAUCUUCUCACAUGACCUCUAACACCGCUACUCUCACCCUAGCUCCUACCUUGUCACGCCCAGAAAUUCACGAACCAGAAUUUCUAAGCUGAAUGUGCAUUAAACCCCUGUCCAGGACCAGCCAGGGUACACAAACGACAAUUGUUGACAUACGUCUUACAAAAAUAUAAAAGAUUACAAACGCAGCAGAAAAAGAUAAAAGCGUGCUAAGCCUGGAGACUUGACUCCUACAGCGGGGUGAUUCCAUUCCACAGGCAUCCUUGACGGCAGCGACGAAACCAACUUCUUCGAAACAUCUCCAACUGAGAAGAACUUCAACUCUGGUGUGGGGGAAAAGAGAGCAAGACUGAGUACUACCCACUGUACUCAGCAAGUCAUACCAGAAGGGAAGGUAUGAUGCAGGAUAUUUCCAAGGAAGGCUAAAGGUUCAUUUGCACAAAGCAGGCAUUUAAAAGCAGUAGUUGAAAGCAGUAAAAUAGUUGUAGUAAUUAAUCCAUAUUAACCAAUCACUGCUCAACGCUACACCACGUUGAGACAGGCCCAAACCACCACCUGAACUAACCAGUUCAUUAGCUAACUAGGGGUGAGACUAAUCACGGUGAAUCUGGUUGAUCGCCCAUAACCGCGGGCACGGCUAUUCGAAUAGUUUUACUCUGAUCAGAGGUGUACAACUGUACCCACAAGACACAGCCCCACGACAAGUUUCCGUGCGCCGACAUGCCACCACGACAUACCGGAAAGAGGCCGUGACAGGACCCUUCGCAUAACUCCCUCUAAUCGAUCGCACCACACCUCAGGGUUCGCCCCCGUCCCCAGUAGGCAAUGGGCAGCCCCCCUCUCGUGCCGCGGUGAAUCCGGAAGCCGAUCAAUCGGACACCCCGGCCGACCCAACUCCAUCACGCCCACCCUUACGUAGGUACGUCGGCUAGAAGAAAGCUACACUACAAGCCCAGCCGUUGCCCACGCUGGCUUGUGGUAAGCACGAUAAAUUCUUCCAGGGUUUCCCGCGAACCAGUCCUUAAUCGCCAUGGGCACGACUAGCAAAACCAUGCACCCACAGCCCACCACGCAGUGCAUUUUAAUUAACUAACACUAUUGCGGUGGCACUAAUCCAAAGCUAUGCCAAUAAUCAAAGUCUAUCCUUUAAUGUGAUCCCCCUUUGUGUACUAGUUGAACUAAGCAUGGCUAAGCAAUCCCUAAUCCAACAUCUAAUCAUUUUGAUACCCAAGUUAUCAAUGGCAUAAGGUAAACAAUAUAUGGCUGAGUAGUAGGACCCAUCCCACAUGAUAUUGUAAAACAAUGCAACAUUUAAUAGAAAUGCGGGACAUUUGUAAAUUGGAUACAAUAUAAUCAAUUGUAAUGCAUGAAUUGCCUUGCUCUCGCACUGAUGAGACCACAGCAACGUCUUCGAGAAACCGCGGAUCGAUGAAACAACCGAAAUCUACGCGACAAACAAAGCACACAAGCAAAACAGGCUAUAAGACUACUGAAACAGAGAACAAAACCAUUUUUAAUGGAUUCUAUGCAUUUUUAUGAAUUUACUGAGACUUGAAUGGACUUAAUCGGAGCUCGGAUGAAUUAGUUAUGAUUUUUAGAAGAUUCUCUGUGUUUAUUACUAUAAAAGAAAAGCCUUAAUUAGUUUUAUUGCGCAAUAUGUUCCAGGGCUGACGUCACCCAAGGGGGGUGGCGCCGACAUGCGGGCCCCAUGGGUCAGCGGCUCGAGAGAGAGGGUGGGGGCGCCAGCACACGGGCCCCACUAGCAGAGGCACAAGGCGAGAGGGGGUGCGGCUGGUGGCUCGGCUCGGCUUCAAAACCGGCCGGCCAAGCAUGGCGAGCGGCGGCGGCACGCGCGGACGCCGGCAAUGGCAACCGGCGGCGACCGACGGCAAGCAGCGGCGCGUGAUGGCACCGCAGCUAGCGGCGGCACCGCAGCGACACGGCACCGCAGCGACACGACACCGCGACGGCCAAGCAUGGCAAGCGGCGGAGAGAGAUGAGAGGAAGGGGAGGGCCUCACCGACGAUGAACGAGUGCGGUGAGCGACGGAAGAAGGUCGGCGAACAUCGGACGGCGUCGGGAGAGACCUAGGGAACACGAUGAGAGAGGUUAGAGGGAGAGAGGCAAUCCAUGGCGCACGGCAUAGCUGGCCGGAGGCGAUGGUAAUGGAGAUGCUCACCGGCGCUUGGCGAGAAGCGGGCUCCGGCGGCGGACUUCGACGGAGGAGGGGUGGACGAGGUAGCCCUUUACCUCGCGAGGCCAACGGCGGCAAUGGAGUGGCGCGGCGAUAGCACUAGCGACAGCCAGCGGCGGUUGGAGACGGCGGUAGGCGGCGGCGCGUGGGAGCGGCAGUACGGCGUCAACGCGUGGCAAGCGUGCGGUGGCCGAGAUAGCCCCCGCGGCGGCGAAGCUAGCAGCGGCGAGCGCACGGCGUGGCGACGGCCUUAGCAGCGGCGGCAUGCGACCGGAGCUCAGCGGCGAGCGGCGGCACUAGCAGCGAACGGCGCGGCGGCGUUAGAGAGCAUGAGAGAGCGCGGCGAAAAGGGGAAAUGGGAGAGGAGGACGCAGGGUUGCUUUUUAUAUGCACGGGGAGGGUGGACACGGCCGAGAGGUGGCCAGAUUUCUCGCCGACGUGGGGGAUGGAGAGAGAGAGUGGGGGCGGGAGGAGCGGGGGAAGCGGCGGCGUGGGGAGGUGGGGGCGUCGGCGGUUGGAGCUCGGCUCCAAUCGGCUGGAGGUAGGGGAAGGGCUGGCAGGCGGGCCCCACCUGUCAGCGCCCGAGAGGGAGAGGGAGGCCGGGUGAACUUCGGGAGAGGGAGGGAGGAGCGGGCCGGCGCGGGAAGAAAUGGGCCGGCGGCCCAAGAAGGAAAAAGGAGGGAAAAAGAAAGGAGAAAAGGGAAAAAGGAUUUUCCCCGGGAUUAAAUAUUGCACUUUGCUUAUUUUAAUUGGUUAAAAUUAUUUCCAAGGCUCUGAAAUUCCACUAAAAAUCCUGUUAGCAUAUUUUGACAUGUAGAAUCCAAGAAAAAUUCCACAUGCCGAUUCCGAUUAUUAUUUGCAUUUAUUAAUUUGAGGAAUUAGCUCUAAGUUAAUUUGAACCAAUUUUUCGGACGAUUUAUUUUAUGAAUUUAACGCAGGGAGGGGAACUUCAGGGCGUGACAAGUUGGUAUCAGAGCCGACCUUGACCGUAGGACAAGCCAACUGGAAAACCUAAGAGCCCUCUGAAACCUUUUCAUCUGCAUAUGCUCUUUGCACUUGCAUUUGUUUUGGGAAAAUUUUGGGGUGUGUUCUUUUGUUUUAUAGGGAAAAUCUUGGUCGCUUAUUAAAUUGGAUUUCUCGACUAGGGACAGUCUAGGGUUUUAGUAAAAGUUUAUUCAGAAUUUAAACGACAGUCGGUCGGGAAUUUGCUGGGUGAUAUGCAUUAAGUUGUGUCUAGGUUCGAUGGGGUGCAAUCUUUAUGCGCAUCAUUCUUAUCAUGCAUCUAUUUCAUGCAUUAAGUUAUUGCUUAGUCAGUGUCAUUAGUAUCUUUUGUUUGGAUUCAUGAAAAAUGUUCCAUGCAUAAAAAUCAUCAUGCUUGGCUAGUUACUUGAGUCAUUUGUUGCUUUGUUUAAUUUGGAUUUGAGCAUGUAUUGGUUCCUAUCCCUUGUCUACUUUAGAUGUCAGACCUGUUCCUCGUUCGCAAGUGUCGCUCCAAGCUUCAGAGUCGCCGCCCUUAGCUUUAUCGUUUUCUUAGUUUCGUUUGCUUGCUUGUUUCUGUGUUUAGGUUUGUUGCUUGUGGGUCAGUCGGCGGUCGAUAUCAUGUGUUAGUGGUAUGGCUGCCUUAAUUAGGAGUUGUUUGCUUCCUUUUAAGUGUUUUAAUCAAGAUUAAGAUAAUUGCACAUAAAUUUACAAGAAAGAUUAGUUUCCGAGCAAUCUGUUUUCUUCCUUUCUCUUAUUUCUACCUAUCCCCCUCUAGAUGGUGAAGACAAAGAAUGAUCCCCGUGACUCCAACGACGCCAGUGGCAGCGAAGAGCAGACCGAUGGAGCUCAUAUCAGUGGUGUGUCUAGCAGCAUUCCAUCUCCACCGCCCGAGAACCCAACGGUCACUCAUAUGAUGACAAUGAUGAUGCAACAGAUGCAACAACAUUACCAUCAGAUGUUGCAGCAGGCACAGCAGAACCAGCAGUUUGGUCCUCCACCUUCACACCUGUCCAAACUGUUAGACUUUCUUCGUAUCUAGCCACCCACUUUCUCAAGCACCACCAACCCAAUGAAGGCCAACGACUGGAUACAUGCUAUUGAGAAGAAGCCGAACCUUCUACAAUGCAACGACCAAGAGAAGGUUGCUUUUGCUACACACCAACUGCAUGGUCCCGCUUCUGCCUAGUGGGAUAACUACGUGGUAACCCGUCCAGAUGCAGUGGAGGUUACUUGGGCAGAGUUUUGUCAAAGCUUCUGGAAGGCAUAGAUUCCUAAAGGGAUUAUGGCACAAUAGAAGAGAGAGUUGCGUGCACUACUACAAGGAACCAGAACAGUUACAGAAUACCUGCAUGAGUUCAACCGCCUUGCGCGCUACGCUCCUGAGGACGUGCGCACCGAUGCUGAGAAUCAAGAGAAGUUUUUGUUUGGUCUUGAUGACGAAUUGACGAACCAGCUGAUCUCUGAAGUCUAUGAGGACUUUGAGAAGCUUAUGGACAAGGCUAUCCGUCAGGAAGAGCAACGCAACAAAAUGGACCGUAAAAGAAAGGCAGCUCAGAUCAGGACUCCUUAGGGGAACAAUCAGAAGCCUCGCUUCAUGACGGGACAGUAGGGUGGGCCUUCCACCAUGAUCGUCCUUCAGCACCGUCCCUAUAAUCCGGGCAACUUCAACAACGACUACAACAGUGGCAGUCACAACAGCAGUGAGGAGCACCAUCACAACUCAACUCCACCCCCACUAAUGGCACCAGCUCAGUCAGAUCUACCAGCUGUGUCAACUCAGUCAGAACAGCCCCAGGGGUCUGCAGGAAAGCCAGGGCCAUGCUUCAACUGUGGCAAGCACGGCCACUUUGCUGGCAAGUGUCCGAAGCUGAAGCGCGCUGGACCUAGGUUCGUCUAGGCCCGCGUCAAUCAUGCGUCUGUAGAGGAGGCACAGGCAGCACCAGAGGUCGUGCUGGGCACGUUUCCAGUCAACUCACACUCGGCAACAGUACUUUUUGAUUCGGGUGCCUGGCAUUCUUUCAUUUCCAAGAGAUUUGCUGGGACACACGGAUUAACGGUAGUGGAACUUAAAAUACCGAUGCAGGUUCAUACCCCUAGAAGUGACAUGAAGAUAGCACACUACUGCCCCUCAGUGACUAUAGAGAUCAAAAGGUCACCAUUUCUAUCCAACCUCAUCCUUCUCGAAUCCAAAGACCUAGAUGUCAUUCUCGGAAUGGAUUGGUUGACCAGACACAAGGGAGUGAUCGACUGCGCAAGUCGUACCAUCACCCUAACCAACAACAAAGGAGAGAAGAUCACCUUCCGGUCUCCAAUGCCGCAUAAGUCCGUAGCGACUCUGAAUCAGGCUGCUAUUGAGGAACAGACAGAAAUAGCAAAGAAAAGUCCCAAGAAGUUGGAGGAUAUUCCUAUAGUACAAGAGUAUCCUGAGGUGUUCCCAGAAGACCUCACUACAAUGCCACCGAAGAGAGAGAUCGAGUUCCGGAUUGAUUUGGCACCGAGAACUGCACCGAUCUACAAGAGGCCCUAUAGGAUGGCAGCUAAUGAGCUAGCAGAGGUCAAGAUAGACCUGUGAUCAGGCUAUCACCAGUUGAGAAUUCGGGAAGAGGAUAUUCCCAAGACAGCCUUCACCACUCGGUAUGGGUUGUUUGAGUGCACGGUUAUAUCAUUUGGACUCACCAAUGCAUCGGCUUUCUUCAUGAACUUGAUGACCAAAGUGUUUAUGGAGUUUCUUGACAAGUUUGUCGUGGUAUUCAUUGACGACAUACUUAUCUAUUCAAAGUCUGAAGAAGAACAUGAGCAACAUCUCCGUCUGGUACUCGAGAAGUUGAAGGAGCACCAGUUAUAUGCCAAGUUUAGUAAGUGUGACUUCUAGUUGUCGGAAGUCAAAUUUCUGGGUCACGUCAUUACUGCUCAAAGUGUGGCAGUGGAUCCAUCAAAUGUGGAGUCAGUUACAAAGUGGACCCCACCUAAGACAGUUUCUCACAUCCGGAGUUUUCUUAGACUUGCGGGUUAUUAUCGUCGGUUCAUUGAAAAUUUCUCCAAGAUUGUGAGGCCCAUGACACAGUUGCUUAAGAAAGAUGAAAAAUUCAAGUGGUCAACUGAGUGCAACCAAAGUUUUGAAGAACUCAAGAAAAGGUUAGUAUCUGCACCAGUUCUGAUUCUGCCAGAUCAGACAAAAGACUUCUAGGUCUACUGUGAUGCAUCUCGCCAAGGGCUAGGAUGUGUUUUGAUGCAGGAAGGCAGAGUGGUCGCAUAUGCUUCGCAACAGUUGCGUCCACAUGAGAGCAAUUAUCCAACUCAUGAUCUUGAGUUGGCAGCAGUGGUUCACGCUCUGAAAAUCUGGCGGCACUAUCUUAUUGGCAACCGUUGUGAAGUCUACACUGAUCACAAGAGUCUGAAGUAUGUCUUCACCCAGCCCGACUUGAAUCCCCGACAGCGAAGAUGGUUGGAGUUAAUUAAAGAUUAUGACAUGGGAAUACACUAUCAUCCAGGCAAAGCAAAUGUGGUAGCAGAUGCUUUGAGUAGAAAAAGCUAUUGCAAUGCCUUAUGCACCGAAGGCAUGUGUGACAAAUUGUGACAAGAGCUUGAGCAUCUAAACAUGGGUAUUGUGGAACACGGGUAUGUAGCUGCCCUAGAGGCAUGACCUACGCUCGUGGAUCAAGUCCAAGCAGCUCAGGUAACUGAUCCUGAGAUAGUUGAGCUGAAUAAGAAUAUGCGGGUCGGAAAAGCCCGAGAUAUCCAUGAGGAUGAGCAUGGCACAAUCUGGUUGGGAGAGAUUGUGCGUACCUAACGACAAAGAGCUAAAAGAUCUGAUACUCACCGAAGCUCAUCAAACUCAGUAUUCAAUUCAUCCCGGCAGUACUAAAAUGUACCAGGACCUCAAAGAGAAAUUCUGGUGGGCCAGCAUGAGAAGAGAGAUAGCCGAAUUCGUCGCACUCUACGAUGUUUGUCAGCGAGUCAAAGCAGAACACUAGAGGCCCGCAGGAUUGCUUCAACCUCUUCAAAUCCCGGAAUGGAAAUAGGAAGAGAUUGGAAUGAAUUUCAUAACAGGUUUGCCCAGGACAUCAUCGGGGCACGAUUCAAUCUGGGUAGUUGUGGAUCGACUAACCAAAGUUGCUCAUUUCAUUCCAGUGCACACUACCUAUACGGGGAAAAGGUUGGCAGAGCUCUACCUUUCAAGAAUCAUGUGUUUGCAUGGGGUGCCUAAGAAGAUAGUAUCUGAUCGAGGAAGUCAAUUCACUUCAAAGUUCUGGCAGAAACUGCAAGAAGAAUUGGGAACUCGUUUGAAUUUCAUCAUAGCCUACCAUCCACAAACUGAUGGCCAGACUGAGCGAGUGAAUCAAAUAUUGGAAGAUAUGUUGCGAGCUUGUGCGCUUGACUUUGGCGGAGCUUGGGAUAAAAGUCUACCGUAUGCUAAAUUCUCUUACAACAACAAUUACCAGGACAGUUUGCAAAUGGCACCGUUUGAAACAUUGUAUGGCCGGAAGUGCCGUACACCGCUCUUCUGGGAUCAAACUGGAGAACGCCAACUGUUCGGGACAGAAGUGCUAACCGAGGCAGAGGAAAAAGUCAGAACUGUCAGGGAAAGAUUGAGAAUCGCCCGCUGCAGAAGUCAAGUCUUCAGGCUUAGCUCGCUUUUAUCUUUUCCGCUGCAUUUGUAAUCUUUUAUAUUUUUGUAAGACGUGGAUCUGUAUGACAACAAUUGUCAUUUGUGUACCCAGGCUGGUCCUGGACAGGGGUUUAAUGCACAUUCAGCUUAGAAAUUCUAGUUUGUGAAUUUCUGGGCGUGACAUACCUCCCCCACUUCAUCUUGCAUAGUUGUCGGUAAUGAUUCCCUCCUUCCUAUCACUGCAACUGGUAGCACUCGAAUCAAUUACCCACACAAUUCCUUUCUUCUUAAUAAUGUCCUUGUUUCUCCUGCCAUUAUUAAAAGCCUUAUAUCUGCUCGCCGUUUUACUCGUGGUAACUGGUGUUCUGUUGAACUUGACCCUUUUGGUCUCUCUGUGAAGGAUUACCCAACCAAGACCGAGAUCGUCAGGUGUAAUAGCUCUGGAGACCUCUACCCCUUCCCGGCGGACGAUUUUUCCUCGGCAGCCUCCGCUCGUGCUUUCAUUGCUACGGAGUCCACCACGGACCUUUGGCAUCACCGUCUAGGGCACAUUGGUCACGAAGCUCUCACCCGCUUGUCACAGGCUUCUGUCAUACCACCACCCAGGGGUGCUGCCCCUGUUGUCAUGCUUGCCAACUUGGUCGGCAUGUGCGUCUUCCUUUUACUAGCUCCUUUACUAGAGCUUCGGCAAAGUUUGAGUUCCUGUUCCUAGUGUUUCUGGUUUUAAGUACUCUUGUCAUACUCGAUGAUUUUUCUCGUUAUGCAUGGACCUUUCCUUUACGCCAUAAAUCAGAAACCUUUGAUACGUCCUCUCAUUUUUUUGCCUUUGUGAAGACCCAGUUCUCCACCACCAUUCGCAACAUACAAUGUGACAAUGGCCGCGAGUUUGAUAACCUCACCGCCCGCACCUUUUUCCUCACUAACGGUGUUCACAUGCGAAUGUCGUGCCCCCACACCUACCCCAGAACGGUAAGGCUGAACGCAUGCUUCGUUCCAUCAACAACAUAGUGUGCUCUUUGCUUUUUCAAGGCAGCCUUCCCGCUCCCUAUUGGGUUGAGGCCCUCCAUACCGCCACUCACCUCAUAAAUCACCAUCCCACCAAGACCCUUCAACACCACACCCCCUUUUUCGCCCCUUUUGGAGCCCAUCCAAGCUACACCCACCUUCGAGUCUUCAGCUGCAAGUGCUAUCCUAACCUCUCCGCCACCUCCCCGCACAAGCUAGCCCCCCGCUCCACUCUUUGCGUGUUCCUAGGCUAUCCACUCCACCAUAAAGGGUAUCGGUGUCUUGAUCUUGCCACUAACAAGGUCAUUAUUUCACGUCAUGUGGUGUUUGAUGAGCGCUCGUUUCCUUUUGCUGAACUAACAAAUAAUUCAGUUGAUGGCUCUUUGGAUUUUCUUGAGGAUUUUACAGCACCUUCGCUGACUCCGAUCAGUCGUCCCCACUCCGGCCGCUCUGGCCCAGCGGCGCGCGUGGCUCCUGCCGGCCCUACUGCUGAGGUGGCUCGCUCCACUGAGCCGCCCACGCCUCCUGUUGGCUCGGCUCCUGUCAGCUCGGCCCCUGCUGGCCCGGCCUCGACGGCUCCCUCUGCUGAGCUGCCUGCCCACGAGUCGGCUUCCCCUGGGCCGCCAUCUACCGGGUCGGCUGCCCGGCGCCCUCCUGCGUCGCCAUCCUCCACCAGCAGCAUGCUCUGGCGACCGCCGGGACCACCUCCCGGCUUUCCUGCGCUGCCAUCUAGGCCGCCACCACUGCUGGCGCCUCCUAGCGGUGCCCCGACACGUGCGCGCAGUUCACGCGUUCCCGAUGCUGUUAUACCAAACCAACUCGGUGUUUCGCCCGGUGUCAACACACAUGGCAUGACGACUCGCGGCAAGGACGACAUCCACCUCCCUGUUACACGCUACAACCUCAACGCAACUACCCUCUCUCCAGUGCCUCGCACUUAUCGUGCCGCCUUGGAAGAGGAGUUUGCUGCAUUGUAGGCAAAUCAUACAUGGGACUUGGUGCCACGUCCCACUAGUUGCAACGUUGUUACCGGCAAGUGGAUUUUUCAUCACAAGUUCCAGUCUGACGGUAGCUUGGACAGGUACAAGGCGCGUUGGGUACUUCGUGGCUUCACUCAAUGGCCCGGGAUCGACUUCGACGAAACCUUUAGCCCGGUUGUUAAGCUGGCCACUGUUCGGACAGUCCUCAGUCUCGCAGUUUCUCGAAAUUGGCUUGUUCAUAAGCUUGAUGUGUAGAAUGCCUUCCUGCAUGGUACUUUACAAGAGACCGUCUACUGCACUCAGCCAUCUAGAUUUGAAGACCACACCAGGCCUCAUAUGGUGUGUCGCCUCAACAAGUCGCUGGUACAGUCGGUUUGCUAGCUACUUACUUACCCUGGGUUUCAUUGAGGCUAAGUUUGAUACUUCUUUGUUUAUCUAUCAUCAUGGCUCUCACUUGGUCUACUUGCUUCUAUAUGUGGAUGACAUUGUUUUGACUGCAUCCUCAGCUGGUCUUCUCCGUUGGGCUAUUCAGGCUCUCCAGUCUGAGUUUUCUAUGAAGGACCUUGGUUCUCUACACCAUUUUUUGGGUAUCACAGUCACCGGUGACAGCUCCGGUCUUCUCCUGAGUCAGCACCAGUAUAGCAUUGAGGUUCUCGAGCGUGCUGGCAUGUCAGAUUGCAAGCCGUGCUCUACACCAGUUGACACCAAUGCAAAGUUGUCCUCCUCUGAUGGCUCACCUGUUGUAGAUCCCACUGACUGUCACAGUUUAGCUGGUGCUCUACAUUAUUUGACCUUCACUCGGCCUGAUAUUUCCUAUGCUGUUCAGCAGGUUUGUCUCCACAUGCAUGACCCAGGGAUUCCCAUCGUGCCGCUCUCAAGCGGAUACUCCGGUAUGUCCGUGGGACGCUUGACUAUAGGCUUCAUAUUCGGCGCUCUGCUACGACCGAUCUUAUGGCUUACUCUGAUGCAGAUUGGGCGGGUUGUCCUGACACUCGCAAGUCCACCUGGUCAUUCAAGCGGCAGAACACGGUGUCUCGAUCCAGCGACGAAGCAGAGUACAGGGUUGUGGCCAAUACAGUUGCUGAAACUUGUUGGCUAUGCCAAUUAUUACAUGAGCUUACACCGCCCUCCCGGGCUACCUUGGUUUAUUGCGACAAUGUCAGCGCCAUCUAUCUCUCUACUAAUCCUGUUCAGCAUCAACGGACCAAACAUGUGGAGAUUGAUUUACAUUUUGUUCAUGAUCGCGUUGCUGCUGGUUCUGUUCGAGUGCUUCAUGUUCCAACGACAUCACAGUACGCGGACAUCUUCACCAAGGGUUUGCCUACAUCCAUUUUUGUGGAGUUUCGUUCCAGUCUCAACGUUCGUUGCACCAACGUUGCGACUGCGGGAGGUGUUAGUUGUAUAUAUGUAUUUCAUGUUUAUCUCUAAGCCAUCCACCCAAUAUCUAUCCCGAUUUUGUUUCUAUAAGUCGGCUGAGGAGAUAAGGGAAGGGUGAGCUUAUAUAUGUACUCCGCAUACUGAGAUCAAUCUAUUGCGUUGAGUCUAUUCCGCUCUCACCCACGAACUGCCAUUGCCGCUCGCUAGCCGAGCGCCAGUCAAGCGCCCCCUCACCCAUAAAAUCCCAUCCCGAGCCCCGCCAUUGCCGCUCGCUAGCCGAGCGCCAGUCAAGCGCCCCCUCACCCAUAAAAUCCCAUCCCGAGCCCCAAAUCCUCCCCCUUCCUCCUCGUUGUUGCGCCGUGUCCGUGGCCGUGUGCACCUCGGUGCCGGCCUCGUCAACCUCGGCGCCGCAGCCAUCUCAUCGCCGUGUGUCUCUAUCUCCUUCCCUUGCGUGUCUGCCUCGGCACCAUGCCGCCUCGGCAUCUUGUUCGCCACCGUGCGCCACCCCUCGGCCAUGCGCCGCUGUCGGCCUUCCUCCCGUUCCCAUUACCGAAUUCCGCCAACGCCGUUCCUUUUCCGCGUCAUGUCGCUCUCGCCACUGCCGCUUGGCGCCGCUGUGCGAGCAGCCGCGGUGAUCUUCACCGAUGCCGCACCCGGCUGUGCGCCGCCAUUGGUCUCCCUCUCGGCAAUUCCUCUUGCCACCGCCUCCUUUGAUACCUCUCUCUCCCCAAGACGGCGCCAAGAAUGACGUUCGUCGCUGGUUCGAUCCCGCGCCGAUUCCCCUCGCUGCAACCACCCAGGGGUCCCUCUCUACCUCCACGAGCCGUUGUUUCGGUCGCCGACCUCCCCUCUCGCUACCGCGCCAUGCCGCCCCUUCCGCCGCCGCAUAACACCGCCGCGUGUGCGUUGCCGGUGACCAUCGGGUCCCGCGUCACCGCAUGCGCGCCGCAACCGCAUACCGCGUCCGCUAAGCCCGAGCGCGCGAGCCGCAUCCCUUCCCAUCGCGCAUCCACGUCGGCAUCCCGGCGAGCCACCGUCGCGUCUCCUCCCUCCGAUCCGAGCCGUGGAAUGGCUUCCCCUUGACCUCCGCUAGCCGCCGGUGUCCGUAAAUCACUCCGAUUCGCCGCCGUUCGCCGGCGCCCCUCGGCCACCGUGAGUCGUCCGAUCCGGGCACCUCGUCCUCCCCUCUCGCCUUGCCACCAUGGCUGCCCACAUGGCGAUUGACCGGGUCCACCCCUGCCCAGUCAGCAGCUGAGCCACCUCGCCCUCCACGCGUGCGCUCGUCGUGGCCGCCCAACCCGAGCCGGCCCAUCUACUCUCUCACUCUGUCACGCCAGCCGCUAGACCUCACCUCUCUCCCUCGGUCCUUGUAACAAAGUCUAUAUUUCUUCCCUCUACCAAAUCAGCUCCCUUACACAAAAGUCCAUCUAUCCCCCUUUGGUGGCCCCUAAGAAUUCCACAAAUUAUUUAUUAUAUUCCAUGAAUUCAAUAAAUCAUUUCCUAUAUUCUAAAUUCCAUCAAUCCUUCAUCCUCUUCCGGGAUUUCAAUAAUUCAUUCCCUUGUCCCGCAUGUCAGUGACUGUCAAUAAAUCAUUUCUAUAAAUUUAAUAAAUCAUUUCUCGUAUUCCAGAAGAUCCGAUAAAUCAUUUCCUUGUCAAGAAAAUCCAAUUAAUCUUCCAAAAUUCAUAUCUCCCGAUUCGUAACUCCGAUUGACCCCGUUCCACUUCUAGUAUUUCCGUAAAAUUGUGGUAUAUCUAGUGGCACUAUAAAUUAGCCUAAAUAGGAUAUUUUAUUUGGUCAUUGUUUAGGUUUUUGACUGUUUGCGCCUAGUUGUGGUUACCGGAUAUUUUUCGUGAAGCAGAUUUCUUGAAGAUUCGUGAAGAUCAAGACCCUGAGCAAGGCAAGCCACCUUUGAACAUCUUGAGCCUAUAGUUGAACUUAAUUAUAUUGCUUGCAGAAUAUUAUGCAUUGAUAGGGUUGCACUUAAUAUGUUUGCCCCGUCUGCGAGGCAGAUCGGUGGGCCUACCUAAUUUUGUUGCAUUUGAUCCUUCUUUGUUAAUUGCUACUACCUCUGUUUCAGGUUAUAAGACAUUCUAGCAUUGCCCACAAUCAUAUAAAUGUUAAUGAAUCUAGGCACACAUAUAUUUCGAGAUUCAUUAAUAUAUAUGAAUAUGGGCAAUGCUAGAAAGUCUUAUAAUAUGAAACGGAGGAAGUAUAUCAUGUUUCCCUUGUAACCACCUGGUUGCGCCUCGGAAUUCAGACACACUGUGUGAGUAUCGACGGUUGCCUUCAAACUUAAAAUCUGAGAAACAUCUUGGGUAAAACUUGGUUUACAAAAGCUUUGGAAAACCCAACGCCUGGGUCGGUGCCUUGCGAAAGAAAAUGAGUUUUAAAAAUAAAACUCGCGACGCAAAGCCAUUCCCGGGGGAAUGCUUGUGCGGUCGCUUCUAAGGACCGAUUCCCUUGGACAUCCGAGCAUAUAACAAGUGCGACCACAUGGAUGGAAUGGGACACUCUUGGUUGAGUAACUAGCUAGGCCAGGGAAGCCUUGAUGCCAAGAGACAAGUGGAUUCACCGGGGUGGUGCCGGGGAGGACCCCUAGACUUCCUGGCACAGUAUUGUCUGGGACCUAACAUGUUGUUGGUCUGGGACCCCUCUCAUUGGCAUAUGGCAACCCUGUGUCGGCUUUGGAAAUGCCUUGUUGUGAAAGCCCCAAGUCACCAGACAUGUCUGAUCCGCAUGGGCUGGGUGACCAAGGCUAGUAACGUCGUGUGGGUAAAGUGUACCCCCUCUGCAGAGGUUAACAAACUGUUCGAACAGCCGUACCCAUGGUCAUGGGCGGAUGUGAGGUGAUUCCUUAGCGUAGUUUUCGUUUUACCCUGCUUUGUGAAAAGAUGCUAAGGUUUGGGAAACCUGAUGUUUGGAAAAGCAAGUGGCUGUCAGGGAGACAGCAGGACAGGGAGACCCUGGAAAUGACUGGUUGUUUGGUGACAACCAAGCUCUAAAAGAUUGGAAAAUUGAUUUGGUUUGGGAAACCAGCUUUGAGGCCAACUCUGGGAGUUGUGCAAUCUUACAAAUAAAUUGGUUUACUUCUCUCCCCGACCGAGCCGAGACUUGUCUCGCUCUGGUUGUGGAAAGCACACACUUAGAUUGUUGAAAACUUACAAACAAAGCCAAUUGCAAAAUAACAGCCUAUCCUUGAAGCUUGCAUUAAACACCUAAGUUCCCCUGGCUUGCUGAGUACGUAAGUACUCACCCUUGCUAUAUAUAUAUAUAUAUAUAUAUAUAUAUAUAUAUAUAUAUAUAUAUAUCUAGUUCGGCCAGCUCUGAAGGUGAAGUCGAAGCGAAGAUUACGGUUUCAUCCUAGUUCCCUGCUGUUGCCUGUGGCGUUAGGUGUUAGUUCGUUGGUUUCCACUGCCUCUGCUUCUGCCGUUGCUGCUUCUGCAUCGUCUGUUGCAUUCUCGAGUUCCUCCGAGGAUUGCAACCUAAGUUAAGGUAAAUAAGCCCUCUAUUUAAAUUAAGGAUUGCAAUGAUUCAUUAUUGUCACUGUGGGUACCAGCACUAUGUCAUGGGACUAGUAGCAAUAUCGCAGUCUCGUAGGAAGCGGUUCGCACCGUUUUUCCGACGACACGCUCAUGUCAGGUGCUGUUGUACGGCAGUGCCGGAUUUGGGGUGUGACGCGGUCGCUCAUAGAAUAUAGCGGAACGGUUUUUUUCUGGACAAAUAAAAAAAUAAGUCCUCGACCGUCUGGAUCAGGUCGAUUUUUCAAAACCAUGGUAAACGCUCAUAAAAUAUAGCGGAACGGUUUAUUUUGCUAGAAAAGAAUAAGUUUGGGUCAGUCUGGACCGGGACGAAUAUUAAAAAUCGUAGAUUUUCGGUCGAUGGCUUAUAGAAUAUAGCGGAACUGUUUUUUUUGGCAUAAAAGAAUAAGUCCGGGUUAGUCCGGACCGGGUCAAAUAUUAAAAAUUAUGGUUUUCCGGUCGAUCACUCGUAGAAUAUAGCGGAAUGAUUUGUUGUGGAAAAAUAAAAAUUAAGUCCGCAACAGUCCAGACCAGGUCGAGUUUUCAAAGCCAUGGUUUUCCGGUCGAAUGGUCUUAGAAUAUUGCAGAACAGUUUAUUUUGGCAGAAAAAAAUAAGUUCGGGUCAGACCAGACUGGGUCGAAUAUUAAAAAUCGUUGACUUUCGGCCGAGCGUGCAUAUAUUAUAGCCAAACCUUUUUUUUAGAGAAAAUAAUAAGUUCGGGUUAGUCUGGAUCGGGUCGAAUAUUAAAAAUUAUUGAUUUUCGGUCGAGCGCACAUAUAUUAUAAAUAUAUCCGAACGGUUUUUUCAACGGAAAAGAAUAAGUUCAGGGCAGUCUGGACCGGGUCGAAUAUUAAAAAUCGUUGAUUUUCGUUCGAGCAUGCAUAUAUUAUAACCGAACGGUUUGACAGAAAAGAAUAAAUUCGGGUCAGUCCGGACCGGGUCGAAUAUUAAAAAUCGAUUUUCGGUCGAGCGUGCAUAUAUUGUAGCCGAACGGAUUUUUUACAUAAAAGAAUAAGUUUGGGUCAGUCAGGAGUGGGUCGAAUAUUAAAAAUUGUUGAUUUUCGGUCGAGCACGUAUAUCCUAUAGCCGAACGGUUUCUUUUGACAGAAAAGAAUAAGUUCGGGUCCGUCCGGACCGGGUCGAAUAUUAAAAAUCGUUGAUUUUCAGUCGAGCGCACGGGUUGAAUAUUAAAAAUCGUUGAUUUUCGGUCGAGCGCACAUAUUAGCCGAAUGGUUUUUUUGGUUUUUUUGGACAUAUAUUAUUUUAGGACAUGAUUGGUGUCCGAACGUAAUUUCUUAGAAAGUCUGUAGUUGGACCCACUCCAGUUUUAUUUACACACAAUUUAUCCGUAUUACCUUAAAAAAAUCAGUAAAUCAACUGUGAAUAUAUGAAACGAUUGGGGCUGUAGUUCAGGUGGCUCAACACCUGACGCAUGCAAUACUUUACCCUAAUAAUUACGACGCGAGCGCCGCAGUCAUUAACCCUAAUAUUGGAUUUCUUCCAUAGGAUUUCAUACGGAAAACGGAUGAUUGAAAAACUAAAGGAAUUUGAUGAUAGAAAGCAUUCGGAAUACAGGAAUAUAUAUAUAUACACAACACAUGAAUUUUACGAUAAGAGUAAUAGAAUACUUUUUCUAUCUAGUCACUACUCUCGAGUACUCUCUAGACAGGAAAGCCUUAUCCUCUUCAUUCAUCAGUUCAUUCACCGCAUCAUCCUUUUCCCCAAUCUUCCAGAGGCAUGGGGAGCAGCAAACAAACAAAAUGACCAGGAUAGCGAGCUCGAUGGUUGGCGGAGCAAGCUUGCGCGCGCAGCCGAGCUGCGUACCGGGCGGAGCAAGCGAGGCAGCGGUUGGACAAUGAGCUCGCACGGCCGCACGAUAGGAGGGAGCUGCCGCCGUGGCCAUCACAGGCGGGGGCGAGCGGCGCGGGCGAGCGGCGACAAGAGCAAGAAGAAGGCGGAGGAGUGCGGCGCUGUUGGCGCUGAUGGGUCAACCCUAUCUAGAAUCCAUGCGCAAUUACAGAAUACAACCCCCUAAAAACUGAAUUUAUAAAAAUGACACAUGAUUUUUUUUCCACAAUUACCCUUCUACUAUACUACUACACCUUUAUAUUAGGUGUAGUAGACACCUUUAUAUUAGGUGUAGUAGUAACGAAUUUUCACCCUUAGAUCUUGUCUCCUCAACGGUCCAUAUUCAUUCAUAGGUACAUAAAAAAGCCACCGACACACAGAAGUUCAAAAUUAUGUAAAAGGUAAACACAAGACAACACUUAUAAAUGACAGCAUAUAUAUAUAAUUGCUAGGAGAAAUAGAUUAGUAACAGCAGUUGCUAUUACUUUAGGCCCCCUGACAGCCAUCAGGCAGACUCUCCAGGAUGCUGCAGAACACACUCAACCGUUGGCAUUGUGCUCUCUUCUAACGGCCAUUGGUGUCCAUCUUUGCAGAUGUGCAAGCCCUGAUUACUUCCCUCUGGGUUUCCUUCAUUGUUUAUAACACCAUUGCCAUCUAGUAAGAUUCUCGAAAUAUCAGCAAGGAGUGACGACAAAUCAUCAUUACAGCAUGUCUCAUCAUCAUCUCCCAUGGAAUGUCCAGCAGCAGGUUGAAUUCCCAUGGAUUGAGCAGAUGCAUCAUCAGAACCUGGCGUAGCCUGGAGUGCGUCAUGGAACUGGUAGCCCGUGCCAUACUCUAAUUCUCCAGUUAAUGCACCAAGAGUAGAUUGAUUGCCAAACUGAUCCUGAGUAUCAUCAUCCAAGUUGCCAUCUAGCAAGUUAUUUCCAGGAUAGAUACCAGCAUUAUCCCAUGCGAAAUUGGUGUCAUGGCAUUGGUCGAGAGCCUCGUCAAAUGCAUUAAUGCUACCAUGAUCAUGUGCCUGCUGUUGAUCAAAUUGAUUCUGAAUGUAAGAAAGAUCUCCAAUGUAGCCUUGUGUCAUCAUCGAUCGAUCAACUAACUGCGAUGGCUGUUGCUCCUGCUGAUUGUACCACACUGCAGGAUAUUCGAUUCGAUCAGGUUGCGCCAUGCAAUCGGCGCACCAUGGAACUGGCGCAACUUCUUCUUCUCCUCCUAACGCCAUUUGCGUGGAAUAAUAAGGGGCAUCUACAACGGAUUGAUCAUGAGGAUCUCCAGGUGGUGGUGUCUCCUGCUGCUGAUCUUCUUGCUCCUGGGAAGUAGUUUGAUCAAUGUCUCCUUUUCUCCUCUUCCUCGUUGCCGUUCUCUUGCGUUUGACGCCUCUCUCCUCCUCCUCCUGGGCCUUCUUUUCAGCCUCGUAUGUCUGCUUCAACUGUAUCGCACACAGAACAUAUUGAUCCAUCUGCAAACAUAUUAAUCGAUCAUGGCAUGCCAUUGAUGCAAUAAUUAAGAGCUAAUUACGUAGUAUAUAAAGCUACCAGCCUGGUGGUUUAUAUGGAUGUCAUGUUCCACGGUCGUAGCAAGGCAAUACAUUUACAUGUUUACUGGCAAUGGCAUUUGUGCAUAUAUGCUUUUUCUUUUUGAAAGAAGUCAAAGCCAUUGUAGUAACAAAUGGGGGAGAAAAAACGUUUUACGCUUACCGACAUUGUAUCCCUAGUUGUAUCCAGGAUCUUGUAGUAUGAAUGAAAGGGCCAACGUUAAUAAAAAAGUAUGGUAGGCCAAUGUUAAUUAUUUCUAAUUGAGCACUAUUAAUUACUUCCUCUGCUAAGUUUAAACCUGGUUUUUUUUAUUUUUUAGGACAGAGGGAAGACUCCGUAUCUGUCUCAAAAUAUAUAUAGCAAUUCUAGAUAAGUGCAAUUCCCUGUGCUAGAUAGUAAACUACUGCUUAGGAUAAUGUAAAGCUCAAAUAUUGUUGGAAGUGUUGAUUAAUAACACUUCCAUAUAUCAACUUACGGUAGUAUAUAUUUAUCACAAUCUCGGAACAUGUACAAAAACAAUAUUUGGGUGACUGAAACUUUGAAAAGGAAUUCAGAAAUCCUAUAAUUAGAAACUAUCAAAAGGAAUUCAUAAAUCUUAGAAUUAAAUAUAUUUUGAAUUUGAACAGCUUUUGCUAUAUUAUAUUUAAAUAAAUUCACGCAUCAUCCUAGCUACUAGGACCCGUCGAUCAGUAGAUCGACCUAAAUUUCAGAAACUUUGUAUUAAAUUGUGAAUACUUAUAUAGGUAUGUAGUUCUAUUUUUAAAAGUAAAACUUCUUAUUAUGCAUUGCAUAAAGGCAAAGCAUGCCAUACUUUAAAAUUCUAAGCUGUACCAGUACCAAUAUUGUGUUAAUUAAAGCUUGUACUUCCAUGCAGAAAUAAGAUGCCAAAUAAUAUUAUCACCUAUUUUCAUAUUUUCACAUAUACAGCAUGCAUGCAAUCAUCCUAGCUAGUACAUCUCCAUAAGGUUUGUGUGCAGGUACAGUCUUAUAUGCCAACGUGUUCUAGAAAAUGUUACAUAUACAAAUGUUGCAUUCAAAUUCUUGUGAUUGUCUCGGAUACUUAUUUAUCUAUGGAGUAAUACAUGUCAAUCUUCAUUUGAAUUGGACAAGCUCGUAGCAGGUUUCAUCCCAACCGCAUGAUUAUUAUUUCCUGAUCAAUAAAGGAAUAGAUAGUCAAGUAAUUUCUUUCCUUUGAUUAACAGUGUAGAUGACAUAGCUCAGGCACUGACGUGGUCGCUCAUCACGUUGGUGAUAAUUUUGUAUUUAGUCCCCUCACCCACAGUAUGCCCUAAAAUAAACUUUACCACCCCUCAAAUCGACUCCCAUCGCCCCCGUGGAAGAGGAAGGGAAACUAUGGUGGUGGAGAUAGUUGAUGAUUGUGGGAUCACCCUCUCGCUAUUGUGCCGUCUAUCUCAUCCCCGGGGAACUUCCAUCGCUAGCUAUCGUAGUCGCCCUAUUCAUCAUCUCUUUGCUUUCUCUCCCACAUAGCUGAUAGGCAGUGAUUUGAGAGUGGUGAGAGUCGAUUUUAGGGCAUACUAGCUGUAGUGGGGAAGGGAGGCUAAAUGCAAAAUUCUCACCACCAUGGACACAACCAUGUAAGCAACCCAGGACACGUCAUCUGCACUUUGCCCGAGCUCUAAACAAAUAUUAGGGAUCUAGGUGUGUAUUUUACAUGUUAACAGAUCUGAUUAAUGACACCUCAAUUCAAAUUUAUGCGCGGCCUGUAUAUUUUACUUACACUUCUCUAUAUUAAUAUGUGAAUUUUCUACGUAGAAAUUUCUAGCUCUCUUAUCCUAAAUUUAAGGGGUAAUUCAUACCAAUCAGUAUAAAACAACACAUAUAUAUCAAUAAAACUAUAUAUGGUAUAAAAUUUCAUACGUGCUAUUUAUAAAUAUAUAACGAAAGAAUAUAAAAUAUAUAACGAAAGCAUAUAUAAAGUACCUGGGAUUUAUCUAACAUGACAUACUCAUGCAUGCUCCACUUGUCCUCCUCAGCAGAGCGAGCUGAUUUGUAGGUGAGAACCCUCUUGGUGCCAAUGACAGUCUCGUGAUCCUUCCCACAGAUAUAUGCCACGCUCCCCGUCGCGCUCCAGCUUCCCUCCUCUACCCCAUCCACCACCACCUUCCUAUUUGGCUCGUCCUUUUUCUUCGUCUUCGAUGGUUUCCUCACUGUGAAGAAGUACCAUCUAUUCUCUCCGUAACCCUUGUAUUUCUCUACAAGCAAUUGCCCAUGCAUGUGCAGUGCAUGCACUCAUAUCACCACAGUUUGUUAUUUAAUUAUCAUAGAUGUGUAAAUAUAUGUAAAUUAUGGUUACAUGUGCAAUGGUUGAUCAAUUAUUUCAUAUUACAAAUAAAGUGAAAUAAAAAAGAUUGGUUACCGAUCAAUUUGACUGGAUCGAAGCUCAUAAUGUCAACCUCGUUGAUGAAGUCCAUGGGCGGCCUACGUUGCUCGAUCUUGCCGCGGAGGUAGAAGUCGACGAGCUCCUCAUCCGAGGGCACGAAGUGGUAGCCUGGAGGCAAUCGUAGCUUCGGCACCAGCUCGUGUCUCCGCCGGCCUCCAUUGCUCGCCGUCGUCGCCGCCGCCGAGCUGUUGCCGCCAUUGCUCUCCGCUGUCAUCUAACGACGACGUAGUAUUUUGUGUGGCACGCUGGAAAGAGAAAAAAAAAGAAAGAAAAUAGGGAAGUAGGUAUUGAUAGACUAUUUAUACAAGUAGUAGUAAUGAGUUUGUAGUUAGUGGCCAAUUAAAGUAAUUAAUAAGAGAGUUGUUUUACACUUGUACACUUUUCGGGAAAAAUACACGAGUACUAGUGUCGUACUAGUCGUGGCUGUACUUUUAUUUUUCGAAGUGUAGUAGUAUUUGGUUGUCUCUGCAAGCGAUAUUUGAAGUCGGAUGGGCCACGUUCAGCCUGGUUCGGCCUGAAUAAAGUCUAGUCUUCAACUCUUCUGGGCUAUGUUAAACGGCCCAGUAAAUUUUUUCCUCCCGGAGACAGGCCCAAGAAUUUGGGUUAUUCCUACUGAUCGAUGUCGUGUAGCAUCGUGUAGUAUAUGAGGAUUGAGCGGAAUUCAUUACCAUUUUGAGCUCAAUUUACACGCGUUCAGCGGUGUAAACUAUAUAUAUUUGUGAAUAAUAUUACUAUCAUUUUGUCAGAUGAAAAAAUAACAAAAAUAAAAGUUGUAUAUCUUUGAUGAGUUUUACAUCUUUUUUCAGCUGAAAUUAUUUACUUCUUCAAAAUAAUAUUUGAAGUUUUAAAAUUCAAAUUUUUAAUUGAUAAAACAAAGUCACAAGAAAAAAUGGUCAAAAUAAUAGCAGUAAGAACAAUAACAUGAUAGAGCAUGACCUUAAAAACAUUUAGGAAAAAAAAUCAUCCAAUUUGGAGUUUAUAUGAGUGAGAUAAACUGGUUUUAAAGUUUCAAAUUUUAUUUUCGCAUACGGCUCAUUAAGACGUCCGUAUGGAAAAAAUCGAUUACGGAUGUCUUAAGUUGCCGUAUGCGAAAAUACCACUCGAAUUUUCCAGACACGACAAGUUAUGGGCCGUUUGUAAAAAUUAUGGGGUCUCGUAAAAAAAAUUAUUUAUGUAGUAGUGCACCGUAGUGGCAAACCGCUGCAGCUGCCGUCGACGGCGCACCCCACCGACGAGGACAUCCCGCGGACGUCCUCCGCAUCACCAACGGUGACACCUCGUCCAUUCUCUCAGACAAGCUCAUCAGCCUGUGUUACGCGGGCGCCCAUGGUGGCCUCUCCCCUCCAAGUUAUAUCUAAACUAUGUGUAAUAAACUAUGUCUAUACUGAACUAUCUAAGUUACAUUUAAACUAUGUUCUGUGACUCUGAGUCUGUGGCUGCUAUGUUCUAUUAGAUAACAAUAAUGAAGUUAUAUUUCCUCGCUGAUUUGUAAUGCUUAGAUUGAGGAGUUUGUAUGUUCCGAUUAAUAUUCGUCACCGUAUUCGCUUCGUAUCUAUAUUCGAAAAUAUUCGAUUUUGUUUUCAUAUCGAGGCUUUCGAUUCGAUUUCGAUUUCGAAAAAAAAUAUGAAAACAAAUAUGAUAGAGCUAGUUUCCGACCGUAUUCGAUCCGUUUUGAUCCCUACCCUCGAGCAAACGAUCGGGUCUGAAAUCUUUUUUUUUUAGAACAGGUUGCUGAUUUUUUUAGAGAAGUGUACUUUUUUUUACCCAGUCUCAAUAUCCAACCGAAUAUAUGCAGCUACUAGGCUACAUGCCCUUCCACGUGGUGAUAUCAAAUCAUCCUGCAUAUCACGUGCACUUCGUUGGACCAGUAUACUCCGACAUUUUCAGCUAUUUGGCGUGUCAACCGCUAACAUCUAUUAUCUUGUAUCCGUAUGUUUUUAUGGUUCACGGAUAUAAAAGAAAAUGUUUUAUGCAAAAAUCGACCUCCAUUUUCGCAUGCGGCAUGCGAUAGUAUUUCACAGUUUUUUCCCUCCUCUCUCUUUCUCUCCUCACAAGUUCGAUUUUUUUUCAACUCCCCUCCUGAUAUUCCCCCCCCCCUCUCUCCUCUAUCUCUUUCUCUCCUCUCCUAUCCUCUCCUCCUUCGAGCGGUAGCCGCCGUCAAUAGGCGAUGGCUAGGCAGCUCGGCAGCCGGGAGCGAGUGGUGGUGGGCGAUGGAUGGGCGGCGCUGCCACAUGCGGAUCGGGCGCAUGCGACAACUGUGGCUGGGGGAUUCGUUAAUGGCGAUGACAGCGGGCAAUGUGGGCAGUGGAUGCGGCGCUGGCGACGAUGGCUGGCCAGCUCGGCGCCCGGGAGCAAGCGGCAGGCGACGGCCAGGCUGUUCAGCGGCCAGGAGCGAGCGGUGGUGGGCGACGGACGGGCAGCGCUGCCACGCGCAGAUCCGGCGCAGGCAACGACUGCGGGUGGUGGGGACGGCAGAUUCGUUGGCGAUGACUGUGGAUGGGGAUGUGGUGCUGGCGACGAAGGCAGGUAGGGGGGCAACGGAUCCAUUGCCGACGACGACUGUGGGUGGUGAGGGCGGUGGUUCUGGCGCGGGCGACGAUGGCGGAUAGUGGGGAUGGCCGAUCAGGCACUGACGAGGCGACAAUGACUACGGGAGGUAGGGGCGGCGGAUCCUGUGCCGCCGACGACGGUGGGCGGUGGAGGCGGAAGAUCCGUUGCUUCAACAGUAAACGGCGGGCUCUGGCGGCGUGGAUCCGACUGUCGACGGGAACAGGCUAGGGUUUGGGGUUUUUUAUUUUUAUUUUUUUCAUCGAAUUUAUUUUUGCAUGCGGCAUGUGAAUGCGAUCGGGCUGGGUGCAUGAAAAAUCCCUUUUAGCCCUAUGUAAAAACAAUUUAUGUAGUAGUGUAAACUUAUAUUAUAUUUAUGUUUUACAAAUAACAUAGGGAUCUUAAAGAAUAAAAUAAAGUACUAUAACAUUGAGAACAAACGUAUCAGUUCUAAUGAGCUAAUAAGUAUAUACUACUUUGUUAGAAAUAAUUUCUACGCAGGGAGAGAAGUCAUGCAUAAUUAAAAAUAACAAGGCCCACCAAGCACGCAGAGACUUAAGGAUCCAGCAGUGACGGCCGCCAUCACGUCGUUGUUCGUCCGUCGGCUGGCUCUGGCUGACAUCCCGCAGGUGGAUGCUGCCGCCGGCGGCUGCUGCCCUGCGGUGGUGGUCGUCGCCUUGGCUUCCGCAUUGCUGUUGCCCUUUUGGUUCUUAGCUUUCUUGGACUUGGAGCUGCAUCCGCCCAUGUCGUCGACGGUGGCGGUGGCUAGAUGCGCAAUCGAUCGAUCAGAUUAAUUUCGAUCACCUCCGAUGCGUCACUUCACCGGCCGGGUUCUGUACUACUCUUUUGUUAACGAUGUCUGUAUUCUGGGAUCUAUUAGUACAUAGGGACAGAUAACUGGGUUUAUACAGGCAGAUCGAGGAGGUGUGUACCCGAGAUCAACACGUAGGCGAACCGGACUCGCUGGGACCCAGCUGUUCAAAUCCAACCCGGUUUCCGACUUAUGCUGAAUUCUUUAGUUAGUUUUAAUUUGCUGAAAAAAUUUCCCGCUUUAGAAAUUAGUAAAUGAUAGCCAUUCAGAAAAAACAAUUAUAUAAAAACUUCUUUAAAAAUUAAAGAAAUCUAUUUUUCAUUCGAUUGAUAAUUUGAAAAUCGCUUGUGCCAUUUGACAUACCACUUAGUAAACUCUAAGGCAAACUGCCAGUUCGGACAGUAAGCGUACUUAGUUUAUUUUGAGCAAAACCUUAACUAGUUAAGGCUAUUUUAAUUUGAAGCUCUACUAAAGUUUUGGUCAUGUCAACUCUUAAGUAAGUUUUGGCACUGUAAAUUGCACGAUAUGACAAUUAGUUAAAAAGAACUUCGAAUGUGAAUAAAUUACUGUUACAUGGAGCACGGGCAUGCACUACCAAUCACAACUAGAAAAAAUAUUUUUCAGUGGCCGGCGGCCAUAACCUCCACAUGCACCCAAAGGCAUGCGAAAAUCAAUAAUUUUUACAGGCAGAUCCCUUGUCUGCCUAUGAAAAUCAUUUUUUAAGACAACCUCUCCAUCUUCGUAGGCGCUAAAUCCACACGCCUGCGGAAAUAUUUUCAGCGUAAAAAAAAUUGUCGUGCCCGGGCCUACCCACCGCUGCCGCCCUAGGGUUAGUAUUUUGGGACGGAGAAGGAGGGAGGGGAGGGGAGCUGUGCCGCUGUCACCGGAUCUGGGAUGUGAGAGCGCUGCCGCCACCGACUUCCUGCCUCAGCGCCGCCUCUGCCGCUGCCGGUCGCUGCCGCCGCCCUCCACAUGGCAUAGCUGGAUCCGGGAGAGGAGGGAAGGGUCACCAUCGGCUAGAUCUGGGAGGUGGGUGCGCCGUCGCCUACGACCACCCGCCUCCAAGCUGCCUCAACCGUUGCAUGCGGCCGCGGGAAGUGGGAGCGCUAUCGCCGACGACCACCUGCCUCCAAGCUGCCUCAGUCGUUGCAUGCGGCCGCCGCCCUCCCCACGACGAAGCUGGAUCUGGGAGGGAAGGGGAGCACCACCGCUGACCUCUCGCCUCCGCCGCUUCAUGCAGCCGCCGUCGCUGCCCUCCUCAUGAUGCAACCGGAUCUGGGAGUAGAGGGGAGGGAAGGGCAACCGUUGGCCGGAUCUGGAAGAUGGGAGUGCCGUCGCCGACCUCCCACCUCCGCCGCUGCAUGUGGCCGCCGCUGCCGCACGGCUGCGCCCCGCUGCCAUCUGCCCCACGCCAUGUCUAAGGAGAGAAAGGGAGAGGAGCGCCGCCGGCCACCGCCCUCUCCCCUCCCCUCUCCAGCCAGAUAUGGGUGAGAGGGAGGGGAGGGAGCCACCGGCGAGAGUAGAUGCCACCACCGCUUGGAGCCGCCACCGGCACCGCCUGGUAGCCGCCUCCGCCGGACCUACGCCAGGGAGAGGAAGGGGAGAGGUAAGGGAAAGGUGGGAGGGGGAAGAUGUAGAGGGACAUAGAAAAUUUUGGUUGCGUGAUGGUUUUAAGAUGCUUUAACUUUUUUGCAGGUAGAUCUCUUAAUAGGUCCGCCUGCAAAAAAUUAUUUUCGCAGGCGGACAACUAUCUUAUCUCACGGUUAUCAUUUUCGUAGGCGGCUAUUUAGCUUCGAGAGACCUAUCUGCCUGGAAAAAAAUGCCCACGUCUAGAAAAAUGUUUUUUCUAGCAGUGAAUCAAACUUGUGGUAGAAUUAUCAUAUUUACUGCUAUAAAAAACCAUUUUCACCAACACUCCCACAUUUGUAACGGGUUUGUACAUACGGACAAUAAUCAAUGUGCUAAGCCUUCGACUCCGCAUGAUUUGUAAUUUCAGUCCUCACCCACAUCUACUCCUAUCCUUCCUCCUCUACUCGCCUGGGGACUACCCGCUGCUUGUUGAUGAGUGGGGGCGAAACUUGAGGUGGGUAUGUUCGGUUAGGGAGGGUUAUAUGAAGGGUUUUAUCAUGAUUUUCCCCCUUUGCAGUAUCAUGGUGGUACUUCAGGUCAUGGUAAUAUGUGUAGAAUCAUGUCUUGUGGGUAAAGUUGUACGUCUCUGAUCAGAGUUAAAAACUAUUCGAAUAGCUGUGCCCGCGGUUAUUGGACAGUCAACCAGCUCACGGUGAUUAGUUUCAUACUUAAUAAUAUGACAUAAUGAACUGGUGUAGUUCAGGUGGUUUGGUUGGACCUGUUGCAACGUGGUUUAGCGUUUGGUAGUGAUAUUUUAAUAUUGCUUAAUUAUAUCUACUGUUUCACUGUAUUCGAAUUAUGAUUUAUAAAUGCUGCUUUUAUGCAAAUAUCCUAUAGCCUAUCCUUUGUGAAUAUCUUGCAUCAUACCUUCUUGUCGGUAUGACUUGUUGAGUACAGUGGUUGGUACUCAGUUUUGCCUUUUUUUUUCCACCUCAGAGGCAGAGAAUUGUUCAGACGGUGAGUUCUAUGAGGAUUGAGCUUGUUCCGAAUGUUGAGGAUGACUAUGGUUUAUGGAGGAUGCUAUGUUUUUUGUCGUGAAGAUUAAGUUUAGAUUAUUUGUUUAUUUCCACUGCGUUUGUAAGAAUUAUUUAUUAUUUUUGUAAGACGUGGAUAUGUUUAUCAAUUUGUUGUUUGUGUACUCUGGCUGGUCCUGGACAGAGAUUUUAAGACAUAUUCUGCUUGAAAUUCGGGUAACGAAUUUCUGGGCGUGACAGUCGUGAUCUCCAUCGCCACCGUCCGUCAUCGUCGUCUUUCCGUAGCCACACGCCUAUCGUCUUUAUCACCGCACCUCUUUGAAACUGAAGAGGUAACUAUACCCAAAUACAUAUAACCAAGCAAACAAAAUCUCUUUCAAACUGUAUCUCAUGCAAGCAAUGAAGCACAAUUCUAAACCAAUACAACCAACCAAACAACUGCAUUUAUCUCUCCUCAUCCAUGCUAAACUAUGCCAGGUUACAAGGAUACAAGCAACCAAACACACUCAAAUUCCCUAAUUAAACUAUAGCUUUUUACGAUUUAAUAAUUCCUAAAUUUGGGAUUUAAUAAUUCCCAAAUUUGGCAUUAAAAAUAGAGUCGUCGGUGUAUUUUUCAUCAUUAAACAAUUCUUGAAUUUGAAAUUAAUAUGUACUCAAAUAAGGGUGUUAUCGAUCGGUUACCCUAAUAAACCAAAACUAAAGCCAAAAUUUAAAUAUUCAAACUGAAUUUUGAAGUUGAUGUUAAAAGUAUUCUCAAUGUUAUUUUUUACAUUAAUUUUUAGGUCGCUAAGGAAACAUCUAUAAAAGUUUUAUCCUAUAAAUUAAUAUUUAUUUCAUAAUAAUUUGUUUUGGUUUAUCAGAGAAGAUGGGCAACCGAUGAGGCAAAUACUUUCGCGACUCCCAUUAAAGUUUUUCAUGAUUUAAUAAUAUUUUUUAAAGAUGUAAUUUUGGUUCAAUUGACAACAUAUAUCCUGCUAUUUAGCAGGGCUCAAAAUGUUGUAAUGUUGGAAAUCUUGGGUCUAACUGCCCCCCAAUAAUAAAUUACUUCACCAGAAAAAAAAGGAAUAUUUCUAAAAAAUUUUAAAUUUAGCAAAAAGAAAAAUUCAAACUUAACUUACAUAUUUUUUUUGUCUUAGAUUAGUGUAAAGUUUUUUCCGUUACGAAAAACGUACACUCAAUUAGUUACUAACAUAGUUUUAUCAUACCAUUAUUGGUCCCCAAGCUUGCCAUUUCCAAGCAUCUGCUGCACCCAAAACAAAAGCUUGAAAUAAAUUAUUCCCCGUUGUUCAACUGCUGGCUUAAUUAGAAGCCUUAUUAUUCCGACACUAAACACUUAGAACGUAGUUACAAACACCAACACAAACAUAUUUGCACCAGGUCUCCAGUUACAUGGCAACUAUCAAGUUACUGCAGUUUGUUCAUUGAUCAGAAGAAAACCAGCAUUAUAUUGCAGUUACUGUUACCACCAGUGGAAAUUAUAUUCUCCACUGUCCAUUCUAUGAUCAGCUUCCUUCCAUCUUGCUUCUAUUCACUCGGUGAUGACACCAUUGGCGACGGCGGCGAUGGCGAAAGCAGGGUGGAAGAAGUGGACAUUGGCUCAUGGAGUACACUGUUGGUCGAAACCGAUAUUGGAUUGCCAUCUAGCUGCAGCAUCACUGCCCCAAGGAUCUCAGUGAGCAAUUUCUUGAACUCCGUUUCAUCCACCGCCUUCCCGUCCUCGGCUUUCGCCAUCUUGAACGCCUCAUCGACCACAGCAUCUACCUGCAGUUACCAACUUACCAUAAGCCUUAGAUCUGAACAUACAAUGUGUUUUGGCUGGUUUUCCUGAAAAUUACUGAUGAAAUGAUUGGUAGCAAAUGAAAUUCUACCUGUUCAACAGCUCCAUAUGGUGGUAGAUUUAUGGAGUCAGCCAUCCUAUCGAACGCAACCCGAAUGUACUGCUUCGCUGUUCUAUCUUUUUCUUUCGGUACGCCUCUCCAAACACAAUCCAACAGCUUGAUCACAAAAGAUAGUAUAAGUAGAUCGGUAUGAAGUAACACUAAUAUAUAGGAGUAUAUUUUUAUGGGAAGAUGAUGACAUCGAGGAUAGAAACAAUACCGUACCUUAUCUAAUUCGAGCUUGUUUGACAGCAGCUUCUUGAUACCAUUCCCAUCAAAGGUGUUCUCGGUAUGUGCUACAAUCACAGGGUGCCCUUGGAGUCGCUGCGUGAGGAUUGCCAAGAACUUUCUGAAUUCCUGGAAGAAGACCUCUUGAGUGACAGGUUGCUCCAGGUUAUCACCAUGGAGUUCUUGCAAUGCAGGUUCUAUGAUAUUCUCCAUAACCUGUAAAAAACAGCCAACCUUACUAAUUUCUCUCUUAACCUCAUCUCCACUCUGUUUUGUCAGUCUCGGUAACAGAAUAACUGUUACUCUGUUAUAUUUGUUACCCUGUAUGAAAUGAUUUCGUUUUCUGCUCUGAAUUAUGUAACACAUUCAUUGGCAAUUACCCAUGAAUCUGAAGCCGGUGGCAUGCCGUGGUCGACCGUCAGUUGUCGAAUAGCAGCUAGCAUGCACUGCUGCAAGGUUGAAUUUCCUGAUUCAACUUGCGAAAAUAUGGCAGCCAUCUCCGGUUCGUACCUUGGGCUCUCAACAAAUUCAUUCAAAUCUUCACCGUUAAUCCUCAAGAUCACAAUGGGGUCCCUCUUUAGUCCAGCCGCCAUGCCAAGAAGUAUGUCAGAGAGGACACGCUGGAACUCUGACUUGCUCACCGAUUCUUUCUUCCCUUUUGUGAACUCGUUAAGAACCUGCAGGUUAAUUCCAUGAGCCAUGAGAUGAAUUAGACAACAGUAAUUAUCGGAUGUUUUGGUUCAAGAUUAUCCAGGAAAUGUGAUUAAAAUUUUACUGCAAGUUACUGACAAUGUAUAAUGGAAGUAGAGCUCAUGAACAGACACCUCUCUGGAAGAAAAUCCAGUAAACCAUUAUUUUUGUCACUGUCAAGAGUAAGCAAGAGAACAUGUGUCAAAAGGAACUAAUAUUUAUCUAAGAAAUCGUUAUAGGCAUCAUCUUUCGAAAAGAUGUGUCUAAGAAACCGGAAUGAUAAGUUACAGCGAUAUCAGAAUGUUCAGGAGGUAGACACCUAGAACAUGCUAGACAAAUUGGAUGGGAAUUUGAAAAGGAUGAUGACUUUGGCCACACAAGAGCAGUCACUUUCAGUAAGAUUAUCUUGUUCUGUCAACUGAUAAGUCUUGGGGCUAGAUCAUUAGAAUGUGACGUUUUCCUGGUUAAUUUAGGCACGUUCCAGUUUCUUCCAUUUGGCAGGUCAAAGCAAUACUCAUACUCUAGUGGAAUUAUAGGAAAAUCUCAAAAUACUUUCUUCUAUAUUCACCCUGAGUGUAUUCAUUUCCAAAAGAAAUUCUUCAGACAAUUUCAAAAAGAACAAGUCCAAAAAAACCCUUUUUUAUGGGAGUCCAUAAAACCUUUUCAUCUGUAAUGUACUAAAUACUGUAAUGAAACCCGUAAAGUGAAAACACAUCUUUUCCAUUUUCCAUGAAAUCUAGUGCAUCAUUUUUUUGUACUGUCAGAUUAUAACUUUUUUUCUGAAUAAUUGCUUAAUUUGCUUCCUAGAGCCACCAUAAAACUUCAUAUUCGUUUCUGUCAUGGCCAGAUGAGCCAAAUCAUAUUACUAAACUGAACAAAAUAAACAUAAAAGAAGUGUCUGAUUUUUUUAAUGCAUUAUUCGUGUCCUUGAAGAGGCAUAACGCUAUAAUAACUAUUACAGAGCACCAUAUAGAUGCUGGUUGGAAACCACUUAAUUAUAAGUGCCGGUUUCUCAACCGACACCAAUUUGGCGUCACCUAUGCCAAUUGACAUAGGUGUCGGUUCUAAGUAUCCAACCAGUAUUUUUGGUUUUCCAUUAUUUUAAAAAAAUAGAAAUGCCCAAAAUGUACUCCCUCCGUCACAAAAUUCAAACAAUUUUGGUUGGAUAGACAUAUCCUAAUACUACGAAUCUGGACUAUCUACAUUCGUAUUACUAGGAUGCGUAUUAUCAAAUCAAAAUCCCUUAUAUUUUGGAACUGAAGGAGUAAUGCUUAGUGAAAAGCAUCAACGGUUAGUAGAAUCAAAAUAAUGAGCCCGUAUGUACAAUAUGCUAUCUCCUUGUUUAAGAAAAGAGAAACACUCUCCCCCAUUUUGAUCGCUUCCUUUUAACCAAUUUUAUUAUACGCUGGCUGACUUUGAAUGCCAUGAGAAAAUCAAACUUUAACAAUUAUAAUUAAACUACUCCCUCCAUUUUUAGAUAUAUGAUAACAAUGACUUUGAUAUAUAACGUUUGCUCCCUUUUUAAAUAUAUUGUAAUGUUGACUUUUGUACAUAACCUUUGUCGACCAUUAGUCACAAAUAUGAAAAUAAACAUUUUUAAGUUUUUCUAUCUAUUUUUUUUCUCACCAUUGUAUUUCCAUUAACAAUGUUCUACUGAACAUCUAGAAUUUGUAGAUGAAUAGCUCUCUUUAUCCUCACUCCUUAUUAGUUUAUUUCGCCUACACUUCCCUCUUGUUUGUACUCUCAUACAAGAUUUAUUUAUUUAAUAAAUAAAUAAAAAUGCUAAAAAAAGUUGACAAAUUUUACGAUCGUGAGUCAUGCUUAUAUUAUCUUUAAUGACAAAACAAAUAGAUUAGUCGAAAAUAUGAAAAAAAAUGCAUGAGUCAAGCUUAUUUUAUCUUUAGUGAAAAAAUAAAAAGAUAAAUUGAUACUUAGACAAGAGUUUCUAAAAUCAACCGCAAAACGGAGGUAGUAUGUGUUUCCAAAAUCAACAGCAAAACGGAGUUAGUAUAUGUACCAUUAAUUACAAGAAAUCUGUUGUAUCUUCUAAAAGAUUUUGAAAUAUGAAAUAUAUAUAUAUAUAAACCUAUCUUAAUUCUAAAAUACGUUCGUGACACAUGAACAUGAACAUGACAAAAAUCGACCAAAUCGGUAAAGACAUUAAGACAGUUAACAGCUGUAGGUAGCGUCAACUUCAUGACACACUGACACACAUCAGGAUGUAUUUCCCUCUAGAAAUAAAUGAACAUCAGGAUAUACAAGGAAUUACUACCUCAGAGUAGAUGUGGUCGGCCUGCGCCGACGACCCCCUCGCCGGCAACCCGAUGGCGGCGCCGAUGUCAGCGACGGCCGGCUGGAGCUCCCUCACCGACAGCCUCCCGUCGCCGUCGGCGUCGAGCAGCCUGAACUUCUGCUCCACGAACUUACCAAACGCCUCCUUGUUCUCCACCAGCUGCAGGAUCUCCGACCCGUCCACCACCACCUCGCCGUUCCUCCUCCUCCUCACCUCCUGCUGCUGCUGCUGCUGGCCGUUCUCCAUCUUGCCCGACGCCAUCAGCUUCCUUUUCUACAACCCAAAAAGUUCCCCAACUUGCAGCAAUGGCACCAAGCUCCCCGUGAACACAACCUAGACGAAGAGUAUACUUCGAUCAGUCUCUCGCAAAAAGGUGGCAAAAAGUGUGUGAGCUAAUCACAAGAUGAUCGAGCUGAAAACCAGUAGCUUUCUUGCCUUUCUUGUUUUUUUCUUUCUUUCUGCGGUUUGUUUUUGCGUCGAUUUCUCCGUUGCAGCUGAAGUGCUGUGCAGUUUGGUGGAUGUAUCAUUUAUAGAUUCGUCGUUGGCCUGUGACUUCUUCUGGUUGUGUGUAGAAGCGUGGCAAGCUGCAAAACGGAUAGGAUUUGCAUGGGACGCGUGUUGGGUUUCACGGCAUUCUUUCGGUUAUUUUUGUUAUCUUUUCCAGGCGUAUCGUAGACUGAACUCAAUGUCCCCUCGUUUAGCUUAUACCUAUCCAUAUAUUCAACAUGCUUUAUUAAUCUCUACUAUUAUAAAAAUUAAAGAUAUUUUUGCUCGUAUUUUAGUACGUUAUCCGUGUAUGAGUCUAUUUGUAAGUUUAUUUGCAUUUAAAAAUGCAUAUCCGUAUUUGAGAAGUUUGUUUGCAAUAUAACUUGAGAUGAUCGGAUUCCUAAUUACAGCUCCUGAUUUUCUAAAAGAAUAUAUAUCAAGCGAAUUCUCACAGUGAAAUUUUACUUUAGUUAUACUGUAUAACAAAAAUAAGAUUAAAAUAAUUUUCACCCGUUGUAACGUACGGGCAUUUUUUUCUAGUCAUAAUAAAAAUUAAAAGCUAAUGUUUUUUGUUUUUUCUAAUUUUCUUCAAUUAUUAAAAUGUCACGUGGCGAUUUAGUAGAGUGUCAAGUGAUGUCUUAUGACUUAUGAGCUUUUGUAUAAAGUUUAUUAAACUUUUACUAAUAUAUAAUAGAAGAUAGAUUUAUAAAUAAACUUUUAUGUAUGUAUUUUUGGGAUUUAAAAAUAAAUAUUAUAAAGCAAAUUACGGUGAUAAAAUCAUAAAAUUAGGUUUCAACAUUUAAAUUUUGAUUUACAAAUAUAGGACUAAAAGAAGCGAGGAGGGUGCGAGUUGCGUGAUGAGCUAGCUGACGAGAGAUGGGCUGCUCUGAGAAUAUGUUCCUUAUUGUUGGAGCAUAGGGACACGUACGUUUGUCCUUGAUGUAGUGACAGUGCAUAUGUAGACUGCACGAGGGAGAUUUUGCACAUAAAGGUAUUUAAUGUAAUCUAAUCCAAAGGAGCAAAUAAUAAAGUUGAUGUGUAUCACCGAGUGAACACGUGCCGUAACGGAGUACGCGCUGUAACACAUCACCUAUAUUACUUGUUGACAUUUGAGCGAGGAGAAACGUAUGCGAGAUAAAAAUGUACAGAACUACAGUAUGCAAUUCCGACUUAUAAUCCUCUCUCUCUCUAUAUAAAUGCUUUUACUGAAAGGACACUUAAUUAAGAAUAAUAACAACCUCUAUAGAAUUAGAGCAAGUUUAAUAGUAUAGGCAGCUGCUAACUCUAAAUCAUUUAUGACCAAUGUAAUAGCCAAUUCAUACAAUAGUAAGCAACUAUUGUAUCAAUUCAUACAAUAGACGACGGCUCGAAGAGGUGUGAAUCCCUUCUUUUUUUUAUUGCAUAAAUUUGAUGCAAAUUUUGUGUUGUGGAUGAAUGUUGGAUGUGGAUGCGGAUGUGCUUGCUGUGAUGAAUGUUCUUGUUCAUUCUUGUUCUUGAUGAAUGUGAUGCGGAUUUACUUAUUCAGUCUUGUUCUUGAUGAGUAGAGUAGUUGAGGGACUGCUCGGCUCAAGCCGAUGCAUAGGACCGGCUUUUUUUUAUUCGUCGAACCUAAAAGGUGUCGGUUCUAAGUAACCAGGACAUAUUUGAUUUCAAAUCAGCGCCACCUCCCUUGUGCCGAUUGGGAAAACCGGCACCUAAGGGGGUUUCCCAAUCGGCACUAAUCUCUGUUUCUGUAGUAGUGUGGGCCCCACGGGUCAGUGGUAUAGAUGGCCAACUAGGCCACCUAGCCCAGCACGGCCCAGGCAUGACCGGGCCUAGCCUUAGGUCAAUUGGGCCGCCAUGGCCCGACCUACACGUCGGGCUGGACCGUGCCAGCCCUUGGGCCGCACACUCAACCCAGGCAGGGGCCCAAUAAGACUCAGGUCGUGCAAGGCUGACCCAAAGGCAUGACAGCCUAUCGUGCUUCUUAAAAAAUAAGUCUAUUUUUCCUCCCUUAUAUCUUUGGGCUAUAUCUUACAUGGCCAGAAUAAGUCUAUUUUGCAUCCCAAUGCUCUUGGGGCCGUGCCUCAAAUGGCUGAGGUAAGUCUAUCUAUGGUCUCUUAAUUCUUUUUCUUUGAUCGUGUCGUGCCGUGCCGGGCCAGCCCACCGUGCCGAGGGAGCAGCCCACCGGGCCAGCUCUUGUUCGUGACAGAGAAGGUGUUCAAUUAGAUGAUUUAUCAACAACCUUUUUGUACUACUGCGCACGAUCCCAUGUUAAUCUAUCUCCCUUGAUGCGUACAUGCGGUAAGAUGCUUCAUUCUCUUAGCUAUUUGACUUUUGUAAUUUGUUGAUGCCUUCCAUUUUAUUGCUGAUAUAUAUACACACACAUAUACAUACCUAUGUAUAUAUACAUAUAUAUAUAUAUAUAUAUAUGUGUAUCUAUAUAUAUAUAUAUAUAUAUAUAUAUAUAUAUAUGUGUGUGUGUGUGUGUGUGUGUGUGUGUGUAUAUAUAUUCAGAAAUUGCAGAUUUGUAUAGCAUUCUGAAAAAAAUAUAUUUUCUGGAUUUUAUUUGUUUGGUUGUUGCUAUGAGCAGUAAUGUGUUUUUUACUGUCUGUAUAUCAAAAAAAAAUAACUUUGUUAGAGUGAUUUUGCAAAAUCAUACAUUAUCAGCCUGCAAGUUAGCAAAGUUUGUACUGAUAAACAUUCUUAUAUCAGUAGCUCCAAAACUUUUGUGUACGCGAAUUGUCACGCGCUGAUUUUCUUUCGGUAUUAAAAAUCACUAAACAAUGCAUUUCUAAAAAUUAUAUUAAAAGUUAAAGCAAGUUCCCAAGUGAAAUGAAAUGUGGGAAAUAAAAUUUCCUUAAACAUCAUGGCCAGAAAUACUUUAGUAAUAUUCUCCACGCCCUAAAAUACUCUCUGAAAUUUCCGGUGAAUCUUCGGAGCUCAAGAAGUAAUUAUAAUAAUACAAAGUAUAUUUAAUCAAUUAAAUAAAUUUAUAAACAAAUUAAAAUCCCUCCCUUCACUUUGGGCUGCUUCCGGCCCAAAGCCUCCUUCUCCUCCAUCGGCCAUUCCCGCUUCAUCCCAGCCCCAGGCGUUGCCGCUGCCGCAGCCGCCCACCGUCCAGCCACUGCUGUGCGCGCCUGCCUAGCCGCGUCGCCCGGUUGCUCCUAGCUGUUCGAUCGGCUCUCAGGCCAAUCUGGACCACCCGCUCCCGUGGACCACAUCCAUGGUCUCGGUUCACGCUGAGCCGACGCCUCUCCUCUUGUAGACGCGUGUGGCCUGCCUUUGGUGGACUCGGUCCGCAUCCGCCCCACGCUGACGUAAUAACCCUUGUUUUCCUUCAAGAAAACAUAUAAUAAUUGCACAAUAAUUCGGUUUAAUUCUAGAAAUUCAUUUAGAAUUUCUAAAAUUCAUACAAACUCGAAAUUAAGCCAUUCAACCUGCAGAAUUCAUCUAGAAUUGAGCUCUACAUGUCUGUGUACUUUUCAAGUUUUGUAUAUUUGGUUUUUAUUAGAUUUUUUCCUUAUACUAUGUGCCAGCACAUAGAUUCCGUCGCCUCGGAAGAUCGAGUUCAUGAGGAAAAGUGUUCGGAAGAUCUUUUGGAGAAGUAAGGUAAGUCACACAUUCCCCUUGAGCAUGUUGAACCUAAUUUACGAAAUGUUUUACCAUUUGCAAAUAAAUUGUAUGUUUUGCUAAUUACAUGGGAAUAGGGUUUACUAUCUGCUCACUUGAGCCUCGUUUACUUAAUAUCUAUUAUUUGUCAAACCUUGGGUGAUAAUUUUACUAGCUUGUGUUACUCAUGUUGACAUCUUGGCGAGUAUAACCUCUUUACAAACUCCAAUAGUACCAAAUUCGACUCCUCAUUCUAUACGCACACAUUCUCCCGACCGUGUGCCGCAUGGAAUCUUCAACAACCACGUGCAUUUUUCUUUAGCCUAAGCAUCUUACAUGAUUAUCCUGAUCAUCCAGACAACAUCUUCUCCCAAGAUGACUCUCACUGUAUCAUCGGCAAUACUCCCAAGGCAUCAAGACACACCUAAAUAUGAACCAAACAGGAAACCAUAUCCGAGUACAAGUUCUUUCCCAGCUUGACUCAACAUUAGUAGACAACUGUAUUACAUACGUAUAGAAAUCAUCUAGAAGUCAUAAACAUGUAAUCACAAGUAUCCAAAUAAACAACCCGAAACUGACUUAGCAUCAGCCGGUCAAACCAUCGGGGCAUCGGGCUAGCCGAUCUGGCCGUGCAACACACGCCGGUAUGAUCGGCCAUGUCCAUCUGGUCUAACAGCACUAAACAAUCAGCAACACCACCACUUCAUCAAAAAUCACCAAAUAUCAAAACCAAUUAUAUCAAGACAAUUGUUCAGCAGAAAAUAAUAAAAACACACACUUUGAUUUUACAUAAAUUAUCAUCAAAUUGUCAUAUCUUGGCUACUCCAAUUUGACCAAUUUAACUUUCUAAUUUUGACUAAAAUCAUGAAUAAUCUAUUUAUGCUAAUCUGAUACUAAGAGUCCCUUUUUCUCUUUUGUUUUUGAUCAUUUUUUCACAAAGAAAAUACCACUCGAUUACAUUGCUAAUUUCAUCUGAUCAUUUUUUUUCUAAAUCCAUCUCCAUCUAUAAAAACUCAAAUUGAAGCAAACCAUAGUGAAUAUAGUGUUUCAUUUACAUAUAUAUAUACACACACACACAUAUGCCCUUGACAUGAUAUUCCAAUUUGUUGUUACAUAUGCAGUAAUUUAGAACACAUGGAUCUUUCUUUACAGCACAUACUAGAGUUGACAAUACAGACAUGGAUAACGGUGAUCACGAACCCACUUAACCAUGAACAAUUGAUUCCAUAGUGUAGAUGAUUACUUUUGUAUUUAGUUUAUACCAGUUGAGAAUGGGUUACGUAGCACCAUUGCCUCUACUGUGAUUCCGGGUCCAAAGGCCAGCAUCACUCCCCACUCAGGCUGUUGUUGCACGCCUUCUUCCUUCUCCCGACGGCGGCGCAGCUCAUCAAGAACGAACGCGAUCAUCGCACCACUCAUAUUCCCGUACUCGCUCAGCACGUGGCGGCUCGCCGCAAGCUUCCCUGGCUCUAGCUGGAGCUUGCCCUCUAUAUUGUCAAGGAUCGCACGGCCACCAGGGUGCACCGCCCAGAAGAGGUCAUUCCAGUUAGGAUCCUUGUUUCCGACUGACUGGAACGCAUCGAGCAAGCACUGAUGGAUGUUGUCCUUUAUCACUGUCAGCACUUGGAUAGAGAGAUGGAAAUCUAUGCCUUUGUCGGUGGCCUGCAAGCCCAGUGCGUGCUCGGUUCCUGGAAUCAUGGUCUGUGAAGCGGCCACCAUCUCAAACAGCGGGCGCUCGCCAUCGGCCAAGGGGUUAGCGCCAACGAUGAUCGCACCAGCGCCAUCUCUGAACAGUCCAUGGCCUACAAUUUUGCUUUCGUCAGGGGUUGAGAAGCAUACCAGUGUCAGCUCAGAGAGGGCUACGAGGACUCGCGCGCCAUGGUUGUUCUCGGCGAUCUCCUUGGCGAGCUGGAGUGCCCGACUGCCGCCGGAGCAGCCGUGGAGGCUGAGGAUGGUGCGGGAGACGGUAGGGCGGAGGCCGAGGAGCGUCGCUAGCUGAAGGUCGGCGCUGGGGGCGCGCCAGCCAGAGUAGGUGCUGAAGAUGAGGUAGGUGAUGUCAGUGGCCGGACGGCCCCACUCGGUAAUGGCCUUCCGUGCAGCGGACUCAGCGAGCUUAGGGACCUCGAUAGAGGCAAUGUCUACACGAGCUUCAGGGAGGGCAGGUUUUUGUCGAUGAUCUCUGGGUGGGCACGUAUGAGCUCCUCGUCAAGGUGGAUGUAGCGCUUCUCUAUGCCGGAUUUUUGACCUGAUAUAUAUGCAAAAGGAAUAACACAUAUCUGUAUUAGUUAGUACAUACUACUCCAGAGCUUAGGUAGAAAAAAAUAUAACACAUAUCCUCCUCACAAUAUGAAAACACACCCUAUCUUAAAAUAUGAAAACACGUCCUAUCUUAAAAUUUUUACAUUAACCGUUUGGACAAUUUUUCUCACUGGAGUUAAUGAAAAAUAACAUAUAAUGAUGAUGACAAGUGGAAUAAUUGAUGUGCUUACAUAUUAUCUUCAUCUUGUCCUUAAGCUCAAUAAGGUGCUCGCUCUUGGUCAGGCCGAAGUAAUAGUCGGUAAACUCAUCCUGAGGACAUAUGUUUGCCGGGUUUGCAGUGCCAAUAGCGAGGACCGUGGCAGGGCCUUCGGCAUGCCGUGUGCACCGGCGGCUGUCAACAACAGCGGCGGUAGCUGCUCCAGGCAUGGCCGAUGGUAAAGGAAGAACGUGUGCGGAUGCAAUGAGUUUCCUUGAGAGAGAGAGAGAGAGAGAGAGAUGGCUAUGUGAUGCGUCUAUGAGUGGAAACUCUACCUGCUGGCCGUGUGGUUUUAUACAAGUUCAUCGACAACCUGGUCUAGCUAGCCACCAAAUAUUUCUGAAUUAGCAAAAGAUAUCUACAAUUUCGCUCUAGAGUACCCUCACAUGUUACAUCGAGUAUUUAAAACCAAUAAUGUUUUUCUAUAGACAACAUAUAUAAUAUAACCUACAGGAGCAAAAUAUAAUACUAAAAUCUGAAUGAGAUCACACAAGAGAAUUAUUAAUAUAAGUUAAUUUCACACCGGAUAAAAUUUAUGUAACUUCUAUAUCGCCUAAUUUGCUUUUUCAUAAAUAUUUAUUUCAGUUCAAUAACUAAUUUUAUAAUUCAAAACUGUCCUCGAUACCUUUCCAGUUGGAAUGACAGAGUUUGUGUAACGUCAUUGAUGGAAAAUUCCAAAUUAGUAUUGACAGUAUGGAUUCCGAGGUAUCAUGUUUAGGAAAAGAAAAACAUUAUUGGUUCUACUAUAUCACUAUCAGUAUGCAUUAAUUGAUUGUGACGAACAUGCCUUCGAAAAUCUAAAUAUAUUAUUAGGAGCUGCAACCUGGCAUGAUCUUUAAUUUCCAUUGAAUCUGCACGUUGUAAGUAAGUAAUUAUUUAUUAUUUUUAGAUAAUGGCAAAAUAUCCUGUACAGUUGAACAACAUCAGAUUUGCACCCAUAGUGUUUAGACUGGAGUAUCUAAUUGAAUACUAUCAGCUAUUUCUAGGACACACUAGUAGAGUCUAGUACAGAAUUUGAUACUACCUGGAUAGUUCCCCCUUAAGUCGAUUUUUAUAAGCAGCUUGUGAUUUAUCAUGCUGUCAAUGCGGUCCGAACAUAGCCUUGGGAUAGUUAAAUUAUUUUUUGUGCAUCAUCAUCGUACUUGCCCCAGCAUUAAACUUAAUCUUCCGUAUCAAAUUAGUCACAGGAGAAGUAGGCCCAAAAUAAAUAUAUAUAUGGAUCAGGUCGUGCUCUGGAGAUUACAAAUCGUAAUGUAUAACUCGAGAUCAAUCUAAUCUUAUAACACAUUUUCAUAUUUAGCUUGUGAUCGUGGAGCAGUUAAUGUAGUCCAAAAUCAAGAUUGAGAUGAGAAAUAAUUGACACUUGACAGUGCAAUAAACCCUGCAUCUGAUAAUCGAAUUAUUGGCCACAAGAAUCAAGGGCCCAAUAUAAAAAUAAUAUUGAUUAACUCAUGCCAAUUACAAUGUUAAGCCUGCAGGUGUUUAGGAUCUUUGAAGAUUAAAUGUAGGAAUAGGAUAUCGACACAUGAUCGUUGUGCCCUCACAACUAAACUAUAGAAACUUUUUCUUAUGAGGUAGUGAAGAUCAUGCAUCUUAGGGGCUACAUCAAGUCACAGGCCAUAAGGUGUGCCAUCGAUUUCGGCAUCGCCAAUGCCGCUGUUAAGUCGUUGCCCUCCGCAUCGCUAUAAUAGCUGACACCGCCAUAAUCGCUGACCUACAGCACAUUAUGCAGCUGCUUGGCACCAUGGGCUUCUUCUGCGACUCUAAGGUUCAUAAAAGAGGCCCCAUCAUCUGUAGGCCCACCACGGCCAGCCACUUCACCCGUUAGCUCACACAAACUUUUCCCUCUUGGUGUAGUUUGUGCUAAACCCAUAUUCUUUCAACUUAGCCUACUAGUUCAGGAGCAAGUAAAAGGCUGUUGGGUCUCUGUUCAUAGUGGUACAUGGCUUCACGCAAUGAGAUAUGGAUAGCGAGAACUCGGUGCUGAAUAUUGUCGUCAAUGACUCCUUGGUCGCUACUUCCUCAAGGUGUUCUUGCGGGUAAGCUAGGGCCAACUUUUCGAUAGGUUGACUAGCUGGUCAAUGUGUGCACCUAGUGGCCAUGGCACGAUGGACACACAUGCUAUCGCGCACGAGUUGCUGCAAAUCAACUGCAGCAUUCUGUACCGUCCUCGUGUUGGCGGCAUGGCACCACUAGCAACAGCAAGCGGCUGUUCAUAUAACCAGCAACAUCAACAACAUGUUCAUGACAUAUAUCAAUGAUAUUGACUGAGAUAAACAUGUGUGAAAAAUGAGCAUUUGUCCAGCUGGUUACAGUAAGGUUUACAAGUCAUGCCGGUAAGGGGUCCUCCGUAAGUAAUGGAGAUCUACCCAAAUGAGAAGAAUGAAUACUAUGUGAUCGGUUAGGUACCAUAUAUCAUGCUAUAAGGGAGCAUGCAUUUAUGAUACCUAUGUUUGAUCUAUUAGGAAGUAUGUCAUUUUUGGACAAUGCAGCCCGAAUUUCUAAGACUUCAUACUUGAUAAUAAAAAACAAAUUGUAUUGGGAUGAAUAGAAAUAAUUAACAAAAAGUGUAUAGUUUCUUUCUAUGAUCCUUUGUAGUUCCUUUUCCUUUCUUAUGCUCAAUCAUCUCGUAGAGAGGUGGAGGGAAGAGGCAACUCAUCUGAAAUUUUUUUUGCUCAACCAGUACUCAUCUCAUCAACAAUAUAACUUUUUGCUUUUUCAAUUUCUUUGUUGGUGGAUUCUUCACUCUUGAGAUGUUCAAGAAAAAUCUAGCAAAGCUUUUAUGGAAGGUUGACGAUAUGUAUAUAUGUUCUCGGCGAUCUCCUUGGCGAGCUGGAGUGCCCUACCACUGCCGGAGCAGCCGUGGGUGCUGAGGAUGAUGCGGGAGACGGAAGGGUGGAGGCCGAGGAGUGUCACCAGCUGGAGGUCCAUGCUCAGGGCUCGGCAACCAAAGUAGGUGCUAAAGAUUAGGUGGGUGAUGUCAGUGGCCGAACAGCCCCACUCGGCAAUAGCCUUCCGUACGGCGAACUCCACCGAUACUAGCUACUACAUAUUCGACUAUAUGUAAUGGGUCAUCUCUGACAAGCCAAAAAAUAUCUCAUUUAAGAUAUGACUACUGGGGAGGUCCUGUCACGGAUCAUAGUUGUAGUAUGUCACAAAUGAACUAUGAUGGGCCAUGGUUGUGGCCCGUCAUAGGUGACAUGAGCUUCAAGGGAGGGAAGAUAUUUAUCGAUGAUCUGUGGGUGGGUAUGGAUGAGCUCCUCAUCAAGGUGGAUGCUCUCUAUACCAGAUUUUUGACCUGAUAUGAAAAAGGAUGAACACACAUCUCUAUUAGGUAGUAGUUACUACUCCUUAGAUCAGGUAGGAAAAAAAUAAAACAUAAGACUGGAUAUUUGCACAGCCUAGCUUGAAAAUAUGAUAAAAGCGCUUGAAUAAUUUAUUUCUCACUGGAGUUAUUGAAAAAUAAAUACAUCAGUAUGCAUGAAUUAAUCGUAACUGACAUACCUUCCAUACUCUAAAUAUAUAAUUAAAGAGCUCAGUGAAAUGUUUUUUUUGUUUAUUCUAGAAUUUAGAUCGUGAGGUCUGCCCAUCCACAUCGUCAUUAGGCGCUCCAAAAUCGUGCAAAGCAGUCAUAUAUUAUUAGGAGCCGCAACCUGGGCCAUAUUAAAUAACGGCAAAAUAUCCCGGACUGGACUCUCUAAAUAUUCUAAUUAGAUACUAUCAUCUAAAUUAUAGGAUACACUAGUUUAGAAAUUAAUACCAAGAUAUUAUUUUUCCGCAUAGUGAUUGUACUGGCAUAAUCCAACGAAUAUGGAUCAUCUCGUGGCCUGCAGAGUAGUCAUGAUGUAGCACAUUUUAUCAUUUAACGUGUGAUCGUCGAGCUGUUAAUGUUGUCCAAAAUUAAGCUUGAGAUGUCAAAGAACUAACUUUGCAAUAAAGCCUUCAUCUCAUAUUCGAAUUAUUAGCCACAAGAACCCAAUAAAAACCGGUGCUCUAAUAUCAAUGCAAGCCGUCUUAUCCGCCAUUCGUAUUCUAUGAUCACACUUGAUUUACCGUUAUCAAGGUUUUUUAGAAGUGUCAAAUCGUCAAAAAUUCACGAGUUCUCUUUGGUCGGGUCAGGUAAAGGCCAAUGGAGGAAACUGUCUAGUCUCGUGGAAGCGAGUUUGCUGCUUUCAUAUGUAUGGUGGCUUGGGGAUUCUGAAUUUGAAAUAUAUAAGUUGGGCUCUAAGAACUCGAUGAGGAUGGGGAAAUGUGUGAUAGAGAGAAGAAGCCUGGCUCGUGCUAUAGUACUCUAUUUCAUCGGCAAAGGGUUGACAUGGCAUCCGACAUGUACAAAAACCACAGUAAAACAGGUUAAAGGGGAUAAAAUGUCCAGUAUCAAAAGUUAGGAUGUAUUAAACCCGGUUUUAUAGUUUAAGGGUGUAUUUCAAACAAACAUAAAAGUUAAGUUUGGGGUACAAAAUGCACUUUUCCCUUUCCUAAUUAAUUCUUUAGUCACACAGCACUCUAGCAAUUUUUUUUCAUGACAUCGAUAGCCAUUGGUAACAAAGCAAAUGAAUUUCUAAAAAGGAAAAAGAAAAAAAGCAAAGGAACACUGUUGGCCGAAAUGAGCCACCUUAGGGCUUAAUUGGUGAUACACCAUUAUCUCAAGAUCAAUCAUGGUUUCCAGUUUCCAGACCUCAACUAAAUACCAGUUUGACACAAACUCUGAGCCAGUACUUAAGUACUCCCUCCAUCCCACAAAAAUCAAUUUUUUACACAAAUCUUGAUAUUACUUUUGUAUACGAAUCUAGAUAUAGGGUAACUUUUCUACAAAAAUCUGGAUAUAGGGUAGUGUACAAAAUUCAAAGUUUUUCCUAGGACGAGGGAGUACAUUUCUCCCAGUAGCAGGCAAAAAUAGCAAUAUGCUCAAAUCGGAACUAAUUGGUCAAGCAAAUAAGGUGACAUGCAGUUUCAAUGCUAAACAAAUAAGGAUUCGCUUGCCCAACAUAUAUACAGAUGCCCUGCAAUAUUUACAUCUUCUAGGUCUAGGAAUAUUAGCAAAUUAGCAAAACAGGUGGAAGAAACACUACUUAAGGAAGCAGGUUCAAAGCAAUAAAUUAAACCAACCAAGACAUCUGCUGCCUGCAACCAAACAGCAGAUCACCCUAAAGCUCGAAGAACAUAAUGUGGAAACAGAGAUAUCUGCUGCAACCAAACAGGUGAUCGCCCUAAAGCUCUGAAGCACAUAUUUUGUGGAAAUAGAUGACAAAUGGCAUGCAGUUAAUUUGCUGCACCGCCAUCAGCAGUGGAAACUGCGGCAAUACGUUUCCUUAGCCUCCCACGGGUCACUCGAAUCGCCUCCUCCAUUGGUGUCUCCUCUGGAGUGGCAACAGGCUCAUCCAUGUCCUCUAUAGGAAUGUCAACCUCAUCGAUAGACAUGUCAUCUUCUGCAGAUUUCGGGAGUGGCGGCGCACUAGGCUCAGAGCCUGGCAUGGCAGCAUUACUGGAUGGAGAUGGUGCUUCCUCAGUUGCAAGCUUCAUUCCACUGCUCUUAAGAUCCUCGACCGGUUUCGUUGCUGCAACCGUGGACCUUGUGGAAGCCGUCGGAGCAGACUUUGUGGGUAGUAGACGCCUGGUCUUGGGGUUAGAGUAAGCAAUCUUCGUGUCCUCCGACUGCUGCAUAAUUCCAGCUGUUCGAGCGGCAGCAGAUGCUGCUCUGCGAAGCGUUGUUGGUUUUUCAUGGGGCAUCUGCUGCUGUUGCUGUUGGGGCAGUGAUUGCUUCUGUUGCUGUUGGGGCAGUGAUUGCUUCGGUUGUUGGGGUUGUGCUUGCUGCUGUUUUUGUGGAUACGAUUGCUGCUAUAACAAUAUCAAAAGAAGAAUUCAACACGAAAAACUUUAGUGAAAACACAAAAAAAAAAUAACAAGUGUUAAUGACAAACAAAACCUACGUGAGAAAUAACAGAGGAUGCUGUUAGAGAAUGUGUUAAGGCUACUAAUGCCACUAUGACAUAUAUUACCAUUAGCUUCGAAGGUUUUUCACAUGUCAGAUAGGAUAAUCAUAAAUUUUCUACAAUUUGUCUUCAACUGAAACAAGCCUUUUUACAAUAUCAUAACAAUUUCUGGGCAAGCGAUCUAGCAGUACUUGUCAGAUAAUUACUAGGCAAGUAAAGAUAGCAGCAAUGGGGCAGAAUGUCACAGGAGUACAGGAAAACUGGGGAAAUUUUCUGAUGUUUCGAUUUGACAAGAUAACUACGAAGCGAGAAGUACUGCCAGAAAACAAUCAGCAAUUUCUAUACACUAUCAAACUAACAGUUAAUUCCCAGUUUCCUCAUUCAUUUCUCAUUGUUAAAUAUUUUAACUAAAUGAUCUCAUGCCUUUCGUGUUUGCUCAAGUCAGUCCUAAGUGUCUCAAACUUACAUAAGGAAGUGUAAUAAAUAGGAAAAGAUAUAUUACUGCUGAUGAGUGAUCAACACUAAUCCCACCUAAAUCUUGUGUUGAGCAGAUUAUUUUCUGAAGGAAGAAAGAAACCACCCUACAGAUUAGGAAGUUGGAAACAAAAUACAAUAUGUUUUACUCAAAAACAGUACAUGCUCCUUGGUGGGAACCAAUCUGGUACAAUUUGUAAAAUUUUCCUAUCAUUAUGCAAUUUGUGUAAAGUAUUUAAUGAAUUGGAAGUUGGAGCAUUUUCAACCAACAAAUUAAACUAAAAAUUAAGUGGCAUGUCCAACAGAGUACAGAUAUGCCAACUUGAACUGAUAUUUUAAUUAUUGUUGAUCUUGAAGGUUAUUAGUGUGGUAACAACUACAUAUUAGUUUCAACAUCACAAACGACCUUCAGAGGAGCUAACAGCUACAUUAGUAGUCUGCUGAUCUUACAUUAUUAAUAUAACUAGGAAGGUAAUCCACGCGAUUGCGCGGGCAUAUCUUUGUUUCUGGUGUUUGAAUCUCCUGAAGAUGAAGAUUAAGUGUUUCACGCAAAACAAGGUGGUAAUAACGUGUGAUUAAUUGAGUUUUAAUUAUUACAAACUUGAAAAAUGGAUUAAUCUGAUAUUUUAGAACAACUUUCAUAUAGAAAGUUUUCGUACGAAAUGCACCGUUUAGCAGUUUGAAAAGCGUGCCAUUUUAAUCCAAAAGUUUAUCCUCAAAUUUCAUAGGAAACGAACAGGGCAAUGUUAAAAUCUUUUAUGAUGACUGAAAAUUUCUUUAUAUCUAUAUGUAAAGUUCCCGUAAAAUGUUCAAUACAAAUAGUUAGUUGGUCUUGGUACAGUUAGUUGGUCUUGGUACUUCAAAAUUUGAUUGUAGGUAAAGAAUUGGAUCCUUGGUUACACAUAUAAACUUAGAGUAAUAAAACUUUAACUGAGAUCUUCAGAUAAUACGGAACUGAUUAUUCUUUGAAUUUCUCUAUUUCCUUUAAUGACUCAAGAGGAUUUUAUCAUGAUUUAUAGUAGUGCCAAAUUAAUCAUUGACAAAUUUUAUUGCAGCUAUGAUAAAUUUAACUAAAUGUGUUGGCACUUAUCAAUAUGAAGUUUAGAAGUUCCUGUGGUGGAUAUCCAUAGGUUGGUUAAUCUUCAGCAUGUGACUCCCUAGCCCGUUAGCAGCCUAUAGAAGAGGUGAAGUUGAGGUCCAUAUAUGCUAGAAGAUGUUGUAAUUGGUGGUUUAAUACCUCCUUAGAAUUUUAGGUGGAUGAAGGUCUGAUUUAAAUAUAAUACCUAUGGGUUAACUAUUUUACACGAAAAUGAGAAUAAAAGUAUAAGUCUAUGCAUAUGUAUGCCCAAUCCAUGAAGGACUUAUGCUGAUGCAAAUUUUGGAGCUAGUGUAUUACAUGGUCUUAUUCUUGUUUUCAUACUCAAAUGAUAUUUCGUAAUAUUAUUUACUAUACUAUUUAGAAUACUGACAUUGUAAUAAAUAUACAGUGCAUCAUUAAGGUUUUCGUUAGUAUCGAUCUCCAAACAUAACAUGAAGAAGCUUUUUAAGUAUAUUUUCAUCAAAUACUACCGUAGCAAAAUCUCAUUAAGUGCUACAUCUAGUAAACUAUUUUGAAUAUGAUUGUCUACUUGCACUACUCAUAAAUAGUAUAACAAUACUUCGGAAUAAGUAGCACCCACCUUGCAAAUUGGACGGUAUUCACCCAACGGUUUGAACCGUUCACUCUAUCUAUCUCCUUUCAAUGCUUAAAAUUUAAUAUUAAAAUUGAAGAUAGAAAUACCUACUUGAGUUAUUCCUUAGUAUUAUUUUUUCCAGAUUAAGGGGCAUUAAUUGAAUGUUUUGAUAUGUAGCAUCUUUAUUGCAAAGAUUUACUAUGUUUUUGAAUUGUACAUAUUCAAGCUGAUGUGACAUAAAUAAUAAUGUAUAGAUAAGGGAGUUCAAGGAAGGUUUAGUCAUCACAAAUUAAUUGUUAUGGUCUUCGAUCGCUUGUUGCUUUGUCUUUAUUUUUAUUUUUUUUGGACCAGGCUUGCUGCUUUGUCUUGGUGGCUGUUGUGACCCCCACUAUGUUCUUUUAGUGAUGCAAUGGAUGGCUGCCAACCUUGUGGAACUGAAGGCUGGUCAUUCUUUCUACAACCCUAUGCACCUUGUAACGGGUCACUAUAACCUCAUACGGCACCUUAAACGUCUUGCUAUUAGAUACCACACGUGGAUGUUUUUUUCUAUUACAUAAUGUUUGUACAAAUAUACAGAGCAAUUUAAAUAUUGUCUCGCUUUAAUUUGAUUAGUUUUGACUUUUGUUAAUUUAAUGCCUUUAUCCCAAACAUAGUUGAAGGAACUGCUAAAUAUUGUCUUUCGUGACAUUAUCUUGCUUUAAUUUGAUUAGUUUUGACUUUUGUUAAUUUAAUGCCUUUAUCGCAAACAUAGUUGAAGGUGCUGUUAAAUAUCGUCUUUCGUGACAUUAUCUUGCUAAGAGUUUAGGAUUGAAGCAAGUUAUUAUGGAACAUCUUUGGUUCAUUCUAUUUUCGAGUAUUACAAUCAUCUCAAACAUACAACCACAAUAACAAUGUAAACUUCUAUUUCUCAUGGAACUUAACACAAAGUUGGAGUAGUUGCACAGAAAGUUUGGAGUACUACGGCAUGACACUUAUCUACGAAACUAUGAUAGCAGGACACCUGCAACUCAGGUAUUAGCAGGCAAAAGAGAUUGUGCAUAAAUAUGAAUUGUGAACCAAACGUAGGAGUGUUCAAAAGGCAUUGAUUGAUGAAUGCUGUUCCAUUAUCAUUCAACAAACUAGAAGAUAAAACAUUCUGCUUGCAAACCUGUGUUGAGCGCGACCUUGAUGAAUGAGCUGGUGACUGUGCAGAAGCAUACUUCAAAAUGUUAAAGAAUGUAGUCUGGCCAAUAAUUGCAACCUUCUGCCAGUAAACCACAAGCAUGUCCCCAGCUCUUACUCUCAAAUCAAGAAUACUGCAGUCGAUAUCAUUCUCAUACUGUGAAAUGUAUGGCCUAAAGAAAGUCUCAUAGACAUAGGAGGUUCCCUAUCAUAAGCACACGCAUUAUUCUUGAAGGCAAUCAUAUAUUCAGUACAAGAAAAACAUCAUUAUUAAAGUAAAGUACCUUUGUCCUUGGGCACCAUAAGUAUAUAAAGAACAUCAGCUUUGCUUCUGAGUACAGUGGUAGCCUUCAAUAAAACCAGAAUCAAUUAAGCAUUCAAAACAGUUUGUAAUCAACGACUGAGGAACAAAGAUCUCAGAAAAAACUAACCAUGAUAUUGCAAAAUCACCAAAUCGUUCCAAAACCGUCAGUAGCGCGACUAAUAUCCUGGACACAAACAACAAUUCAAGUGGCACUUGCAGUGUAUGGAUGUGGGCAAACCAUGAAUCCACAAGAAUAAAAAUAGCUCCUUACCAAUAUUGACACCAGAAAAUAAGCUUCUCAAUCUCGGGCUUGUUCAGCUCUACGGUUUUAUAGCAUUCAUAAGCAGGAUAAGCAUAACCAAAGGCCAACCUGCAUCAUAAUCAUCCCAUCAGAACCAGAGUACAUCGUUUUUUCUACAUUAUGCAGUUCCAACCAAAGAAACCAAUGUCCUCAUAAUCCGAAUGUUAUGAAGAUGCAACGAUAUAGAUUCCACUUUUUCUUUUGGUGCAUAAAAAAAGAUAGGCACAGAUUUUAGGGCCGUGUUUGAACAACUGAACUGAAUCAAGACAGGAGCAAUCGCAAGCGCAAAUCGCAGGAAACUUAAAACCAUGGGCAAACAACAGAUUCCUUUCAGUAACAUCGUAAGAGUAUCUUUUAAUACUAUCACAGAUUCACUACACAGUUUUAGUGUACCAUUAAUCUUCAGCGGAAUAACCAUUGACCUUAAACACUCAAAACAACAAUGACUAUCCUCCUCCAAAGAACGGACGACCACAGAUGUACAGAUUUUCACAGUGUUUGAGUGGUGUCGAUGCUAUUCCAAAGGAAGAAGAUGCCAGACAAAUCGACGCACACGCAUUCCAAAAAAGGCGAAAAAUAUAAACACAAAAGAUGAAAAAAAAAAGAAAUCGGUUCUUGAAUCCAUCCCCACGGUCAAACCCACAAAAAUCGUGAAGAAACACCGGGAGAUUUCGUCAGAUUGGGGGGACUUACAGUAGGACCCUGGAGAGGAAAUCGCCCAUCAUCCUGCUCCGAUCUUUCUGCACAAGAACAGAUCCAGUGAGAUGCUGCUACUCCGAAACAACCAAGAACUGUGUAGGGCGGAGCAAGGAGAUGUACAGAUGGAAGCGUGGAUGGAAGAAGGUUGGUGACGGGGCUGAUAGAUCCGGAAGGGAUGCAAGAAAUGGGGAGGAACUGGAGGAGUGAAGAUCCCCUCGCUCACCCUCUCUCUCCCUCCAGUAGUCCACUCCCGUCUGACUGCGAGGAGUGAAGACGGCGACAGAGCUCUUCAAACUCCACCAAACCCAACGGGCAACACUUCACUAGUGUCUCUCUCUCUCUCUCACCUCUUUUUCUACUCGGCCGUACAUGCCUCCUGUUCUCAGAUGGAUAAUCAUGCUGUACUCCCCAACUAAAUGGUGUGUUCCUUUUUAAAAAAUCACUAAUCUCUCUUACUCAAAAUGAGGGCUGAUUUGGUUUAAAGCCAAAACUGCCAUACAAAAAUAUUGGUAUUUUAAACAGUAAUUUUGGCAAUGUUUGGUCUACUACCAAUACUUGUCAAUACCACACAAAUGUUACCAAAAUAUUGGCAUUGGCAAAAAUUUACUCAUGAUUUGGCAUUGGCAUAGUUACAAACCAAACAAGCCCUAAGUUAACAUAAAAUAUACUAAGUUGAUUUAUUUUGGAAUGAAGAAAAUAGAUGAAACCUUAUUCAUUGUUGCAUGAUAAUUAUAUAUGGGUUGUAAAAUUUUCUUUUGUAUUCCUAUAUAUUUUUCUAUGCGCUUUUUAUAUAUGGUACUUGAUCGAUUAUCUAAAUAUUAUAAAUGGUUUGGAGGUAUAGCGUAGCCUUUUUUUUAUAAGAGAGUCGAUAUGCAUUUUUUUGAUGAAUUAUUUAAAGGCUAAAACCAAUUAAAAUGAUAUAGCAUCAUGAUAGAAAAAUAAUUAACAUUAACUAUUAACUAUAUUUAGUGCAGAUGAAAUUUAUAGAUAUUAGAUAGAUAGAAUUUGUACACAAGUUUUCUUAAAAGGAAUUGAGUAACUUUAUUUUUUUAUAGUUUGUAAUAAUUUAUACUUAAUUACUAUCAAGUGUCCAAACGAACUCACCCUUAGUCCAAACAAGUGUAUAUUUCUUUUUUAAAAAAAUCUAUAUAGAGAUAUCUUAGAAAAGUUUUUAAAAUCUAUUUUUUUAACUUUCUUAUAUUUGAUUUAUCCUAUUUUGCUCUAGAAGAGUUAUCAUAAAAUGAAAAAAGCUAUUCUCUCUUUCUGUAAAUAUAAGCACUUUUGGAAUAGAGCUCAAACUUUUAAAGUUUGGCUGCAAAUAGAAAAAAAAUCAUAAAAAUUGAUGAUGUGAGAAUUAUGUUUAUCUUCAUAAAAAUCUUAAUUCCUGUUUAACUUAUGAGGUUUUCUGUCUUUUUACUCAGUAUUUACUUUUGGACCACUAAGACUAAGACUAGAACUAAAAGCUUCGCACUAAAUUACUAUUAUUGAUUAUAUCAGUUUCGAUUUAUAAGCCGCACGGCCGCGGCUGAAAUGUGGAGAUUAUGGGUACCCCAUAUCCACACGGCAUGGUUAUCCGACUAGUAAUAGGGGAUAACAUAUAUGUAUGGAAUAUGUAACAGAUCGUGACUUGGGUAUUACGUUUCCUUGUAUAUUACGGAACGGCCUAAAGUCCUGGUUUGAUAAUAUUGUAAAAUAGAUUUAGGAAACCGAUGCCGUAUUGGUUAAGGUUUCUAUCUUGUAAUCCUGCCCCCCACCCUAUAUAAGGUGGGCAGGAGACCCUCUAGGGGGCAUGAGACAACCUGAUCGUCAGAUCUAUACUACACCCGGUGGAUUCAAAUCCCCAAACAGGAGUAGGGUAUUACCUCUCAUUGAGAGGGCCUGAACCUGUCUAAAUCCUGUGUCUCCACAUCCAUCCACUUUUAGGUCUCGUGCGCUACCCCGUUUUAUUAUUGCCGAAUUCAUGUUUCGACAGUUGGCGCGCCAGGUAGGGGUGCGUCGAGUUCCUCGUCGACGAGUGCGAUGGAACCAAUCUUCAAAUCACCGGGUUGGUCGUUCCAAUCUACUGCUGUUAGAUUAUUUUUUGCGACAAAUUGAUUCGCUUUAUUGUCUUUUUACAUGCAUGUACCGGUGCCUGAUGCUUUUGCCGAUCCAACGAACGGCGCUAUCAUCUGCUCUGCGCCUAUGUGAUUCUCGCGUCGGCCUCGUGAUCCAUCCACUUUAAGAUGCAUCUUGUGUCCAUGCAUGCCUGGGAUCGAUCAGCAGAAAAGCGGGCAUACGUGCAUUGCUAUAUGCAUCUAAUCUUCCUGCUACAUGCUAAUUAGAUUGAUUUUGGAUUAUAGAUUAUUAAUCUUAAUUUUGCUGGUUAUUUUUGCCUGCAUGUCUGCACCGGUUGACGAGGACUGACGAGGACCUAUGUGUUUCCGCCUGCACGGCUGGCCUUUAUGCCGCCGUUGUUGGGCGUCUAUGACUUCACCGCCGGCCUGCCUCCGUCGCCGCCGACUGGUGCCUCCGCCUACACGGCUGGCCUAUUAUGCCGCCGCUGUUGGGCGUCUACGACUUCACCGCCGGCCUGCCUCCGUCGCCGCCGACUGGAGUCCCCGCCUAUACGGUUGGUUGGUCACACCACCGUUCAUGGGCGUCCACGUCUUCACCGCCGGCCUGCCUCCGUCGCCGCCGAUUGGUGCCUCCGCCUACACGGCUGGCCUAUUAUGCCGCCGCUGUUGGGCGUCUAUGACUUCACCGCCGGCCUGCCUCCGUUGCCGCCGACUGGUGCCUCCGCCUACACGGCUGGCCUAUUAUGCCGCCGCUGUUGGGCGUCUAUGACUUCACCGCCGGCCUGCCUCCGUCGCCGCCGACUGGUGCCUCCGCCUACACGGCUGGCCUAUUAUGCCGCCGCUGUUGGGCGUCUAUGACUUCACCGCCGGCCUGCCUCCGUCGCCGCCGACUGGUGCCUCCGCCUACACGGCUGGCCUAUUAUGCCGCCGCUGUUGGGCGUCUAUGACUUCACCGCCGGCCUGCCUCCGUCGCCGCCGACUGGUGCCUCCGCCUACACGGCUAGCCUAUUAUGCCGCUGCUGUUGGGCGUCUACGACUUCACCGCCGGCUUGCCUCCGUUGCCGCCGACUGGUGUCCUCGCCUAUACGGUUGGUUGGUCACACCACCGUUCAUGGGCGUCCACGUCUUCGCCGACCGGCUGGCCUUCGCCGCCGCCGACUGGUGUUUUUGCCUAUACGGUUGGCAGACUUCGCCGCCGUUAAUGGGCUUCAUCAUCUACACCACUGGCUUGGUUCCACUGGCGCCGACUGGUGUUUUUGUCACCAUUGAUGGACUGCUUUAUUCCCACAUCGGCUACUUCUGCUGUCAUCGAGGGAAUACGACAAAGCUAAGUCAUCAUUUAUUUUAUUCUUUAUAUGAUAUUUUGUCUUUUCCUUUGCCUCACUACAUCAACUGGUUCGCCGUUGACUAGUGAGUCGGGGGCUAUAGAUGUUAUAUCGUAUUUUUUAAACAAUUUUCAUAAUAUUUAUCUUGAUUGCUUGCGACAUAAUCUGAGUACAAAAGUACCUAUCGAGUUAUGGAGUUCUAUCUUCCUAUGCUUUCCGUUUGGUUUGCCAAUGGAUGGUUGCCUUUGGGCCGAUUCCUAGCACCCGGGGGCUCGUUGGAUGGACCGAGUAACGCAAGGUGCUAAGUAUUAUUCGGAAUAAAUCAAAAGCAUAGAGAUGAGAUAAAUUUAUUUUCUGCUCUUAAUAAUCGCAAAAGUACCCGAGUAGUAAAUUUUGAUCCGUGAAACUUUGUUCUAUUAAUGGUGAACUCAUGUCACUCAUAUGCAUGUUUGGGAAGUGCUUAGGCCGACUCCCAGUGCUUGGUGGCUAUGACUAGUCGGGCAGAGUGUUUAAACGUAAUGAGUCAUCUGCUCGGGGAAAUCAAAAUUAACAAGAGGAGAAAUAUAUAUUUAUAAAUAUUUUAAAAUACUUGAUUUUUUUCUCGAGUAUUAUAUUUAUAUCAGAUACUACUCAUCCUAUAUGUUUGUUCUGCAGGAUCCAGAUCCAGAUAUGCACAAAAGGGAUUCAUGGCUUUAAGCUUAUCUCUUACGCUCUAGGAAUGGAUCAGUCAGAACAUCACCGACCGGCCGCCUCGUCCGCCGCCGACUGGUGUUUCCGCCUGCACGGCUGGCCUAUUAUGCCGCCGUUGUUGGGCGUCUACGUCUUCACCGACCGGCCGCCUCGUCCGCCGCCGACUGGUGUUUCCACCUGCACGGCUGGCCUUUAUGCCGCCGUUGUUGGGCGUCUACGUCUUCACCGACCGGCUUGCCUUCGCCGCUGCCGACUGGUGUUUCCGCCUGCACGGCUGGCCUUUAUGCCGCCAUUGUCGGGCGCCUACGUCUUCACCGACCGGCUUGCCUUCGCCGCCGCCGACUGGUGUUUCCGCCUGCACGGCUGGCCUUUAUGCCGCCGUUGUUGGGCGUCUACGUCUUCACCGACCGGCUUGCCUUCGCCGCCGCCGACUGGUGUUUCCGCCUGCACGGCUGGCCUUUAUGCCGCCGUUGUGGGGCGUCUACGUCUUCACUGACCGGCUUGCCUUCGCCGCUGCCGACUGGUGUUUCCGCCUGCACGGCUGGCCUUUAUGCCGCCGUUGUCGGGCGCCUACGUCUUCACCGACCGGCUUGCCUUCGCCGCCGCCGACUGGUGUUUCCGCCUGCACGGCUGGCCUUUAUGCCGCCGUUGUUGGGCGUCUACGUCUUCACCGACCGGCUUGCCUUCGCCGCCGCCGACUGGUGUUUCCGCCUGCACGGCUGGCCUUUAUGCCGCCGUUGUUGGGCGUCUACGUCUUCACCGACUGGCUUGCCUUCGCCGCUGCCGACUGGUGUUUCCGCCUGCACGGCUGGCCUUUAUGCCGCCGUUGUUGGGCGUCUACGUCUUCACCGACCGGCUUGCCUUCGCCGCCGCCGACUGGUGUUUCCGCCUGCACGGCUGGCCUUUAUGCCGCCGUUGUUGGGCGUCUACGUCUUCACCGACCGGCUUGCCUUCGCCGCCGCCGACUGGUGUUUCCGCCUGCACGGCUGGCCUUUAUGCCGCCGUUGUUGGGCGUCUACGUCUUCACCGACCGGCUUGCCUUCGCCGCCGCCGACUGGUGUUUCCGCCUGCACGGCUGGCCUUUAUGCCGCCGUUGUUGGGCGUCUACGUCUUCACCGACCGGCUUGCCUUCGCCGCCGCCGACUGGUGUUUCCGCCUGCACGGCUGGCCUUUAUGCCGCCGUUGUUGGGCGUCUACGUCUUCACCGACCGGCCGCCUCGUCCGCCGCCGACUGGUGUUUCCGCCUGCACGGCUGGCCUUUAUGCCGCCGUUGUUGGGCGUCUACGUCUUCACCGACCGGCUUGCCUUCGCCGCUGCCGACUGGUGUUUCCGCCUGCACGGCUGGCCUUUAUGCCGCCGUUGUUGGGCGUCUACGUCUUCACCGACCGGCUUGCCUUCGCCGCUGCCAACUGGUGUUUCCGCCUGCACGGCUGGCCUUUAUGCCGCCGUUGUUGGGCGUCUACGUCUUCACCGACCGGCCGCCUCGUUCGCCGCCGACUGGUGUUUCCGCCUGCACGGCUGGCCUUUAUGCCGCCGUUGUCGGGCGCCUACGUCUUCACCGACCGGCUUGCCUUCGCCGCCGCCGACUGGUGUUUCCGCCUGCACGGCUGGCCUUUAUGCCGCCGUUGUUGGGCGUCUACGUCUUCACCGACCGGCUUGCCUUCGCCGCUGCCAACUGGUGUUUCCGCCUGCACGGCUGGCCUUUAUGCCGCCGUUGUUGGGCGUCUACGUCUUCACCGACCGGCCGCCUCGUUCGCCGCCGACUGGUGUUUCCGCCUGCACGGCUGGCCUUUAUGCCGCCGUUGUUGGGCGUCUACGUCUUCACCGACCGGCUUGCCUUCGCCGCUGCCGACUGGUGUUUCCGCCUGCACGGCUGGCCUUUAUGCCGCCGUUGUUGGGCGUCUACGUCUUCACCGACCGGCCGCCUCGUUCGCCGCCGACUGGUGUUUCCGCCUGCACGGCUGGCCUUUAUGCCGCCGUUGUUGGGCGUCUACGUCUUCGGCCCCGGCAAACCCGACCGGCCGGCCGACUGGUGUUUCCGCCUGCACGGCUAGCCUUUAUGCCGCCGUUGUUGGGCGUCUACGUCUUCACCGACCGGCUUGCCUUCGCCGCUGCCGACUGGUGUUUCCGCCUGCACGGCUGGCCUAUUAUGACGCCAACUGAUGCUAUCUUCUUCACGGCUGGCUACAUCACCGUCACCGCUAAUAGGCAUCAUCAUCUUCAACGCAAGCUGUCUACGUCUACUGCUGACUAGUGCCCUCACCUCUACGUCUGGUUUAUACAGCUACCACUACUGAUGGACAUCAUCGUCUACCGUCGCCGACUGGUUAUGCCGCCGUCUACUGCAAUGCAACUUUGUCAUCAUGGUGGAGCGACUUCAUCUUUAUUAUCUUCGGCACCGGCAAACCCGUUUGCUGCUACUUCGCAAGUUUUUCUACUUCAUCAACCAUGACGUCUCGGCAUCUCGGCAUGCGAUGCCGUGUUAUUUUACUACAACAAGUGGCUCUCCAAUAUUCAGUAUUUCUACUUGGACAUCUUCAACGCAUAUCUUCAAUCAAGCAAUGACUAUUCAACGACAAGAAGCUACAGUGCUCGACUCUAUGUUCAGUUGUUUCCCAACUAACCAAAGAGUCGGGGGCUACACAAAUAUAAGACUCUUAAAAUUUGACAAAUUUUAUGUCAAGCUGAAGAAAUUAAUUCAUCAACUCACAAGUCAACUCCAGGAGUCAUUAUCCUCGUCUUUGCUUUAGAGCAGAGUUAUCAACCAAUCAGCUCAGUUUCGACGAGUUGGACAACAUCAUCUACUUUCCUCCAAGUGAAGCAUCUGCAACAGCUAUAACAACAAUUUGAUGGAUUAUUGUCACUAACAUCAUCACCAGCACCUCUGCUUCAUCGGCCCUAACAUCAGCUCUGUUGCUAAUGGAUGACUACGUCUUCGCCGACUUAUUAUUUCACUUUCAUGGUUGCUAUUGACUGGAUCACCGACAUCGUUAUCUUCAUCAACAUCCUGUCAAGCCUCUUCAACAUAGCCCACUCUAUUGCUAUUGAUGGGCAACUUCGUCAUUAUAUUUGAUCAUCUAUGAUUGCUGCUUAUCAUCAUUACAGUCGGUUGCGUUUGUCGUCGCCGACUAUUUUCUUCAUCUUCAUGAUUGGUGGAUUUCGUCAUUGUCUUUGAUGCAUGUCUACAUCUUCACCGUCGGCUUGCUUUCGUCACCACCGACUGGUAUCCUCGCCUUCAUGGAUGGCUUAUUAUGUCGCCACUAAUGGGCAUCUUCAUCUUCUUCACCUGCUGCAUCGCCUGUCACCGACUGAUUAUUUCGCUGCCAUAGCUACACAACUUUAUCACUGAGCGCCUUCAUAUUCAUUGCUGGCUGAUCUGAUUGCUGCCGACUGGUUUCUUCGCCUCCAUGGCUGUGCAACUUCAUCACUUCUGAUUGGUAUCACUAUCUUCACUAUCACCAAUAUUUUUGCCACCUCUGCUGGGCAAUAUUAUCUCUGUAUUGGUCGUCUUGUCUCUAUGCCAACUGCGUCAGCUACCAUCAAUGAACAAUUGUGACUACGUGCUCAGGGGCUUACUAGCUCAAAUACAAGUAUUAUAUCUUCAAUUUGGACUUGCUCUGGAUACAUGCAACAUGAAUUCAUGAUCAUGGGUCUAUUUUAUAUGCUCAAAGACUGGACUAUUUAUUAUUCCCCGUAAGGGUUAUCAACUGAAUACUUGCGCCAGUUGGGAUUCAAUUGUUACAUCUAUUUUGGAGUAUCCCAUAAGGGAUAAUCACUCAGAUCAGAAGCUAUUCAUAUGAGCUACGCUUGGUCUAUAUUACCCGGAAGAUUUAUUACUCGGGAGCAUGUUAUAUGCGUCAUCCUUUAAAGGGUGUCGAAGGCAUAUUUUUUGGCCUAGGCCUAAUAUGUCUGCAGCCCAUAUUUUCAGGUGUGGCCUGUCACGUUCUUUUAGGGACUUAGGCACUUUUUGCUUAGGCCAAAGUGCGCGUGAUCAAGUGCCCAAUACCUUAAAAUCCUUUUAUACCGCAGUUACUCGACUUUUUAGGAGUCGGUACAAUGCAUCUUAAAAGGUGUCAAACAGUAAAGCUUUAUAUAGCUGCCCCGCUGACUUUUUUAUAUAGUCAAGGUGCUGUUUGGGUUUAUCAAGCAAUUGAUUGGAUACAAUAUCAUUGCUUUUUGCCACGUAAGUGUGCAUUUUUAUUGACCAAUAUUAUGGCUUAGGCUGAUUAUAUAUUAUGGUCAUUUUUCAGGCGGUUGGUAAAUCCUUUAUGAGUUUACUUACUCGGAUGUUAUACCACAUGUGCCAUAUAUUUCCAGGUGUGGUGAAACCAUGUGUCUUUUAGGGACUUAAGCACAUCUGUUAAAGCAGUGUGCGCAUGGCGUAUGCCCAAUACUUUGGAAAUUUCUUUAUUCACAGCAUUCAAGCUUCUUUAUAGUUGUCUUGCUAUGUGAACUUUCAAAGAUGUUGUCAACUUUAGGUUGUAUGCAUCAUAUUUUGCCAAGCAGUCGGUAUAUCACUUGGAUCAUAUUAUUCGGGGAUUCACACCGCAUAUGCUAUAUAUUGAUAUCAAGUCACUUGGUUGAUUACAAUUAUCAAAACCACUCGGUUGGUUAGAUUAUUUAUUCCUUGACUAUAUGUUUGGUUGGUUCAAUUAACCACAUAGUCGGGGGCUGCACCUAUUAGGUGCAUCUAUUCGAUGUACCUGACUUUAUUUUUCAGCCCUCCACAGUCUUCAGAUUUGGUAAAAGUACUCGGGAGACCAUGGCGAAGAUGAUUGAAGCACUCGGCUUUGGAGUAAUCUAGUUCGAGAGAAGAUUAUAUUUUCGACUGUGAAGGUCUCAGGGGCUACUGUGGAGAUUAUGGGUACCCCAUAUCCACACGGCAUGGUUAUCCGACUAGUAAUAGGGGAUAACAUAUAUGUAUGGAAUAUGUAACAGAUCGUGACUUGGGUAUUACGUUUCCUUGUAUAUUACGGAACGGCCUAAAGUCCUGGUUUGAUAAUAUUGUAAAAUAGAUUUAGGAAACCGAUGCCGUAUUGGUUAAGGUUUCUAUCUUGUAAUCCUGCCCCCCACCCUAUAUAAGGUGGGCAGGAGGCCCUCUAGGGGGCAUGAGACAACCUGAUCGUCAGAUCUAUACUACACCCGGUGGAUUCAAAUCCCCAAACAGGAGUAGGGUAUUACCUCUCAUUGAGAGGGCCUGAACCUGUCUAAAUCCUGUGUCUCCACAUCCAUCCACUUUUAGGUCUCGUGCGCUACCCCGUUUUAUUAUUGCCGAAUUCAUGUUUCGACAUGAAAAAUGCCUUCCAAUCACGUCCCAUCCAAACUUUUGCAUUUCAUACUGUUCCUGUUUUGCGUUUUGCCAAAUCCUUUGCAUAAAUGUAAUAAAUGCCUAUUACUUUAGUUGACCGUCGAUCAUCGAUAUUUAACCGUUAAUUCUCUGCAAUGACUUUCUUUAAAUUUAUAGCACAAAGAAAAGAGCUUCCUCACUAAAGAAUAAUUCACAAUUAUGCAAAAAUAUUAGGGUGGGCCAAAAUAUACGAAUUCACUAAAUUUUUAAUUUCCCUUGAAUUUGAAAAGAAAAUGAAUCGAGUAAAUUCCAUAAAACUAGAAACAUACUAAGAAAACUAUCAGAAAGCCAUAUUUUUUUAAAACGUUAUAAUUAGUAGUGAAAAAACUACUACUCCCUCCGUAAUAAUAUGCAGCUCUCUUUAUUUAAAACAUCAUACUUUUAUAGAUAUUGUUGGUUAAAGUAGCAUUUUAAAAACCGUGUCAAGGUCUAAAAAUGUUUAUAUUUUAUGACGGAGGAAGUACAUAAUUAGUUGUGAAGUUAUCACAUAGAAGAGAAAAUUUGAUUGGUAGCGCAGAUCUUAUCUUAGUGAAAAAAAAAUAGCACAACAAUCAUGCUCCUCCGGCUAAAGGCAUGUUACAAACAAGGAUCUGAACACCAAAAGAUAUUAAAAAAAAUAAAAAGAAGUCCUCAAGUCAACUCCUUCCUCCUUCCCAAGGACCCAAUCCCGUCACCAUGGCGAAAAGAAGCAGUGGAGAGACAUACAUAGUGAAGAGAAUCCAUUACAUGCCACUGACUUUGUCACACGUCUAUGAUUUACCACUGAUUUUAUCACAUUCUAAGAUAUACCAUCGACUUUUGCUUAACUUCUACGAUUUACCAUCGCCAUCCGGUUAGCCUCCGUGAGUUCUGUACAAAUUUGUCGAAAUUACCAAAAUACCCAUGGGACAAAAACUUCCAAAAUUUGGAUAAAAUAAUCAAAAUAUCAUAUUAUAAACAUAAGAUCGUAAACAUCCAAAUUUUGGCCAAAAACUUGAAAUCUGAUAUUUCGAUUAUUUUAUCCAAAUUUUGGAAGUUUUUAUCCUAGGGGUAUUUUGGUCAUUUCGACAAAUUUGUAUAGUACUAACGGAGGCUAACCGGACGGCGAUGGUAAAUCGUAGAAGUUAAGCAAAAGUCGAUGGUAUAUUGUAGAACGUGACAAAGUCAGUGGUAAAUUGUAGAUUUAUGACAAAGUCAGUGGCAUAUAAUGGAUUCUCUCUAUAGUGAACUAUGUAGCAUCCAAAUAAAGAGAAUAUAUACUCGAGACAACAGAAUAAACAGAAAGAUCAUAGCAUGUAUACGGCUGUGUUUGGAACCCUGGUUCCUAACUCAUCUUCAUCGUAUUCCGCGCGCAUGUUUUUAAUAAUGCUAAACGGUGUGUCUUUUGCAAAAUAUUUCUAAACGAAAGUUGCUUAAAAAAAUUAUAUUAAUCUAUUUUUGAAAAAAAAAUUAGCUAAUACUUAAUUAAUCACACGCUAAUAAACCGCUCCGUUUUCAUGCACGAACACCGUCGACGAGAAGGCGAGUUGGAAAUCAGAACCAAAAAAACAAACAAGGAAGCAACGUUGAUUAUAUAUCUGCAGACAACCAGGAGGAUUUCAAACAUGUUGUUUCCCUCCGACAUCACUAGCUCACUGGAUACGAUUUUUGAGUACUUUAUACUAAGCAUUCCAUCUUACCAUUAAAGAGGGAAAGCAUAAAGUGUUUACCUUAUCAACUUACCCUGAACUUACCAUAUAAAGGACAGGGAAAUGAAACCCCUAAUCUUUGGAUCCCUAGAUCUUCUUUUUGGCGGCGCACAUGUGCUCCCCCUGUGGAUGAUCACUUUUGGCUCGUGCCAUUGCCAGGGGUUUAGGCUAGCUACUUUGGGCUAGAGAUUCCUAGGUCACAAGUCACAACCCACACCGUCCACAUGGCAAAAACUAUAAUCAUCACGGCACAAUUCUGCAUAGACUAGAGGAUGAUCAUUCCUGGUACGUUGCAGUGUUGCUGAAAGAUUUUGUGUCGUGUGCAAUGGAUCUGUGCUCUACCACACUCUUGGAGAAAUGCAGGAUUACCUAACUGGCAGAGGAGGAGUUACCAUGUACCGAUAGGAAGACCGAUAACUGCGGUAAUCGCGCGGUUACCACAGUGAAGUGAUAAAACGAAGCGGAAUUGAUAAAAAAAUUGAAUUGUUAUUUAAAUUUCUUUAAUUAAAUUGGUAGCGUUGUGGGGCACUUGUUUUUACCAGUAACGGACGGUAAGGCAGACCCUAUAGAUAAAUGAUGUUGGACAACUAAUAUAAAAAAAAGUCUCUAUUGAUAUUUUCAUAGAUUAGAGUCAUUACUUUCAGUCAUGUAAAAUUCCAUUUAAAUUUUGUUGCAUGGCUUGGUCAGACAUAGGCACUUUUUUAUUAGAUUUUCAGCGGCAUGUGAAACGAGUUAAGCCAUUAGCACAUGAUUAAAUCGAUUUCUACCUUAGAAUGUAUUUAUUUAUUUAUUGAUUAGAAUGGAUUUAUUUAUUGAUUGAUUAAACUUAUUGUCAGUAUCAUGAGUAUGGGAUGCCUAAUAUAUUAAGCUUAGCGGGACGCACCAUAUACCAAGCUUUAUACAAAAUUUAACCUCAUAUACAAAAUGGUUUCGGAUAAGAAAAGAUAAAUAGAGUUCUAGUUGGACACCACAAUGUCUACUCGAAUUGUAUUCAUACUUGACUCUCUAAUUCUCCUUAAACAAGAGGACACUCGAGGGUAAAAAUACAAGACUCUCUAAGAGGAGAUGGGCCACAACAACAUAGGUUAAGGCAAACUAACACAAAUCAGCACAAGCCAAGCCAAGCUUAUAGCGCCACAGAAGCCAUGGCAAUAAAAGACAUCUCCAAUCUCUCCAAGUUCAUAUUUGAGUAAGUCGACCAUCACUAACCAUCGACGGGCCACCGCUAAGCCAACAACGGAGCUACAACCGGGAUCACCCAAAACCCUAUCCUAACAACCAACACUUACUACACUCUAUCCACAUCUUUGAGAUUUAGGGAGAGAGAGUGAGGGAGAAGGAUGGAACCGCUCUCCUGUAGGCUCCCCGACAUGGCCAACUUUUAUAAGUUAGGGCGCCGACACAAGAUGACCGAAAUCUAGAGCGAGCUUGCACCGCUUGUCAGGGAGGUUUCAAUAAGGGGGUUGCUAGACGACAUCUCCAGAGAGAGGAGCGACGAAAGCACUGUCGUCGCCGUUUGUCGAGGUCUCAAGGAGAUCGAGACUGGGUUUUCACCCGGCAACCCCACUAGAGGAGAUGAGAUCACAUCCCUCAAAAGGGAAAUGACGUUUGGAAACAUCAUCGUUGCCGGCCCAGUCGAGACUGGUCUAGGUUUUCACCCGCUGUUUGUAUAUCUGCAGCUGAUGUACUAUUGCUCCACCACGGUUAGCCCUCGUUGGCGCAUGGGCAAGGCUGCACCGGUGCCCCCCGCCGGCUAGCCUCCGCAUGCCUUCAUGCGGCCACCCUCAUGUCGACCACUGGAUCUAGCCAAGGGGUGACCUCCUGCACGACUGGGUUGACCCCAAGCCUCUGCAGCAGCCGCUUCACCACGUGGAUAAGGCAGCACCCGCGCCUCUCGAGCACUAGCACCGGGCUCUCCACAUAGCCCUCAGCACCUUCGCCGCUUCCUGCUGUUGCUGUUGUCGUUGCGCUGCCACCGCUGCGACCCCACCACCUACAUCCUUCUCUUUGGCGGCGCCGCGUGUGGAAUGGCCCACCGGCUCACGUCCUUUGCCUUAUCGGCUGCCGUCGUCUCCUCCACCUCGCCACCUCCAUAGUCCAGCCCUACCUGGACUUGUCGUCGACGCCGACCCGGCUCUCCGCCGCCGGAUCUAGACGCUUCGGGCCGCUUCUCCUCGGCGCCGAUGCUAUACUCUGUGCUCCUUUAUUGCUGACGCCUCGAUUGUCUUGGCCGCAAGCACGGGAGAGAGAACCCGCUGCCGCCGUCCAUGCAGCCGCCUGGCUUUGCCGGUGGCGGCUUGGGCGGUGGCGAGGCGGGGGAGAGAGGGGGGUGGCGUGGCUUGUUUCGUCGCCUGCGUCGCCCCGGGUUCUGAGAGAGGCGCCGUCACUAUUCCCCCGAAUUUUUAUUGACUGAAUGUACGGAAAAACUCUUGCCAUUUUCUUAUCCCAUAUAUAUAAUAUAUAUAUUUAUAUAGUGGUGUUGUGCCAAUUUAUAAUUUUAACAGCAAGAUUUUAAAUACGAAACAAAUUUAGAUUUGUUUUGAGACUAACGAAUUAACAAUUUGAGGGGCGCCGCACGCAGAAGUGCAGCGCGCGAGAACCACGCCUAUUUUCCCGCGAGAAAAUGGAUAUUAAGCCACGUUCAAAACUGGGCUUCGCCAGAAUGCCAUCCCGAAAACGGGAUUCGCUAAAAUGCCAAGAUGAAGCGCGCCGCACUCGCCACUUUGCCAUUUUCCUCCUUUUGCUCAUUUUCGAAAUGAUUUUCCCUUCUAUGCGAGUUGACCUGACGAAAUUGCCCCUGCGGUCGGGUCUUGAAAGCGAGAGGGGGUUGAGCCAGCCCGUGUGUUCGCCGUGUGCGCUCGGUCGCCUCUCUCUCUCUCCUUGCCGUUGCAGAGCGCCGCCGCCGUGCCAUGCAUCUCCGGUCCGGCUAGUCGAGGCUAGCUGGCAGGUCGAGGAGGAGUUGACGCACAAAGCCGCCGUCCAUCCCCAGGCCCCGAAGCUCGUCGCGGGCAUCAGAGAGAAGAACCCUAACCCUAACUAGGGUUAGGGUUAUGGCGAUGCAGCGAAGAAUUGCUCAAGGUAGCGAGGACAUGUCCCAAGGUAGUUCCUUUCGUGCUCCCGGGCGCCAACUCUCUCGUUUUCUUCUUGGUCCCAGUGGACUUCCUCUUGUGAAGUGCCCAAGAUGUGGGAAUGCAGUAGUGGAGUGCAAAUCCUGGAGGCAAGGUGGUCGAGUGUUUUUCAAAUGCGAGAAGAAUGAACAAUAUGUAAGUGAACUCUCUUAGUUUGAUUUCAGAUGAGAUGGUUGGAAUUUCAGAAUGCAUAGUUAAUUUUAUUUGGUAUUGUUGUUUUCAUAGGUUCCAGAUGCUUGCACGUUUUUCAAGUGGUAUGAUAGUUACCAAAGAAUGGUGGAAGGAAUGGAAUUAGAUUUCAAUGAAGAAGUUGCAACCCCAGUUGCAAUAGCAGCAGCAGGUGAGGCUGACAAGGUUGAUGAAGGGAAGAUGGAUAAACUAACUAAGUGGAUGCAACUUCUUGUGUUGAUCAACAUAGGGCAAGGCAUAUUAGUUCUGAUGGGAGUGUUUGUUUUGCUUAUGAAAUGAUGGAUGUAAUAGGAACGCAGUGAAGCAAACUUGAUGUGUUUGUUUUGAUUUUGGUAAUAGGAACGCAGUGAAGCAAACUGGACCGGUUUAAUAUAUGUCAAGUCUUUAUGGCUAUUUGAGAAUGUGGAAAAAAUAUGUGGGGUUGCAUUGUUAUAUAAUUUGUGCAGUGUUUUGGCUGUGUGUUCAAAAUAUGGGUUACUGCCUAUAUAGUUAAUUCAGUGUGUGGCAAAUGUGAAUCAAACAGCACAAUGUCAGGCAGGCAGUAUUUUGGCAGCACAAGCAGCACAAUCAGGCAGUAUAUAGCCAGUGGUACAUUCAUGCAGUAAAUGAUGCAUUGUAACAAUUCCAGGCAUUAAAACAAUUCCAGGCUGUGUAAAUGGGCACAAUGACAUAAUAUCUCCAACAACAUAGUCACUGCAAAUGCAUAGGCUGUCACAUAUUGUCAGAUAAGUCUUAACCAAAAGCCAAGCUAAGCUAUUACAGAUUGUCAUUGCAAAUGCAUAGGCUGCUGUUACAUAUUAGCAGUGGAGACAUAAGCAGAUAAGCUGCUACCAAAAGGUACCAAACAGUAUUAGUACUGAAUACAUAGUGAAGCUGCUACCAAAAUACAUCCAAAUGCCCACAUAUUACAGACCAACUAAUUCAGUUCUUUGGUGUAAGCUUUUUCCUUGGAGAUCUUCUUGGUGGUUCUGGAACCAUUGUGGGCUGCUUGCUUGAUCCUGCUUGCACUGUGGGCUGGGAGCUUGAUGUGGUUUGCAUUGUGGGCUGGGAGCUAGGUCCAGCUUGCACUGUGGGCUGGGAGCUAGGCCCUGGUCCAUUCAUCAGCUGUGCCAACCUACUGCUAAUUUGAACACAAUACAAAAUGCAGGCAACUUAAAAACAGAAUGAUUCACAUUAAUAAUUGGCUGUCAAAAAAGGGCAAACUUACCUUCUUGUCAACCUUCCAGGGUUGUCUUGCAAUAUUGUGUCCACUGUAGGCCUACUUGGGCUUGGAAUUUCAGAUGUGUGGCCAUACUUGGUAGUAUUCCUUCUAGGCUUCCUUUUCCUGCAUACAAAUUAAAAGUUAGCAAACAGUGGAGCACAAUGAACUAAAGAUGCAAACUUAUUUAUACCUUUUCUUAGUUCCAUUGAGUGCACAUUUGUAGCUGUUUUGUGUAUGACCCAACUCUCGACAACCUUUGCACCUCCUCUUGCCUCUAAGCAGUUGCCUCUUGCCCUUAUCAGUAGCAGUUGGUUCAGCUAUAACCUUAGCUUUCUUCUUGCCCCCACCUUCAAGACAACCCUUGAACCUAAGUUUUCUGUUUCUACCAGAUGUCUUCCUUGGUAGUGGUGCACCCAACACCCAUGGUAAAUCAACCUCUGGCCAGUGUGAUCUGUCACCUAAAGGCUCAAUUACCCUCUUAUAUGCAUUCCUAAACAUCUGCACAGUGUAGUACCUAUCAACAAAAUCUUCAAUGUGCACAUCUCUGCUUUGCUGUGAAGUAAUCAAGGCCAGUGCAUGCUGGCAGGGCUUCCCUGUAUGCUGCCACUCCUCACAAGAGCAAUAUUGCAGGCAUGCUUUCACAAUGUACUUCCCAUGUAUGCUGCUGUUAUCAACAACUUCAGCAGUGAAACUAUCAGCUUUAACAACUGAGAGGUGACCUAAUCCCCUUGUCAUUGCUACCAGUUGCUUGUUGACAGCAGGUAAAAUUUUCCCUGUCAUCCUCUCUGCUAUCCUCCUUCUCUUAUUCCAUAGCACCAUCACUUUUUCUCUAUACUUGUCAGCUAACUCACAGACAGGCAGGUCCUUAUAAUCCUUAAUCCAGUUAUUGAAGCUCUCUGCAAGGUUGUUGGUGACAUAAUCACACUUGAUUUCAGGGUUGAAUGCACUUCUCAUCCACAUUAAAGGAUGGUAGGUCUCAAGCCACUCUAGCACACCAGGACAUGAUAUUACAUGUUUCAUGUGUUCUUGCCACACUGUUUUCCUAUAGGUUCUAGCAGUUGGGUACAUAUGGGAGUGGCCAUCACUACCAAAUCUUUUAACAAAAUUUUUCAUUAGGUGCCAAAAACACUCCCUCUGCUCAGCUUUUUCAAAUACAUUAUGCACAGCUUUCUCUAGCCCUUUACAUGCAUCAGUACAAAUUGCUAAGGGAUCAACAUCUCCUAUAGCUGUCUUCAAUUGUUCCAUGAACCAUACCCAGUUAUCCUCAGUCUCAGCAUCUAUGAAACCAAAUGCUAAGGGGUACAUCUAAUUGUGUCCAUCUAUACCUGUUGCAGCAGCCAUAUGACCAUUCCAACUUCCAUUGAGAGCAGUGGAAUCUAUACUAAUAUAUGGUCUGCAACCCUCCAAGAAACCAUCUAUGCAAGGCUUAAGGGCACAAAAAAAUUCUGUGGAAGUGCACAUGGCCAUCAACCUCCUUGGUGCCAAUCUCUACAACACUACCAGGACAAGUCCUUAAGACCUGUGCUCUCCACCUAUACAACAUGUGGAAGCUUUCUUCCCAUGACCCAUACAACUCUAACAAAGCCCUCUGUCUACCCUUGCAAACUGUGUCAUACUUAAUUGUACACUUGUGAUCUUCUUGCAACCUUAUCAUCAAGCUUUUAGGGCCCAUACCUGGAUUAGUCUUUAAGAUCUUCACAGCCUUUGAAGCAACCCAUUUGGUAGUUGGUGUAGUGGUCCUCCUUCUGCUGCUAGAUGUACAGGUAUGAAAAUCUGUUAACACAGUCACCUGCCAAUUAAUUGAACAAAUACAUUAUAAACCAAACCAUAAAAGUAAUAUAAAUAACAAAAUUCAAAUUAACCUUAAUUGUCUUCAAGUCAGCCUGCCUACUUCCAACAAUAUGCCAAACACAACCAUCCACUUUACAACCUCCUAUAUAUCUUGUUGGGUCAGUCUUCACCACAUCCAAUUCAAAUUCGUUGUUAAUAGCAAACUGUCUCAUUGCCAAUCUAAACUCCUCCAUGCUGGGGUAUGCAGUUCCAAGAUCCAUGCAAGGGUUGUCAGGGUCAUAUGCCAUCACAUUUUCACCAGGAAUUGAAUCAUCCACUGGAAGUGCAGCAUCCAUGUCAUCUGGGCCUCCUACUCCAGCAACAUUGACAUCAGGGUCUCCUCCUUCAACAUUUUGAGCUGCAUUUGGGGCUGCUUCUCCACCAGCAGCCUGCCUAUUCCUAUCAGCUUGCUCAUCCUCAGCCCUCAAUCCCAACAACUCAUAAAACUUGUCAUCAUCCACUAUUUCUAGCCUCCCUUCUUCCUCAUUCUGGGCCAAAACCUCUAGGCUAUCCCAAUCCACAGCAGGAGGUGCAUCAACAGCUGGCCCAUGAGGUGGCGCUGGUUCGACAACUCCAUCAGAUGCGACAUAGAAAAUGGUUUCAACUCCUGCAUCAGCAUCUACCGCUCCCGCAUCACCAACUACAACAUCUAAACUACGUUCAGGCUCCUCCUCGAGCCUGGUAAGAUAGAAAAAAAUACGCAAGUUAAAUGAUGCGCAAACUACAACGAACUCGCCCACACUCGCAACAUCAACAACAUUCAAAUCGCCAAAGGUUUGAGAAUGGAUUCACUUAUCCGGCGACGAGUUCAUGCCAAGUACACUCCAUAUUCGCCACCCUCACCACCCCGGGAUGCAGUGCGACGGCGGCGCCUACAUGCGGUGUGUCGACGGUGAGCUCCUUCCGCGACGAGCCGUCUUCAUGACCAGAUCGAUUUCUUCGCCGACGAGCAGACAGGAUGGAGCGGCGGAGGAAGAGAGAGACGGCCAAGAACCCACCUCUGGAUCUCAAUCCCCUUUCUACCCGACCGCAGGGGCAAUUUCGUCAGGUCAACUCGCAUAGAAGGGAAAAUCAUUUCGAAAAUGAGCAAAAGGAGGAAAAUGGCAAAGUGGCGAGUGCGGCGCGCUUCAUCCUGGCAUUUUAGCGAAUCCCGUUUUCGGGAUGGCAUUCUGGCGAAGCCCAGUUUUGAACGUGGCUUAAUGUCCAUUUUCUCAUUUACCCGCCAAACAGCUCAAAGAAACCCAACCAUUCGCGCGCUUUCUGAAACACCCCGCGAGGCCGCGACCUUUCGUCUUCCCCUUUCACCGCGAAGAGCAAUCCGCCGCGAGCACGAUCCGCUGCUUCCGCGGCCACCGUCGCCACCACCGCCGGCGUUCGUGGCAAUGGCGAGGCCUACUGAAUCCUCUGCCUCCAUCGCUAGCGGCGGCCUCGCCGCACCGGCUCCCCCAACCAAUCCUCGCAACGCUAUCCCCGCUGCGAACCCGGCGGCGAAUCCCAUCUCCGGCGCGGCUCACUCCGCUCCGGCGAACGCUCCUCCACCCGCGACCGAGUGUCCAGUCCCGCCGCCGCCGCCUCUCCCCAGGUGGUCCGAGGUCGACGAGGAGAGGAUCCUCGAGAUCCUCUGCGACCACCUCCGCCGCCACGACGACCUGCCGCAAGGCGUCGACCUCCUCAUGGCCGUCUACGGCCUCCUCACUCGUACGGACUACAGCCUCGCGGAGCUCGAGGGGCUCGUCACCGUGCUCCGGCGGCGUUUCGAGGAGAACGACGCGGUGCUCUGCAGCGGGAGCGGCGGCCCUGCUCCGGGGCACCAGCUCCGGCUCUACACCCUCUCCCUCGAGGUGUGGGGCGCCGCUCCGACGGCCGUCGCGCCGCCCAAACCCGCCGCCGCGGCCACACCCACCACGGCGCCCGCCAAGAACGCGCCGGGGACAAGCUAUCCGGCCCGGCAGGCGGGCCGCCCCCGCCAAGCGGCGGCGCCGCCGGCUAAGAAGGUGCGGUACGAGGAGAUGCGCGUGCAGUACCCGAGGCUGGCGGCGAAGGUGGACGAGAUGGCGAGGAAGGCACUCGAGGGCGUCAGCGACAUGACGGCGUGGUCGCUGGAGCUGAGGCUGCAGAACCAGCAGCUCGCCGGUGGCACGCCGGAGGCGCGCACCGAUGACCGGGCGAAGGAGCUGACAGGCUUGAUCUCAACCCUGAUUUGAUUUGAGACUCAUCGAAUCUCUUGCUUGCUACUGUUAGAACUCCAGUUUCGUGGCGUCAAUGGUGUCAGACAUGUGCUGCUGAUGUUCAUGUGGGAUUUGUUCUUGAUUAGAACAGUACUGCCUACAUCAUUUUGCAAUGUCAUUUUCUUUUGUUGUGUUUCCUUGUUGUCCCGUCCUGAACUCAGUCUUUUCAUCAGAUAUCUCUUUUUUCUCUAAUCCUCUGCCUGCCAAAUAUUGUCAUUGUUUUCACAGGCAUAAUUUACACUACGAUUGUACGACACAAGGUUUUAGGUGUAUUGUAUCAUCAGAUAUUUUUACUAAAUCAGAUAUUUGUCAGGUUUUGUUUUGUUUUUUUGUUUUUCUGUAUAUAACUCUUCUUUUUUAAUAUAUAUAACUACUGGGCAAAGCCCUGGUAGUAAUUUGCAUAAAAAAAAUUCUCUUGGAUUUCAUUCUUUGUUAUCAUUUCACUCAUUUCCAAGAAUGCUAACUUCCACUAGUUCCGACAAUACCUUUGUAUUUCGCUUUGGUAGAUUGGCACUUUGAUGUAACCCUGUAUUGGUAACUGUCGACCAGAAUGGUCAGAAAACACGUUGAGAGUUUGGACAUCUUUUUAAAUAUUUUGUCACAGAUGACCCCAUGUAUUCUGGAUAAAUCAUAACAUUUCUCACGGAUUAUAGCAUUUGGUUAGUCUUACAUUAACUGAUGUAAUAAAUAGGCCGUAAAACUGAAGUUCUUUAUUUCUUGGUGUGAAUGGCAAAGCGUUUUAAUUAUCAGGUUAAUUCACAAUAAUCUUUUUCAGGUUAAUUCUCCACAUCUAGAUUUGAUACGGCGUGGUUAUUAGAAAGCUUCUGUGGGUUGGAUGCUAAACAAAUUGACCAUUUCUUGGAUUUUGUUAGGGCAUGCCCAAGUCUUCUUUUUUUUUUUCUCAGAUUCAAGUUAUAGCAAUUGCUAUGGUUUGGAUGAUAAAAACAACUAGUCAAUUGUUGGAUUUAUAAAAACAUACCCAAUUUAUUAUUUUUUUGAUGGGAACAUACCCAAAUUAUUGAAAAUAAAUUGUCCAAGACCUAGAAAAUAUAGGACUUAGUUAAAUUUUUAGCUGAUCCUAAGCAUUGCAAAAAUUUUGAUCUUACAUAGGACCGAAAGUUCGGAUAUGUCGAAAUAAUUUUGUCUGAAAUCUCUAGUACAGAAACCGCCAAAGGUGCCAGUUGGAAAUAUUUCCAACCGGCACCUAUUGGUCGGCACCAAUAAGAAAAACCGACACCCGUGACAAAAUAGAACCGUCACCUUUAGCUUUGCUCGAGCCAAAAAAAAAAGAGCAAGCUGACUCGAAUCGAGCCGAACUCACCAUCCACACUCCACCGCCGUUCCUCCCUCGAGCCCAUCCCUACUCCCCUUCAUCACCGCCUCUCGGAUCCGAGAUAAACUCAACAACAAACUAGUAUAUUCAUCAAGAACUAGCGAAUAGUACAAACCAUUAAGAACUCAAGUUUGGGACUAGAACUCAACAAGAAAUCAAAAAGAGAAACUCAAGAACACAUGCCACCAGGGUUUCAAAAAAGAGCACAUGCCGCCACAUCGCCCGCACCACCGCUGUCCUCCACGCUCGCCGUCGUCACCGCAUGGGGAGGGUGCGGCCGCUGCUGCCACCAAGUUGUGCCGCUGCUGCCUCUGCCAGGCGGGAGCCCGCUGCCUCCCCACUAGCUCCCCUGGCGCCGGAUCUAGCGGAGGGGAGCUCGCCGCCUCCCCUCCUGCCGGAUCUGGCGGAGGGGAGGGUGUGGCCGCCGCCGCCGCCGCCACCUCAGCCAGCCAGCCGCCGGUCAUGGGAGGGGAGCCCACCGCCUCCCCACUGCCUCCCCGCCGCCGCCGCCUCUGCCAGCCAGCCACCAGCCAUGGGAGGGGUGCCCGCCGCCGCCGCCGCCGCCACCUCUGCCAGCCUGCGCCCGGCCAUGGGAGGGGAGCGACGCGAGAGAGAGGGAGGGAGAGCGAUGCGAGAGAGAGAGAGGGGAGGGAGAGUCGGAGAGAGAAACACGAGAAGGGAUGUGAUCGAUGUGUAGAUAAGGACCGUGUGGUGUGGACGACUAGAUAAGGACGUUCGGUGGGUGUGGACCGUGUGGUGCUGCUGAGUCGCUGAUGGCUCGGCUCGUCGGCUCGGCUUAAGCUAUAGGUGCCGGUUAAAAAACCGGCACCUAUAAUAUAUAUGUGCCGGUUUUUUCGCUAGAACCGACACCUAUAGUGUUUAAAGGUGUCGGUUCUAUAUUUUUCCAUCACAGGGAGGUGGGAAAUUGUCUAUUGGUGCUGGUUUUAAACCGACAUCUAUGAGCCGAUCCCUACGAGGGAUUUUGCUAAGUUAACAAAAAGUAGGAAGAUCUGGAGAAUAGUUUCCUAUUGGGGUGUGGGUGUGUGUGUGGGUGGGGUGGUGUUCCGCAAUUUUGGACCCUUCUGAGAAAUAGCAAAAAUCUUGAAUGAAAUGGAUGAACGUGAUGACAAAUUGAAUUUAAGUGGCCUCAAAACGAAAAACUGAAUUGUACAUGAGAAUUAUAUUACCAUUCAACAAACUCUUUACACAAGUACCUGGAAAUGGAAUCUCAGACUUGGAUACAUGAAGCUUAUGUCAACUUCUUUACGUGUUAUCUUGUCGAUAUAGAACAAUAAAGUGCAGCAUUCCCUAUACGAUAAUACAUGCUUACAGGCAGUAAUUAAUAAAACAAAACCUUACCUAGCAUUGAAACGAAUGUUGACUUAACCAUAUCAGUAUUGUAUAUAGAAGUCAACUGAUAUAGCCCAUACGUGGCUGGGACACGUAGUUGGAUCAACAAGAAAGGGUAUGCAUGCAUGCGCGCAAAAUCUGGUCUGACGGACACCUCGUUCCUCCUGCACAAGUAGAAAGGGAUGAAGCAUCUCCAGUUUCUACUAUAAAUACAUCACAAUAUUGACACAAACUCAACAUCCAGCAAAACCAAGCACACAAACACAUACAUUUGCCCAAACUUCAACCAUGGCUCUCAAAUCUGCAGCUCUUCUCGCCAUUGUCAUCACCAUGAGCCUUCUCUCAGUGGAGGUCGCCAAUGGCUGUGGUGACACGAGCUGCUCAAACCCAUCCCCACCACCGCCGCCCGCUGUGCCAACACCAACAGGGGGUACAUGCCCCAUCAAUGUGCUUAACCUUGCGGUGUGCGCUAACGUGCUCAGCUUAAAUGUUCCUUCCUCGCAGUGCUGCACACUGCUUCAAGGGCUCGCUGACCUGGAUGCAGCGCUUUGCCUAUGCGCUGCUCUUAAGGCGAAUAUCCUUGGUGUUAUCAACGUAGACGUUCUAGUUGAUGUCACUCUCAUUCUUAACUCAUGCAACAGGACAUGCCCUCCUGGCUUCACUUGCCCACUCUAAGUAUAUAUAUAUAUGCACCUCCUGAAUGUGUUUGUUUUCUCCGUUGUUGCUGUUACCUUCCAGUGAGUGCUAUGUAAUAUCGCAAAGCCUUAUGUGCUUAUGAAUAAAUGUUCCCUUUCCAUUGAAAGAAUGCAUGCCUUAUUUGUGCACUGUUGGGUUGUUUCUUUGUAUUGUGUUGUACAUGUUGUGUAUGCAUUUUUGUUCAACUAGAUAAAUUACUAAUGUGCUUAUUGUUUAGCCUCGGGAAGCACAUUUCAUGAAAAUAUAUAUGGCACUAGUUGGACUAAUUUGCACAUGAAAAUGAAAUAAAUGGUACCAAUGGUUUGUUUGCUAAAAGAGGAUUGAGCUUGCAAAAUUUCAAUGGAUUUCUUUUUGUGCAUCCUAGAUCUACUAUAAAUUGUAAAUUAGUUCCGAACUCAUUUUGUUUUUUUAGAAGUUCAAAGGACUGAAAAAUCUAACAAUUAGAAAAAAAAUGUGCAUCCCCUAGUCAUGCUAUCAUGAUGUGGCUAUAUGGAAAAACAACUGGGAUGCAAUUGGUGAUUCGAUGUUGAACAACCACAUCAACAAUUUAGACAAGACAAUGUCGAGAAAGCUACUACCUCCAUCCCAAAAUAUAGCAAUUUUUUACUAUGAAUCUGGACACAUAGCUAAAAAUGCUUACAUUUUGGGACGGAGGAUACUCGAUACCGUAAUUGAUGGGGACGAGGCUGAGCCGCUGAUUAUGCAUGUCACAACUGCGAUGAGACUUGUCGGCAUCGAUCACCGUCACCGGUGGGAUUCCUGUGCCACCUCACGCAAAACCAUGUAUAUGCGCUGCCCUAUUCUGGACUGCACAAUUGAAGGACAGGAGAUAUAGGAAAUUUGGCAGUACAAAGGUCAUAAGCAUGAGCUUAAAAUUUGGCCACAGUAGGAAAGAUAAAAUAUUGUAAACUGAUAAAUAUUCCACCUUGUUUUGAAUUAGAUUUUCUCCGUUCAUAGAUGGUUCUCAGCCUCCUAGGUGUUUGUAGAACGAACCCAGCAUAGAGGUGUGUUCUCUGAGCACAGACAAUGACAAAAGUGGGGUGGAAAAAUUCGCCUAUGCAUGGACCUAAGCGUGAUGGCUAUUUGUCGAUCUGUAUACCAGUCAGUUGUUGUCACAGCUGGUCUUCGGAACACGUGAUUUGCCACACAACAUUACCAAGGAGAUCAAUCAGCACACUCGCAGCCCUUCACUGCCGAGGAGAUGAAGCAACACGCAAUUCACGGGAUGAAACGAUGAGUUAAGACUACAGGCUCCCUAAGCCAAGUCAGUCGCAGACGUCGUUGCCAUUCCCAUCCAACUCUACUAGCCCUUCCAAACCCCCCUUUAUUUAUGUUGUCGCUGCAGUCGAUGUUGCUAUUGACAACAACCAUCUCAUAGUUGCCAUCGAUCACACCCAGAUCCAGAGGCCCUAAGCUCGUGUCAGCCAUAUCUGGCAACAUUGAGCACAUGCUAGUCAUAUAAGGCCCAUAGUCGCUAAUGUCUAUGCUCAGAGAGACAAAGGAGGGGCUGGUGCCAAGACUUAGGAAGUUAAGGUGUCUAUGCUUAGACAUGGGAUAUGAGGGGUCCGAUGGCGGGGAUGGGGAAAAGGAGGUGGCAAAUGUGAGUAUAGGGAGGAGGGUGUGGAAGCGGUGCUAGAAAAAGGGGCAUGUCGGCUGGACUUGGGAAAGAGAGGAUGCGGCAGUGGGCGAGCAAAAUGUAGGUGGUGGGUAAGAGCUAGAGAGAUGGGGAAUUUGGGAGAUAGCGACUUUUAGAUGGGAUAAAUAGACAGGCACGGUUUAUUUAUAUUUAUAGCUGGCGAGCCGGCUUAACCGUUGGUUCAUUCUUGAAACUGCCUCAUUGCCGGUUCAAUUUCAAAAUAUGUUUUUUACAGAAUGGAACUUUACUAAGCGGGCAGUCAUAAUGAGAAUGAUCAUGGAAAUGUAAUACAGUAUAUAUGGUUCAUAUCACAAAUAGUUAUGAAAUACUUUGCUAUUGUCAAAUGAUCAUUAUUUAGGGCUGUGAUGUUUCCUGAUUGGCUGAAAUUAAAUUAGUGUUAACGUAUUGUAUAUUUUUACAUUAUUAUACUACUUGAAAAAUUAUAAUAAUAUAUUUCAUAUAUACAAUACAGUUUGAUGAAUCGGUGAAAUGCUUACAACACAUAAUGUCUUUAAUCAAGAUCAAAACAAUAGCCCUUGUAUAUACACUCAAAUCAAUUUAUCAAAUAUGUUAGUUGUAGAACAAUGUCAGAGUUCCUUGUACCAUGAUAGAGGAUACACCAUCCUGUCAUAAAUAUAUAUUUGAUGUUUAGAAAAAAAAAUAUUCGGUUAAACUUUUCAAACUUGACGCGACCAUAUUUUAUAUUAGAAAAAGAUUAUAAAAUAUAAAAAGUUUAUGAUAUAUAUAUUAUGAUAGCGGUUUCCUAACAAAUCUAUGCAAAACAUUUUUUUAAAUAACUAACUUUCAAACUUAUUGAUGGCCAAACUUUCAAACAUUUGUUGAAGCCUUACGCUAAACGUUACCAAAGAAAGUACUAAUACAAUUAAUCAUUUUAAACAGUAGCUUGCACACUGACUUAACCAGCUAAAUAUUAAGUUUUUCAUAAAACUAAAGUCAACUGCUCUGAUCUAUAACAUACGUGGAUGCGACACGUACGUGGCUAGAUGUAUAGGAAUAAUUUGCAUGCAUUGCACGCACGUAUUCGUUUAUAGACACCUCAUUAUAUUCUGAUCACCUCCUCCUGUGAGCACAAUGAUCCACAGUUUUUGAAUGCUACCAUGCUUCACUAGAUUUGUCUAUAAAUAUAUAUAUCUCACCUUAGUGAAGCAAAACACAAAGCUGAUAGGUAACAUGUAAAAGCUUUGUACUCAUCUAAUAGAGUAAAUUACAUCCACGGUACAUCAACUUGGCAGGUAGAUGUAAUUUGGUGCAAUAACUUGAGAAAUAAUCAUUUACAACAACUUAAUAGGUAUGUGCAAUUUAGUAUAAGAAUUUUAUAAGUGAUCCUAUAAAUACAACAACUUGCAAGUUAGGUACGAUUUUCAUAGAACAAAUAAAAAGGUUAUGCGGCAACUUAAUUAUUUGGAGCAUUUUUUAUAUAAAUUCAUUUUUAAGUACUUAUUUUGACAAUAUACUAUCAUGGAUUUGUAUAAGUAUAUUUAUAUUUUUAUCCUAAUAACUAAUAAUUAAAAGUCAAUUAAUCCGGAUAUAGAAAUUAUUAUAUUUUGGUUGAUAUUUGAGAAGGUGAAGAAAACUAAAAAAGUUCUUAAAGUAAAUUAGAUGUAAAUUGUACUACAUAAGUUUUAAAGAUUAAAUUCAAUAUUAUAAGAUAAUAUCCGUAUGAUUAUUAUGUAAUGGCAUAUUGACAUCGAGAAAAAAAACUCACCUAGCAUAUGCUUAGCCUAGUUGAUGCACAAAAAUACUAAAUUGUUAAGUUCUUGUACUAAAACGCACCUACUUGUCAAGUUAUUGCACUCGGACGUUUAAUUCUCAAGUUCUUGCACUAUAUCGCACCAAUCUGCCAAGUUGUUAUACCAUGGGUGCAAUUUACUCACAAUAAUAUAACAACUUUUAGCAUUCAGGAUUUAUCCUAAAACAUGACAACUUCUCUACCAACAUUCUCUUCCCAACUUCACUAAAAAAAUUCUCUUUCCAACCAGUCACAACCUUCCACCAUUCACUUUUUCCACCGUCAUCUACUUUUUAACCAAUCACAGCAUCUUCCAAUUUAAUUCCACCUACUUUUUUAAUAACCAUAUCCAACUGUAAAACUUCUUAUAUUCUGUGGCAGAGGUAGUAGCAAUUUGCACACCUUUCACAAGUGUACAUACGCAACCAUCAACCUUUUGGUUCAGCAUCCCUAGCCCUUGCAAUCACCCUAGGCCUCCUCUUCUUGGUUACUGUCAAUGGUUGUGGUGAUCAGACCUGUUCAACAUGUCACACUCUAAAAAUAUCCUAAUUAAAAAUUAAUGUGGAAAAUCAAUUUCUAGAAAUCAUUUAAUAAUUAAAGGAAAUGCUUGAAUAAAAAUCAAAAUUUAAACUUCAAAUUGAGCUAGAUAAAAUCUUAUUAAAUACUUUGCAUUCUCUAAUAUUUUCUGCAAUAUUCAUGAAUCAUUUUGAGCAUGCUGAGUAUUUUUUAAAAAAUGAAACAACAUUUCAGAAAUUAUUUAAAUUAAAAUCAUUCUCCAAAGUCUCGGGUUAUUUUUGGCUUGUUCUUCCUCUUCUUUUCCCACCAGCCCACUUCCAUAGUUCCACCUCUUUAUUCUUUUCUCUUCUUUGGGCUACUCCUUUUUCUUGUUUGAUAAAAGUACAGUUUGGGUCCCUCAAACAAGUGUCGAGUUUCAAUUGCAUGCCUAAAAAUCGCAAAACCAAAUAUAGAGCACCUCAACUUAUAAAGCAGUGUAAAUUGAGUCCACUGUCUUAAAACCAACAAUGUAUUCCCUGAGUUCAAACCAUUGAGAGGAUUCAAUGUCUCUAUUGAGAAACUCACAAAGAGCCAGUCUUUUUUAACCCUAUCCUCAAUAUUGCACAAGCACACUUCUCUUUCAUUGGUAGUAUCUCUUACCUUGUGGAUCCUUCAAACUUCUUUUGGUGCCCUACCCGUGAAUGGGUGUUCAGAUGAUGCUACAGGUGUCCUCGACCUCCAAGAAUAACAUAUCCUACAUAAUCGUUUGGAAUCAAAACCUAGUGUUCAAGAUCCAUGAGAGAAGAACAAUCACUAGAUUCAAAACUCCAAAUCCGUAUCCAAAUAACAAAAGCAGAGAAGGGUUCGAGAGAGGCGGUGAAAAGAGCUAAAAGCACUCCAACAUCAUGCUUGAAGCCAAGAAUAUUUUGAAUGAAGCGAAAGACUUACCCUAGUAUAGAGCCAGUGAGAGUUGGGACUUAUAUAGGAAACCCUAAAUCUGCCCAUUAUGGGGUGGGAGGAUCUUUCAUCACCCUAAAUCUGCCCAUUAUGGGGUGGGAGGAUCUUUCAUCACACCUCGGAUAUUCUGACUUGAAGGUUAUAUAUUCGAUCAACAUAUCAGGUCUCUAAUGUCUAAAACAUAAUCCCAUUCCAUAAAAAAAAAAUACUGAUCAGAUAUUCCAAUUAAUAAUUGGAAACUCAGAUUGAAGAAAUAAAUCCAAACAGAGACUUGGGUUACAAGGAAAAGUGAAUAUUUCGACCAUUUGAUCUUCAGACUACUAAGUUUCAGACUACUAAGUUGGAUAUUAUAAUUCAUAAUGUUGCCUCGACCUGAGAGCCAAUUUCUUUGCAAUAUCGGAUUGCCUGGGAUGUUGGACAUUCUGAUUCAACGUAAGAAGUUUUUGAUCGAAUGUUUGAAGUUAAACAUAGAUCCAGUUCCUUGCAAAAACAUAUAGCCUGAUUGAUCGGAUUUUCCAAUGUUACAUCAGAUGCUAUGAUCACUUUCAACAAAAUACAAACAGAGCCUAUACUAUGAUCACUUUCAACAAAACACAAACAGAGCCUCGAGUUCACCGUGAAAAAAGGAAAUUAUGAUGCGUUAAAUACUCCGACUAGUGUCAGAAAUUCCGACCAUAAAUCAACUCAAACUUAGAGAAAACUUGAUAUUGAGCACUAUAUUCUCUGUACGUUAUCUAGACUCAAGAAAUAAAUACAUACAAGAAUUACCAUUGUCUAGGAUCAUGUCUUUUCUUCCAUCAAAUAACCCAGAACCCCAUUUUCCUUUGAAGCACUCAGGCAACAGUAGAGCAUUCUUAAAAAUGUCAUCAUUAAUCACAAAAAUAAGUUAUGAAGAUGUACUUUCAUUUGUGGCAUAAAGUUUAAUGGUAUUUUAUCUACCCUCAUUAAAACAGUGUUGAAAGUGCACUGGCCUGUGCAUAAUAUUUUAUUGGCAGUAGGAUUUGACUUUUAAACCCUGGUGGCCACCAUUAAAUAACCCGUGCUUUGCUUAUUUAUGGACCGUUUUAAAAGAGUGAAACAUAAACAAAUGCUAAUACUUGAUAUCUCAAAAUAACUUUAGUACUUAAAAAGCUUUUGUAUUGAUAUAGUUUUAAGUAUAAAUGUUUGACUGACUGAAACAGGUAAAAUCCAAUAUACAAAUUGUGCAGUACCCAAUGGGAAGUAAGAAAAAAAAACCAAGGCAAACCGAGAGGGAGUAUCCGGAAAAGCUAAUCUGCUCCCAUCCCAUGCAGUGGCGGGCCUAGGAUUUUUAGGUUGGGUAUUCGAAAUGUGAAGGAGUAAUUUUUUUAGCAUGUAUCACAUAGUACUAAACUACAAAUUAUGUAACAUGAAUUAGGUAUAAUUUCAUAUAAUUAUAUACUUGAUUUAAACUACUAAUUGUACAAAUAGAAAGUACUAAACCGUCCCAUAAUAUAAGAGAUUUUGGCUAUAUGCAUAGCCAAAAUCCCUCAUAUUAUAGGACAAAAAGGAGUAUUUGACAAUUGUUCAACACAUAAGAGUGGCAAUAUGUGAAAUAUAUAGAUGAUUGAAAAUUGUGCAGUGUUUGAGGCAAGGGACUCAUGAAUUACUGAUUUAGAAUUCAUGAACAAUUGUUCAAGAGCAAGACCAUUUUUUCUCUUCAUAUUUUAGACCUAAAAAUCCAACAAUAUGGGAAUGGGAUUAAUGCCUCUAGAUUCUUGACCAAUGGCAAGCCGGCCUAAAUGCCUAACAGUACCAGGGUGACCUUAUAGCUCUAUUGAUCAAGUCACACUAACACAAUUUAAAUCCGUAGCAAAUAAUGAUUAGCGGCAUUGGAACUACUGACAAAGAGAUGGCGAGAUGACGCGUUGCUGCACUGGGGGCUACGGCCCUGCCCGUCGGCAGUGGCCUGAGCCGCGACGCGCCGCGGAUGGCGGACCUGCUCGUGGGGCCUGCCGCCCUGCGCCGGUCAGGUCCGGUGCGCCCAGCCGGCAGCCGGCAGCCGCCUGCCGCCCCACGAGUCGCGCGGCCGCGCCGGCGCCGCACGCCGCGCCUGCCGCAACACACCGCGCCGCACGCCGCGCCUGCCGCUCUGCUCCCGUGGUCUAGGGUUUGGGCAUUAGGUGAUUAGGGUUAAAUGGGGAGGAGAAUUGGAGAAAAUAUCGAAAUGGGCUGAUAUGCGGCCCAAAUAGAGUGCGGGCUGAGAGGAAAGGGGGAGGGGAGUGAGAAAUUUAGGCCCAAUUGAGAAGAAAUGAUGAAACAAGGCCCAAUAUAAGCAGUUUAAGGUCUCUUUUUUAAUUUUUUGAAUACAUAUACGAACUAUAGAAUAUAUAUACCUAUUUUUUGUCCAAAAAUCUUGGGUAUACAUCUGAAUACCCUUGAAUACAUACUGGGCCCGCCCCUGCUCCCAUGUUGAUGGUCGGCGCUCGGCAUCAGGCUUUUGACUGUCCCUCUUAUUCCUUUUCCUUGAAACUUCGAUCUUUCUUUUCUGUGCUCACAUUUCCUAUAUUGCUAAAUGGUAUAUUUUUUUAAAAAAAUUCUAUAGAAAAGUUGUUAUAAAAAAUUAUAGUAAUCUAAUUUUUAAAAUAAUUAAUCAUCCACUAAUAAUGAGCUAACUUGUUUUUAGUGUAGGAAUAAGUUACUAACCAUCUAUUAUAUUAUCAAAACAGUUUUGAAAGGAGGCACCACGUUCGCUGUAGGGCUAGAAAUUCCUACAUUAAUCGGAGAAAAAGAAAAAAAAGGAGAGUCCAAGUAGAAAUAUAAUUUAAAAAUAGCUGAAAUUCGGAAUUAAAAAUAAGCAAUAUUGAAAGUUUCUAUAUAAGAACCCAAUACGAGAUUAAUCAAAAUUCAAAAUAAAAAUAAAAUAAAUCCAAAAUUAGAAAAGAAAAGGAGAGUCCAAGUCAAUUUAAAAAUAGCUGAAAUUCGGAAUUAAAAAUAAGCAAUAUUGAAAGAAGUUUCCAUAUAAUAACCUAAUACGAGAUUAAUCAAAAUUCGAAAUAAAAAUAAAAUAAAAUCUAAAAUUAGAAAAGAAAAGGAUAGUCCAAGUAGGAAUACGAUUUAAAAAUAGCUGAAAUUCGGAAUUAAAAAUAAGAAAAAUUAAAAGAAGAGUUCAUAGAAGAACCCAAUACGAGAUUAAUUAAAAUUCAGAAUAAAAAUAAAAAUGAAAUCUGAAAUUAGCAAAAAAAAGAAGAGUUAAAGUAGGAAUACAAUUUAAAAUUAGCUGAAAUUCGGAAUAAAAAAAAGCAAUAUUGAAAGAAGAAUCCAUAUAAGAACCCAAUACGAGAUUAAUUAAAAUUCAGAAAAAAAUAAAAAAAAUAUCCAAAAUUAGGAAAACUAAAAGAGAGUUCAAGUAGGAAUACAAUUUUGAAACAACUAAAACUGAAAAUAAAAAGUAAAAAUAUUAAAAGAACACAAUACGAUAUUAACUAAAAUUUGAAAAAAAAAUCUAAAAUUAGAAAAAGGAAAAUAAGAUUUGAGUUAGGAAUACAAUUUAUAAAUAACUAAAUUUUGUGAUAAAAAUAAAGACUAUUGAAAGAAAAAGCCAUCUAAAACACAUGACGAGAUAAAUUGAGUAAUAGGGCCUAUGAAUGAGUAGAGUGGUAGCGGUUGAUACGAUAUUAAAAAAUAUUAAUAAAACACUAAAUAAAUCCUAAUGACGAUUAAAAGAGGGACGAUAGGCAGGACGUGAAGCAAAUGAGUAAGGUGGAAGCCGGGACUUCUAGAAAGUAAAAAAAAUAAACCCAAUUGAUAAUCAUAUUCGAUUUUUAAAAUCUCAAUGAUAAUAAAAAUGAGAAGCAGCGGGUGGGGUGUAUAGGAGUAUAGUUGUAGAGCCGCCGACGGUUGACGGGACUUCUAGAAAAUAAAAAAUGAAUUCCAACGAUAGUUAUGUUAGAUUUUUGGAAUCACAAUGACAAUAAAGAGUAGGCGGUGGACGGGCUGUAAAGGAGUAUAGUGGUAUCGUUUGACGGGACUUCUAAAAAUUAUAAAAAAUGAAACCCAACAAGAUAAUAAACUCUAAAAACUACAAGGUCCAAUUUUUAAAGGUUUGGAACUUCUAAAAAGUAAAAAAAAAACAAUGAUAAUCAUGUUCGAUUUUAAAAUCUCAAUGACAAUAAAGAAGGGAGGCAGUGGGCGAGGCGUAGUGGAGUACAAUGGCAAAGCCACUGACGGUUUGGCCGGAUUUCUAGAAAGUAGUAUUUAUGUUUGAUUUUUAAAAUCUCAAUGACAAUAAAGAGAAGAGACAAUGGACGGGCCGUAGAGAAGUAUAAUGGCUACAUUUGAUGGGACAUCUAGAAAUUAUAAAAACAAAAUCCAACGUGACAAUAAAUUCUAAAAACUAUAAAAUCCAAUUUUUAAAUAUUUCCAAGGAGAAUGAAUAGAAAUAGUGGUAGAUCGAGCAAGCAAAUAAAUAAAGAGAUGACAUGAGAGGUAGCAACUGGUGUGACUUUUAAAAACUAUAUAAUUAGAAACACGAGGAUGAUAAUGUUUGGUCUUUCAAAGUCUGAAAACAAUGGGAUAGCUAUUUAAUAAAUUUUAAGUAAAAUCAUACUUAAAAAAUAUAUAAUUUUGUUUGGGUGCUAGCCGCGCAAUUGCGCGGGCCGCACAGCUAGUUACCUGUAAACACAACCUUUACCCACACUAUAAUCAUUUAACACACCUAAUUACAUAUUUGUUUUAAUGUCCUGUGACAAAUUUUGGUGAUUUGAACCUUAAUAGAGUCAUACACCAUACCCACAAUUUCAGCACCAUAUAUUACCAUUAGUGUUUCCUCUAUGAGGAGAUUAUUUUAAGUGAGUAAAAAUAUAAAAUAAAAUAGGAAUUUACAUUUCUAUGAAUUCAUAAAUAUUUAAUGAAAAAAUUUAAAAUUAAAUAAAUGAAGUUUACAAUGGUGGUGUUUGAAUCUCCUGAAAAUGAAGAUGAAGAUAAAAAUUAAGUGUUUCACGCAAAAUAAUGUUAUAAUAAUGUGUGAUUAAGUUUUAAUUAUUACAAACUUGAAAAAUAGAUUAAUCUUAAAUUUUAAAUAACUUUCAUAUAGAAAAUUUUUGCACGAAACAUACCGUUUAAUAGUUUGAAAAGCGUGUGCAGUUUUGCGUGUACCGUUUAAAGAUUAUGCAGUUUUCCUAGGAGAAAAUAACAGGGCCAAUGUCUUGUACUCCAGAAUGGAAGGGAAAAAAAAAAUGCAAAGCGAGAGGGAGUAUCUAGAAAAGCUAAUAUGUUCCCAUGUUGAUGGUCGGCACAAGGCAUCAGGAUUUCGAUUCGACUGUCCCCCUUCUUUUUUUUUCCUCAAAACAUCGAUCUCUUCUUUCCCAACCAGCAAAGCAAAUCAAUCCCCUCUUCGCAUCAACGCCAUGGAUGAGUAAGUAAUCCCCUCUUUGCGUUGUUCGAUUCGACCAAGAACUCCAUUUCUUGAAAUAAGAUGCGCCAAGAACUCGAUUCAGUGCUGAUCCAAUGAUGCUUAUCACGGACCAGAUCUGACGAGCAGAGCAACGGCGGCGGCGGCGGCGGGCACCGCGGGUACGAGUGGAAGCUGCCGGCGGCGCUGUCGGCGAACACGACGAGCGUGCACGUGACGGCGCUGGACGGGGUGGUGAACGUGAACUCGCUGUUCACGGUGGCCGUGUUCGUGGGCCUCUCCCUGGCGGACCCGGGGGAGCUCCGGAGCCUCGCCGGCGACGCGUCGUGCGACGCCGGGCAGGGGGUGGCGCGGUCCCUCCUGGUGCUGGAGGUGGUGGCCUUCUCCUCCUUCCUCUUCUCCAGCCUCGUGGCGCAGGGGCUCAAGCUGGCGCUCAACCUCAUCAACUCCAAGGACCCGCACGACACGCUGCACGCCCACAUCGACGCGCGCCUCCUCCGCCUCGGGAUGCUCGCCUCCGCCGUCGGCUCCGUCGUCGGCUGCGUCUUCCUCAUGGUGUCCAUGGUCAUGGUCGUGCAGAUCCGCCUCGGCACGCUCGGCUGCGCCACCAACCGCGCCGCCGCCAAGGCCGCCGCAGGGCUCGUCGGCCUCGUCACCACCGCGCUCGCCGUCUACGUCGGCACCGUCUUCUACACCUUCACCCACUGAACAAGCAAGCAACUGGCAUGGAUGUUUCUUGAGUUCUAUGGCAUUGUCUGUAGUAGAAUCUUGCAUCUGCUGUUUAUGUAUGUAUUGUGGACUUCAAAAUGUUGCGAGAUGAGGAAGUGGAAGAUGUUGGUGAUCCGACUUUUAUGAAUCAACCUGCAAUAUGUUUGCGAUUCUCAUCCCAGGUCGUUUUGAAUUUCUUAAGUUGGCACUAGAUUAAUAGUGGUGUAGACUGAAUUUUGAUUUUGGAUUGAAUUUUAAUUUAGACUGAAUGCCUGUAAUGUAAAGAGGACAAGCUCUAGAUGUCAUGACAUAUCCUCUGCAUUUGUAAGUCAGGAAUUAGGACAUAAGCUAAAGAGAACAGGUGAAAAUCAUUCCCACAGGUAAAAGAAGUGGAUGGUUAGCCUGUGCUCAAUCAAUCAAAAAACAACAUGUCACCAGCUGUUAAAUCCACUACGCUAUGACUAUGAGGAAAUGCAUGUUAAAUUGUUGACUGCUGCUACAUGAAGCUGAAGAUGGGCGAUUGCUUGCUUUGACUUGAAGAGGAUAAAGGGGCAUGCCGCAUUAAUUUUCUUGAAAUUGCUAGAAAUAAUUUUGGGAACUACCUGAAAUAUAUACCACUGAAUGGUUAUUUGGGGGUUUGAUUUUAUAAUCAGUUGUUGAACUGUAUGUUUCUUUAUCCUGUUUUCCUUUGUGUUUUUUCUUUGAUUUCAAUUUCCUCCCUCUGUUCAAUGAAAUGAUAGCUUUUACUAGGACAUUUUUUGGGUCUUUCACUUGAUUUAUAUCAUUCGGAUCAAUACAUUUUGUCUCCGGUUCGUUCCAAAGGCAUAGCAUGUGAAAGGGCAUGUAUCAAAUCUCCAUAGGAGUGCAUCCCCAAGGUUCUAAGUUCAAAUCUCCAUUGGAGUGAAUUUCAGAUUAAGUUAUUUGAGGGCUAAGUUUCCUGUUUGAUGGGCUAAGUUCCCGAUUGAAAAAAUGUUGUAUAUAUCCGGUUGGAUGUAAAGGCCGGGUAAAAAAUUACUCUUCUCUAAAAAAAAAAAGUAAGCUCAUAGCAGAUGGAGCACAUCCUCCUUGACAAAUGAAUGAAUCUUGCUGAAAUUCCAAAUCUCUGGAAUUUGUUUGGCAAGCAUCACCAACAAUAUCAGAUGAGGAGAGGACAUGCUGCUAAUGCUCUGCCCUAUGCCCCUCUCGCUUCUCUUUCCGGAAGAAAAAAGCCACAUCUUCUGGACGGGACCCCAACUAUCGGCCCUAUAGAUGGCCAUAGGCCCGACGCCCUGGCCCAUGGCAUGGCCAUUUGGCCUGGCCCAUGUACGACACAACACGACUGGUGUUGGGCCCGUGCUGGCCCGGCCUGAUAGUUGGGCCGUGCCUGGUUGAUGCCUUGGCACGGUGGGCUGGUCCGGCACAGCACUGUCAAAGAAAAAUAGUUCAGAGAUCUAAAAUAGACUUAAUUUAGACAUAUAAGACAUGGCCCAAAGAGCAUAGAUUAUGCAAAAUAGACUUAUUCUAGCCAUAUAAGGCAUAGCCCAAAUAGAUGAGGGAGGAAAAAUAGACUUAUUCUAUGGAGAAGCUCGAUGGGUUGUCGUCCUUCGGCCAGGCUCGGCACGGCCGCACGGCUCGUGUCUUAUCGGGCCAUACGUGGGCCUUUGGUAUAGCUUGUGGGCAAGCACGGCCCGGUCCUGCGUGUAGGUUGGCCCGUGGCAGCCCGAUUGACCUCAGCACGGGCCCACUCAUACCUGGGUCGUACCGUGCCGGGAGGCCCAUUUGGCCAUCUAUAAUCGGCCCCAUGUGGCCGUCCAGACGAGCGUCGGUUCCCUCGCACACGCGUCAGCUAAUAAGAGGUCCACCUAUACCUAUUGGAUUCUGGCAAACCUGCUAGCUGAAGAAGUACUCCUGUCUCAACAAAAAAAGACCAUCUCUAGCAUCCCAAGGUGAAAUUAGUGAAGAGUAAAAGCGACCAAAAUGCCCCUCAUCUAUUAUAUACUAAAAGUCCAUUAAACUUUCUACAAACGCUCUUAAGCCGCCCGUUGAUACGAAAAAUACACACUGGCCUGGAAGAUCUGCUUAAUUUCAGUGCAGGUCCAAUCUUGCCUUUAGGUUCGUGAGCGUGCCAGUUGAUUUGAUCCUACAAUCAAGAAGAAAGAAAGACAAGAAAACCUUGGUUAAAUCCAUAAACGAUAGCCGAUCGGCCAGCCGCCGAUGACAUAUUAUUUAUCUUUAAGCCGAUGUCAUAUUGAGAUCGAUCGACAGUUAUAGAAAAAUAAGAUAAGACUAAAUCUACUUGAUCGGCUGUAGAUAUUAAUGAUAUACAAUCCUUCUGUCGAUAUAUAUUUAAACCAAGUGAUUGCGAUAGAUCGGUCGUAAUGCCGAGACAGUAUAAAUCACUUAGAUCGAAAUAUACAUUAACACAAAGAUUAUAAACGUUUAUAGCAUAGCGGAUCAGACUAUGAGUCACAAAGAUCACAAAGCUUACCUCUAACAAACUCUAAGAUACCAUAAGUCUUUGCGGUAGACUUUUGCCCAAACAUAUCUCUAAGAAAUUUACACGAAAUAUCCUAAUUAACAGAUACAAUUGCCUAUCUGAGAGCUUAUCUUCAUCGUGGCAAUCCCUGUGAAGCACUUUGAUCGAUUCUAGAAACAACCUUGAAACCAUCUUCAUCGGAAUUGGCUGCAUCACUUCUAUCGGCUGUAUCAGCUGUCCUCUAUCCGAUCCAUCUCAGCCGAUGCCUUCGCAGCCGAUGCAUACUUUGUUUUUUAAAACCAUCUCUUUAUCGAAUCCGCCUCGAUCCUAAUGUCGAACCUGGUUCACAACUUACCAAAUUUGGUCGUCAACACCGCCACAUGACACUUCUACAAACGCUCCUAGACCGCCACAUGGCAAUGCGUAAUCUCACCGUCGAUUUUCAUUUAAAUCGGUGGGCCCGAGAAUUUAGACCAUUAGAUUAGAUGUAGUGACAAAAAGAUAUCAACCAUCAGUUUUCAUUUAAAUCGGUGGGCCUGAUAAUUUAUACCAUUAGAUUAGAUUAGAUGUAGUGACAAAAAGAUAUCAACCAUCAGUUUUAUUUUAUUUUCAACCAUCCGAUACAUUUUACACCGUAUCCUACUCUACGUGGAAAAAAAUUCCAUCUAUUCCAUCACGUAUCCUAAAGCAAAGGUCCACUUUGAAUUAACUUUUCAAACUUUUUAUAUCUCCGUAUAUAUCUCGUAUCUCCAGAAAAGAGGGUGCGUUAAGCCGUUGAUCACACGGUCACACGCUAAUUUUGCCAUACCCAACUUCUUCUACGACACAGCAAGCUGGCGUGGUUCAGUGUCCACCUUUUUCGCCAUGGUUGGAGUCCUCUAGGUCAUGUUGGAAAUUUGGUCAUAAUUCGGUAUAUUUUAAUCUAAAAUAUUAAGACAAUAAAUAUGACAUUUGUAAUUUGAGUAGAUCUAGUGACAGUGCUAGAUGUGUACAACAUGAGCAUGCUUAAUAUAGAAUAAGCACCAACAUAGAUAAGAGAACGCAAUAAUAUUGCGACCGACAGAUGUAGAAAAUGAAGAACGAACGAUAAUAGUGAAACGUUAUACCCCGAGAAUGGCCCUCCGCUAGAGUUUGAGGCAGUAUUGCCUCCGUUGGUGUUGACGAGAGGCUCCUUCUCCUUGUCUCCAGUGUUGUUGUUGUCGCCGGUUGUCGACAUGUUGGUGAAGUUAAUGCAGAGCAGUCGCGCUUGAAGCGCUACCCAAAAACUUGAUCGCCCGCCUACCCGUACAGGUUCUAAAGCGAACGGAGUUUCGGAGGCACCUGCUUGUUCCGAUCACCCGUGCACGCGAGAUGAACAGAACCGGGGAAACAGAGAGACAGUGUAGGAACAGAAGGAGAGUAUCGCCAAGGAACAAUAUUAGGAGGAAGACACACUCUUUGACAGCCUCCGCCUUGUGUUAUAUAUAGAGAGAGAUCUCCAUUACCAGAUCACAACUGAACAAUGUCUAGUUAUACCAGUGUUUCGAUGGAGACUGUUAAGUUGAACUUCCACCUAGGAAAAGAGCUACACCAUAUCACAACUGAACAAUGGACUAUGCCUUGAAAUGUCAGUCUUGUGCGAUUCAGGUUUCACUAAAGCCUUAACUGGUACUGGGCUGUUGUUUGCAUCCCCUCUGUUUGGAGCAUAUAAGUCAUACUCCUGGCCUUUUCAUGAGUAUCUAGAGAUCACCCAGAUCUCAUAGACUGUGACUAGCAGUCGGACUCAUAUAUGUAUGUUCCUUCUAAGAUGUUCUGUAGGCCAACAUCUCUGCUUUAUGAAAAGCCACUCGGAUCACAUUAAGGUGUAUACCAUCCUACCAUACAGAUUAGAAGAGAAGUGCAUCAUGAAGAUAAGCUUAUUUUAGGGUGUCUUCUCUCAGCUACACAAUAGUUUGUUUUGCCAUCCAAAUUCACGGGAUCUCCGAUCACAAUGGACAUGUUUCCACUAUUGUGCAACUCUAAGUGGGUCUCAAGCCCAUCUCCCUCGAUGGACAGUCUAUCACAUUACGUGGUAGUCCCUUGGUAAACUGAUCUGCCAGAUUUUUAGCCGUCUAGACGUAGUCCAAUGCUAUCACUCCGGAGUUUUUCUGCUUUCUGACAGAUUUCAAUCUUCUUUUAACAUGCCUGGAUGACUUCAUGUUGUCCUUCCAACUGUUCACUUUAAUAAUCACUGUUUGAUUAUCAUAGUUCAUCAGGAUUGCUGGUACUGGUUUUUCAACCACUGGCAGGUCCAUCAGGCGCUCACGAAGCCAUUCGGCCUCAACUGUGGUAGUAUCUAAAGCUGUGAGUUCUGCUUCCAUUGUUGACCUCGUUAAGAUGGUCUGCUUGCAAGACUUCUAGGAAACAACGCCCCCUCCAAGUGUGAACACAUACCCAGUUUGAAUCACUAUAGCCCUCUAGUACUUUUGGGUACCCGGCGUAGUGAAUUCCAUAGCUCAUUGUCCCUUUUAGAUAGCACGCAUUACUCUUUCAAGAGCAUGCCAAUGAUCAUCUCCCGGAUUUGAAAUAAACCGGCUCAACUUGCUCACAACAAAUGAGAUGUCAGGCCUCGUUGCACUAGCUAAGUACAUCAAUGAACCAAUGAUCUGGGAGUAUCUCAAUUGAUCCUUUCCUAUUCUUUGGUUUUUCCUUAAUAGCACACUAGGAUGAUAAGGAGUAGGAGCUGCCUUGCAGUCACUAUAACCAAAGCGACUCAGGACCUUAUCCAUAUAGUGAGAUUGCACAAGUGUAAUCCUACCCUCAUCUCCUCUCAGUAGUUUAAUGUUAAGAAUAACAUCAGCCACUUCCAAAUCCUUCAUUUCAAAGCUUUUGGACAGAAAGUCCUUGACCUCCCCAAUCACAUUGAGACUGGUCCCAAAGAUCAAUAUGUCAUCAACAUAUAAACAUAAGAUCACUCCCUCUCCCCCACCGUAGCGAUAGUACACACAUUUGUCAGCUUCGUUCACAAUAAAGCCAGCAGAUGUAAGUGUAUUGUCAAACUUCUCAUGCCAUUGCUUAAGCUCUUGUAUGAGACCAUACAAGGACUUCAACAGCUUGCACACCAUUCCCUCCUGACCUUCUAGUACAUACCCAUCUGGUUGAUCCAUAUAGAUCUCGUCCUCCAACUCUCCAUUGAGGAAAGCUGUCUUUAACAUCCAUCUGAUGGACGAGUAGACCAUAAGAGGCUGCCAGAGCAAGUAGUACUCGAAUCGUGGUCAAGCGAGCAACUGGUGAAUAAGUGUCGAAAAAGUCAUCGCCUUCUUUUUGGGUAUAACCCUUUGCCACAAGUCUUGCCUUAUACUUUUCAAUUGUACCAUCAGACCUAAGCUUUUUCUUGAAAACCCAUUUGCAUCCUACAGGCUUGCACCCAUAUGGACGCUCGGCGACUUCCCAAGUACCAUUAGACAUAAUUGAGUCCAUCUCACUGCAUACCGCUUCCUUCCAAUAGUCAGCGUCAAGAGAUGAAUAUGCCUCUUCAAUGGUUCUUGGAGUAUCAUCCACAAGAUAUACAAUGUAGUCAUCUCCAAAAGACUUUGCAGUCCUUUGUCUCUUACUCUUUCGAGUUGCUACAAUGUUAUCCUCCUCAGGAUUUUCCUCAAGCAUUUGAUCAAUGUGUUCUAUCGGCACAAAGUGCUCAGGAGAUAAAAUAGGUUCUUGACUAGAAGUGCUAAGUGCAUUUUUCAUAGGAAAUUCAUUCUCAAAAAAUGUGGCAUCUCUGGACUCAGUAAUUGUACCAACACGCAUGUUGGGUACUCUAGAAUUUACUAUUAAGAACCUAUAUCCCACACUGUGGAUAGCAUAACCAAGGAACACACAAUCUACGGUCUUUUGUCCAAGUUUACACUUUUUGGCUAUAGGUACAUUUACCUUGACCAAACAACCCCAUGUGUGCAGGUGAGAGAGAUUUAAUUUCUUCCUUUCCCAUUCCUUGAAUGGUGUUACUUCCUUAUGCUUAGUAGGAAUUCUAUUCAGGACAUGACACACAGUCAAUAUUGCCUCACCCCACCAUUCCUUGGAAAAUCCUGCAGUGUCUAACAUGGCAUUUACCAUCUCAGUUAGAGUGCGGUUCUUUCUUUCAGCUACCCCGUUUGACUGGGGUGAAUAGGGAGGCGUCCUCUCAUGAAUAAUUUCAUACUCUUCGCAAAAAGAAUUAAACUCAUUGGAAAAAUACUCUCCACCCCUAUCAGACCUCAACCGUUUGAUUUUCCUUUCCAGAUGGUUUUCUACCUCAGCCUUAUCGAUCUUAAAGUAAUGUAAUGCUUCAUCCUUUGUUUUCAAUAGGUACAUAUAGCAGAAUCUAGUGCAAUUAUCUAUCACUCUCAUGAAAUAUUUCUUUCCCCCUUUAGUCAACACGCCGUUCAUUUCGCACAGAUCGGAAUGAACAAGUUCUAGUGGUGCCAAAUUCCUCACCUCAGAUGCCCUGUGAGGUUUGCGAGGUUGUUUCGAUUGAACACAAGUAUGACACUUAGAGCCUUUGACUAAAGUGAAUUUUGGAAUUAAACUCAUGUUGGCUAAGCGUGUCAUACAACCAAAAUUCACGUGACAAUGUCGCGAAUGCCACACAUUGGACUCAUCAUCAUCAUCGCUUACAUGGUUCACAACUUUAUUACACAUAUCAUCCAUGGAAAAGCGGAACAAGCCUCCGCAGUCAUAACCUUUUCCAAUAAAUGUUCCAUAUUUAGAUACGACACAUUUAUUGGAUUCAAACACAAGUCUAAAACCACCUUUACACAGUAGAGAGCCGCUAACUAGAUUCUUCUUUAUUGAAAGGACAUGCUGCAUGUUCUUCAGCUGCACGAUUUUUCCCGAAGUAAACUUCAGAUCGACUGUACCAACAUCAUGAACAGCCGCAAGCGAUCCGUUUCCCAUCAACAAGGAGGAACCUCUCCUGACAUGAUAAGAAGAAAACAGGGAAAUAUCGGCACACACAUGAAUAUUAGCACCAGUAUCAACCCACCAAUCAGGUGAGUGACAGACAGAGAACUGUAGGUAAAAAUUUACCAUACCCCGAUGUUCCUCCGCCCUCGCUAAUGAUCAUGUUGGCAGACUUCUUGUCUUUGCGAUCAAGACAAUCCUUGGCCCAAUGCCCAGGCUUGCCACACACAAAGAAAUCUACUUUUGCCUUUCCCUGGCCUUUCUUCUUAAAAUUGGUUGUAGCCUUAGGUUUGACGUCAGGUUUGACUUUCUUCUUGUUGUUGUGAGAUGCGUGAGGGUUCUUCUUCUGCACCAAAUUGGCACUAGAACCUCCAUCGUUCUUUUUUUUGCCCCGGUUGUCCUUUGCCCUUGCCUUCUCCUCAACACCCAAAGAGCCAAUGAGAUCAGUAACACUGAACUCUUGCCUCUUGUGUUUUAGAGAAGUAGCAAAGUCCGACCAAGAAGGUGGCAAUUUGGCAAUAAUGCCACCCGCCACAAACUUGUCCAGCAACCCAGCAACUCGCAGUUGCUGUUCUCAAGUUCCUUUGCCAGCAUCUGAAUUUCAUGAACCUGUUCCACUACAGAACGGUCGUCGACCAUGUUGUAGUCAUAGAACUGCUCCAUAACAUACAGCUCGCUCCCGGCAUCGGAAACCCUGAACUUGGCCUGAAGAGCAUCCCACAUGUCCUUCCUUGAAGGCAUGUGCAUAUACACGUCCACAAUACUGUCGGCGAGCACACUGAUCAAUGCUCCACGGAACAAGCAAUCCGCAACCUCGAACUUAGCCUCUUCCUCAGGGGAGAGCGGCGGUUCACUCGGUUUGCCCCGUGAAACAAAGAAACAUUGCAUCACCGUCAACCACAAAAGUGCACGUGCUUUCCACCUUUUAUAAUUUGAACCAUCGAAAGCAUGUGGUUUUAGUGAUGCAACAAAGCCAACUACCGAAAAAGACCUAUCAAGUUUUUGGAUUGUUGGAAAUUUGGUCGUAAUUCGGCAUAUUUUAGUCUAAAAUAUUAAGACAAUAAACAUGACAUUUGUAAUUUGAGUAGAUCUAGUGACAGUGCUAGAUGUGUACAACAUGAGCAUGCUUAAUAUAGAAUAAGCAUCAACAUAGAUAAGAGAACGCAAUAAUACUGCGACCGACAGUUGUAGGAAACGAAGAACGAACGGUAAUAGUGAAACGUUAUAUCCCGAGAAUGGCCCUCUGCUGGAGUUUGAGGCAGUAUUGCCUCCGUUGGUGUUGACGAGAGGCUCCUUCUCCUUGUCUCCAGUGUUGUUGUUGUCGCCGGUUGUCGACAUGUUGGUGAAGAUGAUGCAAAGCAGUCGCGCUUGAAGUGCUACCCAAAAACUUGAUCGCCCGUCUACCCGUGCAGGUUCUCAAGCCGACGGAGUUUCGGAGGCACCUGCUCGUUCCGAUCACCCGUGCGCGCGAGAUGAACAGAACUGGGGAAACAGAGAGACAACGUAGGAACACAAGGAGAGUAUCGCCAAGGAACGUAGGAAGACACACUCUUUGAGAGCCUCUGUCUUGUGUUAUAUUUAGAGAGAGAUCUCCAUUACCACACAAAUAAAUCUCAUUUGUUGUGAAGGUUACCACAAAAUAAAUUUCAUUUGUUGUGAAGGUUACAACAAAUAAACCUCUCUUUUGUUGUGGAGGUUACAACACAAUGAAUUUCAUUCGUUAAUGGUGACUUUAUUCUCGUAUGUUACAAAACGGAAGAGCAGCUGGCAGGCUCGGCUCGGUCGGCCGCCUCGCCUCGCUACGCCCACGGCCGAGGCCGACUCGGCGCGCGCGCAUGCGUGUGGCAGUCCAACCAUCACCUCAACCGGUCAACAGGGAAUCUCCAAUAUCACCCUAUUUAAGUUGAGGUUCUUCUAUCUAAAUUUUCAAGACAGUAUUAUUCUCUCUAACAUUACUUGUGGCCUCUUGAGAUUUUAAUGAAUUAAAUUGGGCCUAGCCUAUUUAUUCCAACAGGUCAAUCCAUCAAUCAAAAGGACAAUUGGAAGAAGCAAAUUAAGAUCAGCAAUUUUUCACAGAUUUGGCGAUCAGCAAUAUUUAUUUACGAACCUUGAUUGUUCAUUUUUUUUUAAAUAAAAAUAAAAAUAUGUUAACUACAUUUUUAUUAAAAAAAUAUCACAUGGAACAUAUUCUUUCUCUUUUCAUGUCAUUCUCAUCGAAAUUGUCUUAACAAUUAAAAAAAAUGACAGCAUAGAUUAUUUUAUCGUAUAUUAAACGUUGAACAUGCAUGGAUGAGUAAGAUCUACAAUAAAGGAAAACAAUAAUAAGACCCAUAUUAACUCAUAUGUUUAUGAAGAAUUAUAGCUUGAGUAAAUAUUAUUCCAUGUGGUUCUCAGGACGUAAGCUAUUGGAUUUUCUCUUAAUCAUUCCGUAAAGGGUGCAAUGUAUGAACAAUAAGUAUGAUAGUAUUGCUGAGUUGAGAUGGCUCUGUUGGCAAUAUUGCUCGACUGGCUUUCUUACCAUGCAAUCCUUUAUGAGUGUACUAACAAUGAACUUAAAUGUUAAAAUUGUGCUUCAUACUGUUCCUAAGGAAGAUGGGUACAUCGUUUCAAGCCAUCAUAGUAGAAAGCCAUAGCGCCUAUACUAUGCUUCAUCUAUUAGACGAGCAUUUAUAUCUAAUUUUAAUGGUUUUAUCUAUUAAUUGGUAAAAAUGAUAUUUUUAAAUAUUUAUACAUGCAUUUGGACACAAGUCAUACAUGAGCAUUUUAUUUUGGUACGAAGUGAAGAAGGACUUCUCAUUUUAUUAAUGAUCUAUUAUGUUUAUUUUUAGGUACAAAUGCAAUUCUAUCUAUUAAAAAGACACCGACAAUGAAAAUAAGUAGUGGCCAUAGGCGACCAUAUAUGUAAGCAGAAUAAAGUGUUUUUUUUCUUUUUUUAUGAGUAUAAUUAAGGUAAUCUACGAUCCUUAUAGUAAAUAUGGUGAGAUAUAACUUUUUUUAGCAUUCUUUUUAUAAACAACAAAUAAAUUACCCGCGCAACUGCGCGGAUUUCCUUUCUAGUUAUUGAAAAAAAGUAGUAAUGAUGAUAUUUAGAUAAAGAGUAUUUAAGAGAUAAAACUUAUCGUUUUAGGUGCUGAAGGUAGUUAGGAUGGUAGAAGUUUAUGUUUUUGGAACAAAAUUCAAACUCUAGAAUUGAGUUCUUUUUUGGGGCGGAGGGAGUACGGGUUAAUAUGUUUUAUUGAUUGGAUUUGCUUAAAAACUUUUGCAAUUUUUUUGCUCCCAAAACUUUCAGAUUUGUGACCAUUGGAUUGCCUCGAAAUUUCUGCAUGAAAGGAAAAACUUGCUAGAAAGAAAUUUUCACACAUAUCACACGUAAGAUUUUAGUGCUAGCUAACCAAACCGUUAUAUAAAUUAUAUUGUAAUUUCAAUGUAGUUAUAAUGCAGUUACAGUAUAAUUACACUUUCAUGAUAUUAUAGUUACAUCUGAAUGUUUUUGACUCAAGAAACUUGUGACAAGUUUUUCAGAUACUCCCUUUAUUGAUUCCAAGUUACGAAAUUAUUGCAUUAAGAAAAUAACAAAACAAGACUCUACGUUAAAAAUUAAUGAUUAAUUCAUAAGUUCUACUCCCUCCGUCCCAUAAUAUAAGGGAUUUUAGAGAGAUGUGAUACUUUCUAGCACUAUCCUCCAAAAUCCCUUAUAUUAUAGGACAUAGGAAGUAUUUUUUAAUCAUAUAAAAAGCCACAAUUAUUUUUGUCUCCAUAUCAUCUGCAAAAGCCCAACUCAAUAUUGGAUAGUUCCAAAUUUUAAAAUUAUUGUAUAGUGAAAAACAUACAAGUAUAACUCGAUAUCGAUAUUUAGUAAUUUAUAAUUUCACAACUAAAGAAAUUUAAAUUAAGAAAAAUAUUCCUUGUAAAAAAGUACUAAAUUGAAACAUUUGUCGGAACUAAAAUUUAAGCAAGAGAUUUUUUUUAAUAUUGUUUAAAAUGUAAUAUAACAAUAUCGUGCAACGCACAAUUUGACGCUUAGUCGUUAUUAAAAACAAUAAUAUUGAGGCUCUUCGGUGCAGCUAUGCUAUGGCCUACAGCUAUACAGCCGCAGUGGAUUCAUAUUUCUUUCACGCUGAUAAUGGAGAAAAUAUGCGAGUAAAAUUUUUACUUAUAAGUAAAUCCGUGAGUAAAAUUUUUUCAAUUGAGCAGUAGUUUCCAAGUUUUCAAUACAUACCUAGUUUCCAUGAUACAUAUUUUCUCCAGGAUUGUAACGUCUCCGCCUCUCCUAGGCCAGGCCCGCUUACAUAGGUCAUAGACUGCCCUCACAGAUCUUUUCUGCGCACUUUGUGCUCAGUCGAGAAGAAUUUCCCGAUCGGUCACCCGUCCCUAAAUUGCUCCAGGCCAAGCAACUUCAGAGUUCCUUAGAGAUCGGUUUCCGAAAAAAAAGUUACAACUUAUUGAUAUGAAUAUUCUAUUAAUUUUAUUAAGUCCUGGGCCGAGAUGUCACCAGGAUUCCGCUGGUGCAUCUACAGCAGCAAGCCUAAGGACCAGAAUACCAUAUGGCCAAAUGGCCAAAGAAGAGAGGUCCAGUCUUGGGUUCACGAGGGACCAGCCAGUUGGGGCAUCCAUGACUAAAGGCGCUCUGGCAAGGCGACAACGAACCAUGGCUAGCCGCACACCUCACCCUUGGUCGCCCGGAUCAUAUCUCCUAGAAGCCCGUGGGCAUGUGCACAGUGCACCGGGAUAAAUGUCACGCCCGGAAUUUCUAUCCAAAAUUCCAAACGCUUACAUGUGUGUUAAACCCUCGUCCAGGAAUCAACCGAGGCACACAAUGACAAUAUUGAUAAUAGAGUACAAAUGAAUAACUAUUUAAUAUUCGCAAAUAAUAAAUUAUUACAGAGGUAGAUAGUUCCUCUCAAAGAAAAAUAACAUUCUACGCAGCGGAAAAAUAAAACUAAAACAAUCUACGGAACAGCGAUGGCGACUCCACUCCACAGGCAACUUAACCGAGAACAAGCCUAAUCCUCCAGAUCAUCACCUUCACUGAGAUACUCCUCUUCUGAUGAAUGAAUAUUGUAAGAAUGAGCAUAUAACAUACUCAACAAGCCACACAACAAAUAUGCAAGUGCACAAAAUAACAAAGGAUGGCACAAUAUAGCUCAUUUGCAGAAAACAGCAUUUAAUAAAUAUUUAAGAGAAUAGUAAAACAGUUGUAUAAUUAAUCAAUAUUAAUUAAACACCAUACAACAUACCCAUGUUGCAUAGGCCCAAUCACAUUUGAACAACCAACCCCGGUUGAACAAAUUAAACCUCCAAACCAGGAAUUAACCAUUCCAAACCAGGAACUAAAUUAAUUACCACAUAAUUACCAUUAAUGAGUAGUGUGAGACUAAUCACGAAAAACAUUGCUCAACUCACCCAUAACCGCGGGUACGGCUAUUCGAAUAGAUUAAAACUCUGAUCAGAGGUGUACCACUGUACCCACAAGACACAACCCCACAUCAUGUCACCAUGUGCCUCAAUACCACCACGGUACCUCGGAAAGGAGUCGUGACAAUACCCCUCGCAUAACACAAUUCACCACAGUGCACCGUACCUGGAUUAUAAUCACCCCCUUAUAAACAAGGCAUGGACUCCCCAGCGACCCCCAUGGACUUCUCGCCACUUCUCAGUCUGGCGCACUAUAAUGAAUCACGCUAUACAAAAGAUAAAGCCGUUGCCCACGCUGGCUUGUGGUUGGCACGAUAAAUGUUUCACAACAGUAGCUCGCGAACCGGUCCUUAAUUGUCAUGAGCACAACCAUCAAAACCAUAUGCUCACAACCCACCUUAUCCAAGUUUUAAUUAUCAAUUAAUUAUCAUCACACGAUUUACCAUCGUGAGCUACCAUUGAAUAUAACCCUAAUUAAUAAUAAUAAUUAUGUAAUAUAAUUUAUAUUUAACCCCAUUUAGUUAGCUAAUGUUUCUAAGCAUGGCUAAGCAAACCUACAUAUAGCAUUUAGCUGAACCAAUCCAAUAUAUAAGGUUCAUGCCAAUCAAAUUAUAACCCAUAGGAAAAUAAAGUCAUCUUCGGCCAUUAAAUAAUUGGGAAAGGUUCACCACCCGAUGACAUUCAAAAACAAUGCAUAGUUGAAAAUAAAAUAAUAGCUUUAAACGGGAUCAACAUGCUCAAAGGGUUGUUUGGGAUCUGUGUGACUUGCCUUGGGCUUCCACAAAUGCUUCGGAACCUUCCUCAAUGGAAACGCUCUCCUCCGGAAUGUCGGAAACUAAAGCAAAUAAACAAAAUCAAUAAAACAGUACAAAAACAAGCAUAAACAGUACAUGUGGAUAUUUUUAACAUGUAGAUCUUGAUUUUAGAAAAAUUUAGAAACUUGAACCACCUAAAACGGAUCUACGGUUAUUUAAUUAUGAUUUUCCGAAGUUUUAAUCUAUUAGAAAAUCGGGAAAAAGAAAAAGAAAAGGAAACGAUGACGUCAGCCCUGGAGAUGACGUCAUGCUGACGUCGGCACGGCGGCCGGCUCGGGUUGAGGAGCUCGCCGGCGCUAGAGCGAUCGGCCGGGCGAUUGGAGGGCAUCUACGCGUAGAGGGCAACGAGGCGAACCCGUUGGUACUCACCACUACGGCAAACGGUGCACGACGGCGGCCGGCGACGAGGAGGAAGGCGGCGGCGGUUCGGGUCGACGGCGGCGAGCGGGCUCCGGUGGUCGGCGGCGAGAGAGGAGGGGCGGCCGGGCUUCCUCUCACCACGGCGCACCUAUCGGCGGCAACGGCGAGCGGCGGCGACGGCGGAGACGGCGCGGCGGCGUUGCCGAAGACGGCCGGCGGCGGCGGCGAACUUGGAGCACGUCGCGGCGGCGCUAGGAGGCACGGGAGAGCUCGGGAAAGGGGGCAAACGGAAGAGGAGAACAAGGAGAAGCUUUAUAUGGCAUUGGAUCGAAGAGAUCGAGCUCCAAACUGGAGGAAUCGAUUCGGGAAGAAAUCGAACUCGGUUUUUAGGGAUAAAACAAAACGAAUUCGAUUCGGAGAUAAUACUCAACGGAUUUCUUUGUUUCUUGAGGGGAAAGAAAGAGGAGAUCGAGAGGAACAAAACCCCUCAAUCAAUUGGAAGAAUCCGGGUCGGAUUUGGGCGGAAACGGCGGCGCAAGACGGCGGCUCGGGCUCGGUCUCGGCGUCGGCCGGAGGAAGGAGAAGGGCCUGACAUGUGGGCCCCACAUGUCAGUGUCCCGAGAGAGAGGGGCGCGGGCGGCGGCGGCUUGGGCCGGCGUGGGCCGCGCGCGGGGAGAGAGAGAAAGAGAGAGUUGGGCCGAAAACGGUCCAACGGUUAAAGAAGGGGUUUUUUAAACUUUUUUGAAUAAAACAAUUUGUGAAAUGUUGUUUCAAUUAUUAAAAAUACUUCCCUUGCUCAAAUAAUUCCCAGAAAAAUCUAGAAAAUAGAGGAGCAAGCAUAGUAUUUAAUAAAAUUUUAUCUAGCUCACUUUUAUGUUGAAAAUUUUCCUAGAAAAUUAGGGUUUAGCUUGUAGGCUUUUAAAAUAAUUUCUAAAAAUUCCAAUUAAACAACAAUUUAUAUAUUUAAGAUUUUUAGGGUGUGACAAACCUACCCCCCUUAAACGGAAUCUCGUCCUCGAGAUUCAGAAGAACUAGCGAAUAGAUGAGGAUGAGCUGACUUCAAUUCAUCUUCUCGCUCCCAGGUGGCUUCUUCUUCUGAAUGAUUACUCCACUGAACCUUACAGAACCGUAUAACGCGAUUCCUGGUUUUCCUCUCGCUUUCUUCCAAAAUUCUUACUGGCUUCUCAACAUAAGUUAAAUCUUCUUGAAGCUCUAUACGAUCAGGAUCGGCUUCCUCCGUAGGUACACGUAAACAUUUCUUCAGCUGAGACACGUGGAACACGUCAUGUAUUCCCGCCAUUGACGGAGGCAACUCUAACUGAUAAGCUACUUCACCUCUUCGACUCACAAUCUUAAAAGGUCCCACAAAACGCGGUGCCAAUUUCCCUUUGGUUUGAAAACGAUGAACACCUCGUAACGGCGUAACCCGAAGGUAUACAUAAUCUCCUUCUUCGAAAGCCAAAUCUCUGCGACGAUUGUCAGCAUAGCUCUUCUGACGUGACUGAGCAACGCGCAACCUUUCUUGGAUAAUCUUCACUUUUUCUUCUGCCUGUCGCAAUAUGUCUGUCCCGAAGACUUGACGUUCACCGGUUUGAUCCCAAAGGAGCGGCGUACGACAUUUUCGACCAUAUAAUGCUUCAUACGGAGCCAUUUGCAAACUAGCUUGAUAACUAUUGUUAUAUGAGAAUUCUGCGUACGGCAAAUUCUUAUCCCAACUUCCACCAAAAUCUAGAACACAGGCUCUCAACAUAUCUUCUAAAAUUUGGUUUACUCUUUCCGUCUGACCAUCUGUUUGAGGGUGAUAAGCAGUACUGAAAUUCAAACGGGUACCCAAUUCUAAUUGUAAUUUCUGCCAAAACUUCGAAGUAAACUGGCUACCUCUAUCUGACACUAUCUUUUUAGGAACACCAUGCAAACAUACCACUCUGGCCAUAUAUAACUCUGCAAGCUUAUGUCCCGUAUAGGUUGUCUUGACAGGUAUGAAAUGAGCGACUUUUGUCAACCUAUCAACCACUACCCAAAUAGAAUCAUGUCCUGCCGACGUUCUGUGUAGACCGGUUAUAAAAUCCAUUCCUAUUUCUUCCCACUUCCACUCUGGAAUCUUCAACGGUUGUAACAGACCAGCUGGCUUCCGAUGUUCUGCCUUGACCCGCUGACAUACAUCACACAGAGCCACAUAUUCUGCUAUCUCACGUCGCAUACUGGCCCACCAGAAUUGUUGCUUUAAGUCCUGAUACAUCUUAGUGUUUCCAGGGUGAAUCGAAUACAAAGUUUCAUGAGCUUCUUUCAUGAUGGUAUCCUUCAACUCCUUAUUAUCUGGGACGCAAAUUCUUUCUCCUAACCAUACGGUUCCUUGCUCAUCUUCUACAAAACCGAUGGCUUUACCUCUUCUCAUGUUCUUCUUUAUUUCCUGGAUAUCAGGAUCAUUCACUUGAGCUUCUCUAAUUUGAUCAAACAGAGUAGGUUUAGCUUCCAAAGUAGCCACUAAACCUUGGCUGACUAUUCCCAAGUUCAACUUUCAAAUUCUUGGCAUAACUCCCAAGGUAAACGUCUACCUUCUGACAUAUUACAGUAACUUUUCCUGUGUCACACCCUGAUUUUCGUCUUAGGGUUUAUAAAUUAUUUAAUAAAUUAAUAAUAGAUUUUAUAUUAAAUGUUCUUUAAUUUACAAGUGAAGUUAAAUGUGGGAAAUAAAAUUUUCUAAAUAUAAAGCAUGGAUGGAUUUAAUUUUUAUUAAAUUCUCCAUGGUUAAUUAUACUCUCUGGAAUUUUCUCGGAUUUUUCGGAGCUCAAUUAUUAAUUUUAAAAGGUUAAAAGAGAAGAUCUUUUUUUUAAUUUGCUAAAUCUCAAUAUAAAAUUGAGUUAGAUAAAAUUUUAUUAAAUACUUUACUUGUUCCUCUAUUUUCUAGAAUUUUCUGGGAAUUAUUUGAGCAAGGGAAAUAUUUUUAAUAAAUGAAACAUCAUUUCACAAAUUGUUUUUUUUAAAAAGUUCCAAAAGCCCUCCCUUAAGUUGUUGGGCCGAUUUUGGCCCAACAUUCCUUCUCUCCCUAGCGGCCGAGCCGGCCCAAAACCGGCCGAGUCGGCUCAAGCCGAGCCGGUCACCCCUCUCCCUCAAGCCACCGACAGGUGGGCCCCACCUGUCGGGAGCUUCUUCAAGCUCUAGCAGCCGGCCGGCCGAAGCCAUGCCGUGCCCGAGCCGCCCUCUUCUCCACUCCAAAUCCGCUCCGAUCUCUCCCAAUUUCUUCCGAUUGAUUGAGGGGUUUUGUUCCUCUCAAUCUCCUCUAUCUUUCCCCUCAAGUUUUGGAACAAAUCGUUGAGUAUCUUGUUCGAAUCAAACUCGUUUUCGAGUUUAUCUCCAAAACCGAGUUUUAAUCUUCUCGGAUCAAUUCCUCUCGUUUGGAGUUCGAUCUCUUCAAUCCAAGCCUAUAUAAAGCAUCCUCUCAUCCUACUCUUUAGUUUGCCCCCUUUCCCGUGCUCUCCCGUGCUCCGUAGCGCCGCCGCCACGCCGAGCAAGCCGCCGCCGCCGCCGGCCAUCGUCCAGCCGUGCCGCCGCGCCUCCUCAGCCGUCGCCGCCGCUUCCCCUCGCCGCCGUUAGGUGCGCCAAGCCGUGGGGAACCUCGGCAGCCUCUCCCCCUUCGCUGCCGACCACCGUAGCUCGCCGUCCACGUGCAAGCCGAGCCGCCGCCUUUGUCCGCCUCGUCGCCGGCCGUCAUCCGUCGUCGUUCGUCGCGUUGGUGAGUACCAACGGGUUCGUCUCGUCGUCCUCUUUGCAUAGGUGUGCUCCAAAGUCCCGGCCGAGGUCCCAAUCUCCGGCGAGCUUGCCAACCCUAGCCCUAGCCGGCCGGCCUUGCUUUGCUGAUGUCAGCAUGACGUCGUGAUGACGUCAUCGGUUUUUCUUUUUCCCGUUUUUCUAAUAGUUUAAAUCUUUGGAAAAUCAUAUCUAAAUAACCGUAGAUCCGUUUCAGGUGGUUCAAGUUGCUAAAUUUUUCUAAAAUAAAGAUCUAUAUAUUAAAAUUGUCCAUAAAUUGAAUUAAAUUUAUUUAAUUCUUUUUAAAUGGGCUUUAAAUAGAUUUAAUCUUGUAAAAUUCAUAAUAAAUUCAUUUGAAGUCAGAUUGAGGCCGUUCAAGUCUCAUAAUUCAUUUAAAAUUAUGAUCUACAUGUUUGUUUACUUUUUAUGUACUGUUUAUUUGGUUUUUAUUAGUCUUUUUCUUCGUUUUGCGUGUUAGCUUGUCGUUUCCGUCGUUACGAAGGUUCGCGAGUGCGUCGGAAGUGUUCAAGAAGAUUAAUUGAAGACUGAUUAUUGCAAGGCAAGUCACACAGAUCCUAAACACAAUCCUUUGAGCAUGUUGAUUCUAUAUUUAAAUUCUCUAUUUAUUUCAACUGUGCAUUUAUUUUCGAAUGUCACCGGGUGGUGUGAACCUAUUCCUUUGUUAUGGCCAAUUUGCAUUGAAUAUCCUAUUCCUUGAUACCUUGGGUAAUAAAUUGAUUAGCUUGAACCUUAUGUAUUGGUUUGGUUCAGCUAAAUGUUAUAUAUAUAUAUAAUUGCUUAGCAAUGCUUAGAAACAUUAGCUCACUAAUGGGAUGAAUCAAAUAUACUACAUUAUUAUUUAUGCUUAUAUUUAAUGGUAGCUCACGAUGGUUAAUCGUGUUAUGAUAAUUAAUUGGUAAUUAAAACCUGGUUAAGGUGGGUUGUGAGCAUAUGGUUUUGAUGGUUGUGCUCAUGACAAUUAAGGACCGGUUCGCGAGCUACUGUUGUGAAACAUUAACCGUACCAACCACAAGCCAGCGUGGGCAACGGCUUUAUCUCUUGUAUAGCAUGAUUCAUUAUAGUGUGCCAGACUGUGAAGUGGCGAGAAGUCCAUGGGGGUCGCUGGGGAGUCCAUGCCUCUGGUUGUAGAGGGGGUGAUUAUGAUCCAGGAAUGGUGCACUGUGGUGAGUUGUGUUAUGCAGGGGGUAAUGUCACAGCCUCUAUUCGGGUACUUUCCAGUAUCGCGACGCAUGGUAGACAUGAUGUUGAGGUUGUGUCUUGUGGGUACAGUGGUACACCUCUGGCCAGAGUAAAACUAUUCGAAUAGCCGUGCCCGCGGUUAUGGGCGAGUUGAGCAAUGUUUUUCGUGAUUAGUCUCACACCUCUCACAAUAAAUAUGGAUGUUAAUACUUGCUAAUAAUUUGCUUAGCUCCUGGUUUGGAGUUAGAUUUGUUCAGCCGGGUAUGGUUGUUCAGGAUGGUUGGGCCUGUGCAGCAUGGGUGUGCUGUUCAGUGUUGAUUAAAAUUUCUGAUUAAUUACUCCACUGUUUUAUUUCUCUUAAAUGUUUUGCUAAAUGCUGCUUUUGCAAAUGAGCCUAUAUUAUGCCAUCCUUUGGUAUCUUUGUGCACUUGCAUAUUUGCUGUGUGGCUUGUUGAGUAUGUCAUAUGCUCAUUCUUGCAAUAAUCAUCAAACCUCAGUUGAAGAUAAAGGAUCCAGAAGGAGAAGACGUUUGGCUUAUACCCCAGCUGAGCUGCCUGUGGGAGUGGAGCCGGAGCUUCGCUAGAUUUUAUUUUUCCGUUGCUGUUUUCUUUUCUUUUGUAAGUAUUAACGAUAUUAUUAUGAUAGAUUUGUAUAUUAAAUUGUCAGUUUGUGUACCUCGGCUGAUUCCUGGACGAGGAUUUUAUGCACAAAUAAGUUCGGAAAUUACUAGUGAAUUGCUGGGCGUGACAAGUUGGUAUCAGAGCCAUCUCGACUGUAGGAUAAGCCAAAUGGUCAAACCUGAAGGACUAUUUUUCCGAAAAAAAUAAUUUGUGAAAAUUUCUCCUUUCUUCCUUAUCUAGAAUUCUUUGCAAAUUGUUUCAUUGUCUACUCUCUUCCCUCUUUCAACUUGAGUAGUUGUUAAACUUGAUGGAGAAACUCGAAGACGUCGAUGUUGUCAACUUCUGCAAGUCAAGUGGAUCGAGGAAUAAGAAGAUGAUAGUCGAAUCAAAGUGUUCAGCUGUCAAGAUAGAGUGAAGUUUGGAACCUAGUUUAGAACCUAUGCCGCCAAAGUGUCUUUGAAGAAUAGUUAGUAGGGUAGAACGCUGUUGUUUGCUUUGUGUGUAGGUAUGGUUGCAUUCCCGUCAUUGAUGUAGUCCAGUGAUGAGCGUGCAACUGUACUAGGUUGUUUGUUUAAUCAACUUGAACAAUAUAACGAACUACACACAUCAGAUCAGUGGUAACCUAGUUAAGGUCUUAUCUUUAGUGUAACCCCUCUCCUUCUAUCCUUUCUAAUCUGCAAUAGAUGGUGAACACUCGCGCCAGUGGAAGUGGAAACAAUAACAAUGAAGAGAACCCAACUCUUGCUCAAGUGCUGGCUCAACAGACCCAAUUGAUCAACAUGUUAGUGCAACAAAUGCAGAACCAGCAAGGGAACAACAAUGUCAAUCCUCCGCCGCCGCAGAACAAGUUAGCUGAUUUUCUUCGUGUGAGGCCACCUACCUUCUCUAGCACUACCAACCCAGUAGAAGCAGGUGAUUGGCUGCACGCUGUUGAGAAGAAGUUGGAAUUGCUCCAGUGCACGGAUCAGGAGAAAGUUGUUUUCGCUUCACAUCAGUUGCAAGGAUCUGCUUCAGAAUGGUGGGAUCAUUUCCGAAUGAACAGAGCAGAAGGACAACCAAUCACUUGGGCGGAGUUCACUGAAGCAUUCAAGAAGACACACAUACCUGCAGGUGUUGUUGCUUUGAAGAAGCGUGAGUUCCGGGCGCUUAAGCAAAAGGAUCGUACCGUGACGGAAUAUCUUCAUGAGUUCAAUCGUCUAGCUCGCUAUGCUCCAGAAGAUGUGCGUACUGACGAGGAAAGGCAGGAGAAGUUUUUGGAAGGCUUAAAGGAUGAGCUGUCAGUUAUGUUGAUCUCUCAUGACUACGAGGAUUUUCAGGAGUUGGUUGAUAAAGCAAUUCGACUGGAAGACAAGAAGAACAGGAUGGACAAUCGUAAGAGAGGAAGGAUUGUUUUCCAGGAGGCACAGGAUAGUAGCCAGAGGCAGCGUAUCAAGCCACUCCAAAUUGGUGAACCUUCUUCCGCUAGUCAAGGGCAGUCGCAACAGUUGAACAUCGCUGGUGAGAUCAACUCAGAGACUAAUGCAAGCAAUAAAGACAAUGAUGAGCAAGCUACUCAGUCAGUGUCAGUUCAGCAGGAUCAGUCUCAAGUGAAUAACAGUAAUGGAAGGGAGCAGCGGGUGUGUUUCAAUUGUUAUGAGCCAGGUCACUUCGUAAAAGAGUGUCCGAAGCCGAAGCGUCAACAGCCACAAGGCCAAGUCAACAACAUUGUCUUCACAGGAGCGAAUGCAGUGCCGGUUGUGUCUUCAAGUGUUACAGCUCAGCGACCAGUUUCAAAGCAGUAGUAGUUUUCUUUAAAGCCUUAGAAUAAUUAUCGGAGUUAUGGAAUAAGAUAGACUGCAGUUUACCUAUGCCUUUUUCUUUCUAGCCGUUCCGAAUCUCGGGACGAGAUUCUUUGUAAGGGGGGUAGACUUGUCACACCCUGAUUUUCGUCUUAGGGUUUAUAAAUUAUUUAAUAAAUUAAUAAUAGAUUUUAUAUUAAAUGUUCUUUAAUUUACAAGUGAAGUUAAAUGUGGGAAAUAAAAUUUUCUAAAUAUAAAGCAUGGAUGGAUUUAAUUUUUAUUAAAUUCUCCAUGGUUAAUUAUACUCUCUGGAAUUUUCUCGGAUUUUUCGGAGCUCAAUUAUUAAUUUUAAAAGGUUAAAAGAGAAGAUCUUUUUUUUUAAUUUGCUAAAUCUCAAUAUAAAAUUGAGUUAGAUAAAAUUUUAUUAAAUACUUUACUUGUUCCUCUAUUUUCUAGAAUUUUCUGGGAAUUAUUUGAGCAAGGGAAAUAUUUUUAAUAAAUGAAACAUCAUUUCACAAAUUGUUUUUUUUAAAAAGUUCCAAAAGCCCUCCCUUAAGUUGUUGGGCCGAUUUUGGCCCAACAUUCCUUCUCUCCCUAGCGGCCGAGCCGGCCCAAAACCGGCCGAGUCGGCUCAAGCCGAGCCGGUCACCCCUCUCCCUCAAGCCACCGACAGGUGGGCCCCACCUGUCGGGAGCUUCUUCAAGCUCUAGCAGCCGGCCGGCCGAAGCCAUGCCGUGCCCGAGCCGCCCUCUUCUCCACUCCAAAUCCGCUCCGAUCUCUCCCAAUUUCUUCCGAUUGAUUGAGGGGUUUUGUUCCUCUCAAUCUCCUCUAUCUUUCCCCUCAAGUUUUGGAACAAAUCGUUGAGUAUCUUGUUCGAAUCAAACUCGUUUUCGAGUUUAUCUCCAAAACCGAGUUUUAAUCUUCUCGGAUCAAUUCCUCUCGUUUGGAGUUCGAUCUCUUCAAUCCAAGCCUAUAUAAAGCAUCCCCUCAUCCUACUCUUUAGUUUGCCCCCUUUCCCGUGCUCUCCCGUGCUCCGUAGCGCCGCCGCCACGCCGAGCAAGCCGCCGCCGCCGCCGGCCAUCGUCCAGCCGUGCCGCCGCGCCUCCUCAGCCGUCGCCGCCGCUUCCCCUCGCCGCCGUUAGGUGCGCCAAGCCGUGGGGAACCUCGGCAGCCUCUCCCCCUUCGCUGCCGACCACCGUAGCUCACCGUCCACGUGCAAGCCGAGCCGCCGCCUUUGUCCGCCUCGUCGCCGGCCGUCAUCCGUCGUCGUUCGUCGCGUUGGUGAGUACCAACGGGUUCGUCUCGUCGUCCUCUUUGCAUAGGUGUGCUCCAAAGUCCCGGCCGAGGUCCCAAUCUCCGGCGAGCUUGCCAACCCUAGCCCUAGCCGGCCGGCCUUGCUUUGCUGAUGUCAGCAUGACGUCGUGAUGACGUCAUCGGUUUUUCUUUUUCCCGUUUUUCUAAUAGUUUAAAUCUUUGGAAAAUCAUAUCUAAAUAACCGUAGAUCCGUUUCAGGUGGUUCAAGUUGCUAAAUUUUUCUAAAAUAAAGAUCUAUAUAUUAAAAUUGUCCAUAAAUUGAAUUAAAUUUAUUUAAUUCUUUUUAAAUGGGCUUUAAAUAGAUUUAAUCUUGUAAAAUUCAUAAUAAAUUCAUUUGAAGUCAGAUUGAGGCCGUUCAAGUCUCAUAAUUCAUUUAAAAUUAUGAUCUACAUGUUUGUUUACUUUUUAUGUACUGUUUAUUUGGUUUUUAUUAGUCUUUUUCUUCGUUUUGCGUGUUAGCUUGUCGUUUCCGUCGUUACGAAGGUUCGCGAGUGCGUCGGAAGUGUUCAAGAAGAUUAAUUGAAGACUGAUUAUUGCAAGGCAAGUCACACAGAUCCUAAACACAAUCCUUUGAGCAUGUUGAUUCUAUAUUUAAAUUCUCUAUUUAUUUCAACUGUGCAUUUAUUUUCGAAUGUCACCGGGUGGUGUGAACCUAUUCCUUUGUUAUGGCCAAUUUGCAUUGAAUAUCCUAUUCCUUGAUACCUUGGGUAAUAAAUUGAUUAGCUUGAACCUUAUGUAUUGGUUUGGUUCAGCUAAAUGUUAUAUAUAUAUAUAAUUGCUUAGCAAUGCUUAGAAACAUUAGCUCACUAAUGGGAUGAAUCAAAUAUACUACAUUAUUAUUUAUGCUUAUAUUUAAUGGUAGCUCACGAUGGUUAAUCGUGUUAUGAUAAUUAAUUGGUAAUUAAAACCUGGUUAAGGUGGGUUGUGAGCAUAUGGUUUUGAUGGUUGUGCUCAUGACAAUUAAGGACCGGUUCGCGAGCUACUGUUGUGAAACAUUAACCGUACCAACCACAAGCCAGCGUGGGCAACGGCUUUAUCUCUUGUAUAGCAUGAUUCAUUAUAGUGUGCCAGACUGUGAAGUGGCGAGAAGUCCAUGGGGGUCGCUGGGGAGUCCAUGCCUCUGGUUGUAGAGGGGGUGAUUAUGAUCCAGGAAUGGUGCACUGUGGUGAGUUGUGUUAUGCAGGGGGUAAUGUCACAGCCUCUAUUCGGGUACUUUCCAGUAUCGCGACGCAUGGUAGACAUGAUGUUGAGGUUGUGUCUUGUGGGUACAGUGGUACACCUCUGGCCAGAGUAAAACUAUUCGAAUAGCCGUGCCCGCGGUUAUGGGCGAGUUGAGCAAUGUUUUUCGUGAUUAGUCUCACACCUCUCACAAUAAAUAUGGAUGUUAAUACUUGCUAAUAAUUUGCUUAGCUCCUGGUUUGGAGUUAGAUUUGUUCAGCCGGGUAUGGUUGUUCAGGAUGGUUGGGCCUGUGCAGCAUGGGUGUGCUGUUCAGUGUUGAUUAAAAUUUCUGAUUAAUUACUCCACUGUUUUAUUUCUCUUAAAUGUUUUGCUAAAUGCUGCUUUUGCAAAUGAGCCUAUAUUAUGCCAUCCUUUGGUAUCUUUGUGCACUUGCAUAUUUGCUGUGUGGCUUGUUGAGUAUGUCAUAUGCUCAUUCUUGCAAUAAUCAUCAAACCUCAGUUGAAGAUAAAGGAUCCAGAAGGAGAAGACGUUUGGCUUAUACCCCAGCUGAGCUGCCUGUGGGAGUAGAGCCGGAGCUUCGCUAGAUUUUAUUUUUCCGUUGCUGUUUUCUUUUCUUUUGUAAGUAUUAACGAUAUUAUUAUGAUAGAUUUGUAUAUUAAAUUGUCAGUUUGUGUACCUCGGCUGAUUCCUGGACGAGGAUUUUAUGCACAAAUAAGUUCGGAAAUUACUAGUGAAUUGCUGGGCGUGACAUCCUGCUAAGGGCAUCGGCUACAACAUUUGCUUUCCCCGGGUGAUAAUGGAUUUCCAUAUCAUAAUCUUUAAUCAACUCUAACCAUCUUCGCUGACGCAUGUUCAAAUCAGGUUGAGUGAAAAUGUACUUCAAACUUUUAUGAUCCGUAUAUAUCUCUGUACGGUUACCGAAAAGAUAAUGACGCCAAAUCUUCAAUGCAUGCACCACAGCUGCCAAUUCCAGGUCAUGCGUUGGGUAGUUAUUCUCAUGAGGACGUAAUUGCCUAGAUGCAUAGGCAACCACCUUUCCUUCUUGCAUCAACACACAACCCAAACCGAGUCGGGAUGCAUCACAAUACACUUGGAAACCUUUCCUCGUAUCAGGCAAAAUUAAUACAGGCGCAGUCACUAGCCUUUUCUUCAGUUCUUGGAAACUUCGUUCACAAUCCUCCGUCCACUUAUACUUCACUUCCUUCUGAAGCAGACGAGUCAUUGGUCUGGCGAUCUUUGAAAAGUUCUCAAUAAACCUGCGGUAAUACCCUGCAAGUCCAAGGAAACUACGAAUUUCUGAAACCGUCUUGGGUUGCUUCCAACUUAAUACUGACUCCACAUUGCUUGGAUCUACUGCCACUCCUCCAGACGAGAUGACAUGACCAAGAAACUUUACUUCGGACAACCAAAAUUCACAUUUACUGAACUUGGCAUAAAGCUGAUGCUCACGUAGUUUCUCUAAAGCUAGACGAAGAUGCUCUUCAUGUUCUUCCUUCGUCUUGGAGUAAAUAAGAAUGUCAUCAAUAAACACUACGACAAACUUAUCCAAAUAUUCCAUAAACACCUUGUUCAUCAGAUUCAUGAAAAAGGCUGGGGCAUUAGUGAGUCCAAACGACAUAACGGUACAUUCGAACAAACCAUACCGAGUUGUGAAGGCGGUCUUUGGUAUAUCUUCCUCACGGAUUCGAAGUUGAUGAUAUCCAGAAUGGAGAUCUAUCUUGGAGAAAACUGUAGCACCUUCGAGUUGAUCAAACAGGUCAUCAAUUCUGGGUAGAGGAUAUUUAUUCUUGAUAGUAACCUCAUUCAACGCUCGAUAAUCCACACACAUUCUUUGAGUAUGAUCUUUCUUCUCCACAAAGAUGACUGGUGCUCCCCACGGCGAAGUACUGGGUCUGAUGUAUCCUUUCUGAAGCAAAUCAUCCACCUGUUUCUUCACCUCAGCUAACUCGUUAGCUGCCAUUCUGUAUGGUCUCUUAUGGAUGGGGUUGGUUCCAGGUACCAAGUCUAUCCGAAACUCUAUGUCUCUCUUAGGUGGCAUACCUGGCAAAUCCUCGGGAAACACGUCUGGGUAGUCUUGCACUAUAGGAAUCUCUUGUAGAGCAACUUGGUUUAAGACCACACCAUGAGAUUUAGGAGAGGAUGCAAAGAAAGAAACUGUUUCCCCAUUGCUAUUGGUUAAAGUCACCUUACGAUUGGCGCAAUCUAUAACUCCUCUGUGACGAGAUAACCAAUCCAUCCCUAAGAUAACAUCUAGGUCUUUGGAUUCUAGCAAGAUAAGAGAGGAUGGGAAAGGAACUUCUUCUAUUUCUAUAGUAACGGAAGGACAAUACUGUGUCGAAAAUACCUGAUUGCCCGGGGUAUUAACUAGUAAAGGUCUCCCAAGACUAACAACUUCCAUCCCAUGUUUGCUUGCAAAACUUUUAGACAAAAAGGAAUGUGUAGCACCGGAAUCAAAAAGCACAGUUGCGGGUAUAGAGUUAACAGGAAACGUACCCAAAACAACAUCUGGUGCAUUCUGAGCUUCUGCUGCUGCAACAUGAUUAACACGUGCCUUCGGUGCUGGAACAUUGGGGUUGUUCGGGACUGGAGCGUUCUUCACACGCCGAGGCUUAGGACACUUAUCAGCAUAAUGUCCUGGAUCACCACAAUUAAAGCAUAUCACUGGCUUGCUUCCCUGUUCCUUCCUGACAGGCUGGUUCUGAACUGGAGUUGCUGCAGGACAAGCAACCAUAUUGCGGUUGUCAUUGCCACGAUUACUAGUAUUGUUGUUGUAGAACUGGCGUUGGGGACGGGCAACAGAUGAAGAUCCUCCUUGAGGGUACGAUGGAGCUUGAGGUCCAGUAAUGAGACGCGGCCUUUGGUUACUGCCCUGUUGUGCCUUAAAUUGGGCAGCCCUGCGCUUCUUCUGCUCUAUACGGUUAUACUUGUCUUCCUGACGAAUCGCCUUGUCCACCAAUUGUUGGAAAUCCCGGAAAUCCGUAGCCAUCAAAGCAUAAGACAACUCAUCAUUUAGUCCCUCUAAAAACUUCUCCUGACGCUCUUCAUCGGUGCGAACAUCCUCUGGAGCAUAGCGAGCUAAACGGUUAAAAUCAUGGAGGUACUCAGUGACCGAACGAGAUCCCUGGUUGAGUGCUCUAAAUUCUCUCUUCUUUAGAGCUACAACACCUGACGGUAUAUGCGUCUUCUUAAAAGCAGCUGUGAAUUCCUGCCAAGUAAUAGGUUCUCCUCCCGCCCUGCCUUGGCGAAAAUGAUCCCACCAUUCAGCAGCGGGUCCAUGCAACUGAUGCGAAGCAAAAGAAACUUUCUCCUGCUCAGUACACUGGAUCAAAUCCAACUUCUUCUCCACCGCAUGCAACCAAUCUCCUGCUUCUACUGGAUUGGUGGUGCUUGAAAAGGUAGGGGGUCUCACACGUAAGAAAUCUGCCAGCUUAUUUUGGGGAGGUGGGGGUGGAUUCUGGUUCUGAUUAUUUGCUUGCUGAUUCUGUGCCUGCUGCACUAACAGGUUGAUCAGUUGUGUCUGUUGAGCCAGAAUCUGAGCUAGCGUGGGUUCUCCUCCAUUGUUAGUAGCUCCACUUCCACUUCCACUUCCACUUCCGGUGCGCGUGUUCACCAUCUGACGAUAAGCAGAGACAACAGGAAAGAAUGACAGAGAGACACCCUUAGAACGGAGUUAUUUAAUUAAUUUAAAUUCUAUAUUGCUCUUAACUGUGUAUGAUUACAUUUAAGUUGCAUUAACACUAUCUCACCAACUAUCUUACACUCUGACAAGCAAAAGAACUAGACUCAUGCUGUUACAUCCCACCAAUGAUGUAAGCAACAACUAAACCCACACACUCACAAGCAAACUUAAACAAGCAAUCUAACACAACGAACUAUGGCAACGUUCUAACUAAGCGUCUACUUCCGCCUUGCGUCGGAACGAAACGAUGAAUCUUCUUCCUCUGGAGUAGCUGGCUCCCUUUCUUUAUGAUCUUCCUCUUCUUCCUCAUCACUUAUGAUGUCGAUGACAGGUUCAGCACGAUUGGGCAUAGCUUCACCCAUCACGCGAAUCUUCGAAGCUAACUGGAGACGAGGUGGCGGACAGGUUCUCUUUCUUGCAGUGAGGCGAAGCUUGGAUAUUGGCGGCGGCGUUUCUCCUUUAAGUUCAGCUAAUUCCUUCUGUAGACGGUGCACCUUGCUCUUCAACUUGCAAAUCUUGCCUUGAUUCCAGUUUUCCCUGUCAUGAGCUGCUUUGUCUCGCUCCACACUUACUGCAUCCAUAGCACUAAGCAUAUGCACCACAUGCAUCAGAGUGGCACUCUCUUCACCAUCAGGACAGGUAUAGGUUCCAUAGUCUUGACCAUGAGCCUUGUGAGGAUGAUACUGGAAAGCUGAUGAAUCCAACUCUUCUUCAAAGUGUUGUCGCAACUCUCCAAUGGCCACCAAAGCUACUUCUUGACAAGCAUGGCAGUACGAUCUUCCUCCAACUUCGAACUUAAAGGACGGAAGGUCUUCACUAUCACUAGCCAAUGUCACACGAACACGACACUUCUCCUCGUCGGGGUCAUGGGAAAUUUGGCGAUACUCGGGAGCAACUUCAUAGCCUACCUCAAAAGCCAUCAACCUCAACUCCCUGACGAAUCCUAACACCUCGAUCAAAUUUCUCGGUGAAUGGGGCGGCAUCUAAAGAAACAUAGAAGAGAAGAAUUAAUGCAUAUUUUUCUAAGUUAGCUGCACCAACUAGACUUAACUGAUUUUUGACCCAAAAGGAAGAAAAAUAAAAGAAAAGACACAUACAAAGCUAUUUUAUAAAUAUUUUUUUUAGAAUUUAACUUUUUAGACAGGGGCAAAUAUAUUAUUAUUUUUUUUAACAAAUAUUUAAAAUAAAGCUAAGAUAAUUAUGAUCUAUUAUAAGCACGGUACAAUGUCACCAUAGGAAAGAUAAGUAGUACUAGUGCUAACAUGAUUAAUUCGAUACCAUAAUAAAUGUACAGUGCCGACUAAUCAAUAAAAUUUUGGGUAAAGAGAAAAAGAAACAUUUUGAAAAGAACAACCUUUUUCUUUUAAAAGAAAAGAAAUUGAAUUAAAUAAGUUUUGUGCAUAACCUCGCAUGUGCUGCCAACUUAAUUAAUUUGUAAGAGAAUAGAGAAGAGCAGUUCUAUUUUUUUUUCAAAAUAUUUUGAAGGCUACUUAAGGUUUACCAUUUGGCUUAUCCUAAGGUCAAGGUGGCUCUGAUACCAACUUGUCACGCCCGGAAUUUCUAUCCAAAAUUCCAAACGCUUACAUGUGUGUUAAACCCUCGUCUAGGAAUCAACCGAGGCACACAAUGACAAUAUUGAUAAUAGAGUACAAAUGAAUAACUAUUUAAUAUUCGCAAAUAAUAAAUUAUUACAGAGGUAGAUAGUUCCUCUCAAAGAAAAAUAACAUUCUACGCAGCGGAAAAAUAAAACUAAAACAAUCUACGGAACAGCGAUGGCGACUCCACUCCACAGGCAACUUAACCGAGAACAAGCCUAAUCCUCCAGAUCAUCACCUUCACUGAGAUACUCCUCUUCUGAUGAAUGAAUAUUGCAAGAAUGAGCAUAUAACAUACUCAACAAGCCACACAACAAAUAUGCAAGUGCACAAAAUAACAAAGGAUGGCACAAUAUAGCUCAUUUGCAGAAAACAGCAUUUAAUAAAUAUUUAAGAGAAUAGUAAAACAGUUGUAUAAUUAAUCAAUAUUAAAUAAACACCAUACAACAUACCCAUGUUGCAUAGGCCCAACCACAUUUGAACAACCAACCCCGGUUGAACAAAUUAAACCUCCAAACCAGGAAUUAACCAUUCCAAACCAGGAACUAAAUUAAUUACCACAUAAUUACCAUUAAUGAGUAGUGUGAGACUAAUCACGAAAAACAUUGCUCAACUCACCCAUAACCGCGGGUACGGCUAUUCGAAUAGAUUAAAACUCUGAUCAGAGGUGUACCACUGUACCCACAAGACACAACCCCACAUCAUGUCACCAUGUGCCUCAAUACCACCACGGUACCUCGGAAAGGAGUCGUGACAAUACCCCUCGCAUAACACAAUUCACCACAGUGCACCGUACCUGGAUCAUAAUCACCCCCUUAUAAACAAGGCAUGGACUCCCCAGCGACCCCCAUGGACUUCUCGCCACUUCUCAGUCUGGCGCACUCUAAUGAAUCACGCUAUACAAAAGAUAAAGCCGUUGCCCACGCUGGCUUGUGGUUGGCACGAUAAAUGUUUCACAACAGUAGCUCGCGAACCGGUCCUUAAUUGUCAUGAGCACAACCAUCAAAACCAUAUGCUCACAACCCACCUUAUCCAAGUUUUAAUUAUCAAUUAAUUAUCAUCACACGAUUUACCAUCGUGAGCUACCAUUGAAUAUAACCCUAAUUAAUAAUAAUAAUUAUGUAAUAUAAUUUAUAUUUAACCCCAUUUAGUUAGCUAAUGUUUCUAAGCAUGGCUAAGCAAACCUACAUAUAGCAUUUAGCUGAACCAAUCCAAUAUAUAAGGUUCAUGCCAAUCAAAUUAUAACCCAUAGGAAAAUAAAGUCAUCUUCGGCCAUUAAAUAAUUGGGAAAGGUUCACCACCCGAUGACAUUCAAAAACAAUGCAUAGUUGAAAAUAAAAUAAUAGCUUUAAACGGGAUCAACAUGCUCAAAGGGUUGUUUGGGAUCUGUGUGACUUGCCUUGGGCUUCCACAAAUGCUUCGGAACCUUCCUCAAUGGAAACGCUCUCCUCCGGAACGUCGGAAACUAAAGCAAAUAAACAAAAUCAAUAAAACAGUACAAAAACAAGCAUAAACAGUACAUGUGGAUAUUUUUAACAUGUAGAUCUUGAUUUUAGAAAAAUUUAGAAACUUGAACCACCUAAAACGGAUCUACGGUUAUUUAAUUAUGAUUUUCCGAAGUUUUAAUCUAUUAGAAAAUCGGGAAAAAGAAAAAGAAAAGGAAACGAUGACGUCAGCCCUGGAGAUGACGUCAUGCUGACGUCGGCACGGCGGCCGGCUCGGGUUGAGGAGCUCGCCGGCGCUAGAGCGAUCGGCCGGGCGAUUGGAGGGCAUCUACGCGUAGAGGGCAACGAGGCGAACCCGUUGGUACUCACCACUACGGCAAACGGUGCACGACGGCGGCCGGCGACGAGGAGGAAGGCGGCGGCGGUUCGGGUCGACGGCGGCGAGCGGGCUCCGGUGGUCGGCGGCGAGAGAGGAGGGGCGGCCGGGCUUCCUCUCACCACGGCGCACCUAUCGGCGGCAACGGCGAGCGGCGGCGACGGCGGAGACGGCGCGGCGGCGUUGCCGAAGACGGCCGGCGGCGGCGGCGAACUUGGAGCACGUCGCGGCGGCGCUAGGAGGCACGGGAGAGCUCGGGAAAGGGGGCAAACGGAAGAGAAGAACAAGGAGAAGCUUUAUAUGGCAUUGGAUCGAAGAGAUCGAGCUCCAAACGGGAGGAAUCGAUUCGGGAAGAAAUCGAACUCGGUUUUUAGGGAUAAAACAAAACGAAUUCGAUUCGGAGAGAAUACUCAACGGAUUUCUUUGUUUCUUGAGGGGAAAGAAAGAGGAGAUCGAGAGGAACAAAACCCCUCAAUCAAUUGGAAGAAUCCGGGUCGGAUUUGGGCGGAAACGGCGGCGCAAGACGGCGGCUCGGGCUCGGUCUCGGCGGCGGCCGGAGGAAGGAGAAGGGCCUGACAUGUGGGCCCCACAUGUCAGUGUCCCGAGAGAGAGGGGCACGGGCGGCGGCGGCUUGGGCCGGCGUGGGCCGCGCGCGGGGAGAGAGAGAAAGAGAGAGUUGGGCCGAAAACGGUCCAACGGCUAAAGAAGGGGUUUUUUAAACUUUUUUGAAUAAAACAAUUUGUGAAAUGUUGUUUCAAUUAUUAAAAAUACUUCCCUUGCUCAAAUAAUUCCCAGAAAAAUCUAGAAAAUAGAGGAGCAAGCAUAGUAUUUAAUAAAAUUUUAUCUAGCUCACUUUUAUGUUGAAAAUUUUCCUAGAAAAUUAGGGUUUAGCUUGUAGGCUUUUAAAAUAAUUUCUAAAAAUUCCAAUUAAACAACAAUUUAUAUAUUUAAGAUUUUUAGAGUGUGACAAUAAAUGUGUAUUUCCGGCUUCCACGUCGCCGCGAUCUCAUCUUCCGCCGCCGCGCCCCGCAACAACCCGGGCCGUCGACGUCAUCGACGACGUGUCGACGUGUAUAACACACACUCCUCUAGACUGCAAAGCUAGUCCCUACGCCUCCUCACCUUCUUGCUCUUGCUGCGCGCGCGCGAGGAGAAACAGAGUUGGAGGCGAUGGCGGCGGCGUCGGCGGCGAAGGAGCUCCACUUCUUGCUGGUGCCGCUGGUGGCGCAGGGCCACAUCAUCCCUAUGGUGGACCUGGCGCGCCUCCUCGCCGGCCGCGGCGCGCGCGUCACGGUGGUCACCACGCCGGUCAACGCCGCGCGCAACAGGGCGGCCGUCGAGGGAGCGCGGCGGGGAGGGCUCGCCGUCGAGCUCGCCGAGAUCACCUUCACCGGCCCGGAGUUCGGCCUGCCGGAGGGCGUGGAGAACAUGGACCAGUUGGUGGACAUCGCCAUGUACCUGGCUUUCUUCAAGGCCGUGUGGAACAUGGAGGCGGCGCUCGAGGCGUACGUGCGCGCGCUGCCUCGCCGCCCGGACUGCGUCGUCGCCGACGCCUGCAACCCGUGGACGGCGGCCGUGUGCGAACGCCUCGCCAUCCCGCGCCUCGUGCUGCACUGCCCCUCCGUCUACUUCCUCCUCGCCAUCCACUGCCUCGCCAAGCACGGCGUGUACGACCGCGUCGCCGACCAGCUCGAGCCGUUCGAGGUGCCGGGCUUCCCCGUGCGCGCCGUCGUCAACACGGCCACGUGCCGCGGCUUCUUCCAGUGGCCCGGCGCGGAGAAGCUGGCGCGCGACGUGGUCGACGGCGAGGCCACCGCUGACGGCCUGCUCCUCAACACGUUCCGCGACGUCGAGGGCGUCUUCGUGGACGCGUACGCGUCGGCGCUCGGCCUGAGGGCGUGGGCCAUCGGGCCGACGUGCGCCGCCAGGCUGGACGACGCCGACUCCAGCGCCAGCCGUGGCAACCGCGCCGUCGUCGACGCCGCCCGGAUCGUCUCGUGGCUCGACGCCCGGCCGCCGGCGUCCGUGCUGUACGUCAGCUUCGGCAGCCUCACGCACCUCCGGGCGACGCAGGCGAUCGAGCUCGCCCGCGGCCUGGAGGAGUCGGGGUGGCCGUUCGUGUGGGCGAUCAAGGAGGCGACGGCCGCCGCCGUGAGCGAGUGGCUCGACGGCGAGGGGUACGAGGAGCGCGUCAGCGACAGGGGCCUCCUGGUGCGCGGGUGGGCGCCGCAGGUGACCAUCCUGUCCCACCCGGCGGCGGGCGGGUUCCUGACCCACUGCGGCUGGAACGCGACGCUGGAGGCCAUCUCCCACGGCGUGCCGGCGCUGACGUGGCCCAACUUCUCCGACCAGUUCAGCAGCGAGCAGCUGCUCGUCGACGUGCUCCGCGUCGGCGUCAGGUCGGGCGUCACGGUGCCCCCCAUGUUCCUCCCCGCCGAGGCCGAGGGCGUGCAGCUCACCAGCGACGGCGUGGUCAAGGCGGUGACCGAGCUGAUGGACGGCGGAGACGAGGGGACGGCGAGGAGGGCGCGCGCCAAGGAGCUCGCCGCGAAGGCGAGGGCGGCGAUGGAGGAAGGCGGGUCGUCGCACGCCGACCUGACGGACGUGAUCGGAUACGUCUCGGAGUUUUCGGCGAAGAAGCGGCAGGAGAGGGACGCCGGCGAGACCGCCCAGCAGCCGCCGCCAUCUCCGGCGGAGCUCGGAGAUAUUAGCGGCGACAAGGUCGAAGCAGAUCCUGCCUUGUCAGUACAAUCGUAGAUAAUACAGUGUGUUACUAGGUUACUAGAUUGAUGAUGAUGUAAUUAGCGCACAUUUAGGUUGUUACAUUAUUAAUUAAUCACGAAUUCGAAAACAUGUAUAACAAUUAUCCUCAAAAGAAUAUAACCUACUAUCUCCGUCCUAAAAUAUACUUCGAAUCUAACUGGAUAUACGUCCUAAAAUAUAUAGCAAUUUUUAACUGGAUGAGACAUAUCCUAAUACGACGAAUCUAAAUAGACGUUUGUCCAAAUUCGUAAUACUAAAUAUAUCCCGCCCACUUAAAAAUUGUUAUAUUUUGAGACGGAGGAAGUAGUAACUUUUAUUUGAUGAGAAAUAUACUACUCCCUCCGUUUCAUAUUAUAUUGUUGCUCAUAUUCAUAUAGAAGCAGGGGUGGAGGUAGGCCUAGGGCAGCUAGGGCUUGAGCCCUAGACCUGCCACCAAAAACUUGCUUAAAUUUUGUUGAUUCACCAUGUAAAUUUUUCAGAAAACUAAUACUCCAUUAGUCGGGUCAUUUCUUAGCCCUAAUCUUAUAUAAUUUCUGGCUUAGCCACUGUAUAGAAGUUAAUGUGAAUCUAGACACAUUUAUAUGUCUAAAUUUAUUAACAUCUAUAUGUAUAUAUGAUAUGUAUAUAUGAGUAAUGCUAGAAAGUGUUAUAUUAAUUAAUUGUGAAACGGAGGACGUAGUAUCUUGUGCUUUAAGUAAAUUCUAAGGUCUACUUGUGCUACACAUUUACAAGAUUUUCUUACUCAAAGUCCUACAGUGCAAAAUUUAAAUCAUUGGAUUGGAUCCAACAUCUAUCCCACUGCCUCAUAUAUAUCGUACCUAUCUUCACUGAUUUCUCCCGGACUCCGGAGAGGAUUGAGCCGCAUGCACACGCUCGCCUGACAUCUCCAACCUCGUCGCUGCUGCACACCCUGGUCCAUGUCAUUCGUCCAUGAUCACUCCACGGCCGGUAUCACUUGUGUGCCAUGCAAUUCUGCUAUCUCGAUAUCCAUACUUUCAUUUUGGCUACAUUAAUUACGACUCCUCCAUACGCGGCUACCUCGAUCGCGAUUACGUCAUGCCAUUCACAGUGCGGUGAGGUGGCGUUCGCCCUCACGUCGCCAGUUCGGAGAUUCCAAGCCACGUCGGCGUUCAGCGAGCCCUUGUGAAGAUCAGGGAGCUUCAUUUGGCCACCUGAACCUCGUUAGAACCUGUCAGGACGUAUCCCCGUGACGCGCGAGAAGAAGGGCGAAAUAACGUUGGUGAGGCUGUGUCCCAAACAUGAAGCCACGGUCCCCUUACCGCCAUCGUAUCGAGCUGCAACCACCUUCGUCAAGGCCGCCCCGCCGUCGUUGAACGGCAGCAGCUGCCAUCGAGGCCACGCCUACCGUGAAGGGGGCAUGGGAUUGCUGUCGUUGUGCCACCACUGCCGCCUUCCAAGGCCAGAUCCGGCAACUCUCAGGCCGGAUCUUGCGAGGAGGAUUAUGGAGUGGCCGUCGUCGAGUCGCUGCCAACUCGGUCGAGCUACGGAGAUGGGGAGGGGAAGCGGCGGAGAUGGGGAGGGAGAGAUGCGUUGCCAGUGGGGGGAGGCACAUCGGUGCUGCCAGUAGGAGAGGGAGAGAGCGGCGCCGCCCAUGGGGGAAGGGGAGCGGCCGAGAUGAGGAGGAGCUGUGUCGACGGUUUUGCAAAGGUUAGUGGCGCCGUGGGAACUAAGAAGAAAACGAGGCGGCGGACUGCGUUGGUGGAGCCUGGGCAACAAAGAUAAAGAAUUUCUGUCUUUAGAUUUUUAUGGAUCUGAUUCGAGGCCAAAAUGCAUUGUGGGCCUUAUGUCUUGAGGUCUACUUGGUAGCCCAGGUCAGACAGAAUGAAGGACGCAUUGCCAUUGCCUUCAUGAUACAUGUUUUGGCUAUAUCGACUACCGCACAAAUAACUAUCAUUUGUGCUGAACACUUUUAUUGUUUCUUCUCCAAUCAAAAAAAAUAGUUCGCGUUACUCGCGCUUAAGAGUAUAAAUAUGAUAGUUACAGGAAUAUAAGAAUACAAUUAAUUUGUUUCCAGUAAUUUCUUAUCGCUAGUCCAUUCCCUUAUCUGUCAAUAUACUGCUAUGUAUACUUGCUCCUAAGAUUAAAUAUAAUAAUUCACAUUAUAUAGUAAUCCCAUGUUCUCUAGCAUUCAACACUAUCAAAUAUCAGUAUCAAAUCCAUACAUUUGAUACUUGUAUUGACAAUCAACUUGCCAAAUUAUCACAAAACUUGUCGUCACCAAGUUUGACCGGUUGACGCAUGGGAAAAAAAAGGGAUAGGAUGCGAGUACGUGACAUGUAAUGUACCGGACAAACUAACUUCCGAUUGGACCCACUCAUACGGGGCUCUCUGAUUCUCUCUAUUAAAAAAAUCCACUUAUAUGUACAGAUUGAAACCCAGAAAUGAAAUGGAAGGAGUACAGCUAAUUAAGUUCGUCGUCGACGUUAGCGUUACCACUACGUUUCUGCUAGGGGAUGACAAGGGCAGGCAAUAAUCGACCACUGCAAUUUGCAAGCAAGACCCAAUUCGCGACGGUUUCCAGUUCGAGAAAACGAUAUCGAAAUGAAUGGCCUGAGAGGGGAUUGGUGGAGACAAAUCUGUUUGUGUCUCGCUUCCACACCUUACCUGUCAGGUAGUAGCAUUUUCACGCGAUUUUAUUGGAACUAUAUUUUGCCUGUGUAAUAAUACGGGACAGUCUAUUGGUCAAUCGCCUGUAAAAAGUCAGAUCCAUUAGUCGAUUCUACUAACCGUUGGAUAUAUACAUCCAAUAGCUAUACAACAAUAGCAAAAAGUGGCCCGUGGAUCACUAAUCCUGCUUAAACGGGCUCUUGGGUCAUUAUCGGGUUCACCCGUCCACUCCAAUAGGUUUUGGAGUAAGUCUAUUUUGAGUCCCUUAUGUCUUGCCCAUCGUCGAAUUGCAUCAGUCAACUGUAAAACCGGGUAUAACACGUCUCCCAGAAACCAGUGCAAAUUAACUCCUUUAGUGGUUUUGAAAGCUUUUUUUUUUGCUGACAUGGCAUGUUGACUUGUCCGAGUAUGCUGAUGUGGCAUCUCAGUCAUUAAAAAAUAAAAAAAUAAUAAAAAAAGGGUCUCACAUGUAAACGACAAGAGUAAAAAUAAAAAAUGGUGGGACACACCUGUCAACCCCACUUCUCCCUUUCUUCUUCCUCUCCUCCCUUCUCCGAUUCUCCCCAUGCGAGACUAAAGGGUGGUGGUGGCGGCCGCGCCGCCACCUCAUGGCGACCUUGACUAGAAACCCUAAAAGUCAUCGCCUGUCUCAGAGAACUAGAGGUUGGGGUCAGAGUGCGCCGCCGCAGUGGGAGGUUUGUAACGCCCCGAUUUUCGUUCGGGUUUAAAAAUCAUUAAAUAAUGUAUUUUCUAGAAAUUAAAUAAAAGUUAAAUCAAUUUAAUCAAGUGAAAUAAUGGGAGAAUUAAAAUUUUCCCUUAAAAAUCAUUGGCCGGGAAUAUUUCGCAAUAUUCUUUGUGCCCUAAAAUACUCUCCGGAUUUUUCCAUGAAUUUUCGGAGUUCAAGAAAUAAUUUUAAAGUCACCAAGUUCAUUAAACUAAUUUAAAUAAAAAGAAAACAAAAUAAACUUCCCCUUCCUCCCUUUCGGGCUCGGCCCAAAAUCCUCUCUCCUUCCCCUCCCGCGGCCCGGCUUGCCUCCCCUUUUGGCGCAAGUCCGCUUUUCCUCCCUCCUGGCCUCCCCUCUCACUCAGGCCGACAGGUGGGACCCGUGGGCCCCACCUGUCAUCCCCAACCUCCAGCCCGGGCCGGCAACUGCCAUGGCCGCCCGAGCCGCCCACGUCGCCGCCCCUCCCCGCGCGUCUUCCGAUUCCCGCGCGCGUGUGGGCGCGGUCCACCCCACGUCAUCCCCUUCCUCCACCAUUUCCCCCACUUCUCCCCUCCAAAACCGGCGCCAAACUGCCCCCACUCACCCACGUCGCCGGCGCCCCUUUCCCCCUUCAAAUCCGUCGCCAACCGGCCCCCCCGUCGACUCUCGAGGCUAUAAAAACGACCCCCGGGCUCCCCUCCUCCGUUUCCCCCUCUUUCCCAAGCUUCCCCAUGCCCGAAACCACUCCGCCACCACCAACCUCCCUCCGCCGCCGCCGGUUGCCAUCUCCGGCCGGCCACCUCCGCCGCCGUAGCCGUCCCCGCGCCACGCCGCUUGCGCCACCGGCCUCGCCACGCAUUGUCGCACACCGUCCGCAACUCCGUUUCCCCAAACCACAAUCAAUACACCGAUUCCAUCGCUCACCCGAGCACCGCCGCCGUUUCGCCGCCUUCGGCAGCCUCUUGCCGCCGUUCCCGUCCACCUCAAGCCGCGCCGCCACCACCACUAGCUUCGCUGCUCCGCCGGCAAGCCCGGCCACCACGCCGCUCCUCCAUUCCACCCCCGAGCCGCCCGCUCCACGGUGAACCCGAGCCACAGCCACUUUUGUGCCUCCAGUCGCACCUCUGCCGUCGCCCUGGCCACCGCCAAGCCGUGCCGUUUCCUUCACCGGCUCGGCCGCUUCAAGCCACAGAUCGGUCGCCGCUCCAAACCACCGGAAACCCACCGGUGCUCCAUUCCUUUCGAUCCACGGUGAGCCCGCCGCCGCCUAAUCCGUGCCGCCGGCCACCUCCUCGUCUUCGUCUCGCCGCCCCAUUCGCUCGGUGAGAACCGCCUCCCUCUCCACUCUCUCGCCGGCUCUCGCGCCGUCGCCGCUCGCCGCCGGCGUCGUCGCCGGUGGUCUAGGCUCGGCGGUCGCCGCCGCCUGUGGGCGUGCCUGCCUGGUCGUGCCGCUCGGCCGCCCCCGGCCGUCCAAUCGGCCCCAGCCGAUCCGGAGCGUCGGGUGCGCGCCCACGUGGCCGGCUGCCGCCGUGGACUCGGUCCACGGUGGGCUUUGCCGCUGACGUGUGGGGCCCGCCCCUUUGUGACGCGGUCCGCGCCUCACCGCUUGCUGACGUCAGCAUAGCCUUUUUCCUUUGUAAAAAUAAAUAAUAAUUGCGCAAUAAAUCGAGUUUAAUUCUAGAAAUUCAUUUAAAUGGCUUAAAACUUCUAAAAUUCAUACCUAAUUCAUUCGAACUCCGAAUUGAGCCAUUCAACUUGCAAAAUUCAUCUAAAAUUGAGCUCUACAUGUUUGUUUAGUUUUUAUGUACUGUUUUCUUGGUUUUUAUUAGAGUUUUUCCUCGUUUUGCGUGCCAGCGUGUAGUUCCCGUCGUUUCGGAAGAUCACGUUCGCAAGGAUAAGAGUUCAGAAGAUCCAAGUGAAGAAGCAAGGCAAGUCACACAUUCCCCUUGAGCAUGUUGAUCCCAAUUUACAAAUGUUUUACUGUUUGCAAAUAAAUAUGCAUGUUUUGCUAAUUACAUGGGGUCAGGGUUUUACCUAUCUGCUCGCUUGUGCCAUGUUUACUUGAUAUCUGUCCUUUGUCAACCAUGGGUAAUAAAUCGCCUAGCUGGUGUUACUUUGAUGACCUAGCUAGAACUAUAUGCUUAGCCAUGCUUAAUUACCACUAGCUCAGUCGAUGGGAUAAUUGCAGUAUUAGACAUUCUAGUAUCUUGUUGAGCUGUGUGCUCGAGACAUCUGGCCAUGCUUCAUGGUCGUAAUUAUCCAACUAAAAUGCGACUGAAUGGUGGGCUGUGGGUGCAUGGUUUUGCUAGUCACACCCAUGGCAAUUAAGGACCGGUUCGCGGGAUGCCCUAGAAGAACUUAUCGUACUUACCACAAGCCAGCGUGGGCAACGGCUGGGCUUGUAGUGUAGCUUUCCUCUAGUCGACGCAUCCAGGCAAGGGUGGGCGUGAUGGAGCGGGGCGGGCCCUGCGACGGCCUCUGUCGCUUCCGGAUUCACCUUGGCACGAGAGGGGACUGCCCGUUGCCUGCUGGGGACGGGGGUGAAACCUGAGGUGUGGUGUGCUUGGCUAGAGGGGGUUAUGCGAAGGGUCCUGUCACGGCCUCUUUCCGGUAUGUCGUGGUGGCAUGUCGGCGCACGGAAACGUGUCGUGGGGCUGUGUCUUGUGGGUACAGUUGUACACCUCUGAUCAGAGUAAAACUAUUCGAAUAGCCGUGCCCGCGGUUAUGGGCGGUCGACCAGAUUCACCGUGAUUAGUCUCACAAUUAAUAAAUCGACCCAAUACACUGUAGUUCAGGUGGGUUGGUUGGGCCUGUUCAACGUGGUGUAGCGUUGAUUAGUGGAGAUUUAAUGUUACUUUAAUUACUCAACAGUUUUACUGUUUGCUCAAUAAAAUGUUUUACAACCGCCUUUAUGCAAAUAGCCACAAACCAUCCUUGUAUCCCCUUGCACAUCUGCAUCGUUGGUGUGGCUUGCUGAGUAUGGUGGUUGUACUCAGUCUUGCUAUUAUUCCCCCUUUCAGAAGUGUAGUGCUUCUGAGCUGAAGAUGGAGUUAGAGGACCAAGGCUCAGACCCCAGUUGAGUUUUGCCUGUGGAGUGGAGCUGAAGCCCCGCUAGGAUCGAGUUUUUCCGCUGCUGUCGUUCUGUUUCGGUGUGAGGACUAAGUGCCUCUUCCGUAAGUAUUUUACGCUUUAUUUACGUUUGGAACUGUAUAUUACUUGUCGUUUUGUGUACCCUGACUGGUCCUGGACAGGGAUUUAAUACGCAAAAUAGUCUGGAAAUUUGGGUUAAAUUUCUGGGCGUGACAAAGUGGUAUCAGAGCCAACUUGACUGUAGGUUGAGCCAAACGGUCAAAACCUAAGGACAAGCUUUCUGAAAACCCUAUUUGCAAAAUGUCUCCUCUCGCCCUUCGGCAUUUCUUUGCGAAACAGCUUUUAAAGUUCUCUUCCCUGUCCCUCCAAUUCUUUUAGUUGUCAAACCUGGAGGACAAACCGCCAGCGUCAUGCCUGUUCGGAAGUCAAGUCGAGCCUCGAGCUUCAUGCAGCAAGGACCAAGAAGAUCAGUCCAGAGCCGUCGUUCCGCAAAGGUCAAGUGAAGUUUCCCCAGAGAUGACCUAAACCCAAUCUGUCCCAGAAGAGUAGUUUCGUUAGCUUCUAGAUCGUGUGUUGUUUGCUUGUGUGUAGGGGUAUGGUUUGCGUCAUUGGUGGGGAUGCGACCAUACUAGGUUGUUUGCUUAAGCAACUUGAAUCAAUAAAAAUCUACUCACAACAGACCAUUAGUCAAGUGGUUUAAGGUCUUAUCUUUAGCAACCCCUCUCUUCCACCUCUCUUCCGCCCUGCAGAAGAUGGUCAGUGUUAGAGAGAAGAGCAACGACGGUGUAUUAAAGUCACAGAUCGAUGGUUCAGUUGAAAGCUGCAAGGUAUCCCAAUGCCAGAAGAACCCCCGCUCAUGAUUAACUUUUGGUGUCCAAGACCAGAUGAUGGGUGUAUUGAUGCAGGAGAUGCAAAGCUUGAUGCAAGGUCAAAUGUAGCGAAAGUAACUCCAGCCGCAGUGUGUUGAGGUCAGAAUCAGUGGAUCAGUCCGAGACAACAAGCUACCAGCUGAGUCAGAGCACCUCGCUCUGGUCAGAUUAUGGUUAGCCAAGGUCAGAUGAUGGAUGUGUCAGAUGUUGAUGCAGCAACCACAGAGUCCGAUGCAGCAAAUGCAACGACAGUGUCUCCAACAACAGGUACAAGCUCAGAUGCAAGCCGGAAUCAGGAUCAGAGCUAAAGCCAGUUUGUUUUCCAAGAGCAAGCACCCGCAACCCUAAACAGUAGACCACCAAGCCCUUAGCAGACCAGCACAGCCAAGCCGCCACUAAUCCUAGGAGCAACAAGUGAUACCUACAGAAGGUAUGGGUUUCAAGGGCACCGAUAAAGAUUCUAUUGUUUCGCUAGCAACUGCUUCAAGGCUACAGAAUCAGCAUUAGUAGGGCAAUCAAUGUCAGGGAAUCAGUGAUCUACUUUAACUACAGAGAGACAGCUCAAUUCUUCAACAGCGACUGCAGUCAAUGUCUCAAGCAUCAGACUUCAAUGUGGUUAUCAACAUCAGCCAUGCACCUCAUGCUGCUCCAGCUCAGUGGUCUGGCAAGAAAUUAAUAGAAGAGUUGCACCAACAGUGAGAAGGUCUCGUUCCUUUCAGCUACCAAGAGGAUUGAUGGUUGUCUUAGGAACGUCAUCAGUCAAAGUUUUGUUCUUAUGGGAGCUUCAGCUCGUAACCAACAAAAGGACAAGUCAACCAUGUCAGAAUCACAAUGGGUAAAUGUGCUACUGAUUAGCAGUUCGGUAAGCAAGAGUCAACAAUUGUGCACAGGCCUUUGGUGUUCAAAUACCGUCCUCGCGCAUAGAAGUUCCAAUCUAGUGAUAUAGUUGGAAAAGGAAUAUUGAAUAGAGUAGGAGUCAAGCGGUUCUUUCCUUUUCACCUUUGAGUAUGCAAAAGCAAGUUAACUUGUGUAUCUGCAAGUUACAAGAAACCAAGAGUUUCCCUUCUAACUCAUCGCACUUUUGUUGUGCUCCAAAACCUGUUUGCGAGCCAGUAAAGAAAGGAUUAACCAACGGAGUGAAAAUGGUUAGACCCUCAACACUCGACAUGAUGAGAUCUCUCUAAAGGCAACAUCAGUGGUACUCAAAUGAAAAGAGGGAUGGAAUAUUUGAAGGUGACAUCAUAUAGAGACUCUUGGGAACUCUCUAACCUUGGAAGCUGUUACAGGAUGGUAAGCGGCAAUUACACCCUAGUGGUGUGAUUAUGAAACAAGAAUGGUUUCCAUAGUUCAAGGCAACCGCUAUAAGUUCCAGAAAAAAAAAAUUCUCAUGAGGUUUCCCAGAAGUUGAAAGAGAAAUUGUUCCAAUACAUGGGUCAGAAGUAUAUGGAGUCGAGUCCAGAAGCAUGCUAGUUAUGCCAGCCGUAGAACUGAUGGGGAAGUAGUCAAGAGUUAGAAAGAUCAUAUGCUAAAUGAGAAUUUCCUUAUGUGGAAUUUCCUAUCAGCAACUAAGGGUUAAGUUCCAAGUCUUGUCCUGGAUGAAAGUGCAUCGUCAUUGCUUUAUUUUGAUUGAUCGUUGAAGUUUUCUAUUUUCAAAGUCAGGGCCAUUCGUAAAUUCGAGAAGUGUCGAUUUUUCUUCAAGGACAAUAGUUCAAUUAUUCCCGGUCACGCGAAAGUAUGACUACUCUCUGUAAGAGGGGGUAGGUCGCAGAGAUGAGUUUUGGUUCACCUUGUUGCCGUUUCCCUUAAAGAUUCAACCCAGUGCAGCAAGUUGGUUAGUACUUGAAAGAGCCAGCUGCAAGGCGUCAGCAGAGUAACACUGAUCCCAAGUUGUCUAAUUAAAUUCGAAGGUACGCCGGUGAGGCCAGGUCAACCGUUUGGCUUAAAGAAGUAGCAUCAGGAACAGCCGCAAUCCAGACUAGGACAGACCAAGCCAGUUUCCUGAAAAUACUUGUGGUUUGAAUCAAGAGCAAGUCGAGCAAAGUCAUUGUCUGUGGGUUACGGAAGUCAGUUUCAAGGUUUCGGAAAAACUACACCGAUCCCCGGUCAGCAAAGUGAAUCCUCAGUUUAUCUAAUUGCCAGCAUUAGCAAUUCAGUCCAAAAAAAAAAAUAGAAGUUCUAUGAGCACCAGCAGUUCUGGUCAAGGUCAGACUAAUCAGAGUCGGUCCGUCAGUUUAUGGGAAGCAACAGAAUAGCAAGCUUAUGCAGGUUUGGUUCAUCGAGCAAUCGGUCAGUUGAAUCAGAAAGAGGCAGCAUGUGUAAGCAGAUCAGUCAGACCGCCUGCCAGCACCAGCUUUCUUUCUAGCCAUCCCAGAAUCUCGGGACGAGAUUCCUGUAAGGGGGGUAGAUUUGUAACGCCCCGAUUUUCGUUCGGGUUUAAAAAUCAUUAAAUAAUGUAUUUUCUAGAAAUUAAAUAAAAGUUAAAUCAAUUUAAUCAAGUGAAAUAAUGGGAGAAUUAAAAUUUUCCCUUAAAAAUCAUUGGCCGGGAAUAUUUCGCAAUAUUCUUUGUGCCCUAAAAUACUCUCCGGAUUUUUCCGUGAAUUUUCGGAGUUCAAGAAAUAAUUUUAAAGUCACCAAGUUCAUUAAACUAAUUUAAAUAAAAAGAAAACAAAAUAAACUUCCCCUUCCUCCCUUUCGGGCUCGGCCCAAAAUCCUCUCUCCUUCCCCUCCCGCGGCCCGGCUUGCCUCCCCUUUUGGUGCAAGUCCGCUUUUCCUCCCUCCCGGCCUCCCCUCUCACUCAGGCCGACAGGUGGGACCCGUGGGCCCCACCUGUCAUCCCCAACCUCCAGCCCGGGCCGGCAACUGCCAUGGCCGCCCGAGCCGCCCACGUCGCCGCCCCUCCCCGCGCGUCUUCCGAUUCCCGCGCGCGUGUGGGCGUGGUCCACCCCACGUCAUCCCCUUCCUCCACCAUUUCCCCCACUUCUCCCCUCCAAAACCGGCGCCAAACUGCCCCCACUCACCCACGUCGCCGGCGCCCCUUUCCCCCUUCAAAUCCGUCGCCAACCGGCCCCCCCGUCGACUCUCGAGGCUAUAAAAACGACCCACGGGCUCCCCUCCUCCGUUUCCCCCUCUUUCCCAAGCUUCCCCAUGCCCGAAACCACUCCGCCACCACCAACCUCCCUCCGCCGCCGCCGGUUGCCAUCUCCGGCCGGCCACCUCAGCCGCCGUAGCCGUCCCCGCGCCACGCCGCUUGCGCCACCGGCCUCGCCACGCAUUGUCGCACACCGUCCGCAACUCCGUUUCCCCAAACCACAAUCAAUACACCGAUUCCAUCGCUCACCCGAGCACCGCCGCCGUUUCGCCGCCUUCGGCAGCCUCUUGCCGCCGUUCCCGUCCACCUCAAGCCGCGCCGCCACCACCACUAGCUUCGCUGCUCCGCCGGCAAGCCCGGCCACCACGCCGCUCCUCCAUUCCACCCCCGAGCUGCCCGCUCCACGGUGAACCCGAGCCACAACCACUUUUGUGCCUCCAGUCGCACCUCUGCCGUCGCCCUGGCCACCGCCAAGCCGUGCCGUUUCCUUCACCGGCUCGGCCGCUUCAAGCCACAGAUCGGUCGCCGCUCCAAACCACCGGAAACCCACCGGUGCUCCAUUCCUUUCGAUCCCCGGUGAGCCCGCCACCGCCUAUUCCGUGCCGCCAGCCACCUCCUCGUCUUCGUCUCGCCGCCCCAUUCGCUCGGUGAGAACCGCCUCCCUCUCCACUCUCUCGCCGCCUCUCGCGCCGUCGCCGCUCGCCGCCGGCGUCGUCGCCGGUGGUCUAGGCUCGGCGGUCGCCGCCGCCUGUGGGCGUGCCUGCCUGGUCGUGCCGCUCGGCUGCCCCCGGCCGUCCGAUCGGCCCCGGCCGAUCCGGAGCGUCGGGUGCGCGCCCACGUGGCCGGCUGCCGCCGUGGACUCGGUCCACGGUGGGCUUUGCCGCUGACAUGUGGGGCCCGCCCCUUUGUGACGCGGUCCGCGCCUCACCCCUUGCUGACGUCAGCAUAGCCUUUUUCCUUUGUAAAAAUAAAUAAUAAUUGCGCAAUAAAUCGAGUUUAAUUCUAGAAAUUCAUUUAAAUGGCUUAAAACUUCUAAAAUUCAUACCUAAUUCAUUCGAACUCCGAAUUGAGCCAUUCAACUUGCAAAAUUCAUCUAAAAUUGAGCUCUACAUGUUUGUUUAGUUUUUAUGUACUGUUUUCUUGGUUUUUAUUAGAGUUUUUCCUCGUUUUGCGUGCCAGCGUGUAGUUCCCGUCGUUUCGGAAGAUCGCGUUCGCAAGGAUAAGAGUUCAGAAGAUCCAAGUGAAGAAGCAAGGCAAGUCACACAUUCCCCUUGAGCAUGUUGAUCCCAAUUUACAAAUGUUUUACUGUUUGCAAAUAAAUAUGCAUGUUUUGCUAAUUACAUGGGGUCAGGGUUUUACCUAUCUGCUCGCUUGUGCCAUGUUUACUUGACAUCUGUCCUUUGUCAACCAUGGGUAAUAAAUCGCCUAGCUGGUGUUACUUUGAUGACCUAGCUAGAACUAUAUGCUUAGCCAUGCUUAAUUACCACUAGCUCAGUCGAUGGGAUAAUUGCAGUAUUAGACAUUCUAGUAUCUUGUUGAGCUGCGUGCUCGAGACAUCUGGCCAUGCUUCAUGGUCGUAAUUAUCCAACUAAAAUGCGACUGAAUGGUGGGCUGUGGGUGCAUGGUUUUGCUAGUCGCACCCAUGGCAAUUAAGGACCGGUUCGCGGGAUGCCCUGGAAGAACUUAUCGUACUUACCACAAGCUAGCGUGGGCAACGGCUGGGCUUGUAGUGUAGCUUUCCUCUAGUCGACGCAUCCAGGCAAGGGUGGGCAUGAUGGAGCGGGGCGGGCCCUGCGACGGCCUCUGUCGCUUCCGGAUUCACCUAGGCAUGAGAGGGGACUGCCCGUUGCCUGCUGGGGACGGGGUUGAAACCUGAGGUGUGGUGUGCUUGGCUAGAGGGGGUUAUGCGAAGGGUCCUGUCACGGCCUCUUUCCGGUAUGUCGUGGUGGCAUGUCGGCGCACGGAAACGUGUCGUGGGGCUGUGUCUUGUGGGUACAGUUGUACACCUCUGAUCAGAGUAAAACUAUUCGAAUAGCCGUGCCCGCGGUUAUGGGCGGUCGACCAGAUUCACCGUGAUUAGUCUCACAAUUAAUAAAUCGACCCAAUACACUGUAGUUCAGGUGGGUUGGUUGGGCCUGUUCAACGUGGUGUAGCGUUGAUUAGUGGAGAUUUAAUGUUACUUUAAUUACUCAACAGUUUUACUGUUUGCUCAAUAAAAUGUUUUACAACCGCCUUUAUGCAAAUAGCCACAAACCAUCCUUGUAUCCCCUUGCACAUCUGCAUCGUUGGUGUGGCUUGCUGAGUACGGUGGUUGUACUCAGUCUUGCUAUUAUUCCCCCUUUCAGAAGUGUAGUGCUUCUGAGCUGAAGAUGGAGUUAGAGGACCAAGGCUCAGACCCCAGUUGAGUUUUGCCUAUGGAGUGGAGCUGAAGCCCCGCUAGGAUCGCCUUUUUCCGCUGCUGUCGUUCUGUUUCGGUGUGAGGACUAAGUGCCUCUUCCGUAAGUAUUUUACGCUUUAUUUACGUUUGGAACUGUAUAUUACUUGUCGUUUUGUGUACCCUGGCUGGUCCUGGACAGGGAUUUAAUACGCAAAAUAGUCUGGAAAUUUGGGUUAAAUUUCUGGGCGUGACAUUUGAUGGCUCCGAGUGCGGAAGGCCGUUGUCGGCACCUUUGUCGGAAGAGGAACUAGGCGGCGAUGCCUCGUCGGGCAGUGAGACAACCACGUGUGGAAAGAGGACCUCAUUAGCCAGCUGUGACGUGUGUGGGGAGGAGAUCGUCGGCCGGCUGCUCGCGGGUUCUGUGGUGACACCGCCCCUUCCCCUUUCCUCAACAACCCCAUGUGCCGCUGUCUCCCACCAUGGCUCCUAUCGCUGCCAUCGAUGUCAAGACACUGCUGCCUGCUAGGUCCUACUCCUCCUGUUGCCGGCCCCAACCAUGCCCUCCCAUGGCGGAGACCACCGCUGAGCUACUGGAUUUGUGUGGCUGUCGCGUUUUCUCGUCGAUCCGGGAGGUGGCGUUGGUAAUGACCAGGUUGAGCUCUGCAAAUCUCGACAAGGGGAGCGAGGUCUCCAUCUCCUCCCUUUGGACCGACAGCGAUGAGAGGAGCCAUCUCAUCGUCGGCUGCAACGGCGAUUUGAUGACCCAUCCCACCAAGAGGAAGAAGAAGAGGUGACUGAAGAAGCUAAUCACCAAGAGGAAGGAGAAGAAGCUCAAGGAGGAUUCCUCGGAGGUCUCCUCCCAUGGCGAGCUCAAGCAGCCAGACACCGGCAAGGUUGUCGGCAACGCCGCCGCCAAGCAGCUGUAGCCAUCGCCGUCGGCGGAGCUGACCAUAGAGGAGGCACCAUGCUGUCCUAGCUCAUGAGCCCCUCCCCCGCGCGUGCUGUGGCCAGCGAGCUCCUCCCCCCGUGCACACCGUGGUAGGCGAACCCUCACCUACACGUGCGCCGCAGCCGGCGAGCCUCUCCCCUGCGGUCCGUGCCUGCAUCCUUCUGCGGUCCACGCCCCUCUUGCGCUUUUGGUGCCUCCCCUGGUUGCACGUCCCUUGGUAGAGGUCGUGCUUUGUGCGGGGAGAGAGAUGGGAGAGGAGAGAGGUGAGUGGUGGAGGGGGAAGAAGAGAAGUGCCACUUAUAUGUGGGCCUUGACAUAUUUUUUUAAAUUUUUUCAGAUGACAAGGCUGCCUCAUCAGUGAAACCACUGUCAAAAACCACCAGGGGAGUCAUUUUUCACUAGUUUUACACUUGGGGCAGGCAAUAUACGUUUUGUGGUUGAGGGAUCAAGACAUGAGGAAGGCAAAAUAAACUUAUCUCAUAGGUUUCUGGUUAUGUUUUGUUUCAUGGCCCAUGUUUUGGUGUGGGCCGACACAAUAAACUAAUUUCCUGGGUACGCAUGCGAAUUGGGGUUACUUUUGCCAUUCACAUGAAGCUAGUGGGAAAAAAGCACCAGAUUCAUCCCACGGGGAGAAGAGAAACAAGAAAGUGAUAAAUCGAUAAAAAAAAAGCAGAUGGGAGAGAGUGGAUGAAAAAACAUUAGUUGCACAAAUUUAUCACUGAACUUGCAUAAAAUUUAUAACGUCAACUACAACAUCCGGAAGUGCAACUAGCAUAGCUGCAUGUCUGCAACUACAAAUUGUAGUUGAAAAAAAACCUCUCUAAAUAUAAAAAAAGGGACAGAAAAAAUUGCAUGUAAACAGAAUUCCAAAGAAUAUAAUAGACAUCACAAAAAUUACAUGUCAGAGCACUGUCCUCUGUCCAUUCUUCAUACUUUGAUACUUGAUGGUUAGGGAGGUCAGUGCACCCCCCUAACCGUCAUUAAGAGUAGUUAUGGAGUUGACACGUGGAGGAUGGGGGGCCGAGGGGUGCCACUCCAAGUUUGGCCGAACAAGGGAAACCGCCUUCAGUGGAUGACAGGUGAGCCCCUUGGUCAGUGCACGAGAGUUUGGUCCCACUUUAAGUCGGUUUGGUCUGACUUGUGGGACCAUUAAUCCGUGUGCUCGCACAUGAUUCGCCGGACAUGUGUUUCUUUGCAUGCUAGCUCAUUUCUCAUUUAAUAUAGUGUAUAAUUCCUGCAUCCGUAGUAUUUCUGCAAUACAGGUGGAACUACAUUAUUUAUAAAUGAUAUACGUAUAAGAAAUGCUAGUUCUCCCCUUAUUUAUUAACAUAGUUGACAGUCGAAAUCGAUACUUAACCACAAUCUACAGCCAACACUUCCUCGAUUGGCUCGAAAUCGGGGUAUAGGUUCUGUCAAAGAGUUUCACGAUCAUAAGAUCGGGAUGGAAACACAUUUAUCCCGAGUUUGAUGUUGAUGACACCGGUUUGCGGCACAUCUGUAAGAAGUUUUUCUAUGGGAUGGUCUAUGAGAAUAUAGAAUUUGGAGAAUUUGAAUGCAUGAAAAUCCAGGAUAGCCUUGACAUCUUUUUGUCUUAUUGGCACAACGAAGAGUAACAUGACCUUUGAUGAUAGGAAUAGAUGGGCUCGGAAGGUUUUAUCCAUUGGUGCUAAUGGUUCAUCCCCUAAGAAAUUUAAUGCAAAGGUUAUGGACAUAAUGUUUGAACCAAUAGUGGGAUUAUAAAGGGUUUGCGCCAUGACCUCUCUCAUGAGGCAAGGAAUAGUUAAGGACGGGAACAAAAAUCUGAAUUGCUUGAGAGGAAAGUUCCACCUCCCUUAACCACUCAUCACUCAUGACGGUAGUUAAUUCCUACACCAUAUCUUUGAGGAAAAUUUUCUCGAGUGGUACAGGAGAACUGCACGAGACUGGUGGUCUCUUUUGGCAAGAAUAGUUUGAGGUAUUUCCAUAAUCUUCAAAAAAAAAGUUACCCACAAACAGGAAAGGUAAUUUUGAAGGCUGAAUUUCUUCUUUGUCCUGUUUCCAUGGUUUGGGUGAGGAUUCAACGGUUGAAAUGUGGAGGAUGUAUGUUCCGAUUUGACGGUUGAUGGCUCCUCAUUUGUAUCCUUGAUUUCCUGGAUAUUGUCGCAACAAACGAAAGAGGUGUUCUCCAGGAUACGAUAUAAGAGUUUCCUUCCUUUUGAUGUUGUUUUGUGUGCGAACGAACUUCCGGUGGAUGUAACGAGAUACAUGGCUUGCCUAAACCCAACCAAAAAUGUUGUAACAACACAUGAUCGGGCAGAGACAAGUCUAGCCAUCUUGAGUUAAGAAGAAAAACCGAGCCUAGGCUACACCGAUGGAUUCCUUCUCAUUUUGUCGGAAGCAGAGAACCUCCAUACGUAGAGAGACUACACGCGUUAGUGGGAAGACACCAAGGCAGAACCUGCUUUUUAAUUCCUCUCAUUCGCCAUGUAAUAUUUUAAGGUAUGGGUGUACCACUUUUUUGCCCCCUCUGUAAGAAAGAAGGGAAACGAUUUCCACUUUAAGGUUUCUUGUGUCAUGCCCGCUAUUGUUAGGCAUGAAUAUAAUUGCUCAGGAUCAUGCGGAUGAUGGUAGGGAUUUUUUCUUUCGCGCCCGAUAUUGGUAUUUCUUACAAUCACAGAUAAAUUCGCAAGAGUAUUCCCAGGAGUAUCGUAUUUAUAUUUUCGCUGGGAAGGCGACAGUAUAAAGAUAUGUUCUUUCUUUUAUAUCUCUUAAUCAAUGUAUAAUUAAUUCACCAUAGUCUAAACAGAGGUUAGGAUAAAUAAUGAUAUGGUAGUGGACACACACAAGGGAUUCACGUCUAUAAAAAUAUCUAGUACGGAGUUUUCUUUAGGUAACUAUGAUUCAUAUGUACUUUUAUAGUAAUCAUGUCUAGUAUACACUUAACUUAUCCAUGGUUACUAUUUUCUUAACGACAUUACUAGAAAUAUAAUUCCCAGCAAUGGCGCAGAAAUACUUCUGGUAUAUUAUGGUUAUAGAGUUCAUCCGCGAGCGCACGGAUAUACCAUCGUAGCAUUUCACCCGAGAGUAUUCCAAGGGUAUCGUAUUUAUUUUAUCUCGUGGGAAGAUCAUAUUUUAUCUCGUGGGAAGAUCAUGUAGAGAGAACUGGACUAAUAAUUUAUGCAUUGCUUGUGAUAAUUAUAUUCUAAGCAGGGGUUAAGAUAAUCCAAGGGUAGAGUGGCAUACAAGCAUUAACUACUCAUUCUCAAUAUAUAUAUUAUCUAGGCUAGGUGGAAAGAAAAGAGAAAGAUAAUCUAUUCCUAUACUUCUAAUAUACAUAGUAUACAUACAUCCUAUUUAACUGAUAUACUAGCUAAUACCCUCUUUCCGAUGCCCUCCUAGUAAGUCGAGAAACCACCCCUGACUGCCGAGUUCCUUACGACAGCCCGUCAUGACCAUACAACCGGGGCUAAAUACGGAGGAAUACCCUCCCCAGGGAAUUAACUUAGGAUUAUAUAUAGGCCCGGAGGAAUAACCGUACUGAGUUGUCACCAUCAGCGGCCAACCACUCAUCCGCAAUAUAUAACCCCAAAUAAUGAUAUCCCGUAAUCUAAGACACCACGCCUAAACUACCAGAUACUACUCUAAUAUCAUCGUCAUGACAUAGAGUAAUUGCACAAGCAAACAUUAUACCCGCACCAAAGCAUCUCCUAAAUAAGCUAGCCGUACAUACAAUAUAACAAGAACAUAACGUAAAGUAGGUACUCAUAUACUUGGAAAGUAUUUCAAUACCAUAAAUGUAUUUAUAAGAGUAUUCUAAUAAAAGUACAAAGCUUACAAAAGAGAAGAGAAAAGCUGCUAGAGCCAUACUCGAACUCUUCCGAAGGCUUCCGGAUUCUGAUUUCUACUCUAUUCCUAUUCCACCAGCUAAAUACUACUAAACUAAACUUGAGAGAAAUGAGAGGGCUAUUGAUUUUUUUGACGUAAGAGAGAGCUAUUGCUUGAGGUGUGUGUGAAGUGAAGAGAGUGAGCUCCUUAUAUAAAGGUAGUUAUGACGGUUGUGGAAGGGGAAUUCUCCGGAGUGCCCUCCAAUCGUUAUUGGGAUGCAAUCCUGGACGUCCACUCCAAAACCUAGAUCCAACGGCGCCAAGAUUGGUUCGGCCUCGGCCGAUCCUGGGGCUGGCCCAAUCCAGCCCAAUUUCGGCUGGUGGCCUCCUCUAUUGCUCCAGUCCGCAUACUUGUGAAUUUUGGCCCAAUUCAUCGUGUUAGUUCUGAGUUCUUGGCCCAUCUAUUCAUAAGUCUGGUUCUCGACAUCGUCCUAUUGAUUUAUCAUCUAAGUUGAUGUCGAUUCUCCUCCACUUUAUUGUCAUUCUCUGCAAAAGGUUAGUAAACCUAAUACUAGUGGAAAAUUAUUACUCUAACAUAUUUAUGCAUUGCAAGCAUCACUAGUUCUCUCCUAUUUUGGUAGUAUUGACGGUCAAAACUGAUCGAUAACGACCGUCAACAGUUACAACAUAGGACAUAGUUCCAUGCACCCAGGUACUACCGAGAGACCACUCCCUGCUGGUCUGCCAGCGUGGUUAUGGCAUUUACGCACUCUUAUGUCAUACCCGAACGAGGAGGAAUACAAAGGACGGACAUGGCUGUCAAACUUGCUGCCUACCUCACUUUUCCGUGGGGCAGACUCGCAUCCAACGGCAUUUAUAUAGCCUAAAAACCAUGCUUAUGCCAGUAAAUAAUAUCACUAACUCCUCAGGACUUUCACCUUACCGAUGAACAAGUUGAAGCUAGAGCAACCUAUAAAGGUCAUUGGACCAUUACCGUAACAUUGAUCGACUAGCCUAGGAUGAAGCAGAUAUACAAAGCAUACACUACUCUUAGAACACAUACUCAAUAAAUAAAUAUAUAAACCAUGAGCAUAAAUAAAUAAAGAAGAUAAUUCUAUUAAUUCAGCCAUAGUCUUAUAAAAUGAGGAAAGUACUAGAAACGUACCCAGAACUCCAGGAAGUCUACAGGAUAGAAGCUCCUAAACUUUAUUACUACUAGAAACUAUAGAGAUUACAAAGUGGAAGAGGGAAUUGCUCCUUGAGGUGUGUGUUGUGAAGUGAGAAUCUCCACUCCUUAAAUACGCUUCAGUGACGGUUGAUUAAGGUGGUUUGUAGGCCACCGACCUAUUAUAUAGUAAUCGUCAAUAGGAGAUCAUCUGGAGCGUCCAUGUGGAGGAGGGAGAUGAGCGACGCCAGGCCUAGUUCGCACUAGAGUAACCGCCUUACUCCACCGACUUUGGUCGGUGGAUAACAAGUGGUUGGCCGCAAUUUGAGUCGGUUUGAGCUGACUCGUGGGCCCCUCAAGUGUGUUUCUUUGCAUGCCGGCAUCAUUUCUCCUCCACUUUUGUGUAUAAUUUCUGCAACCAAUUUAAUUCACCAAUCCUAAUACAUCUACAUUAUUUAUUAUUGGUAUACAUGUACGAAAUGCUAAUUUUCCCUUUACUCAUUGUGCUAGUUGGCGAUCGGAAUUGGUACUUAACAACCAUCAACACCCGAGAAGGAUUGUUGCCGAACCAUGGCUACAAAGUUAGGUGGAGUUCAUAGCUAGAUGAAUGAAUUGCUUUUGAAGAAAGAGGUGGUUCACAGGACUCGCGCUUUGGAGCAGAAAAGUUUUGAAUAGAUUGAUGCUCUAUGGUUGGUAAUAAGAGAGGAAUAAAAUAAAUGAAAAAAUAGAGGAUGAACCAAGUUUGAAGAUGAUACAACAACCAUUCCUUGGCAACGCCACAAGAAAUGCUUGUUGGUAUUUGUUACGGUGAUAGAUAAAUUUGUAAAUGCAUGAAUACCGCUAUAUACCUUCACCUUAGAGUAUUCCAAGGGUAUCGAAUCUGCGGGAACAUGUGUGUAUAUCUAGGAACUAAAUUCUAUCCAAAAACAAUACCUAAUGGUAGGCUUAGGAAAGAGAGGUUUCCUUUGGAUUAAUUAACUAUACCAAAGAUAAAGAUAAAACCCUAUCGAUUGCUUUGGGCACCGGCUCUCCCCUAGUCUGCCAAGCAGAGUCUGGUUUGUAGCAUUAUGAUGUACCCAAACAUGGAGAGAUACAAAGGACGGACGGGGCUGUCACCACCUACCGCCACCACACUUUCCGUGGAGCACACAACAAACAAAUGUAUCGCUAACCUAGACACCACGCCUAAGUUAUUGAUUACUACUGUAGCCUCGUGCAGGAACUUUCUUCUUCAUCCAGAGUCCUAGUACUAGAGCAGUUAAUAUAAUUUCUAAGCGACGAACCCGCUACGAUGGGAGUAUAUCUCACUUAAUCUACUAAAUUAAUACCAAAAGGAAUUCUCGAACAGUUACUUUAUUAAAGAAGCAUUCGUCGAGGUACAAGCGAGCAGAGAACACCGACAAUUCCGACACUCUUCAGAACAUCGCCUCAUUCUCACUAUUUUCUUGACAACAAGGGAAGAAUGCAACUUGAGUCAAAGCCAUUGCACCCAAGAUGAUAUGGUAGACACUUCAAAGUUCACGGGUCCAGGUAUGGUCUGGAAUACAUUGUACGUUUGUACCAUUAUACAGGAAGUCCUUGCACUGUUGAAAUCCAUGAGCUUCACUCAGCGAGUGUAAAGGAUAAUUGUGGGGGUAUUGUUAAUGGUUGUUAAAUUUAAUAUUAAACUCAAUGGUAGGGGUUUAUUACUAAUUGUUUCCACUUGUAUUGGUAAAUAUAUGCAUGUAGGUGAUUUUCAAAGAAUUUACAUCCUCCAUGCAACGAAAUAUACCUCCAGCCAAUCAUACGCGAGCACAUGGAUUGGAGGGCCCACAUGAUAGUCAAAAUCGACCAGAAAGGGUCUUAUCCACAGUGCAUCGCCAUAAGGCCCCACAUGCCAACCUCCUUGAAGAAGGUCGAUGGCUGAAGGUGGCGGCCUGGUUCGGCUGAACCAAACAUGGCACCCUGGCCACCCCCUUGCACGUGGCAGCUGCACAUUUGAUGGUGAUGGCGGUUGUGGGUGCACUGACCUCCACAACCGUCAUUCCAACCUUUAUUAGAGGCUAUAAAAGGAGGAACUCAUUCAAUCGCAAAAACACAACAAAGUGGAGUAGAACUCACUUUAGUAGUGUUGAAAUUAGGUAGAGAGUGAGGAGAAGUUCCGGAGGAGUGCCUGAAUUGUCGGCGCUCUCUUCUCGUUUGUACCUCGGCGAAUGCUUCUUUUAAUAAAGUAAGUGUUUGAGGUUUCCUUUUGGUAUUUAAUUUACUAUAUUAGUGAGAUAUAUUUCCAUCAUUGCAGGUUUGUCGCCUAGUAUUUAAGUGCUCCAGCACUAGAAUUCUAGAUGAAGAAGAAAGUUCUUGUGUGAGGCUGGAGUAGUAAUCAAUAACUUAGACGUUGGUCUAGGUUAGUGGUUACCUUCGUUUGUUGUGUGCUUCCUGGAAGUGAGGGAGGCAGCAGGUGGUGAUAGCCAUGUCCAUUCUUUGUAUCCCUAAACGGUCGGUAUGUCAUAGAGUUAUAGUGUUUUACCUUUAACUUAAGUAUUGUUAAUUAAAGGAACAAGUACGAAGUACCCCCUGAACUAUGACAACAGUAUGAAUUAUCCCCCCUGAACCAUAAAACCGGAUAUUUUAAACCCUGAACUAUCUAUACCAGACGAAUAACCCCCCUCGACCCAAUCCAUAGUGGUUUUGUCCUAUGUGGCGUACGCGUGGCAAUCCAGUCAGCAUUUUUCUUUUUUAAAAAUAGUGGGGCCCACCUGUCAUGCACUCACACCUAUCACUUUCCCCUCUUCCUCACAAUCUCUCUCUCAGACGCCCGUCGUGAGUGCGACCCGGUGGCCGGCGGCUGGCAUGGCGGGGGCGCGGUGGGCAGCGGGCGUGGCGGGGGCACAGCCGGUUGGAUCGGGCCCGCCCUCUACCUAGGGAUGCGGAGGAUGGCGCCGGCGGCGGGCGGUGAUGACUCAGCCAAGGGAGGCCGGCGGUGGAUCAGGAAUUGGAGGAGGGUGUGGUGCACCGAUGUGGAUGACGCCGGUAGCGGGCAGUGAUGGCUUGGGUAGGGUGGUCGACGAUGAUGGCCCAGCUGAGGUGGAGGCGAACCCCGUCGGCGAUGGAGAAGCGGUGUCGGCGACGGCUUCCAAGAGGCGUCGCCGCGUCGGUGGCAGGGAGAUCUGGCGGGGGGCGGCGGCAGUGGAGGAGUCGGUGGCAGGGAGAUCCGGUGGCGGGCAGCGGGAGAACAGGAAACGGUGGUGGGGAGAUCCGCCAUGCUCGCCGCUCGCCGCACGCCAUGCCCCCGCCAUGCCCAUCACCUGCCGCGCCCAUCGCCGGUUGCUCUCGGCAACUUCUGAGAGAGAGAGAGAGAAGAGGGGAGAGAGAAGAGAGAGAGGAAGAGGGGGAAGAGGAGUACGACAGGUGGGUCCCAUAUUUUUUUAAUAAAUAAAAUGAUAACUAGAUUGCCACGCGUAUGCCACAUAGGACAAAACCGCUCUAGAUUGGUUCGAGGUGGAUAAUUUGUCCGGUAUUGAAAGUUGAGGGUGAACGUUGUCUAAUUUUUGGGUUUAUGGGGGUAAUUCGGUUGACCAUGAUAGUUCAGGGGGCGGGGGAAUAAUUCGUACUUUUUCCUUAAUUAAACCAUAUGCAUUCCCUCUAGCCGAAGCCUACCAUUUGUUGUUGUGCUCGGAGAGGAUUUUGUUGUUAGAUAUAGACACACGUUUCCUGUGAUUCGAUACCCUUGAAAUACUCUAAGGUGAAGUGCUACAGAAGUAUUCAUGGUCUUACGUAUUUAUCUAUGAUAGUAGAAAAUACCAACAGGUGGCCACAGGAGGGCUAGAGGAGGCGCUGGUGCUAUGGUGGGGCGCGGUGGUGGAGCAUGCAGCUGUAAUCCACGCAUGCGCGCAUGAUCUGUGUGUCUUGGCCCUCCUUAUUCCACACCCGGGAGACAGGAGAUGCUGCCUCCUUGGUCUUCUCUCACCGGCCGCUGGUCCUCUCCUCACCGGCCGUUGGCCUAGAGAUCACCUGGAAGAGAGGGGAGAGCUAGACGGAGAUUGCACAAGGAUAAGACAUCGGAGGAAAAGGAAGCAUACAUUAAGAAAUUGCACAAGGAUAAGAUGACCGAGGUAGCGACAUACUUGGGACGCUCUCGCACAAAGACAUAAAUGUCUUAAUUCAUCAUUAUUUAUGUAGUAAUACAUCAUUAAUAACAAAUGAAGUCUCUAAUAAAUCUUUCUUGUUUGUAGCGACCACUAUAUCUUAUUCGUAGUAUAUACGAGGGACUAAUCGGUUGUAGCACUCGACCCGACACACUAAAACAAGGAAACCUUCAUGGAGUUCCUCACAAUUCUAAAUUUACCCUCUAGAAUUUUUAAGUAACUCAAACAAAUAUUUUAUUAGCAUAGCACACUUAGGUUUUACCGCAAACAUCACGGGGCAGUAAAGGAUCCGGAAAGGACAAAGCUACACGUCAAGAUAGGUCGGUGGUACUGACAUAUUCCAUGAACACAAAUUCUUUGAAUGAUUACUUGUUUAUAAUGACCGGUGUAAUUAUUAUGUUCGCAGUGCUUCAAGCAACCCUCGAGCACUAACCUAUGUGGGUAUUACAUGUUGGAGAUGCUUAGGGUCAACAGGAGGUACACAACAAACAUCAAUCACGUAAGUCCUAACAUUGUUCUCUAUACAGAAUAUUUCAUCGCAAUUCAAUUUGUAAUAUUUAUUGUCUUUUUUCCUCAGACCCCUGAAAUCUCUUAUGUAGCAAACCGGUUCGACAACACAACAAUUAUGAAGGUAUGCGCUGACAUUUGCCACUUUAUCCGCUGUGAUUGCUGCAACGCACUAGGGCAAUCUUACGACAAUGAGAGUCAGCUGGCAUUAGAAGAUAAAUUCAAGCCCCUAAGAGAGUGGGGAAAGAACAUAUGCAGUAAAAAUUUACUAUUUCGUUUGUGUUGAAACAAUCGCUAAUUUGUAAUGUUUGGGACAGAAAUGUUUAAAUGUAUAGAUAUUGUUGGGAUACGCGUAGGCUACGAUAGCAUAAAUCAAAAUUUUAUAUCACAUAAACCAGGAACCAUGCAAGUAUUAGAUCAUAUAUCGUUAGCACUCGACGCGCUGCGCAGCGGAAAAGGGCGCUAAGAAGUCGAAGGAAUUCUCGCGAAGUAGCGCGCAUCGAUGUAGAGGAAGUAGUCGAUCGCACCGACUCGACCUUCUUCUUCUCGUGCGUUCUCCUCGCCGUACUCCCACACCAAUUAGCACCGCAAACCAGUGGCGCCUCUACCGGUAUCCACACAUACAGGGACGGAACGCCACGCGCAGAUGUGCUAGCACCCGCCUGCGGCUAGGGUUUUGCUCGGGGAGGGAAGUGACGGCUAGAGUUUCUCACGUGAUGCAAUGCCUCCGCCGGUCACACCUCUCACGAAUAUAUAGGAUCCAUCACUCGGGCCUCCAAGGCCCGUUGGACUCCUAUUCGGAUCCCUGUCCGAAUUAAACUCAUAUUGGAUCUCCAUCCAAUCCCCUUAUUCUGGCCCAUUAAUCGUGCGACCCUGUAGGUUCAUGUACACUCGGCUGUAACCCGAAAACUCCUUUUCAGUCCACGUGUCAACAGCGGCCCCUAGCAGAACGUAUUGACCCACCGGGCAUACAUAAAGAUCAUAUCGGCUGAACCUCUAGUGUAUACUUGUAUGAACCCCUUUGCCUCACGAUAUAGAUUAAGCUCAAGGCUAGAUAUGUGCCAUCCUCUAAUAGCUCAAUCAUUCACUCGAACUUGUUGAUAGAUUAUAUAACUUGUGAUUGACUCCUCAAUCACCUGUGGCAUGGCCAUUUACUUCCAUAAUCUACAACAUCGAGGGGCCCAGAGAUAUCUCUCCAUAGGACGGGCAAAUCCCAUCUUGAUUAUUCAUAUCUCACUACAUGUUUCAUAGCAUAACCGAAAACUACUUUUAUAACUACCCUAUUACGAAGUAGCGUUUAGCAGUCCCUAAGUAAGCUACUACAUAUGUUGGGAACCAUGAUAAUCUCAGGUCUAAGGAUUCAACACCAACACUAAAUGAGAUCACUAAUGACACAACACAUAUGGCUCUUGCAGUGUCUCAUGUUGGGUCUAUCCAACAACAUGUUCACUAACAUGUGUCCACAUUAUUAAUUUGGUAUCUCUAUACCAUGAUCCAUGAGACACGAUCAUCAAUUAAUACAUGUGCUGAUCAUCUAAUCAUAUUUGUUCCACAUAUGAUAUUUGAUCAGGGAUCCUUUAGAAAUAGUAACAAACAACAUAAAGAGUCUCAUGAAAGAAUCACAUAUUCAUUAACCAAUAAUGAGUUAUCUAUUUCAAGGAACAAUGUCGGAUAAAUAUGUAAACAUAGUAUGUGAUACAAUCAUUUCUAUGAUUGCCUCUAGGGCAUAUCACUAACAGAUAUAUGUAUAUAAAUGUUUUCUGUUUUAUAUAUGGAAAGUUUGUUUAUUUGUCAAUGCAAAAAUUCUAAUUAUUAUAUGCUAAGAACAAUAACUCAGUUAGGUUCUAUGCAUAGUAUUUCAGAUUUAGAUUAGAAAUAGCGGGAAGUAUUAUAUCACAUAGGGGACACGAUCUUCCCAAACAGCCAGCGAGUUAUUGGCCGCAUGCAAUAAUCGAUUUUCACAUUGAGAAGUGUCAUGUAGAUGCCAUGUGGCCAAAACCGGGUUAGUACUACCUUGGGAUUAUCUUUGAUCUAUUUUUUUUACGUUGAGGGAGGUGUUAUACCCAGUUUUAUAGUUGAGGGAUGCUAUUUGAUGAGGGAGACACGUAGACUUAGUCCUUGAUGAAAUGAAGGCAGCAGGCAAAAAAAAAAAAACAAUUACAUGAACCUGAAUAUGGCCCAAAUUCUGAUUGUAUUACCUCUGUAAUGCUGCACACGAAUCUGUUGUUAGAAAUUAAUCUUGAUUACCUCUGUAAUGCUGCCACUACUCACUACUGGAUAAACCUUUUAUAGUCCCGGUUGGGAACCCCCUUAGUCCCGGUUUUCCAACCGGGAUUACAAAUCCGGGAUGGAUAUCUUUAGUCCCGGGUGGAAUAACCGGGACUAAAGAGUACAGCGGCAGUCCCGAUUAGUUUCUUUUUUUUUAUUGUUUUUUUCUAGUGAUUUUCUCCCAAAUCCAGUGGGAUGUAUAUCCCCAAAUCAAACUAACAUCCCAAAUACCACAAAUCAAAUACAUCACAGAUUAUACAUCUCAUAUCCAUGCAAUGAAUUACAUAUUCUCAACAAAAAAAGAAAUUAUGCAUCUCAAUCCAUCCAACGAAUCACAAAUUCUUCAUCUCAAUCAAUACAAUGAAUCACAAUUUUUUUUUAAAAAAGAAGACAAAUCUCCGGCAGAGGGAUGCCCGGCCGGCCUCCAUGCAUGCGCGCACAGCUGGAGAGGGCGCUUCCGGCCACCGGCCGCCGCUGCCGCCAUCCCCUCCGCUCCGGAUCUGGCGGAGGGGAGCGCGAGGCCGCCGCCGCGCCCGCCCGGUCGCCACCGCUCCCACCCACCCGCCAUCGCGCCCACCCAGCGGCCGCCGCCGACCCAGAGAGCAAGAGGAGAGGACUUGGUAGGGAGGGGGAGGAGAGGGGGGAUCCGGAGAGGUGAAGCGGAGGAAGGGGAGAGGAGAGGGGAAGUGCAUACGCGGUUGGAUUUGGAUCGAGAUGAGGCCGAUAUUAAAGAGGGAGAGAGGAAGGGAAGGGGAUCGAUAAGUCUUGGACUUGGCGCGCGCGCGGUUUGGGAGGAUUUUUGGUACCUGUUGGGAUAAACAAACGGGACUAAAGAUAUAUUUUUAGUCCCGGUUGUUUAUACCAACCGGGACUAAAGUUAAUUGGGGCCUAACUAGAUUUGGUAACUUCUUUGAACCGGGACUAAAAAUGAUCUUUAGUCCCGGUUGGUCAAACAUUUUUAGUCCCGGUUCCUAUUCGAACCGGGACUAUUGUGGUUUUUGGACGACCGACGAAAGAUGGUUUCUCCAGUAGUCUGGACACGAAUCUGUUAUUAUAAAUUAAUCUUGAUUACCUCUGUAAUGCUGCACACGAAUCUGUUGUUUUUUUAAUAUCAGCAUGUUUAUCUAGAUGCAUACGUGUGUGUUGCAUGGCGUGGAGAGCUAGCUGUGUACGUUGGUGCUGCGUGGCUUAGUGAGUAGUGCGCCAAUAAACAGCCAGGAGGUAAGAGCACAAGUUUAGGAGUAGGAAAUGGUCAGUUUGCAUGCAUGCACUGAUCGGAGACUGAGUUGUGUGAAUAUGCAUUAGCUUAGAGGUUUAGUUAGUGGUUAGUUACCGGGUAUACUGGCUGAGAAUGUAGUUAGUGGAACACGUGCUAACCAGCUCGUGACUACAUGUGUUUCUAUAUACGGAGUAUAUAUAUCUAUAACUAGCUUGUGUUUAUGAGAAGAAAAAGAGAAAAAGGCACAAGUUGUUUCGGUGCCACAAAGCUCUCAUGUGUGUUUGCCUGUGUUUGUGUUUCUUCCCCGUUGCCUAGUGUAGCCUGUAUUCGUGUGAGUUGCUUUGUUUCCUAACAUCUGUUUGGUUUCAUUGUAUGAGACACAAAAGCUGGUUCACUUUUGUAAGUAAAGUAAACCAGUUAGCCACAAAGAAAUUCUUCAGUGUCACAAAGUAUUCAAUGGUAGCUACAAUAAUUGUGCUACCAAAACCCAAAAUGGUAGAUUUAUCAUCUUUCCUAUGCUUUUUUGGCUUUUGAGGUGGUGACAUUUCUACUGAAGCUGCACUGUUCUCUUAUAGACUGUAAAAUGUUAUGCCCUGACACCCAAAACGAGUCCUAUGCAGAGCAAGUGCUAGGCUUAUAGCACUAUAGCAGAAGGAGGCUUUCACUAAGAUGCAUUAGGAAUCAGGUAAAAAUUUGAGAGAUUGAGAGCCUAUUUGAAGGACCUUAUGAUUCCAAGAAAGCUGGUUGUAGCUAUCCUCUGAGAAUCUGGAGAAACUAGGUUUUCAAAUUUUCGGUUUCUAGUUCAUUUUUUAGAUUUUACGACUACAACUUUUUAGAAUCUGGACAAAAGCUAGACUAUUUGGGAAGAUUCUGAUUCUAGGAGAAGUUGUAGCUGCUAGAAUCUCGUCCAAACAGGUGCUUGAAGGGAAAGAAGAAGCUUGGAGGAAAUAGUUAUAUUGGCAUUUUAAAUAUUUGGUGUUUUACAGUAUUUUCAUCUCCUUCUCACUAGAACCGGCUGGGCCAUGUGAUCUGGAAGCAGCUGGAGCAAUAUCAGUAGAUUGGUUUUGUAAAAAAUAAUAUAACAAGACUAGCACCAGCAUGUUUUCCACAGAGCUGAAGCACCGCCACUUCACCGUCUAAAAAUAUAACUAACUUAAUCCUCUAAAUUAAUAUUAUGCAAUAAACAUUCUUGAGUCCAUACAUUAAGAUGUGGUUUAUACUGAACCGAGUACAACUACCAUAUACAAACAUUACAAUAUAAACGGUACACAUGUAUGUAAAUUUGUGCUAUGAACACAGGAAAUGUUUUAAGUACAAAGAACGCCAAACACAAGGGACAAAGGAUAAACACUUCUACCGUGGUAGGCUAGCAGAUGACAAGAAUUCUUUCUCCAAGCUAUAGCAUGAGGUUUGAGAGCGUUGAGAUGCUACAUUAGCUCUGUCAACAUUUACUAAAGCAUGAAUCACUUGGUCAAUGGCUCCUUGAGUCAGUAGUGAUUCUAUCUCUUGGUUUCUGUCUGGACUAACAUGUGAUGGGGUCAUCUUUUCUGUUCGUAAAAGCUGCAGUGUUAUCUCUACUUGCCUCAUUGUAGGCCUUUCUUCACCUUUUAGCUUUAUGCACAUCUCAGCAAGGGAGGCAACUUGUCUAAUAUCUUCUUCAUUUGCCUUGUCAAGAACCGGAGGAUCUACCAAAUCUAUAAUUGGUCUGGUCUUAAUCUCCGAAAGGAAGUAAGUACACAAAUUUUGUUUCAUCCCUGACAUUGUUGUAAAAAUAGGUUGCAUUCUUAGAAGAAGCUCCAAGAGUACCACACCAAAGCUGUAGACAUCACUCUUCUCAUUUAGCUGCCCGGUUUGGUAAUAUUCUGGAUCCAAGUAACCGAACGUGCCCUGUACAUUUGUAACAACAUGGCUUUGGUCAACUGGAACAGAUCUUGAAGCGCCGAAAUCCGAAACUUUAGCGGUAUAAUUUGCAUCCAACAGUAUAUUAGAGGACUUCACAUCACGGUGGAAGAUCGAUAUAGAUGCUGCAGAAUGUAGAUAGCAUAGAGCUCCUGCGGCCUCUGCUGCAAUCCUUAAGCGGUCGCCCCAUGACAAUGGGAAUGUGCUACUUGAAUCAUGAUGAAGAAGUUCAAAUAAUGAACCGUUUGGGAUAAAGUCAUAGACUAAUAAGGGGACCUCAGUUUCAAGACAACAUCCAAAGAGUUUAACAAUAUUUCUGUGAUUUAUUAGAGAAAGUAUGGCAACCUCGUUGAUGAAAUCGUUGAUCUCACCUUCCUUUAUGACUUUGGCUUUUUUUAUGGCUACCACAUGUUGGUUUGAUAAGAUACCUUUGUAGAUAGUGCCAUGUCCUCCAUGCCCUAGGAUACGUGUGGAAUCAAAGUUAUUUGUUGCCCUUUUUAGCUCUUCUAUGGAGAAAAUCUUUGUCUUCUCACUAGCACUUUCAUCUGAUGAUAUCAAUUGUUCUAGGAGGAGGCCUUGGUUCUUUUGGAAAUAUUUUCUCCGUAUUUUUUUAUGGACAUCUCUUUUCCAUCUUCUAAUGAUAGCUAUUACAAUCGAGCUAAGAAUCAACACACCAAAUCCAAUGGUAAGGCCAAUUAUAAUACCUACAAUGAUAACAUCGCAUUUGUAAUAUCUUCAUACACCCUUUUGUCAGUGUGGAAUUGAUUAUUAUGAGACUACCUAACAAGAGACUUUGGUUUCUUCUUGGAGUGCACUGCAUUCUUAUAACGUCAUACUCUGUAUGAUCAGGGCACAUGGUGCAGCUGUAGUUUCCUUCAGUAUUGUGGCAAAGUUCCUUGCAAAUCCGUGGUGUUUGUAGGCAUUCGUCAAUAUCUGCAACCAUAUCUCAGCAUGUCAAUGUAUAGUGUAACAAUAACUGAUCAAAUAACUAUUCAGUAAAUGUUUAUUCAAUAAAAAUAUUUGAAACAUUAAAAUUAGAGACUUCAUAUUUGUACAAGACAGAAUUCCACACCAGAAAACUAUAAGAGGAUAUAGUAUAUAUAUAUAUAUGUAUCCCAUCUGGUUGAAUUCUAAGUUGGUCAAAGAGAUAAUUACCUUUACACCCAUCUGGGAUAUAUGGAUUUCCAUCAUAACCAGGCAAACAAGUACACCUGUAGCCAACAUAACCUUGCAUGGUGCUGAUGACCCUGGAGCAGGAGCUAUUGGUACUUACACAAGCAUAUGUCGAAGUGUUUUGCUGCGCCUGUUGGCAGGUCAGAUUGGCAACUGCCCACUGCACCGAGGCUGAUUCCGUUGGAUCCACAUACAGGUUAGGCCCUUUACCAAAUAUGUUGGAUACUACUCCUUGAGAUGAAAAUCUGAAUUGCGAAAACAUAUUGAAUAAGAUCUCCACGAAAGAUGAGUUGUAUUUAAUGCCAACAAGCCCCUCACUGACAUUUAUAUACUGAACACCGAUGAAGUCAUUGUACUGCAGCACAGAAUUUGGCUUGCCUAGGCACGAGAGCUGAAACACUUCCCUGGCGGCACAACCCUCUUCAAGGCCAAAAGGAAAUGGGACAACGAUUGUUCCACAUUGUCGAGAGCAAUUAUGUUUUUGUGGUCUUGGGUUAUAACCUGCGAGUUACAUGAACAAAAUUUAAAUUAUCCGAGACCAUAUAACAGUCGAUACAAGCAAAUAAUUUCGGCAAUGUUUAGUUUCAGGGGUGAAAAGUUUUGGCGUGUUAUACUGGAUAUACGAACACACAUUUAAGUAUUAAAUGUAAACUAAUAACAAAACAAAUUACAGAUUCCACGUGUAAACUGCGAGACAAAUUUAUUAAGCCUAAUUAAUCCAUCAUUAGCAAAUGUUUACUGUAGUACCACAUUGUCAAAUCAUAGAGCAAUUAGGUUUAAAAGAUUCGUCUCGCAAUUUACACACAAUCUAUGUAAUUAGUUUUUUUUGUCUAUAUUUAAUACUCCAUACAUCUGUCUAAACAUUAGAUUUGACAGGGUGAAAAGUUUUUGCGUGGGAACUAAACAUGGCCUUCAUAGUUGCAAAUAGAAAGCAAACAAAUCCUCGCUCAAUUUAAAAAAAAAAUAAGUAAUUUUAGACUUCAACACCGUCUUUGAGAUGAUACUUUGACCAACAAUAUUUUUUUUAAAAAAAUGAUGUUUUAAAUAAACAAGUUACAUAUUAUGAUAGUUUAUUUAAUGAUAAAUCCACUAGUAAUAUCAUUUUUACAUGUUUGAUUUUUUUCUAUUAAUAGUCAAAGUUAAAAAUAUUUGAUUUAUCACUAUUCUAAAAUUGCUUAUAUUUUGGGAUGAAGGGAUUACUAAUUUAUGUCAUAUUAUACCUGACACGCUAUUGUAGAAAUGGCCUUCCAAACCGUCCCAUCACUACCGGUUCUUUUAGAAUCAACAAUGUAAUCCUAUGAACCGGCAGGGAUAGGAAGUCAGGAACAGGCAUACUUAAAUAAUGGUUCUUGUUUUAAAAGAUUAUUAACUAGACAUGAAGCUGGAUCAAAACACAUUUUAUUAUCAAUAUUGUAUCAACAAACUUUGUACGUACUUGUCAACUUUAAUAUUUGAGAUUGUUUAUAUACCUGAGUAUGCAUUAGAUAUGCUCAAGUCAAUUUGGAGAAUAUCUACUAGACGUGCACAUAUAAUAUAAUAAAGUACGCUGUAGAGCUUGACGAAAUCUAUGACCUAAUUUACAGUCGAUAACUUUUUCAUUUGAAAUCAUCCAUAGUGUCAAAUAUGCAUUAAAAAUUUUGGACCAAAUUAAAGAGUCAAAAGAAUAUCAGAUGCUUUUUACACAAGUGCCCUGUAUGAAACAAAGUAAGAAAUGUAUACGUGGAGAGAGGUUUUGGGUUCGAAUCCCAUAUGUUGUAUCUGGCACUAGGAGAGAUGAUAUUUGGUACCACUUCUCAGCCCCUAUUAAUUUCGAUUGUAGCAACUGAGACAAAGAAAUCGUGACUAAAGUUCUUAAUUUUUAGUUCCGGUAAAAUCAAAAAAUAUGUGAAGAUAUGGGAUUUGAACUCAAAAUCUCUAACCUCAACCCUCAUAAGUAUUACCAUUCCACCUACUAUACAAAUUUGACUUGGAUAGAGAUACAUUCUUUUUAAACUAACCCUAGAGGCAUGUUUAAAAAAAAAUAUCUUUAGUCCCGGUUCGUAAUACCAGCCGGUACUAAAAAUGUAUCUUUAGCAAACUAAAGAUAUUUUUGAGGACUUGGGCUUUUAGAACUGGUAAUAAAGUGAUUUUAGUAACAGUUCUUACUACAUCCGGUGUAAUUGUAGUUUGCGGCAUUGGAUAAAAGAUGAGUUCUCCUGUAGUGCGGACACUAGUAUCACUGCCCACAAAAUAUAUUUUUUUGCAAGUAAAACACCGGCUAAGCUAAAUUGAAGAAAAAUGCAUCAAAUGGUAAGACUUCGAUCCGGGAGAUAGUGGAAAAAUAGUAAGUUUAAUGAAACCCAAUUUAGCUAUUCUUAUAAAUAUGGAAUCCACAUUUAACAAAUUUAUGUAACAACUGUGGCACUAGAGUAUCAUUUGACUACACUUUUAACAAGUUUAGCAAUUCUUUGGGCCUGUUUACUUCCUAAAACAAAAAACUUUUCACCCAUCACAUCAAAUGUUUGGACGCAUGUAUGGAGUAUUAAAUAUAAAAAAACAAUUACACAGUUUGCAUGUAAACUGUGAGACGGAUUUUUAAGCCUAAUUGCGCCAUGUUUGACAAUGUGGUGCUACAGUAAAUAUUUGUUAAUGACGGAUUAAUUAGACUUAAUAAAUUCGUCUCGCAGUUUUGUGGCGGAAUAUAUAAUUUGUUUUGUUAUUAGAAAACGUUUAAUACUUCAAAUAUGUGUCCGUAUAUCCAAUGUGACACCCCAAAACAAAAAAAUUUUGCCAUAUAAACCGGGCCUUACAUAUGGAAUCCAUCAGCCAACUGCUACGAUCAUUCCACUUAAAAUAGCCCACUAGUAGGGAUGCAAGUGGGUAAUACCUCUACCCCAUAAAAAUCUGCUAUGUAGUAUAAAAUUUGAAAGAAAAAAUUUGCAGAAACAUAUCCCACAUAAAAGAAACAACUACUCAGUCAUUAGACUUUUUUCUUAGUCAAACUUCUUAAAAUUUGACCAAGUUUAUACAAAGAUAUACUAAUAUUUUUUAUACAAAACAAACAUAUUAUCAAAAUAUAUUCAAUGUUCAAUUUAAUGAAACUAAUUUAGUGUAGUAGAUGUUGCUAAUUUUUUCUAUAAACGUGGUCAAACCUAAAUAAUUUUGACUAAGAAAAAGUCAAACGGCUUAUAAUAUAAAAUGGAGAGAGUAGCUAUAAACUAGAUGUGGUUCUGUUAACUGUACUAAUACCAUAAUUCUUGAGAUUGUACCAAGCAUAUAUAUAUAUAUAUAUAUAUUUAUAUAUAUAUAUAUUUAUAUAUAUAUAUAUAUUUAUAUAUCAAAAUAUUCAUAGUUUUUUUCUCCAACUUCAACCAUAGUGGCAUGUUUUAUUUGCUAUGCCUCCAACAACAAGACGUUGUUGGAGAAAAUCUUGUUUGUAACCUAAAGUAAAGCAGUUUGAUCUUCUAAAACUAGUCUCAAAUGUGAACAAGUCAUCUCAACCUAAAAACUCUAAUCCAGCCAUAACUCAAGCUCCAAGCUAGAUUUCUUGAAGCUAAUGAUAUCCAAUUCUCUCUUGGAGUUUAAGUUGUACUACCAAAUAGAGCCUUAAUUAAUCAUGGGGCAGAUACCUCUCUUAGUAGUUGACCCUCUUAGCUUUGUGAUAUUAUAGAAUAAACCUGUUGCUUUGUGCAUGAAACAAUUUUGUGCUAAAUCUAAAUUUGUAUUUUUUUUCUUGAUAAUUUUUAUUUAGUGCUAAAUAUAUAGGUUUAUAGCAUUGAGUUAUCAAGAAGUCAAGUGAGUUAGCAUGUAGAAGAAGUGUUAUAUCCGUAGGGUUGUAUAAAAAUGAUAUACUAAAACUAUUUUUGCGUAACUUAGUUUUGAGUAUAAAGGCACUGAUUUUGGACUUUUGCAGGUACUAUAUGAUACAACAUUAAAAAAAAAAAAGCUAUGAUGAAGAAAUUACCGUCAUCGAGUUUGCAGCCAUCCAUAAUAUAGGGAUUUCCAACGUAGCCAUCAUUGCACCGGCAUGCAUAGCCAACAUCAAUAUACUGCGAGGAGACACAUGAACUGUGAUUGCUGAUACAAGCAUGGUUCUUCCUGUCAUCCUCCAUGUUAUUCAAGCAUCUUGUUUGGUCCACAAUAUUCCAAGCAAGGUUGGCCUUCACAGUAAUGUUGAUUCUAUCCCACAACAUGGUUAGAUUAAAGUACUUUUGGGUAUUACCGGUCUUGUGACGAACAAACUGUAACUGAACUGUCCGAGCUGGUAGUGAAUCUAUAGUGUACCAACCAGGGCCUUCAGAAUCCUGUCUGUAUACCAUCUCAGCAAUCUCUUUGCUGGGACAAGCGAUAGUGCCAAGCAAAAUAGGUGUGCUUUUUUCUUGAUCUACCAUGUAUACAUCCAAGUCACAGCUGGUGACAACAAAUGUCAUGCCCUGUCGUGCAAAGGUAAAAGAAUCCCCUGGAUUUUUCCAUGAAAAGUUGUAGACAUCACCACCGGAAUUUAUAGGGAUGACAUGGGUGGAGGUGAUCGGAAUUAAGUUGAAGUGGAUAAAAUAGAUAUUCAGACCAUCUACCCCAAUAUCACCAAGAACCUCUGUCGAUCCAUUGUUCAGGAAGAGUUUAGGAGGCUGAGUGGCCAUGUCGCAUGUGAGACUGAAAUCGACAUGGCGGAAACAACCUUGUCCUAUGCCAAAGGGAUAAUCGAAGCUCAAUUUGCCGCAUCUCUUUGGACAGCGAGCGAGUGUAGAAGUGGAGGGUAGGGAUGCAUUAGAAGGACUUGGAUUGGUACCAUGAUCCAGUAGGAACCUUUUCUCCAACCGUCUGGUCAUACCCUCUGGAUAUGGGGUGAUGAGAUGGCCAUAGGAGAGGACUGGACUGAGUGCAAAGCUUCUCUUGACUUGAGCUAUCCCCAAUAACACGAAUGAAAGCAAAGGUAACAUGGUGUUGAGGUGGCCCAUCUAAACUCUGCCAAGCUGCUACCCUCUCAGAAGUUUAAAUAUAAGUGUGUCUAGAGCUAUGCCUUUCAGCCUUUGCCUCUGCUCUUACAGUUGGCCCUCUAUUUAUAACAGAAUGAAAGCUAGUCAAUUUCAGUGGGUAGUGACGAAAUUUUCUAUAAAAUUUUCAAUAUUGAGGUGGGGAAGGUGUUUAUACAGUAUGUGGCGCCACAAGCUCUUGCUACGUGUAUUGGAUUAUUCAAACUACCGAACGUUGAAUUGUACUUAUAUGCUGUUGGCAAAUUAGUACAUGUAGUGGUUGGAAAGAAGGAUGAGUCACUGCAUUUCUUGGGACAAAAAUAUGUUAAUGUCUACCCUCUUCGUUUUAUAUUAUAAGAUAUUUCAAUUUUUUAAGUUAUAUUUGUUUAAAUUUAAUCAAGUUUAUAUAUAGAAAACACUAAAAUUUUCAACAUAAUACAAACAUAUAUAUUAUUCAAAUAUAUUCAAUGCUAAUAUGAUUAGACUAAUUUAGUAUUAUAGACGUUGCUAAUAAAUUUAUCUGUAAAUUUGGUCAAUUUAAAAAAUGCGAUUAGUGAAAACAUAUAAAAUAAAAUGGAGUGAGUAAAACAUUUUAUUAUAUUUGGCAUUGGACUAAUGGAUUUACUGUUAUUUACUCAAUCCAGGCAGUGCUAUCUUGCCACCCGGUGUCAAAAGAGAAGACUUCAAACAUGUCGAUAUAAAAACAAUGACACGGAGAGUUACUAUCAAGCAGGUGACACCGUGUAACACAAAGCUUCUCUUGACUUGAGCUAUCCCCAAUAACACAAAUGAAAGCAAAGGUAACAUGGUGUUGAGAUGGCCCAUCUAAACUCUUUGCCAAGCUGCUAACCUCUCAGAAGUCUAAAUAUAAGGGCCUGUUUGGUAUAACUCCAACUCCUAAAUAUAACUCUAGGAGUUGAAUUUGGAGUGGAGUUGUGGAGCUGCCUAAACCCAGCUCCACAACUCUAGUACAUUUUGUGAGAGAGCUCCACCCAACUCCACUCCCAGUUUUGGUGGAGCUGAAACUGUUUGACUGAGCUCCAGCUCUAGGAGGGGUGGAGCUGGAGCUGGAGCUGUGCCAAACAGGGCCUAAGUGUGUCUAGAGCUAUGCCUUCUAGCCUUUGCCUCUGCUCUUACAGUUGGCCCUCUAUUUAUAACAGAAUGAAAGCUAGUCAAUUUCAGUGAGCAGUGACGAAUUUUCUAUAAAAUUUUCAGUAUGUAGCGCCACAAGCUCUUGCUACGUGUGUUGGAUUAUUAAACUACCAAACGUUGAAUUGUACUUAUAUGAUGUUGGCAAAUUAGAACAUUCGUAAUAUUUUCAACAUAAAGUAAACAUAUAUAUUAUUUAAAUAUAUUUAAUGUUAAUAUGAUUAGAAUAAUUUAGUGUUAUAGACGUUGCUAAUAAAUUUAUCUGUAAAUUUGAUCAAUUUAGAAAGUGUGACUAGUAAAAACUUAUAAAAUAAAAUGGAGUGAGUAAAACAUUUCUUAUAUAUAUAUGGCAUAUAGGACUAAUGGAUUUACUGUUAUUUAUUCAAUCCACGCAGUGCUAUAUAUCUUGCCACGCGGUGUCGAAAGAGAAGACUUUGCAAGCAUGUCAAUAUAAAAACAAUGACACGGAGAGUUGCCAUCAAGCAGGUGACACCGUGUAGAGGGAUGAAGGACACGAUGCAAAAGUCUUGGCUCUUGACUUUGACUAAUACAUUUCUGAAAGCAACAUGCGGCAUAAACAAACACGCUCAGAGACACACGAUCAGGGUAAGUUUAGUUCGCGAAAAGAAAAAUUAUAUGUUUGAUCGGAUAUCGGAAGGGUUUUUUUUAUACGGAUGAAAAAACUAUUUUUAUAACUCGCCUGAAAACCGCGAGACGAAUCUUUUGAGCCUAUUUAAUCCGCCAUUAGCACAUGUGAGGUACUGUAGCACUUAUAGCUAAUUAUGGACUAAUGCUUUGUUCGGUAGAGGAAGUUCCCAACCCUAUUUUCUCGUUUUCCGCGCGCACGCUUUUCAAACUACUAAACGGUGUGUUUUUUGUAAAAAGUUUCUAUACAAAAAUUGCUUAAAAAAUCAUAUUGAUCCAUUUUUUAAAAAGGAAAUAGCUAAUACUUAUUUAAUCACGCGUUAAACGUUGCUCCGUUUUGCGUGCUAGGGAGUGCUCCCGAACACAGCCUAAUUAGGCUCAAAAGAUUUAUCUUGUGAGUUUCCUCCUAGCUGUGUAAUUAAUUUUUUAAUCUAUAUUUAAUGCUCUAUGCAUAUGUCAAAGAAUUGAUACGAUAUUUUUGGAAAAACUCUUGCGAACUAAACCAGGGCCUAAACUACUUUAUUUCCAUUGCAAUUCCAGGAACAUGUGCAAGACCAUUAUAUAUAUAUUCAUAAUCACUGGAGGUGACAAAACUAUCACGCGGUAUUUUGGAAGUCUUUACGUACAGAACAUACCUUUCUAAAAGCAAUUGGCUUCUUAGAAAAAGGCACAUAUCCAAAUAAUGGAAUGUGACAUUGUUCUUUUGAAGGAAAAAAGCAUUCAAUUUCAAAGGAUUUUUUUAAAAAAAGUCCGGUCUAUGAGCUGAAUGCUGGCCUAUCUUUUAAAACUAAUAAUUAAUGCUACUAGUUGUAUGGUUAUUUUAAGGCCCUGUUUAGUUUUCGAACAAUAAUUUUUUAAUAUGUCACAUCGAAUAUUUGAACACAUGUAUAGAGUAUUAAAUAUGGAAAAAAAAACUAAUUACACAAAUUGCGUGUAAAUUGCGAAACGAAUCUUUUAAGCAAUUGUGCCAUGAUUUAACAACGUGAUGCUACAGUAUUUGCUAAUGACAGAUUAUUUGGGCUUAAUAAAUUCACCUCGCAGUUUCUAGGCGGAAUCUGUAAUUUGUUUUGUUAUUAGUCCAUGUUUAAUAUUUCAAAUAUAUAUGUGUAUAUCCGAUGUGACACGCCAAAAUUUUCAUGCAUGACCUAAACAUGCCCUAACUUGUGAAAUGAAGUUAUUUCUUCAAAAUAUUUAGUUGCAAAAUAUUUCUUCAAACUUCCAACUUUUCCAUCACAUCAAAACUUUUCUACACACACAAAUUUUCAACUUUUCUAUCACAUCAUUUAAAUUUCAACCAAAGUUCUAAUUUUGAAAUGAACUAAAACACACCCGUAGUCAAGCACGAAAGCUGCGAUGGAAGUUAUUUGCGUGUGAAGGCAAACAAUGUAGAGGGCCAUUUCGAAACACUUUCUGCAAAUCGUACGUGUGCUCAACGGGAGGGUGAGGUUGAUCGAGAGAACCCAAACAGUGCUGUGGUAUAUCUACCAAAUUUAAAAGGUGCGCACCCCAAAAAGCCACAAAAAAUGGUGAAAAAACAUUCUCAGAUGCGAAACACUAUUACAUAUAUGUACCACACUAAAAAUCAUCUCAAAUUUUAUGUAAACCAGAAGAAAGAAGAUUUUCAAAUAGUUCACAUUACUAUUCACAAGAGAUUUAUCUUUUUUUUUCUCCUCAAUAUGUGUAGAUCAAAUUUUGAGUUUAUUUUUUGUGUGCUACUAUAUGACUCAUAGUGUUUCAUAUACCAGAACAUUUUCAAUUUAUUUUUUUUUUGACUUUUUAGAAGCAGAUUUUAAGUUUAGUUGUACAGCGAGGACAACACACUUCUAGAAAACUUUUUUUUUAAUAGCACGGGAUAGCUCAUCUAUAACGGGCGGGAAGGCUCACCUAUGUCGGUGAGGGGUACCGUCACAAAACAAAGGUAAGUGGUGUGAAAUGUCAUAUGUGUCGGAUCGGCCACCGUCACAGAUGACAAUCAUCUUUAUCGGACCUAAAUAAAAGACCGUCACGCUCAUCCGUGACAGGUGGUAGUUUUGAUCCGUCACCAAUGAGAGUCAUCCAUGAGAUUCAAACCUAAAAGAUCCUAUUUUUUUUUAAAAUAUUGCAUGGAUAUUCUAACAAUGGUCACAUAUCACUACUUAGAAAUUAUUUAUUUUUCAAGUGGUAAAUGCAUACAUGUCAUACAUGAGAUUCAAACCUAAGACCUCUCAACACAUGCAAACCAAUCUUACCAUCCCACCUACAUACCACAUGUUGAUUGGUAAUCAGAUGUUAUUUUUUAACUAUUUAUAUCCAAAUAUAAAACACAAAAUUGAAAUGCUAGGUGACUUCAAAUGACAAUGCUUUGAACUACAAAGUUGCAUAUCUCGUCGAGCUCUACAGCUUUAGUGUAGGGUAUAUCUCCAUCCAAGGUUGUUUGAAAAACACAUUAAAUUAAAAUAUUUUUGAAAUAGAUCACAUCACUUGUAACACUUAUUCGGAGAAGAAAACAAUCUUAAAUGAAAAUAUUUUCAAUUAGAAAGUUGUAGAUCUCAUCAAACCCUUUGACUUUGAUAUAGGCCAUGUCUCCAUUUGAGAUCAUUUGAAAAAUUCAAAAUUAUGUAUUUCAAAAUAGCUCUCACCACUUAUAAUGCAGUUGUCACCAACCCAUGCAUUACACGGGUCAUGUUAAAAUAUUAAUUUUUAAUUGUAACCAAACUAUGCUGGUUACUUUUCUACUAAGCCAACCAGAAAGGGUGAAUGGUUGUAGUACGGUACCCAAAAACCAAAACUUUGAGUGGAAUUAAAAGUUACCGUUGAAUCGAUGAAACGCGGUCUGACGGCAGUUGAUCCGCCGGUCUGACCGCCUGGAAGUCGUCGGUCUGACCGGAGUAGAUCACCCGGUCUAACCAUCCCGAAAUCGCCUAUGCUUCCUGUCACUGAUGCCGGUCUGACCGCCGUGUACCCACUGGUCUAACCGCCGGUGUCUCGCGGGUUAGACCGCCGAACCCGACCAAACACAAAUUGAAGAACACCCAAAGUAGAUGAUAACUUUAUUACUUCUCUCUAUGUUUACAAAGUGCAGCAACAGCACUCCUCACGAAAAUCUCCAUUAAACCCGAAACCUAAACUAUUCUCACAACUCAAUGCUCUCUAAAGCGAUACCGGGAGGCCUCACCCUCCCUCUCUAUUUAUACAUGAGGUAGGCAGCCUAAAGCCACGAACCAAACUCAUACCAGAAGUCCAAAUCCCUCUAGGAAACUUUCCUGUAUAAGAAACCAACUUUACAAACUCCAAUUGUACCAAAUUUGGACUACUUCCAAAUUUGACUCCGCAUCCAAUACACACACAAUAUCUCCAUCGUAUGCCAUAUGGAAUCUUCACCAACCACGUGCAUUCAUCUUUAGCCCAAGUAUCUUGCAUGAUAUGUGACCGUCCAGACAUCACCUUAUCUCCAAGUUGACUCCUAAUCCAUCAUCGGCAAUACUCUUUCGAGGCAUCAAGACACCUACACAUGAAUCAAACAAAAAAAACUAUAUUCCGAGACCCAGCUAUCUCCAAUUUGACUCAUUCUUAGCAAACAACAGUAUUAUAUACACAUAGUAUCCAUCUAGAAGCCAUAAAAAUGAACUAUCCACGGAUAUCCAAUGAAACAACCCGAAACCGAAACCGACACAGAGUCGGCUGGUUAGACCGCGGGCAAGCUGGUCUGACCGCACGCAUACCUCCGGUCUGACCGGCAACACCUGCCUGGUCUAACCCGACACGACAAUAAGCAGUCCAUAUUCAUCACCUACAAAUCCAAUUAUCUCCAAAACCACUUUGCCAAUAAUCACCAAAUAUCAAAACCAAUAAUCUCAGGUGCCAAUUGCUUAUCAUAGAAUAACAGUCAAACACAUAUUGAUUUUAUAUAGUUGGACCACAAAAACAGCUCAUACUGUAUGUAUAACUAAAAGAGCAUAUAAUAUUGCAAAACUACAUAUUUUAUUUGAGAUAAUUUUAAGUAUGAUUUACGGUCAUGAUAAUAGGAUCAAUCUAAUCAACGGUCGGAUCUUUCUUAUUAACGUGAGGGCUCCUAAAAAGUGCCAAAUUAGUAUAGGUAUAGAUAUUCGGGCAUGUAAACUAUCUCAAAUUCAAAUGUUAUCAGUUUUGAAGUUAUAAAUAUCAUUGACAUCUACAACUUUCAUAAUCUGAGGUUGUUUGAAAAUUUCAAAAAUUUGAAUUUUUCCUCAUGCGUGGAGGUUUGUAAUUGUCACCCUUCAGGGUAACAUUAUCCGUGAAGGGUGUUAAUUAAGAUUGAGAGAAUCUAUCUAUACCAUCGAGUUUGUUCGAGUUCAACUAUUUGCCAUCGACAUUAUCUCUUUCUAUAAUAUACCGAUAACUUUAGCAAUUGUUCUAUGAUAUGCCAUUGGGCUGGACCUUCUUUUCAAAAAUACCUAAAAUACCCUUAGAGACAUACAAGAUAAACAAUUGAUUUAUCUCAUUAGAAGUUUCAAAAAAAUAUGAAAAUUUUUAUGUGGCCUCCUUACACAACAUGGAAGUUUGUAUACAAGUUUUAAAUUUUUUUGGUAUAUUUAUCUUUUUACAAAAAAUAUUUUUACGUGGUAUAUGAGAGAUGAUAGCAUAAAAAUAUCUUAGUAGUGUGUGAAAGAUGAUUUAUAUUAAAAAUAAUAAAAAAAUAUUUUUAUAUACAAUAUAACAUAUAAGUUAUAAUUUAAAAAAAGAAGUGUAAAAAACUUGAAACUCCUAUACAAAUUUCCAUGUUGUGUAAAGAGACCACAUAAAAGUUUUCAUAUUUUUUUGGAAUUUCUAGUGAGAUAAAUCAAUUGUUAACCUUGUAUGUUCAUAAGGGUAUUUUGGGUAUUUUUGAAAAGAAUGUCCAACCCAGUGGCGUAUUGUAGAACAAUUGAUAAAGUGGCCGGUAUAUUAUAGAAAGAUACAAUGUCGAUGGCAAAUCAUUGAACUCACACAAACCCAGUGGUAUAGAAUAGAUUAUCUCAUUAAGAUUUGUCAUAGAUGAGUGCUGUCAUUUUGAUGGGUUAUCUUAUUAGACCUGGCAUGGAUGACAUGUUAUCUGUGAUGGGGCAUGGUUGUUACCCGUUAUGGGUCAUUCAUGCUGUGUGUUGGUAUUUCCUAGCGACACUACUAGAAAUAUAAUUCCCAGAAGUAGCACUAGAAAUAAUCCUGGUAUAUUAUGGUUACAGAUGUGAUCCGCAAGCUCACGAGUAUACCAUUGUAGCAUUUCACCCGGGAGUAUUCCAAUGUAUCAUAUUUAUUUUAUCCCAAGGGAAGAUAUGAUAAGAGAGUACUAUGCUAACAAUACAUAUAUUACUUGUAUCCAUCAAAGUCUAUGUAGGAGUUAGUUCAGUUCAAAGGGUAGGUUGACACAGAGAAGAAAGAACUAAGAACUACUCUCACUAAAAUAUAGUCUAAGCUAAGUGGAGAAAGAAUAAGAAAAGCAUCAUUCUUGUCCUUCUAGUAUACAUACAUCUUUAGUCUAUACUUGCUAUUAUAUAGUCAUGUAACCAAUACCCCGUACCCAGUGUCCUCUCGGUGUUUCAAGAAGCCACCCCUGUCUACCGAGUUCCUUACGACAGCCCAUCAUGACCAUACAACCGGGGCUAAAUACAGAGGAGUACCCUCCCCAGGGAAUUAACUUAGGAUUAUAUACCAGCGCAGAGGAAUACCCGUACUGAGCUGUCACCAUCAGCGGCCCACCUCUCAUCCGCAGUAUAUAACCCCUAUUAAUGGUAUCUAAUAAUCUAAGCACCGCGCUUACAUUACUAAAUACUACUCUACAUCCUUGCAACCGACAUAGAGCAUCCGAAUAAUCGGACACUAAACCCACACCAAUACACCUAUCUGGAAAGCUAGUUACGCGACUAUAUUGAUUCAAGUAUAAAGUAAAGUCGGUACUCAAGUAAUAUGAAUGGAAUAAAAUACCAAACUUGUAUAAAGAAGAAUAUUCUAUUAAUUCAUUAAGUCUUACAAAAGAAGAAAGGAAAGUUAUUAAAGCCAUACCCGAAUUCUCCUGAAGACUCGAGGACUAUGAAGACUAUUCUAUUUCCUACUCCACUAACACUAGAAAUACUAAAAAAUACUUGAGAGAGCUCUUGAUCUUCUUUUUGAGGUGUGUGUGGGAAUGAAUGAGAGAAGGGAUAUUUAUAGCCCAUGAGGUGCCUUGGGAGAGUGGAGAUGCUCCAAGAAUCCUAGGAGCAUCUUUGCUCUCCUCAUGACAAGUGACAUGGUCAAGCAUCCAAAGAGCAUAUUUCAUCUCCUCUUGCCAUGUGUCCAUGGCAGUUUCUUCAGGUAGAAUUAGCUCGAACCGUCAUAGGAUGCCGGUAGUAACUGCCUGGCCGAAAAUGGGCUGGAUUGGGCAAGUUGGGGGUUCAGCCGAACCCUGGCUGGCUCCCCUGGCCCACAACCUUCUUCAGGAUGUUGUCAUGUGGGCCCCACUUUAUGGUACACAAUGUUUUGGGUCAGAAUGAUAGCUCAUUUCUGAGUUCUUGGCCCAUCCAUCCAUAAGUCUGAUUCUCGAUAACGUCUGUUUGAUUGAUCGAUUAUUGUACUGUCGAUUCUCCUCCAUUUUGAUAGCUUCUCCUGCAUGGUUAGUUUUCCAAGCAUAUAGUGGAAUAGAAUAUUUUAUUUAUGGAAUAAUGCAUUGCAAGCAUAGUUAGUCCUCAUUAAUUGGGUAAUAUUGACAGCCGAAACUGGUCGAUAACGACCGUCAACAAUGUGUUAGAACUACGACCCGACAAAGAUGACUUUAAAUCAAUGACGAGGUAUGGUUGUGACCCAUUAUAGGUCAUCCGUGACGUGCUAGAACUUUCACCCGACAAAGAUGACUUUAAAUCGGUGAAGGGGUAUGGUUGUGACCCGUUAUAGGUUACCUGUGAUGUGUUAGAACGAUGACCUGACAAAGAUGAUUUAUAUCAGUGACGGAUCAUCCCUGAUAGUCAUGUAUUAAAUGGGAUACUUUUUGAACCGUUAGAGAUGCGUCAUCCAAAAUAGGUCAUAUAAGCUCGACACAUAUGACUCGUCAAGGAUGGCCGAAUCUGUACUAGUGUUUACAACAUUAGCUUUCAUUUCUCCAGGUGGACCAUAAAAUUCCCACUUAUAAACCGAUUGGAAAAAUAGCAGGAGCUGCUAUAGUUAUAGCCCCACUUGUAAAAAUCAAUACUUCGUACGUGAAAAUUUCAUGCCCCAGCAUAAAAAAAAUCUAAGCCCCAUCUCCUUAUCCUCUCCUUUACCACUCAUUUCUCUCCCCUCCCCCUGCCACUUAUCUCUCUCUCUCUCAUGCUAAACCCACCACUUGGUUGCAGUGGCGGCGACUUUGACGAGGAGGAGCAACGACGGCUCUAACAAGGAGGUGAAAAGGUGGCGGCUCCGAGGAGGAGCGAUGGCGAAAAUGUCUCAGUCAUGAUGAGGAGGAGCAUCGAUGGCAUCUCAGCGACGAGGAGGAGGAGAGGCGGGGCCUAGGAGGCGGAUCAGGCAACAGAGCAAGGGUUGUGGUGGCUUGGCCUGUGAACGGUGGAUCUGGCAGAGAGGAUGAUGACUGUGUCGACGCAACCUCCUUUCUCUCUCCCUCAUGCAUCGGCGGCAAGAGCAGCAACAAAUGGCGGUUCCGCCACCGCUGGCCCUCGGGAGAGUGGAUUCGCUGCCACCUGGCCUCAAGUGGAUCUCGUCGCGGCUGGCCUCCGCCCUCCCUCGUCGACGCCGAUGCUUGUGCACAGCUUCGGCUUCUUCCCCAAGACGCUAGCCGAUGAUACUACGGAGGAUAACUCCAACACUACGACGACAUCCUUGGCUGUUUUUUUUUUGUCAAUUUGUGAGCAUGAAUUUUUUUUGGGUGAAUUUGGGAUGGUGAAGUUGCAUUGUGAAAUUUUCUUGUAUGCCCAUGCUAAUGCGUCUUACAUGAUCCAUAUCUUUGGGUCAUACGCUGAUGAGUGCAUUGACGGUGAGAGACCUUAUUGCCCAGGCAAAACGUUGCAAUAUCAGUGGUGUCUGCACUCUACCACUAAGCUAAUAGCCCAUUAUGUGGGGCCUUCCAAAUGCUAGUCUUCCAGGGCUUGCACAAGAAUGUUAGGAACAGAUGUGGGCCACAAAAAUAAAAGACAUGUACUUUGUUCAUUUAGCUUUCAGAUUUUUUUUUUGACUGAAAGUACAGCCAGGGCUUUGCCCAGCAGUUUAAAUUUUAUAAAUCAUAAAUAUGUACAAAUUUCAGAUUUUGUUUCAACAGUUGAACUUUUCCAAUAAACAUCAUAACCCCAAAUAUCCAUGUUUUUGUUAUGUGAGAUCCUAAAAAAAAUGUAUUAUCGAUUUCAAACAAAAGAGGCCAUUAACAAUAAGCAUAAGAAAAAGGGGAAAUUAUUAGCAUUGCACCGGCAACGCGAAGCGGGAGCGGAUAACAUGUUUCUCAUUUUUAUUUGCUUCCACCCACAUGGGCCCAUAGGAAAAAGAAAAAUACAUGUUUCAAACCCUGAUUUAAACAGGACGAGUAUGCCAUGCUAAUGAGUACAUUCAACUAUCCAUAUAGGUGAGAGAACUUAUUGCCCAGGCACAAUGAUGCAAUAUCAGUGAUUCAUUCUACCACUAAGCUAAUAACCAAUCCUGCGGGCCUUCCAAAUGCUAGGCUUGCAGGUCGUGCACAAGAAUGUUAGGAAUAGAUGUGGUCCGCACAAAUCCAAGACAUGUACUUUAUUUAUUUGGUUUUCAGAUUUUCUUUCAGCAGUUGAACUUUUCCAAUAAACAUCACAACCCCAACUAUCCAUUUAUUUGUUAUGUGAGAUCUUAAACAAUUCAAUUUUCAUUUUAAAACAAAAUAGGCCCUAAACAAUAUGCAUAAGAAAAAAAAGGGAAAUUAUUAAGAUUCCUUAAAUCUACUUCCUCCGUUUCAUAUUAUAAGACUUUUUAGCAUUGCCUAUAUUCAUAUAUAUGUUAAUGAAUCUAGACAUAUAUGUGUGCCUAGACUCAUUAACAUCUAUAUGAAUGUGGGUAAUACUAGAAAGUCUUAUAAUAACAUGAAACGGAGGUUGUUUUAAAUUUUGAAGAGAUCCAGGAACUCAUUGAUCUAGGACUCUUGAGCAGUGUUACUUUGCUAAAUGAAAUAGAAGACACAAUCUAAUGGAGAAGGAAUAAUGUGGCCACAUACUCGGCAAAAAGUCCUUAUCUCUUCCAAUUCAUUGGUUCUCAGCAAGACAAGGUUUUCCUGUUGAACUGGAAGGCGUCGGCGCUUCCAAAACAAAAAUUCUUAGGUUGGCUCAUCCUACACCACAAGGUUCUAACAGCUGAAAACAUGCUGAUUCGGCACUGGGAGUGUGACUGGAUUUGCCCCUUAUGUAGAGGAGAAUUUGAAGAUACCGACCACUUGUUUCGACAAUGUGAUUUCCUAAAAGAAACAUGGAAUCUUGUCUCUGCUGUUCAAGGUAUUCAGAAUAACCAGACUUAUGUUCCAUAAAAGAAUGGAUGGCAGGUAUCAUGCAGAAUGAAAACAAGACGGAAGUAAGGAGAAAGGUGGGUGUUCUUGUCAAGACGUGGUGGCAUAUUUGGCUCCAAAGGAAUGCAAAGAUCUUCAGAGGAGAAGAACCGGACGUGCAACGGACAGCACACCAGAUCAUCUAAGUUAUUCAAUAAAGCAGUUUUGUAUUUCAACCACCAUGAUGUAUAUUUUUACCCUAUCAAACCAUAAUAUAUGGUUUUGGGAUGCUUCUAAGCUAUUACGUCGCAUCAAUUAUGUAAUCGUGUAAUCAUGUAAACCGCAUAUUACUCUUCUUCUAAUAUAUUCGGCAAUACUCUUGCCGCUUUCCUUAAAAAAAAGAAAUGGAGAUAGUAGAUACAAAGAAUUUUUUUCUCUAUAGAUAUGCAAUAACAAUAUGAAUCUUCAGAUAAAUACUACUCCCUCCGUUUCACAAUGUAAGACUUUCUAGCAUUGCCUACAUACAUACAGAUGUUAAUUAAUAUAGACAUAUGUAUGUGUUUAGAUUCAUUAACAUUUAAAUGAACUUUCUAGCAUUGCCCACAUACAUACAGAUGUUAAUUAAUAUAGACAUAUGUAUGUGUUUAGAUUCAUUAACAUUUAAAUGAAUGUGGGUAAUGCUAAAAAGUCUUACAUUGUGAAACGGGUGGGAGUAUAUGUUGCAACUUAGGUAGAAACCUGAAAUUGAAAUAUCAUUAAAAAGCUGAAUUGAUUAUGGUUUAUAUAGACGCAUGCAUGGAGUAGUCAUUUAGCAAAGGUAGCCCAUAGCAUUUUGUUCUCAAACCUUAACAUUUGCUAAAUAAACUAGAAUACCUUUGUUUUUGAACAGAGGGAGUAUAUGCUUCUUAUGAAUCGAACUCAUUUUACAUACAUUAUGCAUUUCCACAUAGUACUUACUAUACGAGGACAUAGGUGAAGACUGUGCGAGUAUGCGACAACAUAUUAGCAAAUUGCUUGUUACUACUUACGAGGACUCAAACAUAUAUAAAUUAUAUAUUUAUUUAUAGUUUGGGCGGCACACACACGACAUAUAUAGCGAAGUGAAGAAAUUACAUCAAAGCAUUGAGCAAUUUGCAUCUGAAACAUAGAUGCUUAUGAACAUUAUUUAUUGUGUAGGAGCAAGAAGUAAAUGGACCAAGUACUUCAGGCUUUUGGGAAAAGUUGGAUAUGAAAACCUUCAGGAAAUCGUAGUCCAGGAGAAAGGGCCAUUCUUCCUCCUUUGAUUGCUUUCCAACUGACAAUCGUAGACAGAAAGAUCAAUUUUUUUUUUUGCAGUGCACUUAAGCGUCCAUGGAUAUAUAGGUAAGUGGUUCUCUUAAUCCUAAGUACACUCAUUACUUGCAUAUAUAACAAAAUGUUUGCAAAAGCUGUAUACACAUGUUUUAAUACAGAUGAAAAUGAUCUCUAAGUUCUCAGAUGGAUUCUGAAAAAGGUACACCCUCCAUAAAAAAGAAUCAAAUCUUUCACAUGUUCAGAUUUAUAGUUAGGAUUUGAUACUUAAUGUAGAAUGAAACGAAUAGGAGUGAAAAAUUUACCUGGACUUGUGACUAGGCAGUGGAGGAAAACCGCCAUCUGCAGCUUGGCAAAAUGAGCACCAACACACAAGCGCAGCCCCCCUCCAAAGGCCAUGAAAUCCUUGGAGGCACCACUAGCAGGUUCAGGAAUAUUCCGUACAUAUAUAGCAACAUGCAUGCAACAAAUCAAAACUUUGUGGAGGGAAUUAAUGCUGUAUAGGCCGCACUCCUUAAUCCUAUUUUUUGAUAUCUAAGCACAUGCAAGCCUUUAUGUUAGUGUGAGUAAGCUAUGUUUGGAAUUCUAUUUGUAGACAAAAUAUCCACAUGACCAUGUUAAUCCUUCGACCUGAUGCCUAACAAAAACAGUGGGCUUUUUGCUCCAUUAUUUCUAGCAAUAACGUGUAGUACUUAGCAAGAUCAGUAGAGUAAACUCUCUUAUUUAUCAGCCAAUAGCAAUUGUUUGGGUAUCUUAGCUUGCUAUAUUCAGAUUACACUAAUAAAUUAUGUAGCACAAUAACAAAACUUAAACCAUAUUUAAACAUGUAAGUUGUGAACAAACCACCUAAUUAAGUAUGUCAAACAUUAUCUCAAUGUAAUAAAACUCAAUUCAGCGGCUCGUCAUGUUAAUUGUUGGACAUCCCGUUUGAUGGAACUAUACUACACUUGAGAAUCCUGCCUAUAUACUUAAAUAUUUGGCCUGCUCACAUUUGAAAUUACAAUGUUGCAUGUGUUUACAUGCAAAAAAGUUGGCUCCUUAAUUGCUCAAUAUUGGUUUUCACUAGGAGGAAUAUAGAUAUACAUUAAUGCAUGGUUAAGUAUUAUAUCAGAUAGAAAUUAACUCCUUAUGAAUUUCACAAACCUUCCAUCUCCAAGGAUUGAAUGUGUUGGGGUCCUUAUAAACCACAGGGUUUAAGUGAACAGUGUAAGGACAAAUCAUAAUUUUUGAUCCUUUUGGGAUAGCAAAACCUGUAUAAAUUAUACCAAUAUAUCUCAUAAGAAGACAUACUGCAAUGUUUUUUUUUUUGACAAAUUUGAUACUAUUCCCUCCGUCCAUAUUAUGAGAUAUUUUGGGUUUGUUAUAAGUCAAAUUUCAUCAAAUUUAACAAACUUUAUAAAAAUGUAGCAAAAAUUCCAACAUAAAACAAAUAUAUUAUAAAAUAUUGUCAAUGGUUGAUUAAAUAAAACUAAUUUGAUGUUGUAACAGUUACUAUGUUUUUCAAUGAACUUGUCAAACUACCUAUAAUACGGAAAGGAGGUAUAGAACUUUUACCUAUGACUUGUAUAACUAAUUCUUGUUAAAAACAAUUCAUUUUUACCUUUUAUAUGAACAUCCUCUAUGGCUUCUCUAAACAUCACUGGAGCGAUGCUUGCCAGCCUUAAAGCUUCAUGUAUAACCUACACAUAAUUAAGGUUACAAAUAAUUAAGGAGAUGAGUGUAUGCAUAUAUUGUACGACGAUUUGGCCUUAACCAUAAACAUGUGUAGAUUGCUAAUUAUUUAUGUAGAAAUGAAGUUAAGAAAUUGAAGGCAUAUACAUGAGAUGUGAAUUUCAUAGACUUGUAUUCCUCCCACGUGAUUUCGGAGUUCUUAUCAGCCUUUCUCUUCCGAAUGUUAUUAUGCUCCUCCUAAAAAGACCAAACAUCAUUAAUUUUCAAGAAAACGUAUCCUGGAUUAUUUGGAAAUGUAUAGCAUUACCACGGUAACUUUUUUUGGGUAAAGCCCAUGCGUUGCAAUAGCCAAUAGCAUUUUAAUUAAAUAAGAUUACCAUUAACCCAUUAUUAUCAUAUCUUAAUUGUUGUACAUAUUUGUUAUCGACACGUGGAUCCUUUGACCUCAGACAAGUAGUUGACCUGUGGUGCUCUAUUUUUUUUGUCUCAUAAAAAAUUGGGAGUUCUGGUGGUGUCAGAACCACCACCACCAAUACUCUUUUUAUAAGGAGCAUAGAUAUGCAUUCGUAGAUAUCAAAUUCACAUUCCUGCUAUAAUUCUUAUGUAUACAUAUGUUCUUAUUAAUUAAAUAUGUCUUAACAUAUCGGUUGUCACAUACUCCUAUAUGAUAGCUCAAUCCUAAGGUAUCAAUGAUGGAAAUAUUGAACAUCUGACCUUAUUGAUUUUCUAGUAUGAAUUUAUUAAAGGAGUUCAUAUGACUUGUACUAGUACUUACUAUUAGUUCUUGCAAGGCUUCGGGAUUAUCUGUCAAAAAUAUAAGCAUUGCAGUUAUUCCGGAUGAUGUGGUUUCGAAGCUGGCAAAUAGAAGCAAAAAGAGCAAGUCCAACACGGCAUUCUCGGUCAUUUGAUCAGGAUUCUUGGCCUUAACUUCCUCUAUCACAUCAAAGAAGUCAACGCUUUCAUGGUGCUCUUCUGUGUUCUUCCUCUCAUCGAGUAUUUCUUUCAGCAUCUUGAUGACAUUCUUUCGCCCCUGCAGGGAUAAAUUGGUCUAUGAUGAUCGAACCUAGCUAGAUACUCACUCCAUUUUUAUUUACAUUACAUGACAUUAGUUAGUUAAAAAAACAGAGGAAGUAAAGUGUAAUGUUCCCGACUCCUGAAUCACAGACAUGUUAUUUAUCUAGCUUCAUUUCUUCAUAUCAGUUUGCAAGUUUUGUUUAGAUUACAAGUUAAUAUGGGAUAACCAUGCAAAUUAGUCAAUCUUUACUUACAAAAAAGACUAAGUCGUGUGGGACACAGUCCAUGCCGACUCCAAUCAAUAUGCCCUUGUUUCUAAUGACAUGCGACAGGAUCAUCCACACUCCCGCUUUCAUUAUUGGAACAUAUGCCCCCGAGACCUCCCAAUCUCCCAUAUAUCGCUAUAAAACAGGGAGCCUGACCUUUGCAAUCUCCCAAGGUGAAUGUCUUCCCGAUAAAUCUUUCUUUAAUACCGAUUUCAGGGUCAUGAUUCUAGCUUGUUAUUGGGCCACGUGGCAGACUGAAAAAUUAGCUAAACAUCACCAAAAUUUUGCCACGUGUCAAUCAGAAUAAGCUCUUGUGAUGUCCCUUGCACAUCAGAAUCUCUAGAAAACUCAUUACUCUACCUGUCUCUUUGCACUAAUGCAGUUGAUAAGUAUCGACAAAUAAAAUAAUAAAGAGAGUUAAUAAAUGCUUCACUUUUGCCAACCGAUAGCCGGAAUCAGCUUUUAAAUUGUCAUGUUUUGAUGGAUCCAAAAGAUAUAGUUAUAUUUAACAUGUAAAAUAUUUUACGAUAUUUAUAUAACUUUGGCAAAAUGAAGAAUUGCUAGAAAUAAAGUUUUCGGGGUUGGAGUAGAUUUUUUUUUGUUAGUUCUACUUUGGUGAGAAAUGCCCCGUCAUUGUAGGUCUAAAAAAAUGUUUGGAAUUGGGUAUAAGUAUUAAUAAACUAGGUGAGUUUUUUAGAAAAUGGAUAAAAUCCAGUUUACUUCAAUAGAAGCUAUAGCCAUUAUUACAUAGUUCUUAGCUGAAGACCAAAUAUAAACUAGGUGAGUAAGUGGAAAAAUUAAAUAAGAAAUAUUAUGAUUGGUUGAGAUAAGGGACGGAUACUCUUGCUAUAUUCUGAUAUAAACUUUGAAUGCUUAUAUUUUGAACGAGGAAAAGGUGUUUUUUUUAUCAUAAAUUCGAUUUGGUCUUUUUUUAUGUAAAAAACGAGUACGGUCGUUAUUUAAAAAUGUCCAUUUUGUAAAGCUUAUUUUCAAAGACCAUGGCUUAUUUAGCUAAAGAUAAAGCUUGAUAAUUAAUAUUUUUAAAAUAAGUACAUUUUAAAUAAUGUAGACUUACAUAAAAAACAAUCCAUUUUGUAAAGCUUAUUUUUAAAGACCAUGGCUUAUUUGGCUGAAGAUAAAGCUUGAUAAUCAAUAUUUUUUUAAAAUAAGUACAUUUUAAAUAAUGUAGACUUACAUAAAAACACUUUUUAAUAGCUAUGCCAUAAAUAGAUUAAAAUAUGAUGAUUUUUAAUUGAAUAAAUCUACAUGUUAAAUGAACAAGUUAAUGAAGUCGGUCUAAUCCUACCAAAAUCUUUUGAAAAUUCUACGUUCAUAUGCAUAGAACAUGCUAAAAAGGGCGCGCCAUUUGGCGCGACGAAUUUCUAGUUACGGGCUAUUGCAGGAAGCGCCCCGAAGGAUGCCGACACACAUACAUACACUACUUACACUGAUCAUAGGUGACGAGUUCUCUUUUGUUAAGCCAGUGACCUCUCUUGGGAUUACUACCAUUUCCAAUGAAGAAAAAGGAAUCCAACAUGCUACUUCUAAGUGGCAAAGGAUGACUUCAUAUUUCAAUGCCAGUCAGUAGACCAAAUUUCACAUUGAGAUUACGAAUUACGUGACCCAUAUUUUUGGAUACUAUGUUUUAGGCAUUAAUUGUAGGUUAAAUUCAUUUGCGUUUGUCAACUUUGAGCUAGAGAGGAUAACUAUGCAUUGUAGGUUAAAUUCAUUCAAUUACAUAUAAAUGAAUGCAACUUGAUCUAUUAGUACUAAUUUUGUAGUUACAUAUAUGAUUAUAUUUUAAGUUUCCUUUUUCGGUGAGUAUUUAGUUGAACUUUGUAUCAAUCUGCUAUUCAUCCAUGUCAAAGUGCAUCAAACUUAUAUGCAUUUACCUGCAUGCAUUUGUAGAAUGCAGUGCCAGGAAUGCAUAAUGGAAAUGCAAAAAGUCCCUGAGUGAAAGCAUCGUACUGUUUCCACAUCUUUCCGUCGGAGGUCGAGGAAUCAUAGCUGAUUAACUUCUUUGCUGUAACCUUGAAUAUCAUCUACAAUAAAUAGUAGUGAUAUAAAACAUUAAUUGUAUAUACCCUCGGUCUCAAAAUAAAUCAAAUCAUGGUAUUGGAUCUGCAAAUAUUCUUAUCUAGUUAGCUUUAUAGCUAGGAUUUUGAUUUUUUUUCCGCUGAGGUAAUUAUAGAUGAGGUGAGUUGUUCUGUAUUAGCUAAAUAAUUACCUUUGUAGUUAUCUCUCUCUCUAUAUAUAUAUCACCCUGUUGAAUCUUUGGUGUAAUUGGGACUGUUAAUUUUCUAUUAGAAUAUAAUGAUAAUAUGUUACAAAAUUAUAAUAUUCUAAAAUUACUUAUAAAUAAAAUAUACUAUAGAAAUAAUCUAUGUAUUUUGAGAGGCGUUGAUAGUUCAAUUUUUAAAUUUUUGACCAAAUAAAAUGAGCAGCACCAUAUUUUCAAACAUUGAAGUAGUAGUAUUUUAGGAUUAACAGAUCAAACAUACGCUUGAGACUGCCUCCUUGAGCUCGAUGCUUGGCUGAUUAAGCCAUGAGGAAAGGCUAGCCUCCACCGUUUUCUGCACAUCAUGGAUAAUUUCUCGCCUGAGAUUUUCAGGGCCGAAAAGCCGGAGGGCCAGGUUCUUGAUAUGCCUGUGUAACAACCCGUGUGUCCUGAUCAGACUGUCGGUGCCAAUGAUCCUGAUGAACGAGUCCGGAUACCACAUCUGGAAAAGCCUUUCUUCUUGUUGGAACACAAAGUUGGUCACCUCCGGAUCGAGGGAAACAAUCAGGUCUUCCAUAAUCAUGUUAGUUUUGAAAAGUGGACCAUACCAGAAAGUAGCGUAUUUGGAUGUUAAUAUGCAUAUGUUUUGUAUUACUCUCUCUGUUUCAAUUUAAUUAUCGUUCUAGCAAUCACUAAAUUAAUUAGGAGAUAGGUUCAGCAAAUUACAUUCCUGCCAUCUUGGAUUACACACGCUGCUACCCUGAUUAACUAUAUACUCCGUACUCAUUAUCUUUCCCAAAAGCAUGUUUUAAAACUCGUUAUGAGGAAGUAUGACUAUUUUUAUGAAGGGUAGGAAGAUCAGAACAAUAAUUAUUUUUGAAAAACAAAAUUGAAUGCUCGAAUGGCAACUAAAUUGAAACUGAGGGAUUGUAUAUUAUAUGGUAUUGUUGAGUGAUAUAUGAUGCCCCUUAUUAACCUGUCUUUAGUAAUAUUUAUAUAUAUAGUAGGCUCUCAUAUCCCAAUUUUAAAAUAAAAAUCUAUAAAUUCCAAAAAAUAUUUAGAAAUUCCCACAUUAAUUUAAGCUACUCCAUCCAUCUCCCACCACACCUUCAUUUAAAUUAAUCCAACAUUACCAAAAUAUAAACACCCCUCAUUUAAUUUUCUCAUAUUGGUUUUCACUUUAUUCUUAAUCACUUAUAGAAAUGUUAAAAAUUUAUAGUUUGGGAUGUAUCGAGUCAGUUACUGACAUAAAACGUACUAAGGGUAUCCACAAUGUGUUGUAAAAGUAGUCCAUAAGCAAUAGAAUAUUCCAUUCAGCCACCUAUUGCCAUUGUGCAACUAGUCCAUAUAGAAAAAAUAACAAAAGGUAUCCAUAUGGAUAUGGACUACCCAUAUGAAAUAAAUUAUAUUAUAUAUCUCUACUCUUCUCUCUUCUCCUAAUGAUACCUUGUAUCCAUAUACAUUGUGAAGAUUGCCAUAGGUAAAAACUACACUUUGCCAUAUACAUUGGUGAUGCCCUUAAUAGAUGGAACAACGAUUUUUCCCUAGCAUAAAAGGGAUAAAAAUGGAUUAUUUCGGAUAGGGUGACUCCAUUGUAUCUCAUGGUUCAUUAUUUUGCACCAAAAUUACAGAUUGAGCCGUAGGUCCUCACUAGUACAGAACACAAAAUAUGUAACGCCUCAUAUUUGUUGGUUCAAAAUUAAAAUCGGUAUAAGGCUUAUCAAUCCACUCGAGCAUUUAUGACACCUUAUAUAUCUGCGUUGGUUAUGUAGAUCCAUAAAAUCAUUGGUUUUCAUUACAUACGUGGUAAGUUAAUUUCUCAUUAAUCUUGAUAAAAAGUACACCUGAGAUUUUUGAAUGGAGUACACAUGUAUAGCUAUAUUUAGAGCCUCAUCUUUUCGCUUAUUUUUAUUACCCAAAAUUUGAAUUUCAAGCUUAAAUUUGUAGUUGAUAUUGAGGUGUUUUUUUUAUCAAAGUUCAUUUUUCAGCCUUUACUUUUAAAUUGAUAAGAACACAUAUAUAAAAGAUUUAUCAAAAAAUAUUUUUCGUUUAUAAAUAUACCGUGCUACCUGUUUUCCUUUACUAGCAAAAUGCCCAUGCGUUGCAUUGGGGGAAGAAAAAAAUAGUAAUUAGUGUGUGGGAGUAUAAAACCCACCAGGUUCAUUGGGGUCUUUAUAGUCGAAUCGAAUCUUUCUAGUGCAAAUAAGACGCUAACAUGAUAUAAUUAUUUGUUGCUCUAAAUCCACUGACAUGGAUACUAAACUUUGAAACCACAAAAAAUAUUUACUUUUUUGUCAUGUAUUAUUAUGAGUCAAUUGCAGUACUUUGUUAUUUUUUUUGGUACUCGAUAUUGAUAAGCACUUUUUUUCAUAUUGUAAAGAGUAGCCAUAAUAUAAGAAAUAUUUUUUUGCUAGCUAUCAUAUCAACCUCACUGCACUCCAAUUGCAUAACCACUCACUUAAAUAAUCAGAAGGAAAGAAAAAAAUGUGGUAUAUCGCAGAAUAACUUUCACUCUAAAUAAUAGAAGAAAUUAUACAAUGAAUAAAAAAAAGUGAUGUGAUUAGGUGUCCUGUGGCGAAUGAGCAAUUGAUGAGCGAAAAAAAUCCAAAUAUAAACAUGAUUCAAUUUGUUGGUGAUUCCUUUUUCCAAAAAAAAAGAAAGACACAUGUGAUUAUUUUUAUUUUUAAAAAAGAAUUUAUUUUGUCGGUAAAUAAUUCAUUGGUGACUACAUGUUUUAAGUAAUAAGAUCUCUUCUUUUUCCUGCUUGGCGUGAGUCCAAACUUUAUUCGUGUUCGGUUGCUACAGUGUUGCGCAGUACUGUGCUGGGCUGGUGGGCUGCUUCUCCUCCGCUCUGUGGGCUCGCUGGUAGGCUGCGGCUGCUAUCUGGGCCGGUCUGCAGCUGCUUUGGAUGGGCUGCCUCGUCACUAAUCCAAUCUGGGCUGCUUUGGAUGGGCUGCUCCAUAAACAAGGUUUUCUCUUUUUAUUUUUCUUUUCUCCUUUAUUUGCAGGCGUAAGAGAUCGUGGCCACGCUUUCGGAUCGUGGAUUAGCGUGUGGGCCCACUCUUAAUGAUGGACGAAAAAAUUAACCGGAAGCGUUACUUAUUUUUUAAUUAGGUAUAGAUAUAGAUAUAGAUAGAUAUAGAUUUAUUACAUAUCAAAACGGCGUUGGAAGAAGGCGGGGAUCUGAAGGGAGGGGCUCAGGGCGAGGAACUCGAGCGUCUCGCCGAUGAUAGGGAGGCCCCUGGACCCCGGCACCAUCCUCAUCCCGUCUGCUUCGCAUGGGCGACGAUCGGUGUUCCCUUUCACAAAGACCAAACGGAUCACCAACCAGCAGGCAGUUGCUAACACGGCCAUGCCGGCAGUAACAAGUGCAAUGCAAGGGUUCGCCCCUUGUGCCACAGGGAGUAGUAGCUGUACUCCCUCCAUGUGUAGGUGAACCGUGUGCUCAGCAAACGGCCGGUUGGGUUGGCUUUCUUUGGAUGGGGCUAUUUAUAGAUCGCAUUGUUGGAUCUUCUCUCUCUAUUUUAAAGUAUACACAAAGGGUGUGUUGGGUAGGUGGUGAUGGGAAGUUUUCCGUAGGCACACAAAACAAAGCUACUAAUUAAUGUAUGAUUAAUUAAGUAUUAGCUUUAAAAGUUUAAAAAAUAAUUUAAUAUUAUUUUUUAAAAAACUUUCUUAAAAAAACAAAAAAAACAUUACCAUUUAACAGUUGGAAAUCAUACGCGUGAAGUACACGACUACCAGUCAAUCAAUAUAGGGCCUGUUCAGUUUGAUGCCAAAAAAAACCUUACCAAAUUUUGGCAUUGCCAAAUUUUGGUAUAGUUGCCAAAAUUUUGGCCAAAAUUUUGACAGGAUUUCUUAUAUAGUUACCAAAAUUUGGUAGUAAACUAAAUGUAGCCACUUUUUUGGCAACUUUACCAAAAUUUGGUAAGGUUGAAAAUGACAUCAAAAUGAACAGGCCCAUAGAGUACAUAUCCUAUGUACACAAACAUCUCGUGCACACUCCGUGCACAUUAACUAGCAAAUGUCACGAAAAAUUCUUUAAAAAAUGGACAUUUACUCCUAAUAGGAUUACACAUAUUUACAAAGUUUCAUAUUCAAAUUCGUUAUAUUUUAGUCGUAAAAAAAGUCAAAAAAUAUGACAGUUUUAAGGUAAAUAUCUAUUACAAUUUUUGUCUUUUUCUUGUUAUGGCUAAAAUAUAAUGGAUUUGAAGAUAAGAUUUCACAUAGGUGUAAUACUUUUUUUUUUCAAGGAAAACAGGGAGCUUUAUUAAUUCAAGUUAACAUGAUUACAAUCCAGAGCCAGCAGCUCAGACACACUCCCUGGGGCCUGGGCACGCCAUACCGUGGACGAAUUGGUACGGAGACAAUCUGAUACUUGUGAGACAAAGCUAAAGCUAAUCUUGCUUCCUGAAAAAUAUUCCAGAGCUGGGAUCUAUCUUCUUCUGUCGCCUUCAGGACACUGCUAACAUUUGCACAGUCCGUUUCGAGGAUCAGCGGCAUCUUGAUCCAUUCAUUCGCCAGCUUAAUUAACACCAUCACGUCACGGCAAGCUGUAGCUUCCACUUCCUCUGCCGACGUGCAAUAUCUCAUGACGCUCCAAGCAGAGAGAAGGACAUUGCAUUCAUGGUCUCGAAUAACAAUCCCCACACUACCUUUGCUGGUCUGUGAAACGAAGGCUCCAUCGACGUUUAUUUUGGCCCAACCCGACGGAGGAGCCUGCCAUUUGGUUUCAGACUGCUUGCACAGAUCUAUUUCCCUUGGAAUGUACUGUUGUGUAUCAGGGCAGGCCGUUUACCUUUACUAUCCACAGCUCCAUUGCUUCUGAUCUGAACAACAGACUCCCACAGACCCUGCAGAAAGACCACCGAAGCUUGGAUUGGACUCUUACCUGAGCCGAACAGACUAUCAUUCCUCAGGUGCCAUGAUGCACGCCAAAUGAGCAGGAGAAACUGGAGCCGCUCGUCGUCAUUCAUUCUGUCUAGAAUUAACAGCAACCAAUCCGGACCGUAAUGCACUAACACCCUUUCAUCAGGAAAGAACCCAGCGGGAUCUGAGGGCCUCACGCAAGGCAAUUAACAGCCCGGGUGCAGGAGAUGACGGCAUUUUACAUGACAUUUGCUAAUUGAUGUGUACAGAGUAUGCACGAGAAGAUUAUGUGUAUAUGAUAUGUUCUCAUCUAUAUAUAUACAAUUAUACGUCAAAUAUUGAUAUAUAUGAUCCUGCUCUCUUUGCUGCAGGGAGUUGAUGAUUUAAGAAAGAGGUCAAUAGGCGAGUGACGGUCAAUAUUUCCAUGGCAAAAAUGAACUACUCUAUCUAUUUCAAAUCUAUUUUCAAGUAGAGAGAAUCCCUUAUAUGCCAUUGGAAUUUGGUAUGAUCCCUAAUAUGCCAUACAAAAUUGGCUCUUCCCUUAUAUGCAAUUGAGUCAAAUUUGAGCACCUUCUUGCCACUCUCGUGAGUUGACCGUGUGUUGACUGAUGUUAGCACCUAUUGAUCUGUCAGUUUUUUUUUUUUUGCAUAAAUGACCAAAAUAACCUCUGGCCCAAACUUGAGAAUAUGGCCCAAAUGGCCAAGCCCAAUAUUUCUCCUCAUCAAUGAUAGAAAACCCUAGAUUGUGGCAACACAGGAAAUCUUGUAUAUACAGUAUUCAUAUAAUGAAUAUAAUGCUGAAAAUUAUUCAUAUAAUCAAUAUAAUGCUGAAAUUUAUUCAUAUAUUCAAUGUAAUGCAUGCUGAAAUGUUGUAUAUACAUGUACAUGUCAACCAAAUUAAAAAAAAAUGUCAUAUAUUGGUACUGCAUGUCUAACAACUCAGGGGUAAAUACGUCUUUUUACUAUCAAGUUAACAGUCAACACGGUCAACUCAUGGAAGUGACAUAAGAGGGUGCUCAAAUUUGACCCAAUGGCAUAUAAGGGAAGAGCCAAUUUUGUGUGGCAUAUCAGGGAUCAGGCCAAAUUCCAAUAGUAUAUAAGGAAUUCUCUCUUCCAAGUACUUAUCGCUAUAGCUAGCUAAGUAGUAUAUACAUCUGUUGUUUUACCAUCAAUUUAAAAUUGUCUCGUUGAACUACAAGUGAAUUAUUUGUGGAUGUGCGUUUUAUUGUAAAGCUACCUUCUUCAUAUAGAAGUUCGGGUAAUGUAGUUAAAAGCAAUAGACAGAGUACUUCGUUAAGGAGUUAACAACAUCUCUUGAUAUUGAGGAGAAAGCUUGGGAAAAGACGUUGCGUCUAAAAGCAAUAGGUGGUAUAGUCUAGUACCAGUACCAAUGUGGUGCACAAGGCCUCAAAAAGAAACAAAAGGAGAAUUUGUCAAAGCCCAACCAAGCAUCAACUUCAACAAGAAGAAGAAUAAUACGAGCUAGCAUAAGAGAACUUGCUGCAUGUGACAUGCCUAGUCAUUUGGUCAAGAAUUAUCCAUGAUACCAGGGAAAAAGGGUAUGUGCAGGACAAACUUCUACGUCUCUCAAAGUGACUGUUAUCCAAUUAACCAUACUGCAGAUAGAAACGGGUGGUGAUUUGCAUACAAUUGUUGAGUUAAUCAAUCCACUAAUUGGUGGGUUAAUAUAGGGCCAACGUAUAUGUUGACAUCCCAUUGUUUUUUUUUUACCAGGUCACACUAGACUCCUUCAUUUGAAUGGUGAAUGGGUUGUAUGCUUCUAUUCACGAUGUUAGCACGAUAAAUUGGAAGGUUACUUAUUUUGGGACAAAGUAUCUUUCUCUCCACUAAGACCGAUGGAGCGCUGGCAUUACAUGCCUACUAGUCAACCUAUACUGAUGUUUUGAUCAUAUGUUUGCUGCCUGGUGUUGAUUCAAGAAUGAGGACCUUAAAUAUGUGACGAUGAUUGCAUGGUGUUGAGCAGCAGCAGCAGAGGCGACGGUAUUAAAAACGGAGAGGAGCAGGAGCACGCAACGGCGGCGAUGCGAAGCGCAGGGAGCAGGAGCUUGUCAGCGGUGGAGGCGGGGUGGGAGCGCGGCGGUCAGGAGGGGGUCGGCGACUCGGCGAGAUAUGCUCUGCGGAGGACGCCGUCCGAAGGAACGGGCGAAGGAAAGGGGGAGGCAAUUUUUCCACGAAAAAGGCUUCGCGCGGAUCGUGCGUGGGAGUAUCGUGAAAUAUCACGUCCAUAGGAUCUCGUGGAUCGACACAUGGAUUCUUAGUUGGGACUGCCUAUAAAUAUCAUGCUAUAUUUUUAGUGAAAAAGUAGUUAGGCCCUGUUUAGAUUCCAAUUUUUUUUUCAAAUUUUCAAAUUUUUCAUCACAUAAAACUUUUCUACACACACAAACUUCCAACUUUUCCGUCACAUCGUUAAAAUUUCUUCAAACUUUCAAUUUUGGCGUGGAACUAAACACAGCCUCACCAUGUAUUUUUACAAUGCCUAUAUUACAUAUAUGUAAUUUUAGUGUGUUUACAAUAUAAGUUCCAAAAUUACACAUUUAACUCCCUAAAUUACACCCAAAUAUUUUUUGUGUAUUUACAAUUUUAGUCUUACUUAUCUAUAUAAUUACACUACCUUACAUAUACCUUUUGGGGGCAAGCACCAUGUCAGAGCACCCAAAUUCAGCCUCCUACUCCAGCAAUAGCCCCUAUUUAACAACCCCUACUUUUUCUCUAAAAUUUUCUUCAAGAAAAAAAUUCCUAAAAUAAAAACUCCACCCCUCGCCUCCACCGCUGCCUCCUUCCUCCUCGUCUUCCUCCUCUCCACUGCUGCCACCUCCUCAUGCGUGGCCCCUACCACCCCCAUCGCAUGGGCCCCCGUCGCCUCCUCACCCGCGGGCUGCCACCGCCUCCGCAAGGGAUGCUGAAGCCGCUGUUGCCUCCUCCGUGCAGGACGCCAGAGCCGCUGCUGCCUCCUCGAGUGCGAGCUGCUAAGCCACUACCGCCACCGCGCUAGAUGAGGUAGAGGGAGGGCGGCUCAGAUCCGGUUGGCAGGCAGCGGGGCGAGGGCACUUGUUGCCACCUACGCGGGAAGAGCGGUGGAGGCGGCGGGGCAGUACCCGAGUCUGGCGGCGAUGGAUCUGGCCGGUGGUGGCGGCGCCAAGCACAGCUGGAGGUGGAGGAGGGUGAGCGGCGGCACCGUGCACGCGUGAACAGGCGCUGCGAGAAGGGAGGUCGUUGGAGGCGUGGACCCUGUGUGAACAGUGUUUGGGGACGAGAGAAGAGCCCAUAGCCCCCCCCUCCCCCCGCCACCCAUUCUAGGGGCUGGAGUAGAGGCCCUGAUGGACCUCGUUUUUUCCUAUCCAGCCCCUAAAAUAGUUUAAGGGCCCUGCUGGAGUUGCUCUAAUUACACUAGAUUUGUACUAUAAUUAUAUUUAACGUUUUUUUUAUCUAAAAGACCCUAUUUUAAUCACUCAUUGAAAGCUGAUAGGCAGCAAACGCACUUUUAAACCACGCAGUCAUGCACCCACACAAUAUAGCAUGAAUCUUAAAAACAAGGGUUAAUUCGAUCCAUGCCACUGCAAAUAUGCCAAAUUAGAAAAAUGCCACUACUAUUCGGGAUAUCGGCUGGAUGCCACUGAAAUUUUAAGAAAUUGGAUGCAUGCUACUUCAUCACAUUUUCCAUCCACUCCCCGUCCACGGUGCCAACUUCCCUGUUCCUGUGCGUGGAAGCCGCCGCCGCCGUCAGGCUCGGUGAGGUGGUGGUCGGUGGCUAUAAAAGGGCAGCGGGGUGGCGCCAACGAGGAAGGUACAGAAAGAGAAGCCGACACCGGGGCUGGUCGAGCACAGCGGCCUCCAACUCGGUGCUGACGCCGUCUCGCUCCGACCGCACGUUCGCGGCGCCGAUCCGUGACGAGCGGAGCUGGAAGCCCCUCAGCCAUGCGAGGGCGAGGGCGAGGGCGAGCAGCGUGGCUUGGAGACCAUGAAGAGGACGACACCGUCCUCCCAGACACUGCGCUUGCCGAAGACGUAGUCACCCAGCGGCUGCAGCGUGCAGCGCCAUAGCUUGUCCUUCUAGCCGCCGCCUCCGUGUGCGAAGAUCCAGAGGUGAGGAGGACGAGGAUGACAACGUCACGCAACCCAGCCCGUCGCCGCCACCGCCGCAAGGACCACGUCGCACGCAUCCUCAGCCGGAGCUCCGGGUUCAGGUGGCAACGCAGGCGCGAGCGGCAGCAGCGGCUUAGGGUUUUGGUGGCGGCACAGGUGUGAGUGUCGACUGGAAUCCCGUGCGGAGCGGCCCCUAUGCCAUGACGGCGGUUGAGGACGCUGCAGGGGAGCGACGUGGCUGCUCCUCGUCGCCCCGCCGGUCAUCCACUGCCGCAAGGACCUCGUCGCGCGCGUCCUCAGCUAGGGACGCCGACGCCGCCGGCCGGAGGCGGCGGCGCAGCCGCGGCCCACUCUGCCGCCUCCUCCUUGGCUGCCUCGGCUUCCUCGCUGCGCGCCCCGACAGCACGAUGGUCGCCGAGUCGACGCCUGUGAGGUGGCUUCCGCUGUCGGCGUCGUCGAUGGAGUGGAGUGGCGGCGGCGGCGGCGCGUCCAUGCACGUGAAAACGCGAAGAGGCGCCGCUGAGAGACGGCGUCAAUAGGGAGUGGAUGGAAAACACAAAGGAGUGGCAUGAAUUCAAUUUCCCAGAAUUGCAGUGGCACUCAAGAGUGCUCACGAAUAGUAGUGGCAUUUUCUUAAUUUGGCAUAUUUGCAAUGGCAUGGAUCCAAUUAACUCUAAAAACAAUCUGUCCAAACGAAAAUCGGACUGUAAUCCGCUGGAGAACAUGGCGACACAAUUCUAGCGAAUCCAUUCUUAGUUUACUAGAAGGGUAUGCGCGGCGACACGCCGCGCACGACAACAAAUACAUGCACUUUUUAACCCAUAUUUUUUAGGUAGAUUAGCAAAGAUAAAAUGCAUUUAUCCUUCUUCCAGAUUAAAAAUCAUUACCAUAAAAAAAAAGAACAGAAGUUAUUAAGCCAAAGUUCCAUAUAACUUCACAAGAUAAAAUGCACAAAGUUCCAAACAACUUCAUUAAGCUAAAGCUAUUUUUGUGUUCAAUCCCACAACCCCAACCACCUUUCGCAUUCUUGGUGGCUUUCAUUGGUGUCGAAACAUGAUUUCGGCAAUAAUAAAAAGGGGUAGCGCACGAGACCUAAAAGUGGAUGGAUGUGGAGACAAAGGAUUUAGACAGGUUCAGGCCCUCUCAAUGAGAGGUAAUACCCUACUCCUGUUUGGGGAUUUGAAUCCGCCGAGUGUGUAUUGAUCUGACGAUCAGGUUGUCUCAUGCCCCUAGAGGGGCUCCCUGCCCUCCUUAUGUAGGUUGGGGGGCAGGGUUACAAGAUAGAAACCUUAACCAAUACGGUAUCGGUUUCCUAAAUCUACUUUACAAUCUUAUCAAACCAGGACUUUAGGCCGUUCCAUAAUAUACAGGGAAACGUAAUACCCAAGUCAUGAUCUGUUACAUAUUUCAUAUAUAUAAGUUAUCCCCUAUAACUAGUCGGAUAACCAUGCCGUGUGGGUAUGGGGUACCCAUAAUCUCCACAGUAGCCCCUGAGACCUUCACAGUCGGAAAGAUAAUCUUCUCUCGAACUAGAUUACUCCAAAGCCGAGUGCUUCAAUCAUCUUCGCCAUGAUCUCCCAAGUACUUUUUCCAAAUCAGAAGACUGUGGAGGGCUGAAAAAAUAAAGUCAGAUGCAUCGACUAGAUGCACCUAAUAGGUGUAACCCCCGACUAUGUGGUUAAUUGAACAAACCAAACAUAUAAUCAAGGAAUAAAUAAUCUAACCAACCGAGUGGUUUCGAUAAUUGUAGUCAACCAAGCGACUUAAUAUUAAUAUGUAGCAUAUGCGGUGUGAAUCCCUGAAUAAUAUGAUCCAAGUGAUAUACCGACUGCUUUGUAAAAUAUGAUGAGUGUAACCUAAAGUUGGCUACAUUAUUGAAAAUUCACAUAGCAAAACAGCUAUAAAGAAGCUUGUAUGUUGUGAAUAAAUAAAUUUCCAAAGUAUUGGGCAUACGCCAUGCGCAUACUGCUUUAACAGACGUGCUUUAGUCCCUAAAAGACACAUGGUUUCACCACACCUGGAAAUAUAUGGCAUAUGUGGUGUAAAAUCCGAGUAAAUAAACUCAUAAAGGAUUUACCAACCGCCUAGAAAAUGACCACAAUAUAUAAUUAGCCUAAGCCAUAAUAUUGGUCAAUAAAAAUGCACACUUACGUGGCGAAAAGCAAUGAUAUUGUAUCCAAUCAAUUGCUUAAAAACCCAAACAGCACCUUGACUUAUAUAUAAAAAAGUCAGCGGGACAGCUAUAUAAAGCUUUACUGUUUGACACCUUUUAAGAUGCAUUGUACCAACUCCUAAAAAGUUAAGUAACUGCGGUAUAAAAGGAUUUUAAGGUAUUGGGCACUUGAUCACGCGCACUUUGGCAUAAGCAAAAAGUGCCUAAGUCCCUAAAAGAACGUGACAGGCCAUACCUGAAAAUAUGGGUUGCAGACAUAUUAGGCCUAGGCCAAAAAAUAUGCAUUCGACACCCUUUAAAGGAUGACGCAUGUAACAUGCUCCCGAGUAAUAAAUCUUCCGGGUAAUAUAGACCAAGUGUAGCUCAUAUGAAUAGCUUCUGAUCUGAAUGAUUAUCCCUUAUGGGAUACUCCAAAAUAAAUAUAAUAAUUGAAUCCCAACUGGCGCAAGUAUUCGGUUGAUAGCCCUUACGGGGAAUAAUAAUUGGUCCAGUCUUUGAGCAUAGAAAAUAGACUCAUGACUAUGAAUCCAUGUGGAAUGUAUCCGGAACAAGUCCAAAUUGGAGAUAUAAUCCUCACGCUUGAGUUGAUGAGCCCCUGAGCAUAUAGCUUGUCCUUCUGUCAUAGUCAAAAUUGUCUAUUGGCAAUUGCUGACGCAGUCGGCAUGGAGAUGAAAUGACCAACAUGAAGACGAAAUUGCUCAUCAGAAGUAACGGAAGAUGUCAGUGGUAGUAAAAACAGUGACACCAAUCAAAGGUAAUGAAGUUGCAUAACCAUGGAGGCGAAGAAACCAGUCGGCAACAGUCAGGUCAGCUAGCAGUGAAGAUGUAGGCGCCCAACAACAACGAAAGAGCAGUCGGUGAUGACAAAAGCAAACCGACGAUGAAGACGUAGACGCGCAUCAACGGUGAUGGCGAAAUCCACCAAUCAUGAAGAUGAAGAAAAUAAUCGGCGGCGACAAACGCAUCCGACGGUAAUGAUGAUUAGCGGCAACAGAGAUAGCCGACUAUGAUGACGAAGUUUCCCAUCAACGGCAGCAGAGUAGGCUAUGUUGAAGAGGCUUGACAAGAUGUUGAUGAAGAUGACGAUGUCGGUGAUCCAGUCAAUAGCGAUGUAGCAGCCGAUGAUAACGAUGAGAUCCUCUAUCGGCAGUUGCGUAGUAGGCCAACCGUGAAGACAAAUAAUUGGAGGAGAGUUGAUGUUGUUGCCCAACUCGUCUAAACCGAAAUAUUUGAAGUUGUUGAAGUAGAAUGUCUGCUCCGAAUCAAAGAUGAAGAUAAUGACUCCUGGAGUUGACUCGUUGGUUGAUGAAUUGAUUUCUUCAGCUUGACAUAAAAUUUGUCAAAUUUUGAGCCUUAUAUUUGUGUAGCCCCCGACUCUUUGAUUAGUUGGAAAACAACUGAACAUAGAGUCGAGAACUGUAGCAUCUUGUCGUCGAAUAGUUAUUGCUUGAUUGAAGAUAUGUGUUGAAGAUGUCCAAGUAGAAAUCAUGAAUGUUGGAGAGCCACUUGUUGUAGUAAAAUAACACGGCAUCGCAUGCCGAGAUGUCGAGAUUCACAACAACGUCAUGGUUGGUGAUGUAGCAAAACUUGUGAAGUAGCAGCAAUAGAGUUUGCUGGUACCGAAGAUAAUAAAGAUGAAGUCGCUCCACCAUGAUGACAAAGUUGUGUUGCCGUGAUGAAGUGAACACGAGUCAGCGGCGGUGAAGAUAAAAGCACCAGUCGGCGGCGGAAGACGAUGAUGUCCAUCAGUAGUGGUAGCUGUAUAAACCAGACGUAGAGGUAAGGGCACUAGUCAGCAGCAGAUGAGACGACCGGCGAUGAAGAUGUAGAUGCCCAACAACGGCGGCAUAAUAGGCCAGCCGUGUAGGCAGAAACACCAGUCGGCGGCGGCGAAGGCCAGCCGGUCGGCGAAGACGUGGACGCCCAUGAACGGUGGUGUGACCAACCAACCGUAUAGGCGAGGACACCAGUCGGCGGCGACGGAGGCAGGCCGGCGGUGAAGUCAUAGACGCCCAACAGCGGCGGCAUAAUAGGCCAGCCGUGUAGGCGGAGGCACCACUCGGCGGCGACGGAGGCAAGCCGGCAGUGAAGUCGUAGACGCCUAACAGCGGCGGCAUCAUAGGCCAGCCGUGUAGGCGGAGGCACCAAUCGGCGGCGACGGAGGCAGGCCGACGGUGAAGACGUAGACGCCCAACAACGGUGGUGUGACCAACCAACCAUAUAGGCGAAGACACCAGUCGGCGACGACGGAGGCAGGCCGGCGGUGAAGUCGUAGACGCCCAACAGCGGCGGCAUAAUAGGCCAGCCGUGUAGGCGGAGGCACCAAUCGGCGGCGACGGAGGCAGGCCGGCGGUGAAGUCGUAGACGCCCAACAGCGGCGGCAUAAUAGGCCAGCCGUGUAGGCGGAGGCACCAAUCAGCGGCGACAGAGGCAGGCCGGCGGUGAAGACGUAGACGCCCAACAACGGUGGUGUGACCAACCAACCAUAUAGGCGAAGACACCAGUCGGCGGCGACGGAGGCAGGCCGGCGGUGAAGUCGUAGACGCCCAACAGCGGCGGCAUAAUAGGCCAGCCGUGUAGGCGGAGGCACCACUCGGCGGCGACGGAGGCAAGCCGGCGGUGAAGUCGUAGACGCCCAAUAGCGGCGGCAUAAUAGGCCAGCCGUGUAGGCGGAGGCACCAAUCGGCGGCGACGGAGGCAGGCCGGCGGUGAAGACGUAAACGCCCAACAACGGCGGCAUAAUAGGCCAGCCGUGCAGGCGGAAACACCAGUCGGCGGCGGUCGAGGCGGCCGGUCGGUGAAGACGUAGACGCCCAACAACGGCGGCAUAAUAAGUCAACCGUGCAGGCGGAAGCACCAGUCGGCGGCGGACGAGGCGGCCGGUCGGUGAAGACGUAGACGCCCAACAACGGUGGCAUAAAGGCCAGCCGUGCAGGCGGAAACACCAGUCGGCAGCGGCGAAGGCAAGCCGGUCGGUGAAGACGUAGACGCCCAACAACGGCGGCAUAAAGGCCAGCCGUGCAGGCGGAAACACCAGUCGGCGGCGGCGAAUGCAAGCCGGUCGGUGAAGACGUAGACGCCCAACAACGGCGGCAUAAUAGGCCAGCCGUGCAGGCGGAAACACCAGUCGGCGGCGACGAAGGCAAGCCGGUCGGUGAAGACGUAGACGCCCAACAACGGCGGCAUAAUAGGCCAGCCGUGCAGGCGGAAACACCAGUCGGCGGCGGUCAAGGCGAGCCGGUGGAGCGUAAGAGAUAAGCUUAAAGCCAUGAAUCCCUUUUAUGCAUAUCUGGAUCUGGAUCCUGCAGAACAAACAUAUAGGAUGAGUAGUAUCUGAUAUAAAUAUAAUACUUGAGAAAAAAUCAAGUAUUUUAAAAUAUUUAUAAAUAUGUAUUUCUUCUCUUGUCAAUUUUGAUUUCCCCGAGCAGAUGACUCUGUACGUUUAAACACUCUGUCCGACUAGUCAUAGCCCCCAAGCAUCGGGAGUCGGCCUAGGCACUUCCCAGACAUGCAUAUGAGUGACAUGAGUUCGUCAUUAAUGGAACAAAGUUUCACGGAUUAGAAUUUACUACUCAGGUACUUUUGCAAUUAUUAAGAGCAGAAAAUAAAUUUAUCUCAUCUCUAUGCUUUUGAUUUAUUCCGAAUAAUACUUAGCACCUUGCGUUACUCGGUCCAUCCAACGAGCCCCCGGGUGCUAGGAAUCGGCCCAAAGGCAACCAUCCAUUGGCAAACCAAACGGAAAGCAUAGGAAGAUAGAACUCCAUAACUCGAUAGGUACUUUUGUACUCAGAUUAUGUCGCAAGCAAUCAAGAUAAAUAUUAUGAAAAUUGUUUAAAAAAUACGAUAUAACAUCUAUAGCCCCCGACUCACUAGUCAACGGCGAACCAGUUGAUGUAGUGAGGCAAAGGAAAAGACAAAAUAUCAUAUAAAGAAUAAAAUAAAUGAUGACUUAGCUUUGUCGUAUUCCCUCGAUGACAGCAGAAGUAGCCGAUGUGGGAAUAAAGCAGUCCAUCAAUGGUGACAAAAACACCAGUCGGCGCCAGUGGAACCAAGCCAGUGGUGUAGAUGAUGAAGCCCAUUAACAGCGGCGGAGUCCGCCAAUCGUAUAGGCAAAAGCACCAGUCGGCGGUGGAAGCAAGCCGGUCGGUGAAAGCGAAGACGCCCAUCAACGAUGGUGUGACCAACUAACCGUAUAGGCGAGGACACCAGUCGACGGCGGCGGAGGCAAGCCGGCGGUGAAGUCGUAGACGCCCAACAACGGCGGCAUAAUAGGCCAGCCGUGUAGGCGGAGACACCAGUCGGCGGCGGCGAAGGCGGCAAGCGAUACUUGGUAAUCUUGAUGCGAGAUGCAUGUGCGUAGAUAUAGUCCCUGCCUUGAAAUACAAGAUGAAUCUUGGUGACUUGGGAAAAUUCAACCAUUGCCUUCAUGGUCUUGGUGAUGAUGAUUUUGCUCUGUAUAUGCUUGACGCUAAAUUGUAGAUUAAUCUAUCUGGGCAGAGCAGUAUUGAUCCAUGUGCAUGCAUAGCUGUAUUUAGGCCGACGGCUUCCUCUGAUUGGUCGGCUGGUUUCCCAUGCACACAGAAAGUGCCGGAUUGGCUUGUGUGCUUGUUACAUGCAAUUGCUAAUGACGCUGGCUCAUGAUGAUUGCUCCAAUCGAUUGGCUGCGAGGACAAGUUGACUCGGAUUUGGAUUAAUAAUUGGAUCUCGUCGGGAAAUACGAUACCAACAAGAACAGAUGCCGGUGGCUGAGAAUUGAUACGCAUCCCUGAAUAGAUUAAAACAGAUGAUGACUGCGGUGCGGCCACCUUCUUCAAUGAAACUGAUGAACAUAGCGGCGGCCGGACGAGAUCAAGGUAGUCUUGAACCUUCCCGACUUGAUUAGGUCCAAGUGAGAAAUCGAGAGCUUUCCAAAGUCGUCGACGAAGAAACCGAAGCAGGAGAUUGGUUGUAAAGCGAUGACGAAUCCGGCAAUGCUGAAGGUUAGUUUCCAUCGCACUUGUCAAUGGGAAACUCAACGCACCCCUACCUGGCGCGCCAACUGUCGAAACAUGAUUUCGGCAAUAAUAAAAAGGGGUAGCGCACGAGACCUAAAAGUGGAUGGAUGUGGAGACAAAGGAUUUAGACAGGUUCAGGCCCUCUCAAUGAGAGGUAAUACCCUACUCCUGUUUGGGGAUUUGAAUCCGCCGAGUGUGUAUUGAUCUGACGAUCAGGUUGUCUCAUGCCCCUAGAGGGGCUCCCUGCCCUCCUUAUGUAGGUUGGGGGGCAGGGUUACAAGAUAGAAACCUUAACCAAUACGGUAUCGGUUUCCUAAAUCUACUUUACAAUCUUAUCAAACCAGGACUUUAGGCCGUUCCAUAAUAUACAGGGAAACGUAAUACCCAAGUCAUGAUCUGUUACAUAUUUCAUAUAUAUAAGUUAUCCCCUAUAACUAGUCGGAUAACCAUGCCGUGUGGGUAUGGGGUACCCAUAAUCUCCACAAUUGGUGUUACAUUAAUAAAUUAUAGGAGUUAGGAGGGGAUAAUUGCGGCCAGUCAUAGUAUGAAAAAUGUAUGCUUUGUGGUGUCGCAAGAAACAAACCUUGAUACCUCUUGGUUGGUGAUCAGAACAUCUACAAAUAGGCUCUAAGAUCAUUGGCCUUUUUUUUUAGAAUGAUUGUUAACAUCACUUAGGUGAUGGUACGUUUGUUGCUUCCAAAAUUAUGCACGACUUUUUCAAGGAAGUCUCAGAUGACAAUCUCAUUCUUGACCCCAUAAAUUAUUUAUGCUUUCACGAGACACUCAGUCGGUGAAGGAAAAAAGGAUGAACCAAAUCGGUGCCAGGAGCGGGAGACGGCGGCGACAUUGACCCCUUGGCUCCUAACAGCGGGAGCCGAUCAUCCGCCAGAUCUGAGCGCUGGACGGUGGUGCUCAAGUGGAGAGGUAGGCUAGAGCUGGCCAUCCCAGCGCCGAUAAGGACGACGACGUGACAUGCCGGCCUAUACAAUCGCAAUGGCGGCGGUCGCCGCCGUCACCGUGCACGAUGAGGAGGAAUCAUCCACCUUCUCUAUCCUAAGUAGUAGGGAGGUGGGAACACUACUACAGAAAAGUACUAGUCCGCAGGGCAUGCAAAACGGAGCGACUCAUUAACACGUAAUUAAUUAAGUAUUAGUUAUUUUUUUAAAAAAAUAGAUUAAUAUGAUUUUUUAAGCAAUUUUUGUAUAGAAUAUUGUUGUAAAAAAUGCAUCGUUUAUCAGUUUGGGAAAUGUGCGAAAAAAAGAAGAAGAGUGAGUUAGAAAAACAAAGCAAUGAGUACAGCCUUAGAAAACCAGCACAGCCGGUCAACCGAGCCGGUGGGGCGUUCUUAUCUCUCCAUCCCAAUCUAUCUCAGUGCGCAUAGCUGUUGGUAUUUCUUAGCAACGCUACUGGAAAUAUAAUUCCCAGCAAUGGCACGAGAAAUAAUUCUGAUAUAUUAUGGUUACAGAUGUGAUCUGCAAGCGCACGGAUAUACCAUUGUAGCAUUUCACCCGGGAGUAUUCCAAGGUAUCGUAUUUAUUUUAUCCCAAGAGAAGAUAUGAUAAGAGAGUACUAUGCUAAUAGUUUAUAUAUUGCUUAUAUACGUCAAAGUCUAUGAAGGGGUUAGUUCAGUUCAAAGGGUAGGUUGACACACAGAAGAAAGAACUAAGAACUACUCUCACUAAAAUAUAGUCUAAGCUAAGUGGAGAAAGAAUAAGAAAAUAACAUUCCUGCACUUCUAGUAUACAUACAUCUUUAGUCUGUACUUGCUAUUAUACAGUCAUGCAACCAAUACCACGUACCCAGUGUCCUCCUGGUGUUUCGAGAAGCCACCCCUGACUGCCGAGUUCCUUACGACAGCCCGUCAUUACCAUACAACUGGGGCUAAAUACAGAGGAGUACCCUCCCCAGGGAAUUAACAUAGGAUUAUAUACCGGCGCGGAGGAAUACCCAUACUGAGCUGUCACCAUCAGCGGCCCACCUCUUGUCCGCAAUAUAUAAUCCUAAUUAAUGGUAUCUAAUAAUCUAAGUACCGUGCUUACAUUACUAAAUACUACUCUACAUCCUUGCAACCGACAUAGAGCAACCGAAUAAUCGGACACUAAACCCACACCAAUACACCUAUCUGGAAAGCUAGUUACGCGACUAUAUUGAUUCAAGUAUAAAGUAAAGUCGGUACUCAAGUAAUAUGAAUGGAAUAAAAUACUGAACUUGUAUAAAGAAGAAUAUUCUAUUAAUUCAUUAAGUCCUAAAAAAAAAGAAAGGAAAGCUACUAGAGCCAUACUCGAAUUCUCCUAAAGACUCGAGGACUAUGAAGACUAUUCUAUUUCCUACUCUACUAAUACUAGAACUACUAAACAAUACUUGAGAGAGCUCUUGAUCUUCUCCUUGAGGUGUGCAUUGGAGAAGAGAGUGUGCAUCUCCUUAUAUAGGUAGGUAUGACGGUUGUAGAGUAUGGGAAUUGUCGGAAAUGCCCCGCAACCACCAUCAGGAGUUCAUCCGGAGCAUCCACGCCAAACCCCAGCCUGAACGGCUGUGAUGGAAGUUCAGCCGAACCAUGAUCUGGCCCAAACGGCCCAAUUUUUGGCAAGGCGACUCCUCGUUUGCUCCUCAAUCCAAAACAUGAAAUUUUGGCCUUUCUGAGUUCUCAGCCCAUCUAUCCAUAAGUCUGGAUCUCGACAGCCUCUGAUUGAUUGAUCGUCUAUUUUGUUGUCGAUUCUCCUCCAUUUAUAUGUGCUUCUCCUACAUAGAUGUUAGUAGCAUACUAUAUAGUGGAAGUAUAUAUUUUAUUUGGAAUUUAUGCAUUGCAAGUAUAGCCAGUCUUCAUACAUUGGGUAAUAUUAACGGUCAAAACUGGUCGAUAACGACCGUCAACAAUAGCUUCAGAUAGGGUCUACCAUCAAUUUUUUUAGGUGGGUCCCACCAUAAAAAAUCAGAAAAAUCGCUCUAGUUCCACAGCUCCUUCGUCGUUCUCUCCGUCCUCCUCCCACGGGACCGACUCCCCCCGCCCUCCUCCUCUGCGUCCUCUCGCACGGUGGCGUAUGGCGACGACUACUCUGCCCCAUCCUCACCUUCCACCGGCGGUGCAAGGCGGCGGACCAUGCCGUGCUCCAUGCCGGUGUGGCAGCAGCGACAUCACCACCGCUGCCUCACCCCCUGCCUUCCCUCCCCAUCCUUCCUUCCUUUGCGCAGCCAGCCUCUCCCCGCUAGCUCUGACGGGCGGCAGUGGCACGGCGCCCGUGCCCAGCCGGAUUUACCGCCACAGCAAGCCCCAUUGCCGGCGGGCGGGGUGGGGGGAGAACAAAGGGGGAGGGCGGUGUCGGGGGGGGGAGGAAGGCGGAUGAUGAAGGCCAUGAUGGUGCCGCAUUUGUCGGGCCUCCGCCGCUCCUUCACCCGCACCUAUCGCGGUUAUCGUCAUCUGUCACGCCGUCUCCUCGACCGCCAGAUCCGGCCGCGCGGCGCCGGAGAUGAGGCCACCACGUGGCCUGCCCUAGCGCCGACACGUACGAUCGCCGAGACGGGGCGUGUCCUGGGGGGAGGGGGCUUGCUCCCACCGCCGCCGUCCCGGCAUGCCCCGUGGUUUCCGUCGGCGGAGGUAGCCCUGCGCCACGGCUGCCUCGCUUCCUCGCCGGUGCUGGCACGGGGAGAGUGUGGCAGCGUCGCUGAGGAUGGGUGUGCGGAGGCGCAGGGAGGCGGCGUUGUGUUGGGGGUGGGGAGGAGGGGUGUUGUGGCGGCGACGCACGGAGGAGGAGCACCAGCGGCGAGCCGCGGGUAGGGAGGCGGAUGGCGGCGGCGGCGGCGGCGGCAACCCGGAACCGGCGGCGGCGCGGGUCGCGGGUGGGUAGGAGGUGGUGAACGGUGGGUUAGGGUUUGGAUGGGGGCAUAUGUGGCAUGUUUUUCAGAAAAGUCCCUUCUUUUUCUAUGUUUACAGCGCUACCCCUAGAAACGGAAUUUUCUCUUCUUCGUGUUGUAUUUGUACGGAAGACGAAGGGUUUUUCGGAUAAAACACAACGUGGUGUCAGGUGGUUCAAGGACGCGAGCGUAAUUCCGUGCAAAAACGAGGAGCUUUUUGUAAAAAAAAAAAAGCCAACCACGCUUAUCCUCUCUGAGGAGAAAAAAAAUUCCAAGAAAAGGAGAAAAAUCGUAGCUUUACGGCUUUAAAUGAUUGAUGAUUUCUAAGCUGCUAUGCAUAGUUAAAAAAACAAACAACAUACUCUGCCUAUGACAAAAUUUUACUAUUUAUGUUUUAUAUAUAUAUGAACAAAUAGCCUGUGCAAGUUGCACGGUGUAACGUAUGGGUUAUUGACUAGUAUUACAUAAUCCAUGACCUGUAAUACGCUAACACUACAACAAUGGUCAAAACAGACAUUGCCAUACAGGCACAUGGCCUUAAAAAGAAGCAAGGAAAGGGAGCUUUACAUUCAAUGGUGUGGUUCGCUCAUCAUCAUCAAUAUAUCCUCAUUGAUCAGCUUCUCAUCCGGUGGUGUCAUUUACACAAGAACACCAGCCAUGGUGAAUGGCAAUGGUGCCAUAACACUAUCAUAUACUGUAUAUAUCUAUCUACCACGGCUUCAGGUCUUCCCGGGUCCCCUCGGUCCAGUUGAGCACCUUCUGCCCGGGCUUGAGGAACACAUCCCUGCCAUGGGGCAGCUUCCUCGCCAGCGCGUUCAUCACCUGGUGGAAGCCAUCCCCGGGCUCCGCAGGCUGCGGGAACAGCAUGGUCUGCUUCAUCGACGGCUCCGCGAGCAUCGCCUGCUUCCGGAGGAUCACCUCCGUUGGUAUGGAGGUCAGGAUGGUGUCCAGCUGCGGGACAUCGUCCUCGGCCACGAACACGGCGAUCUCCUCCCACGGGAUCGCGUCGGAGAAGGGGAGGACGAUGUCGUCUGCGAUGAUCACCGGGAUGCAGCCGAACACCACGGCCUCCACCAGACGAGGGCUCCAUGGCGCCCAGCCCAGCGGGCACAGGCAGAAGACUGCACGCUGCAUGUCCUCGUAGUAGGUUUGGGGGUGGUCCGUAGAGAUGUCGAACAUCGGGUUGUUCUUGAAGUUCUCCCACACCGAUGCACGGGCGCCCCUGCAUUGCAUAUGUUAGGCAGGAUUCAACAUUUUGGUAUGAAAUUUCAACCACCUUGCCACCCUUCCCCUCACCCAGCAACUUUUUUUUUUUAAUUUUGCAAAAUUUAUUCAAAUUUUGUUAUCAUGUAAUUUCAAAAUUUGGAGGGCAAAAAUAUUCCUGAAUUUCUGCUACUUCAGAUCCAUCAAUUCCCUUAGGCUUUACACAAUAUAGAACCUAAUGGUAGGUGUAUCAAGACUUUCUAAUCAAUGAUUGAUUAAGACCUACAGCUUUUCAGCUGCAUAAUUUAAUUAGGUGCAUACCUUGCAUAGUAACCACCCUCAGGAUCAUUCGAAGUAUCAUAGAACAAACCACGGAAGUAGACAAAGAUUGACCGAGGAGUCUCUGGUGGAACAAGAUGAGCUCUGAUCUUGUGAGCAGGAGUAUACGGCGGGACUGUGAUGGAGCCAUCCUUGAGACACGCAUGGUUCUUCUGCCCAAACGUCUGCACCAGCGUAGCACGGCGCAGCACCGGAAGGAUGCCUCGCUCAAUAGCCUUCGCCUCCUGAAAAGUAGGAACAUGUUGAUCUGAAUGCACGUUGGAUGUACAUGAUGCUAGAAGCGAAUAAACAUGAGUAAGGGAUAAAUAACAGGUGUUGUGUGUGGCUUCGUUACUAGGAUGAAUUUCCAUUCUAUGAGUUUGCAUAUUCCACGUUACAUGGGUAAUAAUACACUCUCUCUCCGUUAUAAAAUAUGAGCAUUUGCUGAUUGUCUAGCAAAGAUCAAGGUUAACGGAAAACUUCUGUUUUUAGUCAUUUUAUUAGUCAAAUUUCAAAUUUUGAAUUGCUUAAAUUCCUAUCCCAAGCAUCUGAUUGGCUGAAAAUACAUGGAUUCCCGCACAUUGAAAUUAUCGCCUUAGAACUACGCAUUUUGAAUUAAAAAUACUUAUAUUUUUCAAAUGGAGGGAGUGUAUAGGAGAGGAUGAUUCAUGGUUUAUGGCACUAUGUAUGACCAAGGCCCAUACAAUUUGAAGAUUGAACAAAUUUUGACCGAGUUAACACAAAUUUUGCUAAUCCACAAAAAACUAAAGUUUGCAGUCUAAAUAAUUUCUUCUCAAUGGAGUUCAAAAUUACUGAAAAUUUUCCGAAUCCGAACCUUGUACAUGACUCACCUGGAAGUAGAAGCACGCUGCAAAGUCAUGUGGCACAACGAAGAAAUGAUCCGCACCCUCCGUUCUGUUCCAGUAGGGCCAGUACUUGGAGAUGAACUUGAUCGCACUUCUCAUCAUGCGUGGAGACUUGGUGGUCAGGGGAUGGCCCCAUGGCGUGAGGUCGCAUGUGGUGUACACUGGAGUGUAGAACCAAUCGGCUUCGUCCGGAUUCGAAGUCCGGAUCGCACUCGACAGCAGGAAGCGAUGCAUGAAGAUCUCUGUGGCAAACAUGUGGCUGAGGCAUCUGGAAUCUUUCGCCACAAUGUUCUUGUUGUACUUGGGGGGCAGCUCGUAGACAUACACCUUCAGCUUUCCAACAGGAUCGUCUUCUCUAGCACAUCACCAGCAGCACUUCGUGAAUUUUAAUCAUAUCCGCGAGCAAGGAAAGUUAAUAUAAAUGGAGUUAAAACAUUGCUGAAAGUGUUCUUUUUAAUUCUUCAGUCAAAGCAUAAUUAUUGAAGCUAUACUAGCACUUCAUCCAUCCCAAAAUAACUCCAUUUUUAAACAAUCCGGCCAUCCCACACAUACCAAUAGAUAUAAAAGAAAAGACUAGAAUACCCUCCAUUUUAUCAAAUCCUAAUAAAGUUGUAUGCUAUUUUAUCUACUUCGAAUACAUCUGUUCACUACUUUCACAAAUUCUAAUAAAAUGAUUACUUAAUGAUGAACUUGUUUUUGGACCAAUAAUUAAUGAUGAACUUGUUUUUGGAUCAAUAAGUAAGCAAAGAUUAUCUAAUUUUUGUGGCCGAGGGAGUAGCGAGAAAGCAGGCAAAGAAAAAGUAAUGGAACAGCUACGAUAGCAUAGAAGUCUUGCUACAUGGAAAAGAAUUAAUCAAACUUCAUUUAUGGUCAGCUGCUCAGCAUAUUCAAGUCAGGAUUAUAUAUAUAAUAUAAUCGAUUGACGACGCAUCACAUAGAUGAAAUAAAUAGAUUCGAUCUCAAGAUUUUGGAGCACUCUGUUCAGUGCGAUAGCAUAGCAGAGAGCACUCGACCGAAUCAAAUUCCGGCCACCAAAAACGCGACGAGGGGCAUAGCACGCGUGUGAUUCCUCAGAUCUAUGCAACAACCGACGGCGCGUAAUUAAUUGGAUUACCGGAGCAACAGACGCACAUACCUUUGAUCCGCUCGAUGCCCUGAGCGGCCGCGGCUGCGACGCCGGAAGAACAGGCGAAGAGAAGAAGCACGGCGAGCGGCAUGGCCAGCGGCGGCCGCGCUCGCGCUCGCGCACUCCUCCUCCUCGUCCCCAUGAGCUAGACGUCGUCGUCAACGCCUCGAUCGGUGUCUGGAUCGGGGAGGGAGAUGGAGGCUCGAGUUUGGGGGGAGGGAGAGGUAGUAGAGGAGGGAGGUGGUGGGAUUAUUCUUUACCAGGAGAAGGCAUGGGAGAAUUCAGAAUAGAAUAGUUGGGUGACGGUGGUGGUGGUGGUGUUUCUUGCGGGGCUCUCGCUGUCGGCGGAGGAGUUGGUGGUGGCUGGUGGUGGGUGACAACUGACAACAUCCUCCCCCUUGUUUUUCCAUGAUUCAAUUUGCAUUCCCAUGUAUAAGUUGUUGCUCCGUCAAAAAAGUUCAGAAACAAAAUUCUUAAAAAAUCUCUUGAUUACAAAUAAAAUAUUAUAUGAUCGAUCUUUUUUAAUAAAAAAUUUAACUGCAGUUAAAGUUAAAAAUAUUUGACUUAACACUAUGCUAAAAUUAUUUAUAUUUUAAAACAGAUGGAAUACUAGUUUACAUUUUCGUUUUCAGUGUAAAAACAGUUCAUCACCGGUUUAUCGGAAACCUACCCAAAAUCAAUAAACCCGAUCGAUUUUCAUAAGCCAAUGACUAACGGUUUAACGUAAACUGAACGGUUUUGUAAAUGCUGAUACAUCUCUGUACCUCACAGAUUGCCAAGGCACUCCACUUCAUUAAUUAUAUUGACCACACGGUAUCCGUACAUAUGAACGUGAUACUAGUAUGGCGUCCAACUUGUCCAAGUCAUCCGCAAAAGCAAAUAUUAGUACUGCAGGAGGCAGUGAGGCACCCCACGAAGUAGGUGAAGCAACUGUACGGCUUCCUCGUUUCAAAUUCUGUUUAGAUGGGACUAAAACUUUUAAAACUUUUAAGUUCCUAUCACAUCGGAUGUUUGAAAAUUAAUUAUAAAUAUUAAACGUAGACUAUUAAUAAAACCCAUCCAUAAUCUUGGAUUAAUUUACGAGACGAAUCUAAUGAGCCUAAUUAAUCCAUGAUUAGCCUAUAUGAUGCUACAGUAAACAUUCUCUAAUUAUAGAUUAAUUAGGCUUAAAAAAUUUGUCUCGUGAAUUAGCUUUCAUUUAUGUAAUUAGUUUUGUAAGUAGUCUAUAUUUAAUACUCUAAAUUAGUGUCUAAAGACAGGGACUAAAGUUAAGUCCCUAGAUCUAAACACCACCUCAGUAUUGCUUUUGCUUUGCUUGGGUCAUGCAUACCAUCUUCUUGUUUUCUCCUGGUUGCCGGCCUACUAUACAUUGACUUUGGAUCACUUCCUGUUGUGUUAGGUGGUCGUUUUCGUUGUCUUCUCCAACUAGUUAGGUCACGGUAGGCAAGAAAAAAAAUGAACCAUACAGAAAUGAACGAAUCAUCCAAAAAUAAUUUGAGACCUUUUACGGUGUUUGCGAGGUACUUAGAGGUACUUGGAGAUAGAAUAACGUGCACCGUUGAUCAAUAGAAGGGUAAGGUAUGGAACAAAAUUAUUGUAACAUGAUGGCGGUUGAGUAAUUAACUCGUAAACUAUGGGCACUAUAUGUGAAUUGAAUAUCUCCAUCCAUUAAUCGAUACAUCUUCGUAGCAAUCGUUAUUGAUGCAGAAAAAAAAAGUAAAUCAGGUAUACUCUGUUGGUUUAGCGACUCAUUUCUUCUCUCUCUUUGCUUCAUUCGUGUUCUAGGGUUUAAACCGGUUCACAACCAUCAUCGCUCGCCCCGUCGUAGCUGCCGACGGCAGCGGCGGAGGUGCUAGUGCGGCGAAAACCACCUCUGCUACCACCUGCAUCACUCCCAUCGCCACCGCCUAUCGUCUUCAUCCUGGCCCUGUCGUCGCCGCCGCCACUGACAGUGCCAAGUGCCGGUGCGGCAGUGGCACCUGUGUCUCUCCCAUCGCCGGUGCCAGUGAGGGCCCGCUACCAUCUUCCUCUUCUCCAAGUUGGAUAUGGCGCCGACGACCAGAUCGAUCGAUCGAUCGACAUGUAACGCUAGUGUCGGGUAAAUGACUUAACUCGAACACAACGUAAAUCUAGUGGAAACCACGCAAAAAAGAAAACGAUGUAAAUAAGAACAUGUAAACUGGUACUAGUAGAUGUUAACUCGUAUUGUCGUACCUACGCGGUAUUUAUUAUAAUUUAGGGGGACAAUUAUACCCUUUUCAUUAUACUAGCAAAAUUAUGUUUUUACCCUUAAUACCUAAGUACCUAUACUAAUACUUAAAUACCUUUUAUACAGUGCCUGUGAUUGAGAACCGUUGGAUCAUUACCCUUUUUAAAAUGCAAACACCGUAAAAGUUCUCAAAUAAUUUACGGGUGAAACUGGUACAAAAUGAUGUUUUACAAUCUUUUUUUUUUACAGCUGAUAAAAAGCCAAUAAGCAUACAACCGAAUAUUGUUUUUGCAAUGCGCAAUAGACGAUUCAGUACCUGCUUUUUUAUUGUCAUAUUGCUUGUUUCGCUUGGCGAUACAUAUUCUUUUCUUUUAGUAUCCUCCUCCUCAAAGCGUCAAAAAUAUUUUUAGGGGAAGCAACGAACGGAAAGAGACCUGGCCCUCGUGCCGCUCAGCCCUAGAGUUGCAUGGGCGGAGACCAGGCGAGCACGCCAUCGCCAACCUCUCCACCCCCUCCUCCCCUCCACCUCAUCGCCGCUCAAGCGGCCGCCCGCAAAGCCGGGGGUUCGCAAGGACAACGGCGGCUGGGAUCCCUACCUCCUCUCGUAGGCAUGGUGGCCUAGGGCGCUGCCAUGACCGGACGGAGGACUUGCAGGUGCGGCGGUCGCCGGUGGCCAGAUUCGACGUCGAUGGGACUGGAUCCGGUCCCCGCACGGCCAGAUCUGGCGCCUUAGCCGGUGGUUCCAGGCGGUGGCGACGGGAAGGAGGCGCGGCGCCCAAUGAGGAGCGCGGAAGAGGCGGCGGACAUGGCGACGUGCGAGGAGGAUGGUGGUGACGUCUACAAGCGGCGACGUCUGCGGGGGCCGACGUGGGGAGUGUGAAAGGAGGCACGCAGAGGCGACGGCGCGCAGUUGGGGGCACGAAGCCGCCCCAACGCGACAACGACAGCCCUCACACACGUUGGCGGCGCAGUAGGGCGAGCCUGCCUGAGCUGUGUGUGGUGGGCUAUGCUUGGAGGCUAGAGGGACGAUGUGGUUGUCCGGCGAUGUACGUUGUGUAGGUGGGUUGUGUGGUUUUGGAUGAAAAUUGCUCGCGAAAGCCUUGGCUAGCCUUUGGUUGGCUUGACGACGACGGCGCCCUUAGGUGUCGAUCCCCUCCUUGGAUGCGUCGUUAUGGCGUCUUUUCUCCCCCACUACCAAGAACCUUGUCCGUGCAACGAUAGUCGUUCGUGGACUUCUGCGUUGAAGCUCUAUAAGCCUAGCUGUUCGGCGAGGCCUUCGCCUCCUGGGUUCCAUUCUUGGAUGCGGCGAGCGUCCAGCUUUCUUCGUUUUCUAGUAGGUGAAGUCGGAGCUGCUUCGUUGGGUGCGAUGAAGCUUGGCAAUGAUAACACAUGGUAGUCUUCGAGGGGUGCUGGUGUUAGCUAUGUACAAGAAGUGGUGAUCUGACGGCUUGAGCUAAUGUUCAAAGUGGACAAUCGGUGCCUUGCUCGUUUCUGCGAUGCCUUCGGUUAUGAUGAUGAGAUAGCCGUGGAGCUGGAACUGAUGUGUCGCUAGGCGACAAACUCGGCAACGAUAACACUUGCCUCGCGAAGUCGAAGCCUUUGUGUCUCUUGCAACAAGCUCUUUAUCAAUGGAUGCUUUGGGCUCCGCUUUGUCCUUUGUUUCAUGGUCUUAGUAGCUUAGGUUAGUUAAGUGUGUUGUAGGUGUGGUUUUCGCUCAAUUUCUCCUAAUUAAAUGUGCAUUGGAAGGUUUGGUUCCGUUUUCUUCUUAAAAUAUGACACAUUCUUCUUUAUAUAAAAUGUUGGCAACAACCUGACCGUUUGUAAAAAAAAAAAUUAGUAGUUGGCUCGAGGAGUGCUUAGAUUUAUGAAAAAUAAUAAUUUUGUUUAGAGAUAGUGCACUUUAUUGGUCAAUUUGAUGUUGCAUAAAUGAUAAAGUAUUUGAUAACAAGAAAAAUGUCUAACCAUAUACAUGUUAUUUUCAUGUAUUCUAGAUGGCUCUAAUAUAUGAUGCUACCACAGGAGAAGCAGGAUAUUAUGCGCAAUGGUGCUACACUCUUAGAACCAAUUGCCAAGGGCACUUUAUUAUUUUAGCAUAUAUCAGCUUAAUUGUUAGAAUCUACGUGAUUCUUUUACCAUGUCAGCUGUUUAUGUUUCUUAAGGGUAGCUGGGGAUUUGUCGCACUACUCCUUUUAUUUAUUUCAGUAAAUAAUUGGUCGUAUGGCUUAUGGUAGAGGCCGGGAUGUAAUAUAAUUCUAUAAUUAAAAGAAAAUCAUAACAUUGACUCUACUAAUUGUUCACAACUCGCUGAAUAUUUUUAUGACCAUGAGCGAAUUUGAACUUCAAAUUUUGCGUGAAUUCAAAUUUCAGGAAAAGAAAAAACUUGGGAGCAUAUGGUUCUUGACAGAUUCCCACCAUUUCCAAUGUAUUUGGAAUUUAGGAACACGGCACUUAACCCAACAGGCAACCUUAUUAAUUUCGAGAUAUAUUUCUGGACCACGAUUAUUUUCUGAUCAUUCAGUUCGUGACAUCCCAACCAAUUAGUGCAGGUGCAGUGUGCAAUAGCUCAGUAAUACCAGCUCAUGACCUCUUGGGCACAAAAAGACGCUGAUGUUAACCUCAUUUUUCUUUUUCCUUACCUAACUAGCACCCAAUUUACACCAACAACCACCAAUCUUUCUCUAGGUAAUGCUCUCACAUCACAUGCGCAAUUUUGUCCAACAUUCCUUGCAAACUCAGCAACAUCGAUCAUAUUCAGUUAAACUGUUGACCUGAAACGACAUGCUGCCUGAUAAAUAAUUUAAUCAGACUGGCUCCCCUAUGAUCUUGCUUCAGACGCAGGUUUCACCUUUUUCACCCAACGACUUUUUAGAAGAUGCUCAACUAUUGCUUACCGAACUGUUUCACCUUUGUGGAAAGAAGAUGCUUUUAUAUGUCCUGUUCAUCGCCUUCUUUUUGCAGAUAGACGGCGGAGUUGAUUGAAUAUAUGAGCUCUCAGCUCAAUGAAGCAAGAGCAUAUUUCCAGUCGCAUCGCACUAAUCUCUCUGCUUCAUAGUGUAAGUUGUUAAGUUCAUCGAAGGUCAAACGUUUAAAUUUUACCUAGUUUAGAGAACAAAAGACAAAGCAACAUCUACGAUAUCAAAUUAGUUUUAUUAGUUCGCCAUUUAAUAUAGUGCUAAAGCAACUGCCGGCGGUCUAGCUUAAGAGAUGGCUCCACUGCUGCUUGAAUACAUUUUUAUUAUAUUUAUUUGUUUUGGGUUGAAAAUAUUACUAUAUUUUUCACUGAACUUGAUCAAAUUUCUAUAAAUUUGUUUAAAUAAUUUAGUGUGCUUUAUAGAAUGUUUGUUUUGUAUUAAAAUGCUACUCCCUCCAUCUUAAAAUACAAGUACUUUUGUAUAAAAUAUUUUUUUAAUGAUAGAAGUUGCUAUAUUUUGCUAUUGAGGAAAUACACAAUUUUCUAUAAACGUGAUCAAACUUAAAAACUUAGAAUAAAUUUAGAACAACUUAUAAAUAUGAUCUUGAGCUCUUUGUAGUUGAAAGUGGUCUUGAGUUGUAUAUUAAGUUUGUGAUCACUGAGUUUCAUCGUUUCUCUCUCUCUCUUUUUUCUUUUUGAAAUGGUUGUGUGUCGGCAUGUUUGUCACACCCUAAAAAUCUCCAAAUUAUAAAUUGUUGUUUAAUUGGAAUUAUUAGAAUUUAUUUUAAAAGCCUAGAAUAGAAGAUCUAAUUUUAAUAAAUAAAUUCAAAUAUAAAAUGGGGCCAGAUAAAAUUUCAUUAAAUACUUUGCUUAAUUCUAUAAUUCCUAGAUUUUUCUGGGAUUUAUUUGAGCUAAGGAAGUAUUUUUAAUAAAUGGAAUUGCAUUUCAUGAAUAAUUUAAAUUGGAAAAGCUUUUAAAACCUCCCUUUUGGUUUUGGGCCGAAAGUCGGCCCAAACCGCUCUCUCUCUCCCUCGGCCCAGUCGGCCCAGUCAGCCGCCCGCGCGCGCGUGUCCGCCCACUGACAGGUGGGGCCCGCCUGUCGGAGUCGUCGUCUUCCUCCUGACAAAACCUUAGCCGCGCCGCGCCACCGCCGCCAUUCCAAUUCGGCCGAUCCUUUCCGUUUCCGAUGAAAUCAAUAGAGGGGAAAUGAUCUUCUCGAUCUCCUCUAUCUUUUCUCUUUUGGAAUCAUCGGUUAAAAUCGCUUGGAAAGUGUCGGAUUUGAGCUUGAUUUGGAUCCCUCUUUCCUCCCGAACCCUAAAGCUUUCCUUCUCGCCGCCGGCCGCCGUGGGCCUUCGCCACCGCCUUUCAACCCCUAUAUAAGUACCCCCAAGCCCGCCGCUACACGUCGCCACCCUCGCCUUCGCUUUUAGUCGCCGGUAGAGCUCUAGCGCCGUGAGCCUUCGCGUCGCCGUCACCGCCGUCGCUCCAGUCGUGCGCCGCCGUCGCUCCAGUCGUCGUCGUCGCUCGGGGAGGUCACCGUCGUGGUCGCCGUCUCGUCGCCGUUCUCGUCCGCCCCUUCGCCGUCGCUGUCGACCGCCGGAGCACUGUCGCCGUCGUCAAGCCGAAGGUUGCCGCCGCUUUUUCCUCGUCGCCGACGUCGUCCGGUCAUCGUCCGCCGUCGCUUUGGUCACCGGUGAGUUCGCCGUGCCGCCCGCAACCCGUAGGUGCUUUCCGUUCGCGCUGUCGUGCCGUCGUUCGCCGGCAAGCAUGCGCGGUUCGGUCGCCGCCGGUGGUGACGUCAUCGUCGUCGUCCAUCCGUGAGCCGCGGUGGAUCCGAUCGAUCUCGGCCGUCCGUUGUAGAUAAGAUAGAUCUCGGCCGUCCGAUCUCGUGAACCACCGCCGUGCAUCCAGUCCACCGUGAGCCCGAGCGCUGAAGCAAUAAAUCCCUUUUCCUUUUCAAAAAUAAUUCAUUAUUGCGUCAUAAUUCAAUUAAAAUCCAUAUAAAUGAUUUAAAUCGAUUUAAUCUUUGAAAAUUCAUAACUAAUUCAUCUUAGCUCGGAUUUAGUUGGUUCAAGUCUCUAAAUUUUUCUAAAAUUGAGAUCUACAUGUUAAAAAUAUCCACAUGUACUGUUCAUGCUUGUUUAUGUGCUGUUUUGGUGAUUUUGUUCUUUUCUCUUUAGAUUCCGACGUUCCGGGAGAGUCCGAUUUUGCAGGAGAAGACUUUGAGGAUUUCCAAGGCCAGCAAAGCAAGUCACACAGAUCCCAAACAACCCUUUGAGCAUGUUGAUCCCGUUUAAAGCUAUUGUUUCUAUUCAACUAUUGCAUUUAUUUUUGAAUGUAAUUGGGUGGAAUUAACCUAUUAUUUGUUAUGGCCUUUUUUGUGCUUGAUUACUUUAUUCCUUGAUACCUUGGGUUAUUAUAACUUGACUAGUUGAGCUUUAUAUAAUGGUUCAGCUGGAUAUUAGGUAUAAUCGCUUAGCCAUGCUUAGAAACAUUAGCUCAUUAUUGGGAUAAUUUAUGAUUCACUAUUAUUAAAUGAUGGCUUAAUGAUAGCUCAUGAUGGUUAAUCAUGAUUGAUUAAUUAAUUAAUUUGACAAUUAAAAUAUGAUAAUGGUGGGUUGUGAGCAUAUGGUUUGGAUGGUUGUGCUCAUGACAAUUAAGGACCGGUUCACAAUUUUUGGUUGUGAAACAUAUACCGUGCCAACCACGAGCCAGCGUGGGCAACGGCUUUACUUUCUGUAUAGUAUGGUUCAUAGUAGAGCACCAGACUGUGACGUGGCGGAGAUAAGCCCACGGGGGUCGCUGGGGAGUCCAUACCUUGUUUAUAAGGGGUUGAUUAUGAUCCGGGAACGGUGCACUGCUUUGAAUUGUAUUAUAUAGAGGGUAUUGUCACAAUCUCUAUUUGGGUACUUGUCAAGUAUCGCGACGCAUGGUUGACAUGAUGUUGAGGUUGUGUCUUGUGGGUACAGUGGUACACCUCUGAUCAGAGUUUAAACUAUUUGAAUAGCCGUGCCCGCGGUUGUGGGCGGGUCUAACAAUGUCUUUCGUGAUUAGUCUCACCCCUCACACUAUAUUAAAUGAUGAUGUUAUUAACUUGUUUAGCUCCUGGUUUGGAAUGGUUAAUUCCUGGUUUGGAGAUAGAACUAUGCAACUGGGUUUGAUUGUUCAGAAUGGUUGGGCCUAUACAACAGGGUAUGUUGUAUAGCGUUGGAUUAAUAUUGUUUAUUUAAUACUCUACUGUUUUAUUAAAUUCUGAAAUAUUUAUUAAAUGUUGUUUAUGCAAAUGAGACUAUACUAUGCCAUCCUUUGUUAUUCUGUGCACUUGCAUAUGUGCUGCGUGGCUUGCUGAGUAUGUCAUAUACUCACCUUGCAAUCAUUCAUCAGAGGAUGAGUUCUACAGCGAUGCUGAUGGUGUGGAUGAUUAGGCGUAGCCCUGGUCAAGCUGCCUGUGGAGAGGAGUCGCCUACACUGUUUCUUUAAUUUCCGCUGCUUAGAACUUUAUUGGUUGAGAGUAACUAUCUACCUCUGUAAUGAUAUUUUAUUCGGUUAUUAAUUAGAGUAAUAAUUUGUACUCUAUUAUCAAUUUGUUAUUGUGUGCCUCGGCUGAUUCCUGGACGAGGGUUUAUACACAUGUAAGCGUUUGGAAUUUUGGAUAAAAAUUUCGGGCGUGACAAUGUUGCAGAGGCCGGAACAUUGUUAUUAUAAUAAAACCUCAAUCAUUGGGAAAAAUAUCUCUGCAGUAUGGCAAUUGGCAGUGCAGGGCAACAUAUCUUAAGCACACAAGUUCUCACGUGUACACACAUGCACACCAACUAACAAAUAUCAUAAAAAAAUCUAGAAAAACUCAUACAUGUACUUUCAAUAGGAUUACACCCAGGGAUAAAAUCUUAACCUUAAAUUCAUUAUAUUUUAGCCAUAAAAAAAUCUGACAGUUUUAAGGUUGUAAUCCUGUCAUAAUUUUAUCUUUUUUUUUACUCGCUAUGUAGUACGAAUUUGAAGAUGCGACUUUGCACGUAAAUGUAAUAUUAUUGGAAGUAAACGUCUGAAUUUUUCUAGAAUUUUUUAUGAUAAUUUUUAGUUGGCGUACACGGUGUGUACACGUGAUGACCUAUGUGCAUAGGAUCCGCUCCUAGUGUAGGAUGAUAAUGAAAUUAUAUAAGACAAUCUUGCAAUCAGCAUGAGUAAAAUGUUGUAAAUUUCGCUCAUGAUAUAUCCACAUUUGAUUGAUGAGGCCUGGCAUCAUCAUCAUCCCGAUGAAGAUGCAUAUAUAGAAGACGCACUGUGCAUCAUACAUAAAUAUACAUACAAAAAAUAAAGAUAUAAAGGGUAAAAUAUAGUACAUCCAUUUCUUCAUAUAUGAUAUUGUUAUUUUUCACAUAACGUUUGAGCAUUCGUCUUAUUCAAAUAUUUUACAUAAAUAUAUAAAAAUAUAAAUUAAGAUUAGAGUUUAUUUAUGAUAAGAUAAGUCAAAACAAAAUAAAUAAUAUGUCUAUAUUUUUAAAUUAAAUAAAUAGUCAAACAUUAUGCUAAAAAUUAACGCGUCAUAAAUAACAGGUACACAACCUGGUAAAAAAAAAACAGGUACACAAGACGGAACAUACAAAAAUAUUCAUCUUGGCUUCUGGUCACUGAUCAGCACUAUGCAUCCAUGGUAAUCCAUGGUACUUAGAAGAUGCAAAUAUAUCAUCAUCCUUUCAGUAUUUACUUUCCAAAAAAGUUUGUAUCCACAUAUAGAUGUAUAUCUGAUCCGCUCCGCGCGACCACUGUGACAUGCAUAUCUUCCGGUUGAGCAGGCUGGGCAGUAGUUUUUAACCAUGAAAUAUAUAUGAAUAUCAGCAUGACAUCCAAGGAAAAUAGGAAAUUAAGAUCUGUGGAAUAUUUGUAUUGCAAGGGACAAAGGACAUUUGGACCCUGAAUUAAUUUGGUCAGAUUAGAUAAGUCAUAUUGAAACAAGCAUAUUGAAGGCUGAGGUACUAAACUAUUAGAGCAAGUUUAAUAGUAUAGCCAACUAUGGACUCCAAAUCAUCUAUAUAAUCAAUUUAAUAGUUAAUUUAUACAAUAGUUACCUAUAAACAUAUACUACAUAAUUAACGUCUGGUCUCACCUGUCAUAUGCACUACAUCUUAAAGUCUAUACUGCAGCUGGCUAUAAAUAUGUAGUCUGUUGCUCUUAUCUCUCCUCUUUAAUAUCUUUAAAAUAUGUUUAUUGCUGAUUUAUAGCUUGCUAUUGUACCUGCUCUUAUUGCGCUAAACGCCUAAUCUUUAUUAGUAGAAGGAUAAAUAAAUGUACUACAUGUGACAGGUACUUAUCGUACUAGUUUUUGCACCUGAUAAUUAUUAAAGCAAGAACCAAAGUCAUGUGUUGCGACAGAUCGAGAAAUGAUAUGCGCCCUCUCAUCUAUUCCUGUAAGGCCUCAUGGCAAUCAGCUCGAUUGCACUGUGCAUCAUUCGUGGAAUAAGCGAAACGCCAUAUUUACAAACGAAAAUUAAUUCGUGAAUAAAACUUUUAUAUACGUGUUCUUAGCGAUGCAAAAGUAAUGGCUGAAAAAUAAACUUUGAUGAAAAAUCCUAAAAAUUAAAUUCAAAUUAAAGGUUGAAAAUUUAAAUUUUGAUAAAUAUAAGUAUAAAGCAAAAGAUGAGCUCCUUGAAACGCAAGGGAAGGACUCAUAUCGUACCUGGGUAUAUGGGUGGGUGGAACCAAUCUGCUCAGUGGAGAUCGUAUAUAUGUUCUACUCGCCGGGUAGAAUUUUAAUGUUCAGAUGUUUUAGCCAAUAUUAACUAUAUUAUUAUUAAAAAUCAAAGUACCAUAUAUGCUACGAAAUGUAUAGGAUCUCCGAUAGUUUUUAUUUUGGGUUCGUCACUAAAAGUUCUACUUCCUCGGGAUUAAAAGUUCGGACGGUGCUUGACAACUGGAAUAGGUGUGUGAACAUAUCAGUGGUGAAAAUGUGGUUAAGGCAGUGUGUUCUUUUGCUGGCUUUCCUAACUCAUCUGCUCAAUUUUCGUGCGCUUCUCAAACUGUUAAACGGUAUAUUUUUUACUAAAUUUUUUAUAUGAAAGUUAUUUUAAAAAUUAUAUUAAUCCAUUUUUCUUAAAACUAAUACUUAAUUAAUCAUGCGCUAUAGCAACCGGAAAAAUACUUUUUCCCAAUCGCUAGUGCAUUGAUUCCGUCCUAAGAAAAGCUAGGGUACACUUCAACAAACAUAAUACAAAAGAUACAUUUUUAUUAUAGCGAUAAUAUUUACAUUAUUUCAAAGGUUCUUCAGCCCUGACAAACAAAAAUAAACAGCAAUGGAUUAUCGGGCCUACGGCUCCAUCUUCACAGACGUUCAACUGGAUAUAAACCAAGGCUCCACCUAGGACUCCAAAGCUUCUCCUAAUGAUGGGGGGAAGAUUGAGCAAGAAUGAGUAUAACUACCGUACUCAACAAGUCACAUCGGGGGAUACAGGAUUAAUGCAAAGGGGUACAAGGAGUAAUAAUAGGGGGUUAGGUUUUGCAGUGAAACAACAUUUCGAACCGUUUAGUUGCUGAAGGCUGUUUUGGUAAAUCCGAACCUAAGUCUACACAAGAUUAUUAAUCAAGGCCGAGAACCCACACAAACGUGCCUUAACCCAAGACCUACGAUGAGUCAGACCGAACUGGCAGCCUUAUAGCCAGGCCUAGCUCAUCCCAAGCCAACCCAGACCAACCAUUCUAGGUUUUAGUUGAUUAACCAAAUUUUAAGAGGGAAACCACUAACUUGGGUACUCACUCCGUCCCAAAAAAACAAACCCUGGUAUGAAUCUAGACAUAAAUGUACUAGGGUUUGUCUUUUUUUUGGACGGAGGGAGUAUAUUGCUAGGCUUGCCCAUAACCGAGGGCGAGCCUAUUCGAAUAGAUUAUGCUCUGAUAAGAGAUGUACAACUUUACCCACAAGACAAAAUCUUGACAUCAUGUCAGCCAUGAAUCGUCGUAUCAGAAAAGUACCCGAAAAAGCUAAGAUCAUGACAUAGUUCUUCACCCAUCCUAGCCUUAAACAAAAGUACUGACCCAACGCCCGCCUAUGGUCGGUGUUCCUAGGACAAGUAGGUUAUGGUUGAGCCCCACGACAUCAGGAUAUCCUUUGGGAGUGGCCACCCAGAUGCCCGUCUUGUGCCACGACAACUCGACUAUCGGACACCCACUCGUAUAGCCUUCAUUUGCCUCAGAGAUAUCCAUCACCCGACUUCAUCCAUCUCUAUUCAUGUCCUUUUGUUCAUGACUAGACUGAGCUACAAACUAAGCCUUACCCAUUAGACAUGUGGAAGUACGAUAGUGCUUUGCAAUGAAGGCCCAAAGACCGGUCCUUAUGAUGGCCGAGGUGCCACUAUCAAAACCAUGCACCUCAAGCGCAACCUAAAACCAUUUUGGGGGUUUUGAAUAGAGGGGGAGGUGUAUGUCCAAUUCCAACCUAUGCCAACUAAUCCAAUAUAUCCAAGUGAUAUGAGAAUUCCCAAAGUUUAAAGUUAUAAAACCACCUAGUGUUGCUAAUUAAUUAGCGAAGCAUCAACCUAAAUUCAUACUAGUGGAACCAUGGAUAGAGUACCCACUAAUUGGGGUUUUAUUUUCCUAGGGUGAACAAGGUGAUAACAAUAGCAAUGAUAAGGCUAUACCAAGGAAUAAUAGGAAAGGUAAAUAAAUAGUGAUAACGCGGGAAUUUAAAUAAAGUGGUAAUGCAAUAAUUUAAAGUAAAAUAAUUUUAUAAAAUGGGAUUCAAUAUGAUCAAGGAUGAUGCGACAUGCCUUGCUCAGAGAGAACAGUCUUCCGAACCUUCGGCGACGACCGUGAACCAUGCUUCGGGAACUUCCGAAACGACUGGAGGUAUGUUAAGCACACAAGUAAAGCUAAAACCAUAUAAAAAUCAAUAAUAAUACAUAAAAAGAAAAAGCACAUGAUUCUUUAGAUUAUCGCAAAAAUUAAGAGACUUGAACGGAUCAAUUCAGAGUUCGUAUGACCAAGAUAUUGUCAACCGAAGUUUAAUGCUGUUACAUGGAGAUUUACGGGUUAUUAUAAUUAAGUUUUGCAACUAUAAAACUGUUGAUGUGAAAAACACAUACUGCCCUGAGAGAUCUGCUUAGCUCGAGUGUAGGUCCAAAGGUUGAUGAGAUGCGGGCAUGCCAGUCAGUUUGAUCCUGCAACUGAUAAGAUAUGUAAACAGUAGAUCAAUGAGCCGAUCGGCUAGUAAGCCGAUGGAGUAGUUCCAACCGAUAGCCGAUAAUAGCCGAUGCUGAUUCCAGCCGAUGUCGAUAGGGUUUUGAGCAAUCGGCUAUAUGUCCAAUUUAUAUAAUGAUGUAAAGACGAUCGGCUGAUGAUAAUAAAAUAUAACGAUAAUAUAAUCCAAUAGAAACCAAUUGGCUGAUAAUGAUAUGAUAGAUAAGCAUUCAUCUGAAGGUUAAAGCAUACAUCGGCUGGAGGUCCGAUAUCAUAAAAUACACAAGAUUAACUAGAUCAAUGAAACCUUUGUUGCGAUCGGCUAAAUCCAACUUAUAUGUAUAUGCAAUCCUUAUAAGCCGAUGCAACGUCCAGAUAACUUAUCGGCUAGCACCCCGAUAAAACAUUAGCAUGAACCUAUCGGCUUAACAUGAUUUAUAUUAUCAACAAUAAUCUACUAAGUCGAACCUAACCAAUGCAGCACAAGAUUGUAUAUGAUAAUCUAAUACUCGAUGAGCCGAUAGAUCUGUCUAAUGUGAUCGAUAUAACAAAUCUAUUUAUUACAGCAUUGUGAUUGUAGAGAUAUAUCAGCUAAGGCAGAAGAUCGGACCUAACCGACACAGUCCCAACUAAACCGAUGUGUCUAUAAACACAAUGCAAAUAGAGAUAGAAUUGAGAUAUCAGGUAGGCAAAUAUAUCAACCAAACCAGAGCGAUCCAAGAGAUCAAAGCGAUGCAGCCUUGAACAACACCAAUGCAGCCGACAGAUUCACCAGGGCUGGCGGAACGUAGGACUUACCCCUUCGCCGGAGAUCGAAAGCCGAUGCAGCCCCGCGCCAGGUGCCAAGUUCCGUCGGAUGAUAAGUAAAAAACCUCGGUAAAGAGGGUGGCGAUGCGCCGAGAGUAGUUGUAUUGAUCGAGAGAUGAUAGAUAACAAUGACCCCGGGUGUACAUAUUUAUACCCAUAGGGAGAUACUAGUCCUUGUCGAACAAGAAAGAAACUAAAGAUAAAAGGAAAAGAUAAAGUCCUUAUAGGACACUAAACACACUUUCCUAUAGAUAAAAGGAAACUAACAAACUAUUCCUAAUUAAUAGAUAACUUGCCAUGCCGCAUUCUCUUUGAACUCGGUCUCUUCUGAUAAGCUUCCUUUAGUAGAUCAAUUUCCUUAACCGAAUAUAGCAAUAAUCCGACAACUGACGACUUGAUAACUCUCAUUGGCUAAUCUCAAGACUUCGAAGCCGAUGCUGACUCUAAGCCGAUGAUUACACCGGGCUUACCAAAUUUUACUGUUAAGAAAAACAUGUAUAAUCACAAGUCCGAAAAAGAAAGGAAGGCUGCGUUGUUGGCAUGUGGAUGUCACCCGUCAACCUAAGGGACCAUGGUGGACCGAGUGCACAGAGACAAUCCACGGAGCGACGGAAGUGAACCCCGUAUGUCAACCCCAACGAGUGGCCUACAAAUGGACUCCACUAGACCCCACGCGGGCUGCACACGUGGACACCACGUGGCUACCAAAUGCGCACACAAACAUGGUCACCACACGUGCAUGCGAAGCCUAAGUGAACGGUUGCCGACGCCAGUACACGGGUACCGGGGUUGACAACCGCACAACAGGCACAAUGGCGACACCGAGGGGACGAGGACGGGGCCGCGAAGGAGGGAUCCUCACCACAACGGGACGAAGCGUGGAAUGACGACGACCAAUGGGCGCGGUGGAGACGAAUGGGAAUGAGGCCGAAGGAUGACGAGUGGCUACGAAUGACGGGAUGAUGAGGAGACGACUUUGGCGGCGACCGUAGGAUGAAGACGAGACGAGACCGGCGCAACACUUGACGACACGGAGCCGAGGACGAAGAUGACAACGGGGUAGCGGCACACUAGACGAAACACAGACGAUGGACAUGAUCGGCUUGACGGAGGGAUGAAUGCCACGACAAUGAGGACGACGGCCAGGAACGACGAUAGGACGACGAUGGCAGCCAGCUUGGAGGAGGGCGAUGGCAGCCAACGGUGAGCCGGGCGGGAGGAAGGAGACGAGCGGGUGGGUGGGUCCCACCGGUCAGGCGUGGUCAGCGUGCGUGAGGGGCGUGGGAGGCGCGGCUCGGCUUGGGCCAGGAGGCGGCUGGGGCAGGCCGGGAGGAUAAGAGGUGGGAGUGGGCCAGCCUGGAAGGAGGGGAAAGGAAGGAAGGAAGAAGAGGGAGAGGAAGUGGACUUCAUUUGCGGGACAAGGUGGAGAGGGAAGACCUUGGGCUGCACUUGGCCCAAAGAAGGAAGGAGGAUUUUUUUUAUUUUUUCUUUUUUAUAAGCUGUGACAAUUAUUUUUGUUGCUUAAUACUCCUUUUAAUUUAGAACAAGGAGAAUUUAAGGAAAAUACUCCAGCCCACAUACGAAUUUUUCUUGUACGUAUUUUAAUGUUUAUCAAAAGUCUAAAGUCUAAAGCACAUCUGUGAGUGGUACCAGUAUGUUUAAGAAAAAGUGGCUUUUAACUGAAUUAAAGCCAACCGGAUCAAACAAGUAUGAACUAAAUGCCAAAAGUAUCCACCUGCAUUCGGCUUAUCUGCAAUCCGAUGGCAUAUGAAAUCAGGAUGAAAAUACUCCUAUAUAGGAGUAUAUGUACUUACGAUUCGGCCUAACAGAAUAAGAGCGCGUAUGCACGGAAUGUUGGCCCAGCCACUCACUUGCACACACGGUUCUAUCUUCCUCACUCGAUAGAACACACACACAAAGAAGAUGCACUGACGGAAGAAGAAGAUGAACAGUACACACGGAAACAAUGAGACAUUGGAAAAAUUUUGUCACUACACACCAGUGAACCACCACAUGCUUCACUUUCUAUUCUUGAUACAUAAUCACACACUGGUUACAUGCUUAAAUAGCACAUACGUGCAGCAGCACACUAGCCACGUUUUUGCCGCACUAACCGGCCACUACUCACGUAACUUAGUCACUAAUUAACCACUUCACAACAUGCAUCCCACUCCUCCUUGCAUGUAGAGCAUCACUAGGUAACUAACACACAUGCAUGGAGCUAAUCCAUCCACUAUCUAUGAACAGCUCCAGCUAAUUGACUCGGCCACAACUCCAAGCCAAUGUGCACCUGUAAACUAGGACCUUUUGCAUGCAUUCCCUAGCAUGCAGAUCAAACUGACUCAACGCACUCACACAUGCAUAUAACUAGCACACACACAAAAGCUAAACAAUAAGAUUAAGUCUAACACAGAAAUCACAGAGCAAUAGGUCUUGAUCUCAAGAUCUUGGAGCACUUGCCGUGUUGGCUGCCCGGAUGGAAUUCCCCAUCAACAGCCGACGGGCACAAGCAGAGAUGGUGGCCACACCGCUGUGUACCUUACGUUCGAUCCACGAACCCGGCAUCAUGGGCUCGAGGCCAAAAAUUUUUACAUUUUGGUCCUUUUUGAAAACUUAUUUUAUAAAUAGACCCUUAAAAAACUUAAACCGGGAAUAGUCUUUUUUGGGGCGCCAUCCUACAACAUGGCGGCGCGCCCGUGCCACCGUGGCACUAGGACUGUCGUGGUGGUGCUGACUGGGCAGAAGGAGGCGCCAGCCACCCUGGCGCCGCCCCUCAUACGACGGCGCCAGCAUGGCUAGCGCGCCCCUCCUAUGUGGGCCGCGCCCUUAAACGCCGUGGGCCCCACCACCUUUCUCCUCCCCACUCCAUUUUUGCCCAAGUCCCAGCCCGAGCCGCGCGCUGCUGUUCUUCACCCUGUCUCUCCCCCUCACCUCUCCACCUCAAAUCCACUCAAUUUGAACUCGUUUUUCACGGGAUUUUUUUUUGUGGAAAUCAAAGAGAAAGGUAGACUCCUCCAUUCCCCCCUCUUUUUUUUCGUUUUUAUUGGUUGAAUUUGUAGAUCGGAGGGUAACCCUAAAACCCUUUUUUUGCCCAAAUUUGUGGUUUUUAGCAUUUGUUCUUGGGAUUAGCUUGUUGUAGUGCUACAUGUUUGCAAUGUACUUAUUGGUGUCAUGAUUUUUGAACCAUAUAUGUGGUAAUGUUAAUUUUUGGAUGGUUUGGUUGGAUGGAUGGAUGAAAAAUUAGGAUUGAGGCAUGAAAGUAAUUUUUAAUUUAAUGGACUUGAUGCUAUAGCCUAUAGGUUAAACUUUUAACCAUUAAUUAUAUGAAGGGGAGACAAAUUUGGUUGCAUUAUAGAAAUUGAUUAUAGUUAAUUAGAACUAGGUUGGGUUGUAUGACGGAUUAUUUGUAAUAUUUCGAUGUGUAAUGCACUAGUAAACUUGUUGAUAUUUGUACUUGGAUUAAAAUUUUUUGUGGAGUAGUAGUUUUUGGGACAAUUUAAGUUAUGCAUUGGUUAUAAUAUGUCGGUUUGGACUACGUUUAGGAAGGAAGAUUUAAUUUUAGUUGCAAAGUUACAUUUGAUUUUUCAGUGUAGAUGGAUAGACUUGCUCGUGUUUACUACAGUGGUAGAGUGGUAGAACCUUACGUUGGUGCACAUGUUGAGUUUGAGGAUAUGUCAACGAAGACCAUUUUGUUUCCCACCCACCCAACUCUAGAUGAACUAAGGUCACAAGUGAAAGAAGUUCUUGGAUGGACCUAGGAUAAUGUGGAGAUUCGUUUUUAUGAAAGAUACGAUGUUGGUCAAGGGCAUAAGUAUAUAUUAAAUGUGAUAGGUCAGUUUGAAUGGAAAUUUUACUUUGAUUUGGUAAAAGAGUCUCAGGUUACUUUUAUGUUAUUUUGUAGUUCUCGUGUUAUAAAACUAUCUUAACAGAAACACAUACAUACAUAUGUAUAAAGUCCAUAGUAGAAAAGAAAGAAGUCUCAUAAAAGGAAAGAAACACAAUCCUAGCUACUUUGGUCUGAUCAAAUACUACUCGGAUCAUAUCCAUGCCUGUCUCCCUUCUUCUAAAGACAAAAGAACACCUGAACGUAUAAAGAACCUCCUAGAGUCCUACGGGAGGAGGAAAUGAGAUACAGAGAAAAAAAACACAACUUAAUUAAUCAACUUUAUCGAGAGGUGUUUGCCAAGCAUCUCCAAAGCACUAGCUUUUCUGAUAGUAGCUUUUCCAUAGGUUGAACCCCUCUUCUAUUCAUAUCCAAAGUCUCCAAUACAAACUAUGAGUAGAAAGGAUAAUCCUUCGAUUCCUAAACUAUUUUCAAUUUAGCAAAUUAAAUUUUCCUCAAUAUUCCCACCGUUUCAUAUUAUACGUCAUUUUGACUUUUUUUUCAUAUUUAUUUAAGAUUGAUCAGAUUUAUAAGAAAAUUAGCAACAUUUACAACAACAAAUUAGUUUCAUUAAAUGAAACAUUAAAUAUAUUUUAAUAAUAUAUUUAUUUUGUAUUAAAUAUAUUUUCUUUAAACUUAGCCAAACUUAAAAAUGUUUGAUUAGAAAAAAAUUCAAAGCGGCUUAUCAUAUGAAAUCGGCGGAGAAACAAUUUUCUAAAAACAACGAUUUAAAUUUUAUAAUAUUUAAUUCGCUGUACACACAAUUAAAUACGAGUAACUUGUAAACUCAGAAUUACCCUUCGUUCAUCAAAUAUAAAUAAAGAACCGGACAAGUGCUUCUAAUUUAGAUUAGUAUUGUUUUGCCGGAAGAUCCUAGAAUCCCCAAAGAAUCAAAGGAGGUAGGGAUGUGAGUUCUGUCUGGGGAGGUUAAGAUUAUAAGAAGCAACUGGUUGAUAGCCAGCUUUUGAGAAUAUGAAAAAGCUAGAUUUUUCAGCUUGUAGUUUCUAGUUUAUUUUCUAGAUUCUAUAACUAUAACUUCUCAUAAUCUAAUCUAAAAUAUGUACUUUGAAGGAUCUAAUUCUGGGAAAAGCUGCAACGCCUGCAACACCUAGAAGUUCCGCUAAACAUAUCCUAAAAAUCCCCACAAAAUCACCGAGAAAUUUAACAAUAUGCCACUCAAUAGAGCUGGCUUUAAUAGAAUGCCACCCUCUAAGAUGACCUUAUAAAGAUGCCACUCCAUAGAUGAUACACCUUAAUAAAAUGCCACUUUAGGCUGUUUUGUGGCUUUUAACAUGCGAAAUGACAAAAUUAUCCAUGGGUCCUGCUGUGCGGCGGCGGUGCAAUGGGGGCGGCGCUGGACAGCAGCAGCGGGUGAGGGGGGUGGGGUGGGGACGGGGCAGCUGGGCGGCGGCAGCGACGGCCGAGCGGUGGCGCGCAGACAUGCGGAGGUGGCCGGGCGGGAAAGCGCGGACAGACGAUGGCAGCCGAGGCCAAACGGGGGCACGUGGACAGGCAACGGCAGCCAACGCUGGGCGGGGGCACGCGGACGGGCGAUGGCGGCGGCGGCGACGUGUUAACAACCAAAUUUGGUAGCAUUUGUAUUAGGAAAGAGGAUUUGAUCAAAGCGGAGUUGGAGGCGUAGAUCGAGUUCGGAAACAGAGCAGGAAUCGGCAGGAGUCCGGAUCGGCUACGGUUAGGAUCGGCUGAGUCUGAGUCAUGCUAAAUAUGCCGAUAUAGCCGAUUCCGACAAUACGACUUGUACGCGACAUCGGGUUCAAGUUGAUGUGCUUCAAGAUGAUUGCCACGCAUGGAUAGAGUCCUGGGAAGGCAAUUGUAUCUAUUAAUUAGGAUAUUUUAUGUAAAUCCCUUAUAGAUAAGUGUGGGCAAAAGUCUGCCGCAAAGACUUGUGGUAUCUUAGAGUUUGUUAGAGAUAGUGGUUGUGUCCGGUAUAGGCAUAUCUUGUGAUCCUCGGGUAUAAAUAGACCCCGAGCCCUAUGUAAUUUUUAACACACACGUUCAAUAAAAUUUCGGUGCAUCGCCACCCUUUUGCUUUAGUUUUGUUUCGACGAGUUCUUGCUUUCAGGUUGAGCUGCAUCGAUUUCGAUCUUCAACAAGAGGUAAAAUUCGUUAUGACGGAUUGCAUUCUCAGGAUUAGUGCUUCCAUCUUUAUGAUACUCUAAUCUCGUUUAUGUAAUUCGUCAAGUUAUCAUAUAUCUUACAUAAUCUCUAACAAUAUCUCUAUCUAACUCAUUAUCGACCAACAUCUGCUAACAGAAGGCAGCCGAUUAGGUUAGAUUUCGAUGUUGAUCUAGAUUAUAUAAGAUAUCUACCAUUCUAUGAAGCUUCUAGCGGCUUGAUUGUCUAGAUAUCUUUCUUCUUUUCAUACUUAAUGUUGUAUCAGUUGAGUUUGAUCUAUUAAGUCGUGCUUAGAUUAUCGAUCUCUAGCCUGCCUUCUAGUUGCCGAUUAGGAUAGCAUCGGAGUUUCAGCCGAUCUUAUCUGAUUUAACUAUAUUUGUUCUAUAUGCUUUAUUGACAUGUUAAAUCUGCCCUUUAUAUCAAGAUGUUGCUGUAACUAAGUAUGCUAGACCUUUGUUUGAUAUAUUGUACCUGCUCUAAUAUCCUGAUAUAGAGUAGUAUCGGAGUAUUAGCCGAUACAUGCUAGAUCAAUCUGAUCGGCUACGCUAUAAACAUAUAUAGUCCUGUUAUUGAUAUAUAUUUCGGUCUAAGUGGUUUAUACUGUCUCGGCAUGGCGACCGAUCUAUCCCAAUCACUUGAUUUAAAUAUAUAUCGAUAUAAGGAGUAUAUAUCGUUAAUAUCUACAGCCGUCGAGUAGAUUUGGUUCUUUUUACUUAUUCAUGACUGCCGAUCGAUACACAAAUGACAUCGGCUCAAAGAUAAAUGAUAUGUCAUCGGCAUCUAGCCGAUCGGCUAUCAUUUAUAGAUUUAACCACGGUUUCUUUGCUUCUAUUUCUUGUUGAUUACAGGAUCAAAUCAACUGGCACGCUAAUACAUCCGAAGGAGAGCUUUGGACCUGCACUGGAGUUAAGCAGAUCUCCCAUGCCACGUGUUUUCUGUCAACACACUUUUGGCACGCCCGGUGGGACCUGGUUAGAAGUCAGCCGUCAGUUCUUCCUCAUGGCCGAGAAACAAGCACCACCACCAUCAAGCCCAGGCUCCGUUAAAGGCAAAGUAUCGAAGCCAGGAUUGACUGACAUCAUUGAUGACAAUGUCAUGCCAAUCGAUCCGGAGAAGUUCACGCCUGAGCAGAAGCAGGAGUUUGAAGCAAUGAUGCAGCAAGCGCGGGAUCAGUAUUUGCUCGUUCAUGCAAACAAGCAAAACGAUUUGCAAAGAAUUCUAGAUAAGGAAGAAAGGAGAAAUUUUCACAAAUCAUGUUUUCGGAAAAUUAGUCCUUAAGGUUUGACCAUUUGGCUUAUCCUACAGUCGAGAUGGCUCUGAUACCAACUUGUCACGCCCGGAAAUUCACUAGUAAUUUCCGAACUGAUUUGUGCAUAAAAUCCUCGUCCAGGAAUCAGCCGAGGUACACAAACUGACAAUUUAAUAUACAAAUCCAUCAUAAUAACUAAACCGAUAAAUACUUACUUAAGAGGCACUUAGUCCUCACCAAGAAGAAAACUGCAGCGGAAAAUAAAAUCUAGCGAAGCUCCGGCUCCACUCCCACAGGCAGCUCAACUGGGGUAUAAGCCAAACGUCUUCUCCUUCUGGAUCCUUUUUCUUCAACUGAGGUUGAUUGAUUAUUGCAAGAAUGAGCAUAUGACAUACUCAACAAGCCACACAGCAAAUAUGCAAGUGCACAAGGAUUCCAAAGGAUGGCAUAAUAUAGGCUCAUUUGCAAAAGCAGCAUUUAGCAAAGAUUUAAGAUAGGUAAAACAGUAGAGUAGUUAAUCAUCAAUUUUAAUCAACACUGAACAGCACACCUAUGCCGCUCAGGCCCAACCAUCCUGAACAACCAUACCCGGCUGUACAGAUCUAACUCCAAACCAGGAGCUAAGCAAAUUAUUACCAGGUAUAACAUCCAUAAUUAUUGCGAGAGGUGUGAGACUAAUCACGAAAAACAUUGCUCAACCCACCCAUAACCGCGGGUACGGCUAUUCGAAUAGUUUAAACUCUGAUCAGAGGUGUACCACUGUACCCACAAGACACGAUUCCACACAUGUUGCCAUGCCCCGAAAUACCACCACGGCAUUGCAAAGGGGGAAAUCGUGACAAUACCCUUUGCACAACACAACUCAAAACAGUGCACCGUUCCUGGAUCAUAAUCACCCCCUUAUAAACAAGGCAUGGACUCCCCAGCGACCCCCAUGGACUUCUCGCCACUUCUCAGUCUGGCGCACUAUAAUGAAUCACGCUAUACAAAAGAUAAAGCCGUUGCCCACGCUGGCUUGUGGUUGGCACGAUAAAUGUUUCACAACAGUAGCUCGCGAACCGGUCCUUAAUUGUUAUGAGCACAACCAUCAAAACCAUAUGCUCACAACCCACCUUAACCAGGUUUUAAUUAUCAGUUAAUUAACAUCACACGAUUAACCAUCGUGAGCUACCAUUAAAUAUAACCAUAAAUAAUAAUGUAGUAUAUAUGAUUCAUCCCAUUAGUGAGAUAAUGUUUCUAAGCAUUGCUAAGCAAUUAUAUAUAUAUAACAUUUAGCUGAACCAAACCAAUACAUAAGGUUCAAGCUAAUCAAUUUAUUACCCAAGGUAUCAAGGAAUAGGGCAUUCAAUGCAAAUUGGCCAUAACAAAGGAAUAGGUUCACACCACCCGAUGACAUUCGAAAAUAAAUGCACAGUUGAAAUAAAUAGAGAAUUUAAAUAUAGGAUCAACAUGCUCAAAGGAUUGUGUUUAGGAUCUGUGUGACUUGCCUUGCAAUAAUCGGUCUUCAAUUAAUCUUCUUGAUCACUUCCGACGCACUCACGAACCUUCGCAACGACGGAAACGACAAGCUAACACGCAAAACGAAGAAAAAGACUAAUAAAAACCAAAUAAACAGUACAUAAAAAGUAAACAAACAUGUAGAUCAUAAUUUUAGAUGAAUUAUGAGACUUGAACGGCCUCAUUCUGACUUCAAAU